CAGAACUUCUGAAGCUUUUCCACUGUUCAUACUGAACAUGGUGAAUGCGAAAGCGUUGCUUGGGUCGCUCUAUAUACACAGUGCUUCUGAUUUGUGUGAGAUUGAGUUGAGGUCAGAGCCUGUAAGUAGCACACUCAGAAAAACACGUUAGAGUACCACAAUUGUUCAUAUCAAAAGGUUAACUUGUAAUCAUCAAAACAUAGAGUUGUACUACUAGAUCAAAACUUGAUCUUACAGUACCCUACCCAAACCCUACCCAUUGCCAUCCCUAAUCACGAAACAGCCGCACAGGACGCGUGCAGGGCUUGAACGACUGUUUCAUUGCGUGCAGAAGAUAGGGAGUUGUGCCUCAUGAUGACAAGAGAGGAUGAUUAUCUUGAAAAAGAAAACAGCGCAAUCUUAGGAGGGGUUGUAAGUGUGGGGGUUGGUUUGAACUCUGCCCUUUAUGACGUGAGGUGACGCUUCAAAAGGUGGCAGUUGAGAUUUUGAAGAUACGCUGACAUUUCCGCUUCGCUGACGUGUCGACGCACUAGGCCACUAAGCGACCAAACUCACCACGAUCGUCGCCCCCCCCCCCAAGCGUGGCGAGCAAACACUCCACGGCCGCCGCUCGUGGGCUUGUGGACUUGUAAGUUUUACUGCUUUAAACGUCAUGUCGGCGACAUAAAUGUUUUAGCACAAUAGUACUUGUAGUUAGUCAUUUUAAUCCUUAAAGACACACUUAGCCAUCAUGCUUCGUGCUCGGUGUCUUGUGGACUGGUGGACUGGCCGAGCCCCUAGGGGUUACCCGCCAGGUGGCGGUCUCCCAGCCUAGAAAUUGGGCCUCCUCCCGCGAGGCCCAACCGGCCCAACAAAGGCAGUUAUGAUACACUAGCCCAGCUCCCCUACUAUAAAUAGGGAGCGGUUACCAUUUGUAAAGAGGUUUUAGCUCAUUUGAUCAAUACACACUUGAGAUUCAGUUAUUUUCUCUCUCUCUUGAGCGGUUAUUCUCUCUCUUAGUGCAAUCCUUCAAACUAUAGGUACUAUACUCUAUCUCAAUGUUCAUGGCAAGAACACUCAUCCUCUUUCGAACUUGAACCACUGGCUUCGCCCCUAGAUUAAUCGCCAAUAUGUGUGAAAUAAAGUUGGGGGUAUAUUCCAGACACAUCCUUAAUUGACCGUGCAAAGUGGCCUAAAUUCUGCUCUAGUAAUUUUCUCAAUCUUUCCUCCUUCUCAACAGUCAACUUGCUCUACUAAUUUUUAAGAAUCUGUCGCCCACCUACGAUCAAAAUCCACCACGUUCGUUUAAUUGAAACCUCUAACGACGUCACUGCCAUCCUUAACACGAAGCUGCACAUCCUCAUGCCCAACAACCGAUCCAGAUAAGCCAUCUACGCGUCCCAACAACCCACCACAACCCAAGGAAGCCAUCAAGACAGAACAAAGAUCCCUCACCAGUAAAAUAGAGUCGAACAAAGAUCAUAAUAGUGACAUACAUAUAGGAACGAAGGGAGUAGCUUAUAAGUUUUCUGUUAACUUAUAAUCUAGCUAGGCAGACGAAUCAUAGCGUAUGUGACUUUAUUUACAAUAAUUUUUAAUUAAAAAAUAACUAUAUUUUUUACUUUAAAAAGGUUUAAAAAUAACUACUUUCUUUUUGAAAAAAAAUAACUAUUUUUAAUGUUAAAGAUAUGAAAAAUAUAAUAUAAAAAGAGUUUAAUGGAUAUAAAUCACACAUGUAGGAUGGAUAUUGAAUAGUAAUACUCGUUUUAAUUUGAUUAAAACAAAAAUAUUUUUUAAAAUUUACCGAAAAUACUUUGGAUGUAACUUAGAAAAAUGUUUAGAAUGUACUCAUGCAUGUGGCUGAAGAAUAUAAUUUACAGGUCCAAUAAUUUAGAAAGUAUGGGCUACCCUAUUGGUGCCUCUUCUUUAAAAACAAAAUGAUAAAAGCUGCUGCUGCUGCUGCUGCAUGGUCCAAACUCCAAUCUGCAACAUUUAAGCUCCUAUGCAGAGACACAUAAUGUGAAGCUGCAGCUUGAAACUCACCCCUUUCAUUUCUUAUCACGACCCAUUUUAUUUUUGUUUCGGAGCGAGGAGUUAGUACAAACAGUCCUGACUAUGCCAUAUGCCAUGUGAAUUAAUUGAUCAGUAUCUUGAAAUAAUUGAAGAAGGAAGGGUAACUGCUUGGCUUAUGGAGUGUGCCAGAAUAUGCCGUUGAAGCUAGCCUCAUUGUGAAUUGUGUGGUCCUAGCUAGCUCACAGCAACCACCCAACGCAGAGACAAAGAGACCCACAUACGUACACAACCAACGCAGAGACACAAAGCUUCAGCAAAAUAGAGGUCCCAUUCUGUAUGACACAUAAUGUGAAGCUGCAGCUUGAAACUCACACCUUUCAUUCCUUAUCAUCACGACACUCAAGGGUGGAGGACACCAUAAUGUGGAGCUUGGUGCAACAGCCACUCUUGUUGCUACAUGUCACGGACUCACUAUGGGGACCCCUGACAUGAUAAUUUUAACAUGUGCGAGUUCUUUUAUUUUGCGUUGACAAAACAGAAUCGGAUCUCUUGAUUCUCUUUUCUGAUUCAUGAUUGGGCGGUCCUAGCUCACAGCACCCACCCAACGCAGAGAAAGAGACUUCAAGUAGUACCCACCCGGCACCACAUACACAAAGAAACCCACAUGUCCAAACUUCAAUCUGCAACUACAUUUAUGUAGUGUUUGGUACUUCAAGGGAACAAGACAUAAUAGAAGGGAAAAGAAUGACUAUGUGUUCUGUUUGUAAUCCCAAAUCAUCUAACAUAACUAUAAUUUUUAAUUACAUAUAUAAAUUUAUGUUUAAUAUUUGAUUGAGAAUAAAAAAUGAUCUCAAUUGAAUAUUAUGUAGAGAGUCUGUUUGUUAUCACUUAUUAAGUUAUUAUAUAAAAUAAUCACUUGUUUUUAAAAAUAAUCACUUUAUAUUAUUUAAGCUCUUUGAGUACGCUUUUGAUGAAAAGGUAAAUUAGGUUUUCUAAAUAAUUUGACUUCCGCUUUUUUUAAAAUGUUGAAACAAUCAUAAAAAUACUUUUUUAUUUAAAAAAACAUUAUUUUCUAAAAAUAAAUUGAAACAAACAUAAUCUAAUUGACUCGUUUGUCAUUGCUUAAAAAAAGUGAUUUUAUUUUUGAAAAAAUAACUGAUUUAUUUUAAGUGAUUUUUUUAAAAAGUAAAAAAUUCAUUUAUCUUUGUUUACAAAUAUAAUAAGUGAUUUUCACUUUAAGCAAUAAUUUUAAACUAUUUUUUUUUUUGGUACAUAAGUUUAAACUAUAUAGAUAUAAAAGAUUUGAAAUAUAGCGAGGCUUGGUUUUUUAUAUAUGUUGUAGUGACUGUUAGUGUAGCUGUGUCUUUUUUUUUUCCCCAUGUUUUAGUACCCUGUUCUGGUCUGCUCUUCUUUUUUCUUGCCUCUGUUUUUUCUUUUAGACUACUUCUUCCUUUAAUUUCCUUGGUUACUGUUAGCUACAUUGUAAUGUGGGUUUCUACACCAUGAUUAUGUUAAUAUAUUAGUUUGGUUUUUCCACAAAAAAAAAAUUACAGUAUUUUUUACCAUGUAAAAGUUUUAAGAAAGUGUUUCGUUCCAUUCCACCUUUUUCAAUGGAACCAAAAUGUCAUGUUUCUGGAGUCUUAUGUCAUGUUCAGUUUCAUCUUAAAAAUAUGACAAACAUGGAGUGAAACCCAUAAGUAUCUUUCCUUCCCACAUGUCUAUCAAAUGGUAUCUUAGGGUGUAUUUGGUGGACACGAUUAGCAAGCAAGAGGAUAGUGUAGUCAUGUCAGCUCUAAUAUGUUGUUUGUUGCGCUACCAGGAAAGGAUAACGCAAUCAUGUCCCUUAUCAUAUCAUGUUCAUCAUGUGUAUAAAUUAUUUCUUAGAGAGAGUAAUGAUGAAAUUAUCCUGCUGAUAGGAUAGGAUAGCGGUUUUCGAUUCUUUUUUAGUACCUUAACCCUAAAUUCAAUUAUUUCAAUAUUUAUAUUUUAUAUAAUUUAUAAUAAUAAUUAAUUAAUAUAUGAAUAUUAACGUUGGAGCUUGGUGUAACAACCAGUAGGGGUGUUCAUAACAUAUUAAAUCCAAAAAAUCGAUCCAAAUAAACUGAAAUUCAAUUAAACCCAAAAACAAACCAGAGUUUAAAUUUUGAGAUAAAUUCAUUGAAUGAUAGAAUCAUAUAACCGAUAAAAUUACAUCAAAUAACUUUUUUCUUUAAAACCGAAUCAAUCCAAUUCGCAAACACCCUAACAGCCACUCCUGCCUCAUUUUCAAAUUGAUAGCAAUAGUGUCGCAAAUGAAAAUUAUUGCUACAUGUGAAUGGGACCCCUGACUAUGCGAAUAGCAAUAGUGUGAGUGUCGCAAAUGAUAAUUUUGACAUGUGCAAGUUCUUUUAUUAUUUUGAAAAUAUGUGCGAGUUAAAUGGUGAAUAUUAAAAUUUAUUUUUCUUUAAUUAGAUAGGCACCUCAUAUUAUACAAGUUUGAUAUUUUUUUUCGACGACAAAAAACAAUUUUAUUAAAUGAGAGAAUGAGACAAUAUUUCUAUAAUUCUAAUAUAUUCAGAACUCAAUAUAAUUCUUCCAUCCUUGAAAAAAAAUAUAAUUCUUCCAUUUUUUUUCAACAAAUAUCUUUUUAUUAUAUCAUUUUCUGCAUAUAUCAUUUCUAUUCUUAUCUUUCUCAAAAUUGUAGUGGAUUUUUAUAAUUUGGAUGUAAUAGAAUUGAUUGAACAAAACAACAUUGGAUCUCUUUUGAUUGUCUUUUCUGAUUCAUGAUUAUUUUAUGCAUCUCAUAAACUGCAUUAUCAAUCUCUUGUGACUUUCUCAGAUUGUGUUGGGAGGCUUCCAUCCUCUUAUAUUAUUUAGGCUUUGUACUUGACAUGUUUUCUUAAUUUUUACUAGUGUUUUUUUACCCGUGCGAUGCACGGGAAAUUUGUAUGUCAUAUUUUAUAAGUGAGUCAAUACGUUGAUUACUUAAAAUAUAAUAAACAAAGAUGAAAUAGAAGAGUCUGAUACGCUAAGCAAAAUGAGGGAAAAGUCUUAAAUUGAAUCACUUGUUUGAAAUUCGUGCAGUUGAAUAACUAAUAAACAAAGAUGAAAUAGAAGUGUCUGAAAUGCGAAGCAAACGACUGAUUAACUAAUAAGAAGAUUGGUUAACGAAACCUCAAAUUCUCUCAAACAUAUAAGGGGACGGUUUUACGGUGUCUAAUAAACAGUAGCUGAGUUAAUCUGCAGUGACCGUGAUUAUGCGCGUCAUUUUCCGCUCACACGUUCUCAAAAACUUAUUUGUAGACAACAUUGCGCGUGGAGCUCGAAACCACCCCUUUCUCAUCCACAAUGACCACCUUUAGUCCUUUUCUAGACUUCACCCUUGAGAGAGCGACAUACAGCUGUGCAUGAGUAAACACAGGUCUCGGAAGGUACAAACCGACAUGAGAAAGGGACUGGCCCUGACUCUUGUUUAUAGUCAUCGCGAAGCAUAAAGUCACCGGAAAUUACCUUCGAGAGAACUUGAAGGGAAGACCAGAGUCAGAAGGCGUUAAGGUUAUCCUCGGAAUGUACUCAGUUUUACCCAGCCUCAUUAUAAACCAUUUAGAUCAUUCCUUCAUUUAUGAUCUACCAUACAAUUACCAUGUGAAAAAAAUAAUCUUAAAGUGACCAUUGUUUCCUUAUAUAAUUAGAUCCAAACUUUUCCUUUACAAAGUAAGAAACAACUUCUAAAGUAAUUUACAAUUGAAUCAAUAAAAGUAUACCCUUCAACAUAAUUAAAUUAAAUUUAACCAAUAUAGUUAACAGUACAAAUAAAUUCUCUCGUGUGUUGAACUCCAACCAUUUUCUAAAAUUACUUUCUUCCUGUAGAUUUUCCUUGAAUUAUCUUCAAAUAAGAACCUCUUCCUUUGAAACAUUCACAUAUUCCUUGGCUUCUUCGUAACUCCACCCCACAACUAAUUCUUUGGAUCCAUUGUCUUGUCAUGAUUCAUGACUUCAAAAUCCUGGUUCUUUGUAUGCUACUGUAACAACCCUUCAGAUUCGUGGAGUUGAGGAAUGUAGCAAGGUCUAAAUGAACAAUCAAACUGGUCAAAGUCUAUCACAUUCAUUUAAGGUAAUAUGAACCACCGCCCUUUUCCCAAAAUCUGUAGCAUCUACAUACUUUAAACACCAAGGAAAAUGCAGUAGAAAUCCAGAAAAACAGUUCAAGAGAUCAGUUAUGUCUAAAUGCGAUUUAAAACUAUCCAACACUGAUUACGCACUAACAAUAAAAGUAACAAAACACCCAUCUUUUUUUUCACUGAGGAACUAAAAGCAAGCUCCAGAAAGUGAUUUCUCAAUCGAAGAACAACUGAUUAACUACAUAAGAGAUUUAAUUCCUUAGUUGUCUGUCAUGUGAUAGACAAUGUUCAUUCCACGGUCCCACAUAAUAAGAACGAUUAGCUUGUUUAGUAAAGAAAAAAUAUUUGUAAAUAAAUCAUAGAAAUCAACACAGCCACGGAGCAAAACAAAUAAGAAAGACCUUCCAGCCAAAUGAGCAAACUUAUCACCAUUACAAAGUACAAAUUGAAGCUUUAAAAGGAGCUAAAAGUAGCAAGGGAUAGCUUAAAGAGGCAUUGUGGUUUGUUACUCUAGCUGUGAGACUCAAUUAGCUUAUCAGGUUGUUAACUUAUGGCUAUUAGAAUUAAGGAUUUCCAUAUAUUCACAAAGCUUCUAAAUAAAGCUCACUUGAUGUCAACUAACUACUGUGAAUGUUGAUUUCACAGUGAGAAAAAAUAACUUUGGGUUGAGGUUGUAUGACACUUCAAUAUGAAUAUGAUGUUAUUUACACAGUGCAGAACACAAAUAACUUCAUUACAAAAUUGAAAUUAAUGGAGUGAAGUAAAUACACAUUUGGAGUAUACAUUACAUCUACUUAUCUUGGGCUAUGUCUUCAAUUCUAUUACCAUAUUUGCAUUUCACAUAGAAUGGAAGAGCUUACCCAGAACAAAUGGCCAAAGAUGACUCAAGCCUAAAUUAACUUGUACACUUGAUGCUGCUAUCAAUGCGGCCUUGUUUUAAUAUGUGAUGCGUAAGCUAACACAAUCACUUACCUUUGACAAAUUCUUUCUAGAAAACCCUUUUGGAUUUGCAAAGCUAGCUCUAGGGUGAAGCUAUUCAUGUGAUUUCCAUGAACAAAAUUUCUCAGGUCAAUUAAAGUUGUGCAGUUUUGGGUGCUACUGCACUUUGGACAGAACCAAUCGUCCUCAGGAACUUCUGGCAAUAGAGGAUCGCAGCAAUCAAUAAGAGUACCAAUUCCACAGCCAAGGGAGCCACUUUCAUCACCACAAAUCAGCAUUAUACAUAAACCAAAUGGUGCUUACACCUGAAACUGUUUGGUUUAGAGAAUUAGAAAGAAAGGAAGAGAGAAUCAUGGAAAAACUAACAAAACACAGUGCAUUGAGCUCUGUGCAAUAAAUAAAAAAGAAACAAAUGAAGAAUUUAAGAAUUAAGAUCAUAACAAUAUCAUAAUAAACACCUAAAACUAUGAAAGGAGCAGAGCUGCCACUCACAUUUUUCAAGGAGGUCCUGUGUUCCCAAGCACGGGCAGAGGCUGAACCAACUCCUCCCAUGUCAGGGUAUUGAACCCCUUCUGCCACAGUGUUCUCAUGAUUCUCUAUUGGUCCCAUUCCUCUUGAACUUGAACCUGGUCCAGAUCUUGAUGAUUGCUUGGAAGAGCCAGAAAACUUCAGCACCAUGUCCUUCAAUUGCAUAUGCAGAAAGAAAGAAAUAAAAAAAAAUUAACACCAUUUGCAUGUAUCUAUCUAUCAAUCCAAAUAUUCAUCGUCAACAACAUUUUCACACAAAUCUGCAACUGAGGUGCCGACACAUAUAAUUUGCACAGGAGAAAAAAAAAUAAAGACAACGAUUAUAAGAAAAGCUCACUUUACACAGGAUCACGUGUGGUGUUACAAUGUCUUCAAUUUUUUGCCUCUCUAUGUGCCGGUGUCAGUGAUGGGAGCUCCCUUAUAUGGUUGUCAUGAUAUAGAUCUCAGCCUCAUGCAGUGUUGCACACUAUCCUAAACAUGGCCCAUACUAAAAAAUAAUCAAUCAUGUGAAUAUGAUCCAAUGGUUCUUCAAGCUCUCAAGAAUCAAUAGCAAAAUGAAAUAGAAGAGCAUUGUUGAAUAUUAGAAACAUGUCAUGUUGUAUAAUGGUUCAAAUAUCAUGUGUUAGAUGGUUCAAAUAUUAUGCAUACAUGUCUGCUAAUUGAUACUGAUAGAUAACAUGAGCAUGUGAAAUAAAAUGAAAGAUGCAAACCUCAAAUUGUUCUAGAGUCUUAUACAUCCCUUCAUGUAGUUUAGCCCUCAUGGUUGCAAAAUCCAUAGGCUCUUUAAUGACUGUAUAAUAAUCCUCAACCUUUAAGCACAAAAAUUCAUCAAGAAAAUGAAUUAGAAGGAGAAUAUGCCAAGUUAUAUCCGCAAGAUGAUAUGACAAAUUAUGAUCACACACCUCAUUUGGAUCAAUUGGUUCAGUGUUUCAAUGAACUUAAGCAUCAACACUUUUUUUUAUCUGAUCUAAAUAAUUGCUUCUCAUGCAGUCUAAAUGGCAAAACAAAGAGAAACUAAACUUCAGUGUACAUUAUUAGCAUUAUUUAGAAGAAAAAAUCAUACCACAACAUGUAGAUGUUACCUUUAACCUUAUAAUUACCAAUCAAGAAAUUAAGUAAAAAGGCAUAGUAUCAAUAUCAGAGGAGCAAAAAUUUAAGAAAUUAAAUGACCUUAUAAUUUCUUUAACCUAUUUUAUUAUAUACCUCCUUUAACUAUAUAAACUAAUCAAGCAAUAAGGCAUAUGGAGUUAACAUUCUAAAAGAGAAAAAUUAAACUAAUAUAUUCAUUGAUAUGAUGCAUAGUAGUUUCAGGAAAGACAAACUAAAGAAAUUAAAAAUUCUUACUUCUUUUCAAUGGCUUGCUUCUCAUACCUCUUUUAUGUUCAAGCUCUCUCAAGGAAUACCAUAAACAUCCUUCUCCUCCCGUGUUUGUACAGGAACAGAAUUGCAAAAGUGUACCCAGGAGGUCCAUGCUAUGCUGUAAAUGAACAUCUGCAUUCCAUUCAAAAUUGUUAAUUUAGUGCUUUAAUAAUAAGAUGGCCUUUUUAUGAUUUCACAAAAAGAAAAAUGCAAGAAAGGGUGGUGGGGAAUCACCUCCGCCACUGAGGAGGUGGCGCUGCUCUGGUUGCUGUUGUUGUCGUUCCAUGCAAUUACAACUUUUAAACAAAUACGAAGAUCAAAAUUGACUCCUCCCUCUGAUAAUUCCACCUUCUCUCUUUCACAGUGUUACUGUCACCAAUAGUUUGGGAAUUGAAACGAAUCACACACACAACCGACGGAGCCUGCAAAACCCUAGCAACCUUCCGCCGCCGCUAAACCCUAGCAACCUUCCGCCGCCGCCGCCUUUGCCAGCAUGAACCUCUUUUGUAAACCGAUGAGCAGUCAAUGAGAAGAGGUGAGAGGAGCCGCGCAAUUGAAAGAGGAGGAGGAAGAGCUUGGAGAAAUCAGGGCACAUGUGGAAAAAAUUUAACCGUGCAAGAAAGAGUGUUGAAGAAGAACGGUGAACGUAUGAAUUAAGCUUGGUGGCGUUAGGGUUUGGGCGCAGAGAGAAACAAAGUCACAGGAGGAAGAAGAAGAUUUCAGAUUAGAAUAAUAUGUUGAUGGUGAGCGGCGCAAAUUGAAAGAGGAGGAGGAAGAGUUUAGGUAUAGCACGUGUAAAAUAUCAGGAGAAAUAAGGUAAGAGCAAAUAGAGCCAAGGUGGAAAAGCUGAUGUGUAAAUUAUUAAAUGAGAAUUAAUAGGUGGAAAAGCUCACGUGUAAAUAAUUAAGUGAGAAUUAAUCUCGGAGCGACACGUCACUAACUUGGCCUGUGAGAGCGACACGUCAUGCUAGAAGUUGUUCUUUUCUAAUAUAUAUAGAUAUAUAGAUAUAGAUAGAUGUCUUUUAACCUUCCUCUGGUAACCAAUAUUAAAAUAAUUACUAAGUAAUUUUAUAUUCAAUAAUAUUGAAAAUAUAAAUGUAGUUCUAAGUAUCUUGAUGUAGUUAUAGCGGACGAAAAUCUAAAAAAUAUUGAUUUUAAAAUUAAUUAAUAAAUAAAACUAGUCAUGAUAUCAUAAUAUUUUCGAGUCUUUUUUUCAGAUAAAAAUAAAACAUGAAUGGAUUUUAUUUUUUUAGACAUCAGGUAGAUAAAAUUAAGUAAAUAGAAAGAGAUGCUCUAGAAGUGACAUAUCAAGGAAAUAAAAUUAAAGAAAAAUAUAUGAAUUAAUGAAUUACUUAUGAAAAUUAUAACAUAUUAACUUUGUAAAAGACAAGAUGACUAUUGUGUCCUUUAAAAAUUGAAGCGUUCCAAAAAGAAAGCCAUGUAAUAAAUGCAUACAAUGUGACAAAUAUUGAAAGAUAAAUAGAAAUAUUAAGUUACACUCGAUGUAUGUAUUGUCAAGCUAUUUCGAUCGCGAUUAAUGAGGACGAAGGUUAAGCUCCAAUCCUUGUUUAAUCAAGCUAGCAUGUCUGUGAUAACUUCCCUGUCCCAGAAGGUAGCAGCUGCACCUGGAUUCUGCAUAAGGGGCGAACGACAUCUAGACAAUCUGACACACACACCAUACUACGAAUGCCUAAGUUCCAGGCAUGAGUCAGUCCUAAAUCAAUUACUCGAACUUCUGCUUCGAAAGCUGAUCCAAGCUCAUGGCUUUCUAAGAUGGCAGAUUGCCAAACUCCACCAGGUGAUGUAAUUACCGCUGCGAAACCCAUCCUUCCUUGCGAUCGAUCCCAACUUCCAUCCACCUUCAAGUAGUGGAGCGUAAUUAUAUUUUGAAAUAAUUACUAUUUGUUAUUUUUAAUAGGUUUAAAAAUAAAUACAAAUUAUUUUUUGAAAAUUAAAAUAAAUAACUAUUUUUAAUGUUAAAGAUAAGCAAAAAAAUAUAAUAGAAAAAAAGUUUAAUGGAUAUGCAAGAACAUUAUGUCAUGUAGGAUGAAUAGUUACAUUCGUUUUAAUUUUACUUAAAAUAAAAAUAUAUUUUUGGAUUUGCUAAAAAUCAAUUGAAUGUUUUUUUUAGAAAGAGAAAGAUAAUAUUAGCAAAAGACUUGAGAGCAGGUAUUACAAUCCAACCAGCGCUGGCGGUAACCGCAAGACCACAAAAAAUUGCAAGAAGACCCAAAGCACCCGGCAAAAACAAUGUUUUUAUAAACAAAAUUUACAUUAAAAACUGUCAAUAUAUGCAAUUCUUAGAAAAAUGUGAAGAAGGUACUCAUGCAGGAAAAUGUAAUUUUUUACAGGUCCAAUAACUUAGAAAUUCAAGUUUUGACCUUCUUUUCCUUACUUUUUAAUUACUCCAAUGGGACAAUUUGUUCAUUGGUAUAAUGGUAUAUUCCUCUAUCCUCUUUCUCUAAGGUUAAAUUAUAUUUUUUUAAUUUAUUGAUAUCAUUUUAGGUACAAAUUAUAAUCUGGUUUAAGGUACUUAAAUAAUGACAUAUUUAUUAAAAAGUACGGGCUACCCUACUAGCUAGUGCCUCUUGUUUAAAAACAAAAUGAUAAAAGUUGCUGCUGCUGCAUGGUCCAAACUCCAAUCAAUAAUGUGACGCUGCAGCUUGAAACUCACCCCUUUCAUUUCUUAUCACGACUCAUUUUACUUUUGUUUCGGAGCGAGCUAGUACAAACAGUCCUGGCUUAUGGAGUGUACCAAAAUAUGCCAGCCAUUUAAGCUAGCUAGUCUCAUUGUGAAUUGUGUGCAUGGUCCUAGCUCUCAGCACCAACCCAACGCAGCGACACAAAGCUUCAGCAAAAAAGGGGCCCCAUUCUGUAAAUCGCUUAAUGUGAAGCUGCAACUUGAAACUCACACCUUUCAUUCCUUAUCACGACUCAAGGGUGGAGCCUAUCUUGUUGCUACAUGUCACGGACUAUAGGGAGCCCUGACAUGAUAAUUUUGACAUGUGCGAGUUCUUUUAUUACUUUGAAUGUACGAGUUAAAUGGUGAAUGUUUUUCUUUAAUUUUUUUUAAAUGAUUUUUCUUUAAUUAAAUAGGCCUCUCAUAUUAUACAAGUUUGAUAUUGGAGGUAAUAAAUAAGUCAUUCACAUCAAGUGAGAUAUAUCAUAUAUGGAUAAAUAUAAGGGUUAUGAGAGAUAUAAUAAAUUAUGUGAUAAAAACAUUAAUAUAAAAAAAAGUGAUUGAAUAAAAUUAAUAGAAAAAAAGUGAAGUGUGAAUGAAUAACAAUUUUAAAAAGAGUGCAAAAUGAAUCAAAUGACACAUUCAAGUAUUUCACGCUAGCUCCUUAGCGGAAUAUAUUCUUACAUACAUAAUAGAUAAUUUCGUAUGUGUUAAAAAAUCUAGACCCACUAAUUCAUAUAUUUUUAUCACCUACAUAAAUUUUAGAAAAUAAUAAAAACUUUGUUAGAAAGAUAUAUUUUCUUUUACGAUAAAAAAAGUUUCAAUCAAUCAGCAAUAGAAAACGGUACAUUCAUGAUAAGUAAGGGUAACAAAUCUGUCGUAUAGUCUUCAAGCCGCACAAUUUUUUUUAGGAUAAACUUUCUUAACAAGAUAAUCAGCUACUACGUUACAUCCACUCUUAACAUAAACAAAAACUACAAGGGUUAAAACCAGAAGAUGGAAACAAGCAACUUCUAACAAUGGAAGUUAAAUAAGAAGUAUCAUUCUGUUUUGAGACCCAUGUGCUGUGUAGAACUUGGCAGUCGUUCUCGAACGAAACUGUUACAAAAAUAUAUUAAAAAGCAUGUUCUUGAUGUUUUUUAAAAGAAAAAUAUUGGGUAAACCACUCAAUGAUCGUAGGCCAUCAUAUGAAGACCACAUAUAAAUUCAAGUCUUGGAUUUAGGCUUGUUUUACUUGUAUUGGGAAUUGGGUAUUGGAUGUAAGGCCCAAUUCUCCAAAUUCCAUACGGUUAUUGAUCCACCACCCUCUAUAAAAGGGGUCUUUUACUCACUAGUUUUUUACUCAUUAAUGAUAUAGUACACUUUUAUUCCAUCAUUUUUUCUUAGAGCAUCUCCAAUGCUACUUUUUAUUUCUUAGUUCUUAUCCUUCUUCAUGUGGACAUGUAUUGCCACAUGUGUUUAAGCAACUCUCAAACAAUUUUGCUCCAACCAUGAGUUCUUAGUUCUUAGUUCUUACCACUAUUCAUUUGGUCCCACCAACCACAUUAUUUAUACUUUUUAUUUUCAUAAAGUAAUAAAACAAAACCCAUAAAGUAAUAAAGUAAUUUAUAUGAAAGAGAAAUAAUUACUCCCUCCGUUCCAGAAAGUUUGUUGUUUUGCACCAUUUUUCAAUAUCCCAAAAUGUUUGUUGUUUUAGAAAACCAAUGCAUUUUUUGUUAAUUUUUUCCACCUAUACCCUCAUUUAAUAUAUUUUCUCUCACUUAUCACCUUUCAUAUUAACCAACCACAACUCUUUUCUAUUAAUUAGAUUCUUCUCUUUCUAAGUAUAAUUUAAUAUUUGCACAUCAUACUAGUAAAAUUAAAUAAGGACAAUUUAGUCAAAUUAUACUAUCAAUAAUUGCUUUCUUACUCUUUGUGCCACAACCUUAAACUACAAACUUUCUGGAACGGAAGGAGUAAUAUUUUAAGCUAAGAACUCAAAAAGCAAAACAUCUUAUAUAAGAACUGAGUUCUUACGUUUAAGAAUUAAGGAGUCCAUGUCAGCACCUACAAUGGUAAAGUUCUUAGUUCUUAGUUCUUAACUCCAAAAUAAGAACUAUGAACCUUGCAUUGGAGAUGCUCUUCUCCAAUGCUAGUUCUUAUUUCUUAGUUCUUAGCACUAUUCCUGUGGGCCCGUAUUGCCACAUGUGUUUAAGAAACUCUCAAGCAAUUUUGCUCCAACCAUGAGUUCUUAGUUCUUAGUUCUUACCACUAUUCAUUUGGUCCCACCAACCACAUUAUUUAUACUUUUUAUUUUCAUAAAGUGAUAAAACAAAACUUAUAAAGUAAUAAAGUAAUUUAGAUGAGAGAGAAAUAAUUAAUAUUUUAAGCUAAGAACUCAAAAAGCAAAACUCCUUAUAUAAGAACUGAGUUCUUAUUUAUAAGAACUAAGAAGUCCAUGUCAGCACCUUCAAUGGUAAAGUUCUUAGUUCUUAGUUCUUAACUCCAAAAUAAGAACUAAGAACCUUGCAUUGGAGAUGCUCUUAUUUGUGCUUUGCUGGGGUUUAUUAGAAUAUUCCUUUAAAUCUAGUAGGACCUUAGCACGGAAUAUUGACUGGGAGUAGAGCUGGGUACACGGGUGGCCCGCCACGCGCAGGCCCGCCUUGCACAAGCCCGCCCCGCGUUGACUCGCCCCGCAUAGGCUCGUAUUUUAGCGGUCCUCUAUUUUCCGGGUUGUAGCCCGCACUAGUCUGCGGUUUCGCGGGCCGAUCCGCGGGCUUUGGCCUCUCUUACCCCUUUUUUACCCUCGUAGGCCCGCCCCGCAUUGACCCGCGCUGGCCCGCUCCGCGUAGGCCCAUAUUUUAGCGGUCCUCUAUUUUUCGGGCUAUAGCCCGCACUAGUCCGUUGUCUCGUUGGCCGGCUCGCGGACUUCGACCCGCUUACCCAGCUCUAGUUGGGAGAGUCCUUCUCAAAUAUGGGACCCGCCAAAAGACUAAAGAUAAGGACUCCAUAUCAAAUCGUGGGCGGGCUCUCAGACAAGGACAUGACCACCAAGGGAAGACGAUCUCGGCUAGGCAGGGAGAGUCGCUCGCCCAAGUGUUGGAUUUGGGCUUGUUUUACUUACUUGUAUUGGGAAUUUGGCCUUGGAUGUAAGGCCCAAUUCCCCAAAUUCCAUAGGGUUAUGGAUCCACCCUCUAUAAAAGGGGUUUCUCCAUUGUAUUCACUAGCUUUUUACUCAUUAAUUAUAUAGUGCACUUUUAUUUCAUCAUCUUUCCUUAUUUGUGCUUUGCUAGAGUUUGCUAGAAUAUUCCUUUAGAUCUAGUAGGACCUUAAUUAGCACGAGAUAUUUUUACAAGCUAGUUUGAAAUGCUUGAUAGCAAAGGUUUGGUUUUUAUAACUUUUGACUAAGUUUUGAGUGAGAAAAAUCCUAUCUUCGAUGUUUGAAGUUUCUGCCACGUGAUGUUCUUGGGGUUGAGAUUUUUCCAACUCUGUUCUAAGUGUUAUUAAGUGUUUUUUUUUUUUUUUUGAAAACAGAACAAGUAAUCUAUUAAAAGAGAGAAAAGAACAUGGGAACAAGACUCUCCCAAGUAAGUCAACUGAUAAAACAAAAAAGAAAACAGAUAAAAACCAUGGAGAUGAGCCAAACCUAAAACAAACCAAAAAGAGCCCUAACGCUAAAACAUCAAGAACACAAAUCAGGGGAAAAAGCAUAGGAGCCAAAAGCUAAAAAUCUCCGGGACUGUACAACACAAAAACACAACUCGAGAGGCCAACAAAUGGAGCAAAAAAAACACAGAAGCAUGGAGCAUCAAAACCCCUUAGAAUUGAAAGAAAGCUCCAGGGACAAAAAUCACGCCACCUGCAUGUUGUUUAAUAGCUUCGAAUUUUUACAUGUUAAAAAUAGCUUCGAAAGUGGUUUUAGGAAAAUGGUAAAAUUGGUUGUGUUUUGUGGAGUAUGGCCGAGACUAUGACUAGGGUAUAAGGUCAAGUUUUGUUGUUUAAUUUGGAACUUGCUAAGUGGUGAUGCAUGAGUUCUAGGACUAAGACUAUGUGCUACAAAAGUUUGGGCUGAAAAUGCAAGCUUUGAUAAGUUUGGUGACCAAUAUUUAGUUUAUAAAAACCGAAGGAUUUUUUUGUAAAUAUUUAUGUGUUGAGGACUAAAAAUUAAUUACUUAAAAGUUCAGGGAUCUUUUAAUGAUCAUGUGAUUUCUCCAAGGACUUGUUCGUAAAUCUUAGAACUUGUAUUCAACUCCAACGUUAGUCCCUUUUUAGUGAUGCAUGUGCAUAUAGUCUAGAGAGUUAGAAGAACUAGCUAAGUUUGACUUGAAACAUAAAUCUUAGAAACUAAGGUUAGAAUAGAAUAUAUGUAUGUACAUGUUAAGGUUCAGAGCACACUUCGGACUAAGAAGCUGACACUAGGAAAGAUAGCUCAUAAGGUAAGGGCACUUCUAGUUUCUGAACUUUAGUGUGCAACUUGUUUAUUAGCUAUAGGAAUCUUGGGUUGGUUUAAUGAUGUUGAGGAUGGGAUUAACAUGUGAACUCAUAUUUGAGAUUAUAUUAUUGUUCCUUUAGUUGAUUGUCUACAUUUUAGCUAAGUAUGUUUGUGUGCCAAGAUGUCGGACAAGUUGUUGUAACAUCGUGCUAUGAGAUGUGUCCAUGGGAAACGUUCUGUAACUUGGCUGAUCAGUUGUGAAGCUUUAAGUUGAUUACUUUGUGAUCAAGUUAGGUUAUUGUGGGAAGCUUCUGUGCGCCGUCAAGGAAUAUUCUAUGUGUAAUCAAACCCGGUUCAAGGGGGUUUGAUUUUGGAAGUUGAAAUCUGCACUUUUAUUGAUUACCCGAAGAUCAAGUGCAGAAUUGUUGCCUGUUUGUUUCUAAUAACAACUUCCUGAUUGUGUGUGUGGACUCUGUGAUCUUUCAAGCCCAACGAAGACAAGGCCUGGAAGACUAUUACUUAUGAAGACCCAAGACCUAGUUUGCUAGGGAUCGAGAGAGACUAUUGUAUUAUGGUUUUAUUGAGUUCAUACUGUUCUUGUUCUCUUAGCAGAUUUAUGUAAUUGUUGUGAGCUAAGAGUUGUGUGUUUACUAUGUGAUCUUGAGAUCUGUCUUUGUAACUCGUGUUUGAGUUCAAUCACUGUGGCAAUGAUUGUGUAAGAGAGAGUGAGAGGGAGGUCUCAUACUUAGGGGGAGACCUAAGUAAUAUUCCACGGGUAGAGUUAGGUAGAAAAGGUAGUUGAACUGGGGCAGUUCUUGUGAGACCUUUUGUGUAUAAUUUCUCUAUAAUAGUGGAUUAUCUCUCUUGGGUGAAAACCCUCCAGACGUAGGUGAUAUUGCACCGAACUGGGUUAACAAUCUCUUGUGUGGUUUUAGUUUUUCUGUCAUUUAUCUUGCUGCAAUAUUUACUGUGUUUUGAGUAAUGUUAUACAAGAUGUCUUAGACAUCUGGUAGAACAUCUGUCCUACAAUUGCCAGAAUUUCAGAAAUGAUAUAUGAGAUUGUGGUACAUUAAUAUGUAAGGUCAACAUGCUCAACAAGUUGAAGCCCACAAAGCAUCAUCUGAAGACUCCAUAAUUCAACAAGCAAAGCUCAGCGUCCAAAAAGAAGAAGCGUCAAAGAGAAGAACUAAAGAAAGCAAGAAACAGUCUUGUCCAUCCAAAGAAUGCUACAAGACUUGCAUCAAUAUGAAAGCAACAAUUCAACUCAAUCAGACAUCGUCACUCAAAGCAUCAAAUAUCCACUCCAUCUAGAAGAACAAAGAUUGCUGAUGAGAGAGAUGAAUGAUGCAAAAGGAAAUACUAUGAGACUAUGUCAUUCCAACAAGCACUAAAAUUCAACUGUGUAUAUACAUUCAUAGUCUGAUAAGUUGAAGUGCUCAAAGCCAAGACAAUGUGCAAAGGUCUUGCACAAGUUUCUACUAACGUCUGAUCUCCCAAGUCCAGUAAGACAAAGCUUAAAGCUCAGAUCGUCCAAAACUCAGUCUUACUAAUUCAUAAUACAUUACUACGAUUUCUGUGCAAAGAAAAUGUAUUCAAAGGAGAAGAAUAGUCAUGAUGACUAAAGCAUCCAGAAGAGGAACAAGUCUCCUAAGGAAGUAAUGGGAAUCAAGCAUCGCUUCUAAGCAAGCAACUAGAACUAAGUAACCAAAGUCAAAUAUUGUGCUUGUUCACACGUGACUAGUUGAGCCUAACACACAGUACUAAUCAAGGCACAUAGUUGUCACUUCCACAAAAUCUAUGAGGAACGCAUAUGAGCCGAAAGAAAAUAUGUCUUAUCAAGCACAAGCUUCAAUGACCUAUCGGCUACAUAGAUUCAAACUACACUCUGACAUGAUGCGUUGAGACAACCAAGCAUAUCUUAUAGCUAUCAUAGACGCUGAAGACUUGUGCACAAGCGUACUUCAACAUCGUCAAAAGUAUUCAUCCUUCUGAAACAGAGCAGAGAAGCUGUCAACAUGACCUGUGAACAAAACGACUAUUUUCUACUCUCCAAUGUCCAUUGCAUAAACUCAGUAAGUUACACUAUAACGAUCAUAUUUCCAAGACUUGGUAUAAAUAGUAAAUGUAGUUGAAAGGGUAAAGGUUUUCGUUGUAGAUCGAACUAAUGGAGAGAUUAGUGAAUUGCUUAGAAGCAAUCAAACACAUCUUAGAUGAGAAUAUGAGCUUAAGAGUCAAUACUGAGAGAAAAGAAGAGAUGAAAAGAAAGAAGAGAAAAAUAUGAACUAAAGUGUCAUAUCUAAACAUGCUUUUGAGAGAUAGAGCUUCAAAGUCAUAUGCAUCUUGUUGACAAGAUGAAGAUGAAGAAGGGGAAGAAGAAGAGAUAGAAUGCACUGAUUGAGGGGAAACAUUUCCAAUCUAUUGAGUAGUGAAUCUUCUACAUGAAUUCUCACAUGCAAAAUUGAUUGAUUCAUUCAAUCAAAAAGCUAUGUAGCAAGAAGAAAAAGAAGAUCGUUGAUGUUGAUGUUCUAGUUCUACACUCCUACUUUCAGAAGACCACAAAUACAAGAGAAACAACACGAUGAAGAAUAACAAGGCUGAGCUAAUUCAAGGAUAACAUCCAUGCCUAUGCUAGACAGAAGAAUGAUCUUGAUCAAGAGUGCCCAGUGUCAACUAAACAAGGAGAUCAUGUCAAUUCCAUAAAGUACUGAGACCACUUCAUUGUAUAUUAGCUCUAUCCUAUACAACUAGAGAUAAAUUGAUUGUAUUGCGUACUUGUAUACAUCUCAUAAGUCUGUAUGAACAACACUCUCGAUUGUAAUUACUUCAUAUAUGCCUGAAGACGCAUGGAAAAGAAUAUGUGUAAUGCCUAAAGAGGUAGGAGAAAGAAUACUCAACAAUGCGUGGAGAGGCGUGAUAAAGAAUAUUUGUUUACCUGGAGAGGCAAUGUAUAAAAGAAUACUCGUUUUCCUAGAGACGCAGUGUAUAAAAGAAUACUCCUUUGCCUAGAGAGGCAGUAUAUAAAAGAAUAUUCAUUUUCCAGAAGAGGUAGUGCGGAAAAGAAUACUCUUUGAACCUGAAGAGGCUCGUACAAGAAUACUCAACAAUGCUUGGAGAGGUAGUGGCUAAAGAAUACUCAAUGUUCCUGAAGAGGCAUGUACAAUAAUGUAAGGAGAAGUCUCCGAUACUUGAUAGUGAAAAUCUUGGUUGUUGUCAAGGACUGGACGUAGCCCAUCGAUAUAGGGUGAAUCAAACACUACUUGAUAUGGACGAUGACGAACGCACUGUCGCGGGUGCGUGUCAAAGUAUUCUGCUUUGAAUGCAGUACAAGGUGUUGAACACCAGGAUCGAUCUCACAAGGACUCAGUGAAGUAUUAAUUGAUAUUAGAGUAAAACAAAAGAAAAUUAAAAAGGGGGUUUGGUUGAAUUGAUUGAAAAGUAAGCAAACAAAAAUUAAAAGAGAUUUAAAUCAAAUAAAAGAAAGUGUUAGUCAUCGGAUUAUAACAUUCAAGUGCAACAAACCUUCAUCGGUGACAAAAGAUUAAUUCUUCCUUAUUUUUUCCCUAAUUCGUGAGAGUUGAUUAACUAAGCGAAAAUCAAUUCACAGUUUCCUAAACUAAGCGAUUAAGAAACAGUUACGAACUAACAUGAACUAAGCGAACAUGCAUCAACUCUUAUUUCUAAAACUACGGAAUUAAGCAAACCCUAGAUCAGAAAUAGAGAUGAAGAGAAUUAAUAAAGAAGAAAUUUGCAUUAAGAACAGAACCUCAAGUUUGUAAACACAAGAAUAUUAAAAAUCCUAAGACUAACUAGGGAGUUUAGCAACUCAUACUAGAAAAGAUGGAGAGAGAUAUUAGGAGAAGGUGGAGGAGGUGAUGGUGAGAUGUGGUGAGGUGGUGAGGUCUAAAAAAAGCCUAAACUCACUUAUUUAUACUAAUAAAUAAACUUGUUCAUCAAGUAACAAUCUUUGUUAUCUAAAUCUUUUCUAAAUCUUCACAAAAUCGGGCCCACAUAAAGGAGUAAGCUGCUGAACAAUCAGGCAUUCGCGGGUCUCACAACAAGUUUGAAUCUUCAAUCGAGGUAAACAUGAGAGUUAUAGCUCUUUAAGUCAGCUUCGCGGGCCUUCAAUCGGAUCCUAAUUCGGAGUUCAGUAGCCCAAGAUAUGAUCAUUUUAGUGCAGACUGUUCCAGACUCGCAGGAUUAGCGACAGCAACUUUGCAAGGCCAUUUUGACCAUGUUAGAGGCUUGUUCUGCAAUUGUGCUGAACAUGAAAGUUGUAGGGCUUCGAGCUAGCUUUCCAAUGACAUAUUAUGGGCCUUAUUUAGAUAUUGCUAGCUCCAUAUUCAAUCUGUUCUAGCAAAACAAUCAUAGAAACUAAAAGUGUAGAAUUAAGCUCUUUUCCAAGAAUAAUCCAAAUAAACACUAAUGGUCAAAACAUGGCUAAGUCAUAACAAUUAAGCACAAAAAUGUAUAUAAUGAAGCUUAGAAAGACACACGUAAAGUGCAUCAAUUAUGCGCUUAUCAGACGACGACAAGGCUUGGGAGAUCAACCACGUGACUGGUGGUUCAUGUAUGGUUCGACAAGAGCAGAUGAUGUGGAAUGAUGUGUUGCGAGACAUGGAGGAGGCCUUGGGGAAACGUGAACUAUGAGUCGGUUUUGGGGUGUGAUAAUUGAUAAUUAAGUCUGUUCUUGGGGGUGAGCUAAGUUUGUUUGUAGGGUUCAAACCUAAACUAGAGGUCUUCUUGUUGUGUUGGUUUGGGAGCGGUCGAACACUAGUUUAAUAAUUAUGUUUUAAUUUCAAAGAAUCAUUGUACGCUUCUAAUGCUUUAUUAUUAAUAAAUGAGUUUAUUAUGUUAUUCCUUUUAAUGUUAGGUUUCUGUUUAAUAAAGUUUUAAUUUUCGGCAAAAAAUCACCCACGUUUUUGGAAAGAUUACUAAAGUGACAUUCGAGAAAUCAAGGCGUUACAAGUACAAAGAAUGCAAAGCCCCAAAAAAAACAAAAGAGGCCAUCAUACCUACCAAGACCAGCACAAAACCCCCGAAACCGACCCAAAAAAACAACUAAAGAAGACACCCAUCAUACAAGAUCGGGAAGAUUUUCUUUAAGUGAGCUUUUAACCCCUUGAUCAUCACCUCCUCAUGGCCUUUAUACGAGAGAGACAAUUCCUUCCCUAAGUUCUAUGUCCUUUAAGCUCUUGCCCUCACCCGAGCGAUCCUUCCCUUGAUUCAUAUGACACCACAAGAGGCAGAGAUUUCUUGUUGCAACUACCUUUCGGUAUGCCCCUCCCUUGUUUUACACCUUAAUCGGACUAGAACCACCGACAUUGACCAACUAAUUUUAGGAAAUUUAUUUUGCUUUCAAAUUUUAUUUAAAUUUAGCCGUAUUUUUAAUUAAAUACGACAUAAGGAGGUUUCUAAGAAUAGUAUGGAAUAGAGAAAAAGUCAAGAAAGGAAUUUCGGCGGGGGUGAUGUGUGUUAGGACUUGUCCAUUUUUUUCUUUUAAAGUAGUUUUUUAGUAUAAGAUUUGUCAGAAUAACUAUUACUCAUAAGUCUUUCCAAAUCAUAUAUAUAUAUAUAGUAUUAAAAUUAUGGGUCUAAUACAUUCUUAUUCUUGUGUAUCCAAAUAAUCAUUACUCAUAAGUUAAAUAUAUAAUAAAAAAGUACAAAUUAUUAAAAAUAUUUAAGUAAUAGUGUCACUGCAGGUGUACUUCGAAAGGUGUAACCACAUAUAAAUUUAUGAAAGUUUAUCUUCGUGCUCUAAAUAAUAUAUAUAACUUUGCCUAUAAUAAGACAACAUCUAUAAUAAGACAACAUCUAUAAUGGCACAAUGGUUUUUUUAUAAGCCAUGAAGAAUAUAGUGGCACAGUGGUAGCAGCAACUUUUUGCUUCCUUCACGUCCUGGUUUCGAACCUACUUGGCUACCUUUUUUAAUUUUUUUUUACAAUAACUACAAACUGGCCGGUACUAAGUCGGUCUGAUUCUGGCCGAUUUUCCCAGUUCUUAACCGGUUUAGCAGCUCUUUCUCCGGUUCUGUGAGUGUCCGAUUUAAUAUGUCAACUGAACCAGCCAUACUUCCGGCUCUCGAUUAAACGGUCGGACCGUCUGGUCCGAUCUGAUUUUCUGAACACUGAAAAAUAGUAUAUAGAAUAUGAUUUUCCCCAAAAAAAAAAUAGAUAAUAUCCUUAUCAUAAAACAUUCCUAAUAUCAUGAGUAUAUAUAUCAUACUUAUUUUACAAACAAUGUCUUUUUUUUUUGUUGCAAUGAGGGGAGAGAACCCCAAGAAAACACAAAGAAACUAGCUAAGGCCUACAGGGGGGCCAAGGACAGGGAACAUAUCCUGCUGCAAAAUGCUAUGGCACUCCCCAGAAGGGGAAUCAAAGUAAUGGUAACCAUAUGGAAGAUCGAGGCCUAUGCGAGCCAGAUAAUCAGCUAGGGAGUUAGCUGAUCUCGAAGUGUGCUGGAACAGAAGGGAGCUGUGGGCACUCUGUAAGUGAAGGAUAUGAAGAAUAAUCUGCUCAAACCGAUGGGAGCCAACCGCUGAACUAAGCACACUAAUAGCAUCCAUGGAGUCUGUUUCUAUAAUCACAUGAGAAAGAUCAAAACCCAUAGCAAGCUCGACCCCUGUUUUAACUGCUACAAAUUCAGUAAGGAAAACAUUGGCUGAUGAAAAAACACCCAAGUUCCUGCUAAUUUUUUAAAAAUAAAAAUUUAAACUUAGGUAUGAUUUAAAAAAUAACUCUUUUUAGUGUUAAAAAUAUGGGAAAAUAUAAUUGAAAAAGAGUUUAAUGAUUUUUACACUCAUAUUCAAUUACAAUAUGUCAUGUAUGAGAAAUAGUUACAUUCGUUUUAAUUUUACUUUUAUUAAAAAAAAUUAAUUUUAUCUAAAAUUAAUUGGAUGUUUGUAUAAACAAAACUGACAAGUGACAACCGUCAAUGAAAUUCUAUUGUUAGAAAAAUGUGUAGAAGGUACUCAUGCAUGUCACAUGAAAAUGUAAUUUUUACAGGUCCAAUCAUUUAGAAAUUCAAGUCUUAACCUUCUUUUGUUAACCUUUGUAAUUACUCCAACGUGACGAUUUAUAUUGAUUGGUUAUUGGCAGAUACAAUUUAUAGCUCACAUCUUGAAGUGAUGUUUAUUUUUUUUCUGUGUUGGAGGCAAGCUAAGUACAAAAUUAAUGUAUAAGAAGACAUUUAAAAUGCAAGGUUGACAGUUGACACAUUUGAUAAUCAUGCUAUACAUUGUUGCUAUAUGUGACUGGACUCACUAUGGGACCAUUGGCUAUGCCAUGUCAAUAGCAAUAGUAUGGCAAAUAUAAUGAUAAUUUUGACAUGUGCGAAUUCUUUUAUUAUUUUAAAAUUAUGGGCGAUUUAAAUGGUGAAUAUUUUUCUUUAAUUAAAUAAACCCCUCAUACUAAGGAUGUGUUUCGUUUGAGAGAAGGAAAGAGAAAUGAAUGGAAAAUAAAAAAUUCGAGAAAUGAAUUUAGACUACACCUUAAUCUAAAAUCAUUCCUCGGUUUCUGUGUUUUCUUUCCUUCCUCCUUUCCCUCCAUCCAAACAAAUAUAUUGUAAGAGAAAAUGUGAGAUGUGAUAGAUGAUAAGAAGGGAGAGAUAGAAACAAAAAUAGGUGAAAAUGAAGUGUUUAAAAAAUGAGGUUUGUAUAUAUCAUCAUUGGAAUGAAUGUGUUUGACAUGUAAUUAUUUCCAAUAGGUUUAUUUUACUGGAUUAAAUCAUAUUUAACUAGUUUAAAGUUAAGGCUCUUUAAUUUUAUUUUUUGUUAAAUUGACUUAUUUCAGUAGCUGAAUUGUUUUUUAAUAAACUAACUCGGUUAGCUUAUAGUGUAAAUCUAUUUAUUCUCAUUUUAAUCAUUAAUAUUUUAUUAAAAUUCCAUCCUUGCCUUUUUUAUAUUUAUAAAACCACUAAAUCCUAAUUAAUUUUAUUUUGAAAUAAUUACUAUUCAAAUUUUGAUAUAAAUACUUAAAUUAUUUUCUUAAUUUAGACAAAUAUAAGCUAAUUUUAUUAAAUUAAAAUAUUAAUUUAUUUGUUUUACUCUAUUUAAUUUAAUAUAAAUAUGAACAUAAAAAUAAAUUUAAAACUAAUAUUAUAUUUUAGAGAUGAUAAAUAUUUUGAACUAAAUUAAAAUAUUUAUAGUUGUAGUUAUUUUAAUAUAUAUGUAUAUAAAAAAAUUAAUAUAAAAAAUAAAAAGAACUAUUCAAGUAUGUUAUAAUUUUACGAUUUCAGCUUGUUUAACAGAUAUUUUUGUCAAACACAUUUUUAAUCAUGUAGCUUUUCAACUUCCAACUAUCAACUUUUCGCUCUCUUAUAAUUUUUCCAGCUAUACACUAGCUUAUAAACAUUCAACUAAUUUUUCAACUGUCAGCUAACAUAUCAUUUAGGCGUGUCAAACAUUACAUAGGUGAGUGAUGUACUAUAAUUUUUAAUUAUAAAAUAACUAAUUUUUUAAAAUUAAAAAUACCUAUAAUUUUUUCUUGAAAAAAAACUAUUUUAAAUGUUAAAGAUAUGCGAAAAAUAUAAUAGAAAAAGAAUUUAAUGGAUAUAUAAUCACAAUAUGUCAUUUAGGAUGAGAAUUUAAUGGAUAUAUAAUCACAAUAUGUCAUUUAGGAUGAAUACUUACAUUUGUUCUAAUUUUACUUAAAAUAAAAAUUUAAUUUUAAAGUUGCAGGAAAUCAAUUAAAUGUUUGUUUAAACAAAAUUAAAACAAACAAUCGUCAACGAAAUCCAUUUUAUUCAUUGUUAAGCUUCAUUUAUUAACUUUCAAAAAAAAAAGGUUCAUUUAUUAAAUUAGACUAAGACCUGCUCAAUGCAAUUUUGCAAAACAAUUAUUAGCGCCUUAUAUGCGCCCACUAGCAUGGUCCAAACUCCAAUCUGCAACAAUAUUUUAAGCCCCAACGCAGAGACACAUUUAAUGUGAAGCAGCAGCUUGAAACCUAUCCCUUUCAUUUCUUAUCACGAAUAUUUUGCUUUUGUUUCGUAGCGAGCUAGUACAAACAGUCCUGACUAUGCCAUGUGAAUUAAUUGAUCAUCAUCAUACACAGUCUCUUGAAAUAAUUGAAGAAAGAAGGAUAAGUGCUUGGCUUGAAGCUAGCCUCGUUGUGAAUUGAACGUGUGGUCCAAUCUCACAGCACGUACUUAACGGAGAGACAAAGAGACCCACAUUAUAUACAAAGAGACCCAACAUAUGGUCCAAAUAUGUGGAGCUUGGUGCAACUUCAUUCCUUAUAAUCACGACACUCAAGGUUGGAGGAGACCAUUAUGUGGAGCAUGGUGCAACUGCCAAUCUUGUUGCUACAUAUCACGGACCGCCUAUGGGGACCCCUGACAAUCUGAUCGACCUGGAAUUUUCACAUGUGCUAGUUCUUUUAUUAUGAUAUCAAGCAGCACCCACCCACAUACGUACACAAAACAGCUAGUAUCGGAUCUCUUUUGAUUAUCUUUUCUGAUUCAUGAUUGUGUGGUGACAUUGUUGCUACAUGUGACGGACUCACUAUGGGACCCCUGACAAAUGACAAUUUUGACAUGUGCGAGUUCUUUUAUUAUUUCGAGAAUAUGUGCGAUGGUGAAUAUUUUUCUUUAAUUAAAUAGGCCCCUCAUAUUAUACAAAUUUGAUAUAGGGGGUAAUAAAUAGGUCACUCACACCAAGUGAGAUAUAUGGAUAGAUAUAAGAGAAAUGAGAGAUAUAAUAGAUUCUUUGAUAAAAAGAUCUAAUAUAAAAAAUAAGUGAGUGAAUUAAAAUGGAAAAAAAUAGAGUAUGAAUGAGUAAUUAACAAUUCUCAAAAGAGUGCGAAAUGAGUCAAAUGACACAUUCCACUAGGGAUGUAAGCGAGUAUAUAUGGUCCGAUCCGAACACAUUACAGUGUGUUGGAUUGAAUCAUUGGUUUGGUUCAGAUUUGUUUUACUAAAUCCGAUCACCAUCGGUUCGGGUAUCGGAUUUGAGGAUUGAAAAACCAAUCAAUCUGAACCAACUCAAUGAAUUGAGAAUGUUCUUACAUUAAACUCAAACAUUUUCAGCCCAUUACAUUACAUAUUUAUAUUUGUAUUAUAGAUGUUAGUUUUAUUUGGAUUAUAUGAAUUAUGUAAUUAUUGAAUGUUAUGUUCUUUUAAAAUGUUGGAUUUUUCUAUUUUUUUUUUAAUUUUUCAAGUUUUAAGAAAAAAAUUCGUUCAUAUUUUCAAGUAAUAUUUUUUUUAUUUCAAACCCGACCAUGAACCGAACCAAUCCGAUUGAGAUCGGGUUGGUUUGGUUCGGUUUUAAAAGUAAAAAUCAUGAAAUCCGAACCAACCCAAACCGAACAUGUUUAAUUGAUUCAGACAUUUAAACACCCUAAAUCCGAACCAAUCCGAUCCGAUUACACCCGUACAUUCCACAAUUUAGUUUAAUUUCUCUUAGCGGUACAUUUCUUACAUACUUAAUGCAUAAUUUUGCCUGAGUGUGAAAAAAUUAGGAAAAUUAUACCCACUAAUUCUUAUUUUCGUAACACCUGCAUAAAAUGUAGUAUUAACUCUAUUCCUAAUUAAUGGUAAGAAAUACAAAUAUUAAAAAGUGCAAUUAAUUUUAUUAAUUUUUAUAAAAUUAUAAUUCUUUCCUAUAUUACUUUAUAUAAUGCAUUUUAUCUUUUCUAAUUUAUUGUUCUCACUUCUCACAGUGAUAUUAUUUAGAAAUAUAUCAUUUAAUGAUAUUUUAAAAUGCUAAUGAACAAAUAUAUAGAAAUAUUGUUUUUCUUUCUAAAUAGAACUGUAGGAGAUAGUAAAUAAUAAAAAUUUGUUAAAAAAUAUAUUAAAAGCCACGCUGUUGGCAUUUUUUAAAGAAAAAUGUUGGGUAAGCCACUCAAUAAUUGUAGACAAUUUUUUUUUUUUGAAAUCAUUGUAGACAAUCAUAUGAAUAUGAUAUAUACAUUCAAGUCUUGAUCCUCUUUUCUUUAUUUUUUAAAUAGUCCCACGCUACAAAUGCAAAUCUUGAAUAUAUUUGAAAUAGGUAAUUGUUAUUUUCACUCUCUUAAAAUGGCGAAGAGACAAAGUUUCUAUUAAUAAAAAAGCAAAACUACAAAAAUGUCAUUAGUGAAAAAAAAAACAUUACAACUCUUCACCCCAUCCUCACAUCCUCUCUCCUCUUUCUCUUUCUUCCCUCACCAACACCACUCAUCUUCAUCUCAUCCUCAUUCAUACUCAUCUCCAAACACAAUCUUCAUUUUCUUUUCUUUCAUUUUUUUGUCGUCGCUGUUGCCUAUUCCCAUUUGUCCAUCGUCGCCGUCGCCCCCAUCAUUGGUCGUCGUUGUUAGAGUCAUCAUUUUCAUAUUUUUUUCUGCAACUAAAAACACUUUAAAGUGCGUAACCUACGAACUUUAAAGUGCGUGACUCUCAUGCAAUUUAAAGUGUGUUUAGCUGUAAAUUUAAAGAGCGUUUAGCUGCAAAUUUUAACAUAACUAAUAUCAGAUGAUUUUAAAAAUUAUGAGACCACCACAAUAAAUCAAGAUAGGAUAUUUGGAGAUUUAUGGUGAAAUAAUUUUUUUCGAAAUUCAAAAUAAAAUAUCAGAUGUAGGAAUUUGGAUAAAUUCCACAAACCUUAGGACUGCAUGUGCUAAUGGACCAAUUACGUUAUUUUUCUCUUCAACUUUGUAGUUCACUCCGUCUUGAUCCAAGACUGAAAAAAAUUCAGUUUUUGGGACUGAAACGCUGAAAUUUGCAAUUUUCAUACUUUAAAGUGUGACCCUAUCACCCUAUAAAAGGAAUACCAUACAAAUGGAGAAAAUAAGAACUUGGUCCAUCAUCUAAGCUUUGAAGCCAGAAACUAAAAGAAAGUUCUUCACAACAUAUCAUAGCACUUUGAGCGCCAUGUUCUCUCUGAAAUACUCUGAAAAAGCCUAGUAAAAUCAAAUAAAAGCAGUCGUGAAAGAGUAACCUAAGCUUACAAAAUAUUUACAUCACUCUUAAGCAAGAGAACCAAAGUAGAACAUUAAUCUUGUUGGGUUUAGGAGAAGUCUUGUAGAAUAAUUGUUGGGAGAAGUCAUGUCGAAUACUUGUAGGGAGAAGUCCUGUCGAAUACUGGGAGAAAACAUGUUUAAUACUUAGUGAAAAUCUUGGUCAAAGCCAAGUUCAGAACGUAGCCCGCCGAUAUUGGGUGAUCCAGGAUAAAAAUCUAUGUGUUCCCUCCUUGUUUACUGUUUUCAUUCCUUAGUCAAAACCGUUCAACACUAUUCGCAGCACAAAACUCUUUCAAAAAGAUUUCUAAACCAGAAAUUUCACAAGCAUAAAUCUUUGAAAAGCUCGUAUUCUCUAACACAAAAUUCAAACUCCCCUUUCUUAUGUGAUUUUUAUUAUUAUCAAGAUGUUGAUGGUUGGUAAAGAGUUGGGUCGCGUUUGGGAGGACGCUUAUGAGGAGGCCACUGAGGAAUGUGUGCAACAUCUCAAACGUACCCACCCCAAUAAGUAUGGGGCCUCUUGAGGCAAAAAUUUUUAGUGGUUUAAGUUAUUUUUCCUUUCGUUGUUUGUUCCGUUGUUGCUUUUAGGGUUGCACUUUUUUGUUUAUUUUGGUAGAUUUGAUUUGCAUCGUUCACCCAUAUGAGAGGGUUGGUCUCAUAGCUGUUAUUUUCAUGAAAUAAAGUUGUACUUUUAAAAAAUAAAUUUUAAUAAAGGUUUUAUUUUGAUAUAUUGGUCAUAAUUGAGAAAAAGUGAAGGUAUAAAGUACGGGAAAUAAUUGUUAUACUACAUAAAAUAUUGAUAAUAUAGAUAUAACUAGUUUUUGCACUAUCCAGGACUUAAAGGGUUUUGAACACAUUAAUUAUUUUCCUAUUGUAGAUUUUUUAAGGCUAAGUUUAAUUGAGAUCUCAACAUUGCAUAAUAUUUAUUGUUUGUAGUCGUUGUUUGUAAUUGUUGUUUGCGUCGUUGUAAUUUUUCAUAAUCGAGAGGAUUUGAAUCUCAACUUUUUUUUAAUAAAAUUUUUGCUUUAAAAAAUUAGUGUGACUGAAUAUUUGAAGGAUCACCUACUUCGGAACGACCAUGUAUAGUUUGGAAUUUGGGACUUUAAUAGGCCAAGGUAAGAGCACUAGGUCUAGAGGUCUUGACCUCUUUUCGCAUGCCUUAUGAUUAUUGUUGAUUGUGAUUGACAACAUAAAUAAUUUUUAUAUUGUUGAUAUGGUUUAUUGUAUGCUUUGAUUGCUAACAUGCUAUAUUUGUUGUUGUAAUUAUUGUUGAGAUCUUGAUAUUUUGAUACAUUGAAAAUAUUGAGCUAUUUUAAGAAGCUUACUUGGACUUCGGAAUAUUAAAAAUUUGACUAACUUUAUGGCAGUUUCAUCUUGAUUGGUUAAGGGGAUGAACCUUAAUCAUAUUUAAUUUGAUCGUCUAGGGAGUUGGCCCUAUUCGUGUGCGGGUUCAAUCAAAAGAUUGAUUCCCCUUUUGUUGUUGCCUUUACAGCUACCCGAAUCAUUUGCUUUUUGAAGGAGACAAACCUUAAUUGUGCACUCAUACCUAGACUAACUCUAGGCGAUACUUGACUAGAGCUUUUGACUAGGAUUGUAUAAUGAACUAUGUUCCCUUACCUAUUUGUUAUGACAUGCUCUGUUUAAGUCUUAUUUGCUGGAGUUGACCUUACUUGCUUGUACAACUUGUUGUUUGGGAGCUGAACACGUUUCUGUUUGGUAAUUGUUCUUGGGCGCUUAACGCAAUUUUUAGAUGCUGGAGAACUAGUUGGUGAGAUUUGAGAACAAGGAGUCCAACGCGUGGACCUUUGAUGUGGUGACGCGGAGAACUACAUAUUGAAGUAUGGCUAGGCGUAGAGAAGCUUGAAGCGGCGAUGAUGAGGGUAUAUUUUUGCACGCGUUGUUAUUUUUCUUAAUUUCUAGAUAUAUUAUAUAACUAUUGGGUAUUAUUUAAAUAUUAUGAUAUAGAUAAGAGUUUGAAAAUCUUAAAUUCAAUUGGAAAUAUUUUACAAAGCGAGAGUUUAAAGAUAUACUCAUUUGAAUUUAAAUAACACUCUUAGGUUGUCUUAUCUAUGAAAAAUGAUUUUUAAUCAAGCAUUGUGUUGUACCUUACUUUCUUGAAAACUUCUCAGAUUGUUGCUUGGAUGAUGGUGGGCUUGUUUUAAAAAAUAACAUCACCUUUUUGAAGAAAAAAAUUCGAGCUAGUCCCUAGACUUGUUGGGUUACUAAUGUGAUCCAUGGUUGAUAAAUUGGAGCGCUACAUCACCUGCUCCUCUGGAUAAUGUGUCAUUCCAUCCUGAAGCAAGUGUUCAGAAGUGGAAAUUAUGUUUGUCAGGAAAAUAUUGCAUGUGAGAAAGAGUGUUGCCAAGAAGCUAUGGAGUGCAAGGAUAUCAUGGACUUUCUUGCUGAUGUUGGGUUGUCAUAACUCUAUGACUAUUUGUUAUGUGCACUUUGACUGCCUACAAUUAGGGGUGAGAAUAGGUCAGACCGUUCGUAGGGGCCUAUGGCCUAGCCUACCAUAGGCCCAGGCCAGGCCGGGCCAAAUUGUUGAAUAGGCAAGGCUUAGGCUUUUUGAAAAGCCUAUUUAAAAAGGUCAGGCUCAGGUCAUUCAACAAGCCUUGUAAGCCUUACAGGCUAGCCUAUUUAAGUAAAUAUGAUUAGUAUUUUUUUGGUAAAUUGUAAAUAUGAUAAGUAUAAAUAUAUUUUACUCUUGAUGAUGUCUAUAUAUUAGAAAUUUAAAAUAAUAUCUUGAUAUUAUAUACUUAUUGAGAUUCUUAUAUAUUUAAGCAAAUUGACUUAUAUAACGAUUCAAAGAUAUAAGUCUUUUUAAAAAUAAAUAUAUGACGUAUUUAAAUAUCUUAAUAUGACGUGUGAUUUUAAAUUGGCUCUCCAACUCUAAGAAACCAACAUAAUCUCCUUUAGUUUCAUCACUACCUAUUAGCUAAUAAUAUUAUAAGUUUGAUUGUUGAAAAAAUUAUUUUAGUAUAAUUUAAUCCGUUAGCCUAUAAGUUUGAUAGCUUCUUUACAGAUAAAUUUGUUAACAAACGUAAAACUUUUGUUGUGAAACGGGUCUUUAAACAGGCUACCAGGCCAAGCCAGGCUUUCGGAAGGCUCAAGCCAGACUCGAAAAAAAGCCCUUGAUAGGUCAUAGGCCAGGCUUAUGCCUUAAAAUUUUUAAACAGGCCAGGCCUAUUUAAGCAAAGUCUACCUAGGCCCAGCCUAUUCCCACCCCUACCUACAAUGGACAUCUUUGGUAAGCAUUUGUGGAUUUAGUCUCAACAUGUUUCCUGGUUUCAUCUAGCUACCUUUGCCAAAUUGUGCUAAUAAGGGGCAGUAAUAGUAUGUGUAGUUUCUGCUGCUGUGUUUGUGGUUUUGGUAGCAUCUUGCUACUGUGAAGAGGUUAGCUGGUUAGUUGUGGUUGUUUUCGAGCAGCAUCUUGCUGCUUAUGAUGUGUUAAGUGUGUGAUAUGUUGUGCUGAACUCUGAUCUAGUUGUUACUGCAUUUGGAUGAGUAUCUGCAGUAUGGUUGAGAGAUUGGUUUUGUACAUAGCUGCUGAAAAUAGCUAUGUUAAACGUGUUCGUUUGUGUAAGCUACCUUGAUAAAUUUUAUUUGCUCUGAUCUGAUAUUUCAAGCUGCAAGUUUUUCUGAAGAGCUUUAUGGUAAUGGAUUGUAUUAGCUAAAAUUUGACAAAGGGGGAGAUUGUUGUUGCUUUGUUAUGAUUGUCUACAUUUUAGCUAAUGUAUGCUGUGUGCCAACAUGUCGGACAUGAUGUAGAGGAUUGCAUUAGCUAAAAUUUGACAAAGGGGGAGAUUGUUGUUCCUUUGUUAUGAUUGUCUACAUUUUAGCUAAUGUAUGUUGUGUGCCAACAUGUCGGACACGAUGUUGUAACAUCUUGACUAUGACAUGUGUCCCUGCGGAUCUUAUAUGAGUUGGCUAAGUUAUCUGUGAAGCUUUGUUUUGAUUACAUGGUAAUCAAGUUAGGGUUUUGUUGGAAGCUUAUGUGCGCCGUUCAAGGAAUAUAUCAAGUGUGAUCAAAUCAGUUUUAGGGAUUUGACAUGAGAUAUUUAUGGAAGUUUUCAUCUGCAACUGAAACGCAUCUUUGAAGAUUUUCUGCAGAUUUGUUUCAUUAAUAACUUCAUGUUUUGUGUGAACUCUUUGCUGGCCCAAACUCAUCAAAGACAAGGCUUAGACAACUGCUACUUAAGAAGACCUAGACCUAGUUGCUAGGCGGUGCUUCUUGUUGAGAAAAUUAGGGUUUACUCUUGUUUUGUUCAAACUUGGUGUUCUCUCAGCAGCUCUAUGUUUUUACUGUAAGCUGAGAGUUGUUGUGUUAGUUGUUUGAUCUUGAGAUCGUCUUUACUCUUGUUGUAAGAGAUUAAUCACUGUGGCAGUGAUUGUGAGAGAGGGUUCUCAUACUUAGGGGGAGACCUAAGUAAUAAACCACAUGUAGGAAUGAUGACCCGGGUUUAUAUGAUGUUUUUAUGGUUUUUCCUUGUAGGUUUUGAGUCUUUUUCUUGUGUCUCAUGUAGUGUUUCAUGCAUUCUCAUGCAUUUUUACUUUUAUUUGUGCAUUUGCAUUAGUUUAGUAAUUAUGUAGUUUUAUAAGGACUUUAGUUGCAUUUUAGUAUAGUUUUGAGUCUUUUGUUAAUUGUCAUUAGUUUUUGAGUCCCUUGUGCAAUUAAAUGGUUGGUAUUCUUGAUGUUUUUCCUUGAGCUUUGAUGAGAGUAAUCAGGUCCGAAACUGAAGAAGAAGGAAGGUCAAGAAGCUUGGUGAAUUGAAGGGAAGCUUAAAGAGGCAUAAAGAGGAGUUAAAAUGAAGAUCAAGGGACUUUCCAGCGAGUCUGAGCGCCUAGGCAUGCUCCAUUGGCGCCUAGGCGCCAAUUGCCCUGUUCCAGAAAUUGGAAUUGGCGCCUAGGCACUCUGAAUUGGCGCUCAGGCGCUUUGAAUUGGCGCCUGAGCGCCCGGAACAGCCCAAACUCGUGAUUUUUGCCUAUAAAUAGGAUUUUAGUCAUUUUCUUUUGGGGAGUUGGAUAUCUUUUCAUACUUUGUAAAAUUCAGAGGUAGAGGAUCAUCUAGGAUAGUGAGAGAAGGCUUCCAAGCUUGUGUUCAAGGUUCUUAGCCAAGCAUGGCUCUUGCCAUGCUUCGCUAAUCUCUCUUCUUUUACUUUGGUUUUCUUGUAAGACUUUUCCUUUUAAGUUAUAAUCUUAAGUUCUUUCCCACAUGUUCUUCUUCUUUCCUUGAAUCCCAUAUCCAUGCUUUAUGUUUCAAGUUAGAACAUGUGCUAGCUUUAUGCUUUUGUAUAAUAGAACGGAAGUUUGUUAUAGAUUAGGGACUUGUUAUGGGAUUACCUCUUCUAUACUUGCUACUAGGAAUAGAGGAAGGGUUGGGGUUUGUUGGCCUGAACUUUAUAAUCUUUAUGCUUCAAACAAAUGUUUAAGUACACAAGGAAUUGGGCUUAUCUUUUGGUUUGAAUGAAUUAUCUAUGCGAGGCAUCGAUAGGUAGUUGCUUAGGCUAUAACAUCAAGGAGAGAUUCAUGAGAACAUGUGCUUAGAAUGAUGUGCUUGAAUUGAUUAGUUAAGCAAGAACCCAAAGUAAAUCACUCUUUCUUUUCAUUCUCUAUUUCAUUUCUGAAUUUAUAUUUUCUUUUUCCUUAUUACUACUUCGUCAUAUGUUUGCCUCAAUAAAACAAACCUUCAAACUCAAAGCUUGAACCGAAUCUAUUCACUCACAAUCCCUGUGGUUCGAUAUUUAAAACCGGGUGAACUUUAUAAUCUUUAUGCUUCAAACAAAUGUUUAAGUACACAAGGAAUUGGGCUUAUCUUUUGGUUUGAAUGAAUUAUCUAUGCGAGACAUCGAUAGGUAGUUGCUUAGGCUAUAACAUCAAGGAGAGAUUCAUGAGAACAUGUGCUUAGAAUGAUGUGCUUGAAUUGAUUAGUUGAGAAAGAACCCAAAGUAAAUCACUCUUUCUUUUCAUUCUCUGUUUCAUUUCUGAAUUUAUAUUUUCUUUUUCCUUAUUACUACUCCGUCAUAUGUUUGCCUCAAUAAAACAAACCUUCAAACUCAAAGCUUGAACCGAAUCUAUUCACUCACAAUCCCUGUGGUUCGAUAUUUAAAACCGGGUGGAUUCGUACACUUGCGGAUUUACCAACAAGGAAUAAGUAGGAAAGGCUGUGAACAGGGGCUGUUCAAUUUAGACCUUUUGUGUACUUGAUUCUCUAUAAUAAUGAAUUAUCUUUCUUGGGCUGAAGCCCUCCAGAUGUAGGUGAUGUUGCACCAAACUGGGUUAACAAUUCUCUGUGUUCUUUAUUGUUUUUUGUUGAUCUAAUACUAUGUUUCACUUCUGUUGUUAUCUGCUGUACGUUGUGCCAUAUGUCCUAGACAUUUGGUUCGACAUCUUUCCUGUGUGUGAACCAGAAUUUCAACCUAGUUUAUUAUAUUAAUUAAAUAAUAUUAAGUAAUAUUUUAUGUGAAUCAUGUGUGAUAUAUGGUGCAGUUAUUACCAGAGAUGCCUUAGCACGGUAAAUUGUUUGACAUAGGUGACAUUAGACACUAGUAAUAUCUGAACAAGAUGUACACCAUAUUACGACUGCUUUGACUGUAAUACUGAUAAUAUAAUAUUACAGUGACUUUUAGGGCAUAAAAUGUCUCAACUGUGUCGAUGAGUUAGUAGGUUCCGACGAUGUGGAAGAUUUUGUGGACCACACCAUGUGCCAUGAGUGGGGUGUGAAAAUAGAGGAUAUUCCAUGGGGAAUAUCCCAUUUUUCCUUUGGGAGAAUUUAUUUGAAUAAAAUGGAUAUUAUUUAAAUGGUAAAAGUUAUUUAAUUAUUUUUAUUCAAAGUUCUAUUACAUAAAUGUAUUGAAAAAAUAUUUUUGGGUAUUGAUGAAAGCCUUGGUCCAAUGUUUUGGGGGGAAAGGAAGAAAAAUUCUCAAAUUUAAAUUUAAAUAUUAAUUCUUGCAUUAAGUGUUAAUUAGGAGGCGAUUCGAGGGAAUGUUCAUUGACUUUCAUUAUGAAGGGUGCCACAAUUUGAAUGUGAAGAUUUUUCAAGGACCUUUUUGAAAGGAAAAUAAUUUUCUUUAAGUCACGAGGGCUGAUUUAAAGUCUUAAGGAGUUAAGGUUUUAAUUGGAUUUUUAAAAUAGAAUUAAAACACAAAGUCAAACCAAGUUUUGGGACCAAAUCAAGAGAAGGACUUUUUUGUGAAAACCCUAGGUUGAGCUUGGUGUAGUCGCGUUGCUUGUCGUUGAUUUCAAUCUUGGCGUUCUACGUUGUCCUUUAUCAGGGGGACUUGUUCUUGACACCUUGUUCAUUCAAUAAAUCUUUUGCUUUCGAAAAAAAUGCAGCAUGUACAAUUCAUACUUUAUUAUUCGCUCCACUAUUUUUUUUUGUCUUUGAUGAAUGUCUCCACCCAUUCGAGAAACUAUAGUUGUAUAUUCCCCCUUCCUUAUAUAGAGUUUUGGUAUUUGAUUGUGCAAGUCUUAUCGCACAAUGUGAAUUUUAUCACCAAAACAUUGGACACGUAUUUGGCUUAAUAGCAUUUUUUGUCCCUCACAUAUCACGAUUUGACAGUUUUAGUCAAUUAAGGUAUAUUAUAGUAAUUAUUUUAUCUCUUAGUAUUUUAAAUAAAUAUUCUAAAUAUUAUUUUAAUCAGAAUUACCAAAAUUAUAGUUCAGAAACUCUAAGGGGACUAAAAUGUAAAAAAAAUCUUUGAGGACUUAACUAUAAAACCUUCACUAUUCACGUUCACAUCAUCAUUAUAAUACUCUACGAAUUCAGGAGGUGGUGCUAUGCUUGCAUGAAUUUUUGAAGUAGAAAAUCAUACACUAAAAAUACACGUUUUUUAAUAACACUUUUGGUCUCUCAUUUAUCACGAUUUGACAGUUUUGGUCCCUUAUAAAAUUUAUUAGCCUACAACAUCCCUCACAUUUACUAAAUGUUACAGUUUUCAUUUUUCGUCAACUUUCAUCCAAUAUAUAAUGUUUUUUAAUUUAAAAAUCAAUUAAAAACAAGGCUUGAAGAACACUUUAAUCUUCUAUGUCUUCUAUGAUUAACAAUUUUAUGGUUUAUGGUUUUUUUAAGUGAUUUUUUGAUGAAAAACCGUUAAAUAUUGAAUGGAAGUUGGCAGAAAAUCAAAACUGCAAUAAUUAGUAAACGUGAGAGGAACGUUGUAGACUAAAAAAUUUAUGAGGAACAAAAACUCUCAAAUCGUUAUAAGUGAGGACAAAAAAUGCUAUUAAAGAAACGUAUUUUUAGUGUAUGAUUUUCUACUGGAAAACUUCAUGCAAGCACAGCACCACCUCCUGAAUUCUUAGAGGAAUAUUAUAAUGAUGAUGUGAACGUGAAUAGUGAAGGUUUUGAAGGCUUUAUGUUUAAGUCCUCAAAGAUUCUUUUCAAUUUUAGUCCCUUAGAGUUUCUGAACUAUAAUUUUGGUAAUUCUGAUUAAAAUAAUAUUUAUAAUAUUUAUUUAAAAUACUAAGAGAUAAUUUGAUUUUGUAAAUAAUUACUAUAAUAUAUCUUAAACUGAUACAUGUAUAUACACAUACCCAUAUAUAUAAUCUAUUUACAUUACAUUAAGCUAACAGGUUGUCAGUGGGAUGUUACAAAAUCGAUAUUGGUUCACUAUGAUUGUUAUGUUUUGUUGCUCCCAAAGUUAUUAUGUUUAAUUCUAGGGGUUGUCUAAAUGACUCAUGUGUGUUACUAAUUUAACAAUCAAUAGACCAAUAUGAUUUUUUAUAACUAAAUUAAUAAAUAAAAUAUAGAAAUUUCAACUCAUUUAUCUUCAAUGUAAUUGGGUGAUGAGUUAUUUAACCCAAACUUUCUCAUGGGUCAUUUAGACAACCCCUUAAUUCUAUCUACUAUUUGAUCAGCAUUGUGGUUUAUGUUCACCCAGACAGGAUUCUCCAGGUAGCUUCUGAGGAACAUUGUUUCCCCCCUCAUUCAGUUGGUUUCGAACUAGCCCUAAUGGCACUUGAUUCAUUUGGUUCAAUUGGGGCUGAUCUUUUUGGGGUACCACACUUAUCCUUAAUUUGGUUAGCAUUGUUUUGAAACUCAUUGUUGUAAAGGUUACCCACAUGGUCAUUUGUAACAUUUAAUGCAUUAGCAAUUAUACCCAUCUGCGGACUUGCCUAGUCAGUUACUAAAAAGUAUUAUUUGUGUUCUGAAGCAAUGGGUUAAACACAGUGCCAAUAUGUUGGGCUAACAUAUUGACCAUCUCAUGAUUGCUAACAUCCAUUUGUUGCCUUAAGACCCGUACAAUAACAUUUGUUAAAGAAUUCACUGGAAUAGACAUACCACCCCAGUCACCCCUGGGGGAUAAGAGCCGUUUCGACCCAUGUCGAAGCCAAAACCUGAAACGGAUUCCUAGGGGAACCUAUUAAAACCAAAUUAGCCGAGUAAAUGGAUUAAGGACGUGGGCAUGCCAUAUGGAGGGUCCCUUAUAUGAAUGGUUAACUUAGGUUGAAUGACACUCAUAACUGCUUGUGAGACUACCAGUGUGGUAGCCUGGUAGGACUAGGCAUAGUAACCACGACUGAAACCGAAAUUUCGGCUACACCGAUUGUAGUACCCGCUAGCUCCAUGUUAGCAUUAACCACAUUGCCAUUGUUAUUAACUGCAUUCUCACAAUUAUCGUCAAUUGUCCCUGAUUAACCACAUUUUGGUUAUUGCUCGGGCCAAGAUGGCAUGCGGACAAAUUAUUGUUUCUUGAUUUAGUAUUUUCCAUACAUAUUAACUUCCCACUUCUCAAACGCAUAAAACGUAAUAGAGAAGAACAUAAUUGACAAACUUAUAAAAAUAUUUUCACAAAAGAGUCUCAUGGGUGUGCCAAUUCUCUUACGCUGAUUUUUGGUAAAUAAAUAAGAGAAUCCAAAGAUCAAUCUGGGGACUGAAUUCAAAUCUUCUUGAUAUCUUUGGUAAAAAUAGUAUAAGGGUCAAUUAUAAAUAUAAGAAUAAAAAGUGAUUUAAAAUUGCAAAUAGUGACAAAUUAAGUAAUUUAAAAACAAAUGAAUCAAAAGAUAAAGAAAAUAUUUGGAUAAUCUUCAAAUAAGCAAUAUAAUACAUAAGAGUUUCAAAAGAUUUAUACUUUUUUCCUCCUUAAACUUUUGUUGCCUUCAUUUUCGACUUAAGUAUUUUAGAGUUAAUUAUAGCAAAAUAAUUUGUGAACCCUAAAUAUAACUUGAAAACACCUAAUUAUAGGCUAAAAUCCUAACUACCAUCUGUUUACGGCGGUUUUUGGUAAACAAAUAUCCUCUUAGUUCGACUAAAGGAAGUUUAGAUUCGGGGUCCUUUUGGGAAAACGUCUUGCCAAAGUGUUGUGUGUGAGUUGAUAUUUUUCGACAACAAUGCACGAUUCAAAAGAAAUUGGAUUUCAUUAAACACGGGUCAAUUACAUGAAGAUCAAAGUGCAACAAAGUGAAAAGAAAACUGCAGGGAACGUAAAUUUCGACAAGAAAUUAAGCAACAGGACUAGUAAAAUUAACAAGCGACGCUACAAACUUAAAUGCAAGAAAGAUAAACAUUUGGUUCUGCAACAUACUCCUCCAUCAUCACGUCUUGCUCCUUGAGUCUCAUUGAUGCAGACAUUAGAGCUUUUUAGUGAAUUUUUCAGAGUUGAGCUGGGAACCCUUUUUUCUGACUUGAAUUCUCCCAUUUAUAGAGCAUAUCCUUGGCGGUUUUCUUCUUCUUCUUGGAUGGGUUAGUCGGUCUAAUCCCCUCUUCCCACGAUCUGGAGUUGGUUUUGGAAGUUCCUUGUGCGGUGGUGGAGAUUGUGUGCCUCAACUGCUUCAACCGCUUCUUGGCCACGUAUUCAACCAACGUGGUGAGAAUCCGACUUGGUCAAUGCUGCACAUGUUAAAUGUGCCCCUGUUUGUAGCAGUAGUUCCCAUUGUCGAAUUCGACUGCUCCUUUAACUUGGUGCAUUUUUCCUUUCCCUUCUUUAGUCUAAAUUCGACCACCUUGUGUGCUUUGGGCCGAAUGCGUUUUUUCUUUUCUUUUUUGGGCCAAAAUAUUGGGCCAACACCAUCCAACGGAAAAAUAACUAUAACAAAACAUGUAUUCUUUGACUUGAUUUGAGUUCUACACGCGUCCUUAAAAACUAUAACUUCCAAAACCUUCAUCCCAGUUGCGUCAAAGAAUGAAGUUUUCCGAUUUCAAAUAAUGAUAUUUUCGACCUUGGAUUCAGCAAGAACGCAAUCUUACUUUGUUUUAACUCCAUCUUUAUGUUGCCUCGAGCUCUGAUAAAAAAAACAUGCCUACAACACUGUUUACGAUGAUAUUUGGUAAACAAACAUUCUCCAAUUCGACUGGAAAAAGUUAAAGUUAAGGGUUUUUUUGGGAAAACGUCUUGCCAAAGUGUUGUGUGCAAAGGGUGUGUUUUUCGACUGGAGCAAAGUUGUAAGGGAAAUCAGCGAUUUACAAGAAUUAAAACUUGAAUUGCAUUAAACUUGAGUAAAGUGCAGAGUACAAAAAGAGAAAUUCGAAAAGCAAAGAUUACAUCAAGUAAAGAACUCGAUAGGAAUUCAAACUAAACUUAAACACAAAGCAAAGUGUCAAGGCAUUAAUCAUAAAUCGUUGGUUCUGCAACAUACUCGUUCAUCAUCACGUUAGGCUCUUGAAGUUUCUUUGAUGUGGACAUGUGAGCUUUUUAGUGAGUUUUUAGAGUCCAGUUGGGAACCCUUUUUUCUGAAUGAUCUUCUCCUAUUUAUAGUGCUCUAUUGAUUCACACGUCCUUGGCGAUUUUUUCCUUUGCUGAAUGGGUUAGUGGGCUUGAGAAUCGGUGCUAUGCUCCAUGAUCUCUUGCUUAUUCUGGAAGCUUCUUGCAUCAUGGGGGAAGGCCUCCAUUUCUAACUGCCCACUUGCAUCGUGGGGGAAGGCAUGUGCUCUCAACAGCUCUUAACUGCCCACUCUUUCUGUAACCGUUUUAUGCGUUUAGCUGCAGGUCCCUUUUGUGGCCGAACUCCACAGCUAUGACUCAUUCUGCCAUUUAACUUAGCGUUUUUCAUGGCUGCCUCUUUUAUCAAAUUUCGACUAAAGUCGAUAAACCUUCUUUUGACGAAAUGAUGUCGACGAGCCUUCCCUUGGUGAAACUUUGAGCUAACAAACACUCAACUUAAUCUUCUAAUGUCAAAACCUAAAUAUUCAGUCGAAGCUUCUCUUCCAAUCCAAUUGGAAUUCGACUAAAAUUUCCAGCUUAACAAACAGUUUGUACAUCUGAACAUUAUAACUUAAAUCGGUCACAAUAUGAUUAAAUUGGAUCAAUUGUUCUGAUGCAGGUAAAUCACCACUGAAUUGUCUGUGAAUAUAAAUUAAGUGGUACACUAAUAGAGUUGGGGGUGCAAGAGAAACAUGUACCAGCAACGGGUCAAAGUUAGCCUCAAACAUGUACUUCCGUGUCUUAAAAAUUUCCAUCAGGAAGCUUCCCUUCCUCACAUUCAUUCUCAUCUUCUGAUAAAAAGCUUCAGCAUCCACAUUAUACUUCGUUGUGUUCAUGAACACCAUCACCUACGUUAACUUAAGAGUGCCACGUGACUCAUAAUUCACCUCAUAGUUUUAUGGUUGCAAAGGAUUCACUUCAUUUGAGGUGAAUUCUAAAAUCAAGCUUUAUCACAUGGCCAAAAGUAUCACAUUUUGGUAAAUAUUUUCCUACUAAAAUAUUUUUCAAUAUUUAAGAAAAACCAGAAGAAAAAAAGUGUGAAAAUUGAAAAAACGUGAUUCCUUUCCCUCAGCGUGGCAUAUUUUUUUUUGCUAUAUCGGAAAAUUGACAACAAAAACGAAAAAACUAAGCUACAAAAAGGGAGUCCCUAAGAAGGAUGAGUUGCAGCUCCUGCUCCAGCUGGUGAAUAGCCUGAGUGCUCGGAGAGGAGAGAUUAUAACCCUGCUUAGAAAGCCAGUCUGCAGCAGAAUUACCAUCUCUAUGUAUCCAACUAAUACUCACACGCCAGUUACGCGCCAUGAGCUGCAUGAUUUCUUUGAGGAUUGCAACUUGAGGAUGAUGGUGCACACGCUCCAAGUGCCCUUCUUCCAAUAAGAUUACCAGAUUGUCACAGUCAAUGUCACAUGAGAUGUUCCUAUGCCCUGAAUUCCAAGCCAUGAGAAGACCCUCCUUCAACCCUAAUGCCUCUGCCACAAAAGGAUCUCCACCAUGAGCCAGUGACGUAAAUCCUGCAAUCCAGCAUCCAGCCUUAUCACGAAGAAUACCGCCACCACCCAUGCAAUUUUUCGGUUCUCGAAAGCUUCCAUCGGUAUUAAGCUUGACAAAAUUCUCCUGAGGUGGCCUCCAUACAUUUUUUCUAAGACCCGCACCAAUACAUAUCAGAUCUGGUUGCAACGCAUGCAGAAAAUCAUCAUGGUCCCGAACCAGAUUACUCCAAGCAACAUGGAGGGGCCAAGGACUAUCGCCAAGCACCAUAUUAUUUCUCCACUUCCAAACACCCCAUAAGCCAGCCACGAAUUUAGUUGCGUUUGUACCUCUAGCUUGGAAAGAAAUCCAAACUGGCAGCUCCAGGGAAGAAAAGUUUGGCCAAGACCACGCUCCUAACUUCGCCCAAAGCUCCCUAGAAUGGGGACAGUCUCGCAAGCAAUGCAAACAAUCCUCUCUGGCUGAGGAGCAUCUAGAACAGCUCUCAGAAUGCGUCAGAUGGCAUUUGAAACGAUUUGAAUUUACCGGUAAGGCCUGGUGUAGAGUCAGCCAGAGAAAAACCUUUACUUUCUCUGGAACUUUAAUUUUCCAGAUCCAGCCCCAAUCUGCUGCAGGAAUUGAGGGCUGAUUGGUAUCUCUAAGCCAAGUAUAGCCCUCCUUCGAUGAGUAGUAGUCUGGGUUCCCAGGAUCCCAACACCAGCGGUCCUCUUCGUCUUGAAUACACUUUGGCAGCACCUUGUUGAAAAGCGCCAAAACCUGCUCAGACAUCAUGGUGCUGCAACGCUGAAGAGUCCAUUCUCCAUUCACCACGAGAUCCAACAGGCGCAUAGCCGAAUCAGAAAUGUGAACAAAAGGAACUUGGAGAGCAAGAGGGCCUUCUCCAGACCAGUCCUUGAACCACACCGAAGUGUUACCAUUGCCCAGCCGAAACCGAUAACCACCCUUUAGUUUGUCACGCGCCUUGAGGAUCCCUUUCCAAACUGGUGAUGCGUUAAGUCUCACCUUUUCCUCUAGAAUUGAUCUGCCCUGUAAGUAACGAUGCUCCAGAACUCGAAAACAAAGUUUAUUAGAGUUCUGAGCCAGAGCUCAUACUACUUUUCCCAUGAACGACGUGUUAAAAUCUCCCAUCUCUUUAAGUCCCAGGCCUCCAUCUUUUCUAGGCAGAGUCACGGUAUCCCACUUAAUGAGGUGCCAUCCUCGUUGCCCACUGUUUUUUGACCAGAUGAAGCUCCUCAUUAUUUGAUUAAUUCUAUGGAUUAUACUCCUUGGCAGCCAGAAGACCUGCAUGACAUAAGUUGGUAUCGUUGCAAUGACUGAUCUCGCUAGACAAGCUCUCCCAGCAACAUUUAAGAGGUUGGUUUUCCAAGACUCAAGUUUACGUUGGAUGUUUUCAAGCAGGAAAUUAAACUUGCUUCUCGACGCUCUACCACUACUCAACGUAAAACCGAGAUAGGUUCCAAGAUCACGCACAAAAGGAAUUGGGGCAAUGGCUCGUAUCUCUUCACACACUUCAGGUCGCACUCCAAGGGAGGUAAUAGCUUUUGACUUGUUGAUAUUCACCUUCAUGCCAGAACUCAAUUAGAAGGCUUGCAGCGUAUCUGCUACUAAUUGAACCUGCUCAGUGGAGGCUUUGCAGAAGAGGAGGACAUCGUCUGCAAAAAAUAAAUGAGAGAUAGGGGGUCCUUGGGGGGACACCUGAAUGGAUUUCCAAAGACUUGUACUCACCAAAUGAUCAAUCCUAACAGAUAGCCUCUCCAUACAAAGAACAAAAUGAUAAGGGGACAUAGGAUCACCUUGGCGCAGCCCACGCCCAGGGUGAAAGGAAGGAAGCCGAGAGCCAUUCCAUAAUAUGGACAAGGUGGACGCUGACACACAUCUCAUGAUUAGAUUAAUCAAACCAUUAGGAAAUCCAAACCAGUGAAGAAUGUCUUCAAGGAAAGACCAAGAGACACUAUCAUAUGCCGUCUCUAAGUCGAUUUUGAACGCCAAACUCCCGUUUCUUGCUCUAGAUGAAUUCAUAUAAUGAAUUAUUUCCUGGGCCAAGAAUGCAUUAUCCAUGGUACCUCUGCCAGGUAUGAAACUGUUUUCCAUGGGACCAAUAAGCUUGUUCAAGAAAGGACGAAUUCUAGCCACAAUAAACUUUGUGAUCAAUUUAUAGGUAACAUUACAAAGGCUUAUUGGGCGAAACUCUUUAAUUGACGUGGGAUUGUCCACUUUCGGGAUUAGAACAAUGAGAGUUUCCAAUAGCUUCUCAUCCACUGUGCUAGAAUCAAACGCAUUACAGACCACUCCAUACACAUCAUCUCCCACAAUUUCCCAAUAUUUUUUGAAAAAGAAGGGCUGGAACCCAUCCGGUCCUGGCGCUGUAAAAGACUUCAUGGACAUAAGCGCUUUGUAAACUUCCUCCUUGAGAACUGAGAGGGAGAGGGUGUUCCUAUCACUGAUGGAAAGAGAGGGAAAGUUUUCAUGAUUAAACACUACCUCUCCUGGAUCCCCUUGCACGGUAAACAAGGAUUGGAAAUAACUUUGGACUUCCUCAAUCAGCAUAUUCUUCUCCGUGCACCAAUCGCCAUCUCUCAAUUUCAAUCUAUGUAUCAUAUUGCGUUUCCUUCUAAUUACCGUGUGAGCAUGGAAAUAAGAGGUGUUGCAGUCUCCAAAACGAACCUGAUUGUCCCUCGCCUUCUGAUACCAUAAUAGCUCUUCUUGUUUUAGGAUGGUUCUAUAUUAUGUUUGAAGUGAAUUUCCAAGCCUGGUUAACUCCGAAGAGACCUGCUUGUCUAAUUCACGCUGCACUCCACGAAGGCGACCUUCAACCCAUCGUUUAUGCUGGAAUAUGUUACCAAAUACUUCUUUAUUAAAGACAAUUGAAUCAACCCUGACUUGAUCCAACUUUGACGUAAUACCAUUGUCCACCCGCUGCCAGGCAUGUUCUACUACUGUCUGAUAAUUUUCAUGAUCGACCCAAGAGGCAAUAAAGAGAGGUACCACAGUGUAUUAGCAAGGGACUGUGGUCGGAUGAGAUCCUAUUCAGCGUCUCAACGUAGGCUCCGGGAAAGGCUAUCCUCCAUUCAACAUCCCCCAUGGCUCUAUCAAGGCGUUUAGAAAGAAUAAUCCUAUUGUUUACUUUUCGGAACCACGUAAAAGUUGUGCCCACGAUUCCUAAGUCCACCAUUCGAUAGUCUUCAAGAACUUGGCCAAACCGGGCAGCUCUGGUAGCCAUGAAGUCACCACCCCUAACGUCACUAGGAAGAAGCACUUCAUUCAUGUCGUCGGCGAGCAUCCAAGGCAGCGAAAUACGUUGCCGCAGAUCCAGAAGAUGAUGCCAAAGCACUUCCCUUGUAGCUGGGCUAGGGGACGCGUAAACCGCACUAAAAAUCCAAGACAAAUUGUCCUUCCAAACUUCAAAUGUAAUGGCUUGAGAGUGCAUAUCAACCAACCUGAAGUUUAGGAGAACUUUGGUGUUAUUCAGAACCCAUAUUCCACCACUGAAGCCCCGAGCUUCAGAAAUAAAAGUAGGGGUGAAAUCUAGAGACUCCCAAAAUCUGCGAACUCUGGCAAACUGACAUCUUGUUUCCAUCAGAAUAACUUUUUCUGGUUUUUUAUUCCGAAUAAUGUCCUUGAGAACACGCCUACUAUUCUCAUUCAAGGCUCCCCUCACAUUCCAGGACAAAACUUUUGUUUCUUCAAACCCUAUCAUAAAAAACUAUUAGAUGAAGGGUAACAGACUAUCCCAGGAUAUUAACUUUGGGAUGGAAGAUUGUGAGUAAUUUCUCCCUGGCAACGGUUAGCCAUGAACGUGCCAGUAUGUUGCGAGCAUGCAUCCCUUCCUGUGUCCAGGUUGGUUUCUUGUUGACCCCCCACCUGUAAUGGCCUAUCUCCUGGAUCAAGAGAUUGAUUAGCUACAAAGUGGUCCCCACCUUGCCUAUUUGUUUCCUCAAAGCGAGACCUUUUAUUUCUAUUCCCUUGGACGCUUGGUUCCACACGGCUAGGACUGCCAAAAGUGAACUGGGCCCAAUUGUAGUGGGUUUCACAUUUGCAGUUUUUUCCUCUCUUGAUUUCCUCCCAUUCUUUCCUGGGCACUGAUUUUUCAAUCAUUGGCCCAUUAGACACUGGGCGUUGACCAUUCCCUUUCUGCCCCUGAUCUCUUGGAGUUGAUUUCUUUUUCUUCUUGGAUAAUGUGAUCCAAUCCCCCAAGAUUUCAAAAUUAUCUGCCAGCUUUAAUUGCACGUUUUUCGUGCCACCAAUGAUCACUCCGUUCCCCUGAACAUUCCCCUGACUCUCUCCACUAAUUUCGCCAGUAUCCAUUGAUUCAGUUCUUUCUAUUUCCGGUGCACCCGUUUGAUGUGCCCUAGCCUCCUACGCCGCCACUGCAUUAGGGUUCAGUGUUGCGCCGCCAGAAACUUCUGAUGCUGACACAGGCUGUUGUGCUCCUGUCUCCACCGGUGGUGGCUCAACACAUUCUCUGCUCCGAUGUCCAUAGAACCCACAUUUGGUGCAUAUAACAUGCAGACCCUCGUAUUCAAUAUUGUACCAAUAAUCCUCAAUACACACCUUCCCCACCACCGGGAGUGUUAGAUCCAGUUCCACACAUAUCCUCGCAAAUCUUCCCCUGUCAGCUUUCAGCAUAUUCCAAUCCACCUUAAUAGGCUUACCAAUUGCUCGUGCUAUCGAAAGCAGGUAGCUUUCAUCAUAGAAAACCACAUUCAACCCUGGAAUUCUGAUCCAUGCUAGAGCAUUCGUCACCUUUGCUGCUGGAGAGAUAAAUUUUGGACUCCGUGUUGAGACUGCUAAAUAAUGGUCAAAGACCAUCCAAGGGCCCCCAUUAAUUACCUUAUCCUUGUCUUCCUUAAUAUCAAACUUUACCAUGUAAAAUCCAUUGCCUACAUCAAUCAUAUCAAAAUCUCCAACAAGCCUCCAUAGAGUACCCAACUUUUGUUUCAUGGUGCGGUAUCCCAGUGUUUUCCCCAAGAGACUCACCACCAAAGCUUCUUUCCAUCGUGCACUCAUCUCCUCAACAACUGAGGCCUCUGUUACUAUUUUAGGUAGCAACCUAUUACCAUUUACCAACUGAAUCUUCAUUCGCCCUUGAUCCACUAAGUCUCUCACCUCCUUAGGGCCAUAUGCCUUGGCGCCACCCAUUAGUUUAUCACGGAACGAGGACCGGCCCGAAGUUUUUCCGGCAUCCGGCGGCGUAGAGUCAUCAACCUCCAUCAUAGCGAGCGUACCCUAGCAGAGCGAGCACAAAAUAUCCUUCAGCGUGGCAUAUUAAUAUAGUAGUCACUAUUUAAUCACUUUGUCUGCCAUGAAUAAAAAAAAGGCAUAUUUCUUUAAUUAAUUUAAAAGAUCUUAUCAACACUAAAUAUGAGUUUUACUUUCAAUUUAGGUUAACUCACAUAAAUUUCAACCAUGAGAAAAUGUUGAAAAUAAAGUGAUGAAGUGAUGGAGUGUUACUAGCACUCCGCAAUUAAUUUUAGUAUAUUAUAAGGACUAUAUUGUAAAUACAAUAUAUUAAAUUUUAUUACUAAACACAUGAUUCAUUAGUGAAAUUAGUGAAAUGCUCCCUCUGAUCCUAUAUUCAAUUGAGAGAAGAAACAUACAAAACGAAUGCAAUUAAUUUUAUUGAUUUUUAAGGAGUUUACAAUGAAUCACAUAUCAGUUAUGAUAAGUUGAUAACAACUAAAGCUUUUUUUUUAAAAAGCCAAAAUGAAUUCAUAAGAAGUACAAGAAAUGUUCAACCCUGUUGUUCCUUUGUUGUCAUCAAUUUUGUUAAAAACAACCUGAUGUCCUAGCCGAUGUUGUGACAUUUGCCUUGAUGAAGGCCAGGACAUCCGCCCCUGCUGGCAUGCAAGUGGGUCCCUUGUGGUUAUGCUUUAUGGUAUGAUCUGUGCUUACUUGAAGGUCAAGUAACUGUGUGUUGGGAGCCAGUUGCGGGUUGUUUUUGUUGAAGCAAAUCUGUGAUUAAAAAGAUUUGUUUCUAUUUUUACUUGUUGAUCACUCAUAUCAGAUCUUGAAAGAUUCUCUACUGAUAUGAGUUGGAUCAAAGUGUUCUUCAGCCCAAAUAAACCCUAGCCGCCUCUGCUGAAGUAUAUAUUGACAAAGACCUGAAGCUUGAAGUUGAUGGAGAGAAUCACCUUGAAGUUCAAGUGUUCUUAAGAGUGUAAGUUGUUCUUUGUCUUUGUUAGUUGUGAACUCGUCUUGCUCACUGAUUCUAUAAAGUGAGACUGAGUUCUGUGUUGUGUUUGAGUGUCAAACAAACUCUGUGUUAUUGUUGUUCACCAAUCACUGUGGCAGUGAUUGAGGAAAAGUGAGAGGGGCUCUCAUACUUAGGCUGUGGUUCUAAGUAGAAUACCACUGGGUAGAUUAGGUUAAGAACAAUGAACUUGAUGUGUUCAUGUGUGUCUGUAAUACCUAGUUCUUGAGAUAGUGGAAUUCCUUUUCAUUGGGCGAAAGCUAACCAGACGUAGGUGUAGUUUCACCGAACUGGGUUAACAACUUCCUGUGUCUUGUUUCCUUUUAAUUGUUUGUUGUUUUGUGUUCAGGUCUUUCAGUCGUAUGAUGUUCUAAUCGAUUGUCCCAGCAUCGUGCAGGACAUUUGUUCUAAGGGAUCUAGAAUUUCAAUUGGUAUCAGAGCAGGCACCCCUGUUCUGUGUGGGUGAGCUCCAGGGAGAUAUUUUCUUGAUCUCAUGGACAAUAAGGAGGGAGGAUCGAUCAACAGGCCAUCAAUCCUGGAUGGCUCCAAUUAUGAUUACUGGAAGGUUCGAAUGAUAGCCUUUCUCAAGUCUAUUGAUAUCAAAACUUGGAAGGCUGUUGUCAAAGGCUGGAAGCAUCCUGUCAAAGCUCAAGCAGAAGGAAGUACAUCUACUCCUGAAGAAAAACCUGAGGAUGAAUGGACAAGUGCUGAAGAAGAAGCUUCUCUGGCAAACUCAAAAGCAAUGAAUGCUAUCUUCAAUGCUGUGGACAAAAACAUGUUUAGAUUGAUUAAUACUUGCACUGUUGCCAAAGAUGCUUGGGAGAUUUUGAAAACAGCACAUGAAGGUACAACCAGGGUGAGGAUGUCUAGACUCCAGAUGCUUACUACUCGUUUUGAGAACUUGACAAUGACAGAAGAUGAGACUAUUUCUGAAUAUCACAUGCGUGUGCGUGAUCUGUCAAAUGCUUCAUUUGCUCUGGGAGAACCUAUGUCAGAUGAAAAGCUUGUGAGGAAAAUCUUGAGGUCUGUAACCAGCAAGUUUGCAAUGAAGGUCACUGCUAUUGAAGAAGCUCAAGAUAUCAGCAGUUUGAAAGUGGAUGAGCUGAUUGGUUCUCUGCAGACUUAUGAGUUAAAGUUGGGUGAAAAACCUGAAAAGAAGACCAAAAGCAUUGCUUUUGUAUCCAACACCACUGAAGGAGAUGAUGCUGAUAGUGAAAGUGAGAAUCUAUCUGAAGCUCUGGCCCUUCUUUCUAGAAAAUUCAACAGAGCUCUAAGGAAGAUAGACAAAAGGACUAGGCCAAAUGUCCAGGACAUUAAGUCAGACAACUAUAAAUCCUACAAUUCCCAGCGAAAGGUCAAAGAAGAGGACAAAUCAGGCCAAAACAAGGGUGUUCAGUGUCAUGAAUGUGAGGGUUAUGGUCACAUUAGAUCUGAGUGUGCAACCUACUUGAAGAAACAGAAGAAAGGCAUGGUAGUGACAUGGUCAGAUGAAGAUACUGAGGAUGAGGAAGAAUUAUCUGCCAACAAGGUUAAUGCUUUCUCAGGGGUUGUCAAUGACUCAGAUUCCAGUGGUGAUGAAAUGACAUUUGAGGAUUUGGAAGAGACUUACAAACUCCUACAUGUUAAAUGGAAGGAAACUUGCAAACAUCUGAAGGAGCAAGAAGAUGAGAUGAAACAAGUUAAGACUGAAAAUGAAAACCUAAGGGAGACCAUUGAUAAACUGCAAGAUGAUUUGGAUAAAUGGAACUCAAAAUUAAAGGAUGUUGAAACUGUUGAAAAAGCCAAGCUUCUGUUAACCAUAGCUGAUCUUCAAGAGAAAGUAGCUACAUUGACAGCCAAACUGGAAAAUACCUACAAGUCAGUGCGUAUGCUGAACAGUGGAUCUAAUAUGCUUGAAGAGAUUCUGGAAGAAACAAGCAAGCAAGGAAAGAGUGUUAAAGGCAUUGGUUUCAGUUACCAGUCUGGGAGUAGAGGAAAUCAGAAAGCAUCAAGGAAGUUUGUAAGAGCUAAAGAAAACUCUGAGUUUAAAAACCCAGAGAACUAUCAGAGGUCAAGCCCGAUGUCACAACAUAUGCCUCCACAUCCUACUACUCAGAAGGCUACUGCUCAAAUUCCAUGGAGAUGUCAUUAUUGUGGUAGGUUUGGUCACAUUAAGCCCUACUGCUUCAAGCUAUACGGAUAUCCUCAGAUCCAGAAGGUUCUCAAGACAUCUAAGAGAGCUUGGGUACCCAAAGGAGAAGUUUCAUGUCUUAUAACACACACAUCUUUUAGAGUCUCAUCAAGUGAAGACUGGUAUUUUGAUAGUGGCUGCUCAAAACACAUGACUGGGAAUAAGGAGUAUCUGGAAAAUCUCAAGGAAUACUCCAGUAAAUCAGUCACCUUUGGAGAUGGUGCUAAAGGAAAAAUCAAAGGCAUUGGGAAGUUGGUAAACUCUGGAUCUCCUAGUCUGAACAACGUUCUUCUUGUCAAGGGGUUGGCAGCAAAUCUAAUCAGUAUAAGUCAGUUGUGUGAUCAAGAUCUGGAUGUGAAGUUUAGCAAGACUGAAUGCAUGGUUACCACUAGUGAUCAAGAGAUUGUGAUGAGAGGUGUCAGGUCCAAAGACAAUUGCUACAUGUGGAUUCCACAAAAGAAAGCCCAAGUGUCUAGAUGUUUGAUAUCAAAAGUGGAUGAGUUGAAUCUAUGACACCAACGUUUAGGUCACAUCAAUCUCAAGAGUAUGCAGAAAGUUAUCUCUAAAGAUGCUGUACGAGGGCUACCAAAACUGAAAAUAGAUGAAGAAAAGAUAUGUGGAGAAUGCAAGAUUGGAAAGCUGACCAAAACAUCUCAUGCGAAGCUUCAGCAUCCAACUACAACAAAAGUCCUUGAACUUCUUCACAUGGACUUGAUGGGACCCAUGCAGGUAGAAAGUCUAGGAGGUAAGAAAUAUGUUUAUGUCUGUGUUGAUGAUUAUUCCAGGUUCACUUGGAUUGACUUCAUGAAGGAAAAAUCAGAAACCUUUGACAUAUUCAGAAGGCUAUGUCUGAAACUUCAAACUGAGAAGAAUUGCUCUAUAGUAAGAAUCAGAAGUGAUCAUGGAAGAGAGUUUGAGAACUCCAAAUUCUCUGACUUCUGUGAUUCAGAAGGAAUAAGCCAUGAAUUCUCAGCUCCAAUUACACCUCAGCAGAAUGGAAUUGUUGAAAGGAAAAACAGGACUCUUCAAGAAUCCACCAGGGUUAUGCUUCAUGCAAGGAAGAUUUCCAACAAGUUCUGGGCAGAAGCCAUGAACACAGCCUGUUACAUUCACAAUAGAGUAACCAUUAGAGCUGGAACCACAGUCACUCUAUAUGAACUCUGGAAAGGAAGGAAGCCAACUGUGAAACACUUUCAUAUUUUUGGGAGUAAAUGUUAUAUUCUGGCUGAUCGUGAACAAAGAAGAAAGCUAGAUCCUAAGAGUGAUGAAGGAAUUUUCAUGGGAUACUCUACAAACAGCAAAGCUUACAGAGUGUACAAUUCUCGAACAAAGGUAAUGAUGGAAUCUGUAAAUGUCUCUAUUGAUGAUCAACCAAAUGAAAGAGAAGACACUGGUGCAACUGAAGAUGAUGAUGGUCCACAUGUCACAGCCGAUGUCCCAACUAUUGACCUCGACAUUGAAUCAGAAACCAGUUCUGAUGAGCAAGAUCACCAGAUGACCUCUGCAAAUAAAGCUCCAUCGAUCAGAAUUCAAAAGAAUCAUCCUCAAGAGAACAUCAUUGGUGACCUUAAAGAAGGAGUUACUACCAGGGCUAGAAGCUACAUUGCUCAUGAUUUUUUUAUAUCCAAGUUAGAACCCAAGAAUGUCAAGGAGGCUCUGACGGAUGAAUACUGGAUAAAAGCUAUGCAAGAAGAACUUGAUCAAUUCAGAAGAAAUGAAGUAUGGGAUCUCAUUCCUAGGCCUGAGGGAGUAAACAUCAUAGGAACCAAGUGGAUUUUCAAGAACAAGUCAGAUGAGAAUGGUGUAGUAACUAGAAACAAAGCAAGACUGGUGGCUCAAGGAUAUACUCAGAUUGAAGGAGUAGACUUUGAUGAAACCUUUGCUCCAGUGGCCAGGUUGGAAUCCAUAAGACUUUUGCUUGGUGUUGCUUGUCUUUUGAAGUUCAGAUUAUUCCAAAUGGAUGUCAAAAGUGCUUUUCUAAAUGGUUAUCUGAAUGAGGAAGUUUAUGUUGAACAGCCAAAGGGAUUCACAGACCCACAUCAUCCUGAACAUGUCUACAAACUCAAGAAAGCCUUGUAUGGAUUAAAACAGGCUCCUAGAGCUUGGUAUGAACGUCUUACAGAGUUUCUGGUGAGCAAUGGUUAUUGCAAGGGAGGAAUAGACAAGACAUUAUUUGUGAAAAAUGAAAGAGGAAAACUCAUGAUUGCACAGAUAUAUGUUGAUGAUAUUGUAUUUGGUGGGAUGUCGAACACAAUGGUGGAACAUUUUGUCCAACAAAUGAAGUCAGAGUUUGAGAUGAGCUUAGUUGGUGAAUUGAACUACUUUCUGGGACUUCAGAUCAAACAAAUGGAAGACUCCAUGUUUAUUUCCCAGAGUAAGUAUGCUAGGGGCAUUGUCAAGAAGUUUGGACUUGAAAAAUCUGGACAUAAAAGGACUCCUGCUGCUACACAUAUCAAGCUGUCUAAAGACAAUCAGGGAGGGGAUGUUGAUCAAAGCUUAUAUAGAAGCAUGAUUGGAAGUUUGCUGUACCUCACUGCUAGCAGACCUGAUAUUACCUUUGCUGUUGGUGCUUGUGCAAGAUAUCAAGCUGCUCCAAAGACCAGUCAUCUCUUACAAGUGAAAAGAAUCAUUAAGUACAUAAAUGGUACUUGUGACUAUGGGAUUCUUUAUACAAAUGAUACUAACCCUUCUCUUGUAGGGUAUUGUGAUGCAGAUUGGGCAGGGAGUGCUGAUGAUAGAAAGAGUACAUCUGGAGGGUGUUUCUUCCUUGGAAACAACUUAAUCUCUUGGUUUAGCAAGAAGCAAAACUGUGUGUCUUUAUCCACAGCUGAAGCUGAAUAUAUAGCUGCUGGAAGCAGUUGUACUCAACUUAUUUGGAUGAAGCAGAUGCUCAAGGAAUAUGAAGUUGAGCAAGAUGUCAUGACAUUGUACUGUGACAAUUUGAGUGCUAUCAAUAUUGCCAAGAACCCUAUACAACAUAGCAGAACCAAACACAUCGAUAUCAGACAUCACUUCAUCAGGGAAUUAGUGGAGGAUAAAAUUGUCACUUUGGAACAUGUCUCCACAGAGAGACAAUUGGCUGACAUCUUUACCAAACCCUUAGAUGCUGCUACAUUUGACACAUUAAGAGGAAAUCUUGGGAUUUAACUCUUCGAAGAAGCCUAGCAAUUAAAGGCCCUUUUCUGUCUAACGGCUAGUUUCCUCGUAACUACCAUUAACUGCCGUUGUGACAUCAUUGCUUCCUUCUCACUCAACUACUAUAUAAUCAUCACCAAUGACUUCAUCACAAUCUCACCACAAGUUGCCAAUCUUGCUCUAACAAUUUCUGAUUCUCAUCACUUACAUUUCUCUCAAUUUCUUGUUUUUGUCCGUUUGCUUUACCAGUUCAUCAUGUCUUCAAGCAAGAAAGAGUCUGUGAAAGGAAAGAUAGAGAGAACUGCUGGUGGUGCUAGGGUUAUGGGUUUGCACACAAGUUCUUCCUCUCAAUCUAAGAAGAACUCAAGAACUCCUUCCAAGAAGCACUACAAGUCUCGUGCAACCCCAAUGCAAAACCCAGAAGCCCCUGUGCCUGAGGAAGUCUCCAAUACUUCUGUCUCUGCAAAUGUUGAAGACGAUGUCGCGACAUUGUCUGAUAAGCCUGCCAAGGAAGUUUCACUCUCAAAGGAUUCUUCCUCUUCAUCCAAGAGUUCUGAUUCCAAGGCUGCAAACUCAAUGGAUGUUUUGUCAGAGGAAUCGAUGAAGACCCCUCCUAUUGUUCAUGAUGUCUCUGAUGAUGAAGAUUCAGAGGAUGUGCCUCUGGCGAGUGUUGCUGCCAGAAUGCUUAAGCGAAGAAGAGCAUCUGUUGAAGAAACCCCUGUUGUCAAAAAGAAGAAAACCAAGAUCACUACUGGAUCUUCAAAAUCAAGGGCAACCGAUGCGUCACGGAAAGGCAAGCAGAAUGCUGUGGAAUCAUCAGGGAAGAAAGCCAAGAAGACUACUGGGAAAAAGCAUAAAGUUUCCAGAAUUGAUUUGGAGACUGAAUCAGAUGUUGAAGGCGAUGUCCUGGACAUCACUGCCUCUGAGAAGAAAAUGUUCUCUGGUAAGCGUAUUCCCUCAGAUAUUCCUAAUGUUCCUCUAGAUAAUGUGUCUAUGCAUGCUCCAGAAAAUGCCUUCAAAUGGAAAUAUGUCUAUCAAAGACGUGUUGCCAAAGAAAGGGAGAUUGAUUCUGCUGUGUUAGCCUGCAAAGAGAUCAUUGCCUUGAUAGCAAAAGCAGGGUUGAGGCAGACUGUGAUGAACAUAGGAAAAUGCUAUGACAAGCUUGUGAAGGAAUUUAUUGUCAAUCUCUCUGAUGAUGUUACUAAUUCUGCCAGUCCUGAAUUCAGGAAAGUGUUUGUCAGGGGUAAGUGUGUGAAUUUUUCUCCUGCUAUCAUCAACCAAACCCUUGGAAGAAGUGUGGUUGAAUUUGUUGAAGAAGAACUUUCUCUGGAUACGGUUGCUGAGGAAUUGACUGCUGGAAGAGUCAAGAAGUGGCCUGCUAAGAAGCUUCUAUCAACUGGGGUUCUGAGUGUGAAGUAUGCUAUUUUGAAUAGGAUUGGAGUGGUGAAUUGGGUUCCCUCUAACCAUACUUCUGCUGUUUCUGCUAUGCUUGCCAAGCUUCUCUAUCGCAUUGGGACUGAAAUUGCUUAUGACUUUGGCAACUUUGUGUUUUACCAAACUUUGAAGCAUGCAGAGACAUGUGCUGUGAAACUCCCCAUCUCCUUUCCUUCUUUACUGACUGCUAUCAUUCUGAAACAACAUCCUAAUAUCCUCACUGUUGAUGAUGUUCCUGUGCCUAAAGGCCCUCCCAUCACCUUGGACCAACGGUUGUUCCUGGACCCUCAUGUCCUGGACAUUGAUCUGCCAUCCAGUAGGACAUCUGUUCCUGCCUCUAUGUCUGCCUCAGGCACUCACAGUGUCAUUGCUGAACUUGAGGCCAUUUCCAAGGAACUUCAAGAGACGAUCAGGAUUGCUGCUGCUAGGAAGAUUAAGGUGGAUGCUCUCAUUCAAACUCUCCAGGGGGAAGCUGGUCAAGAGGGUGAGCAUGCCGCUGAUGCUGAGAGGGAAGGAUCUGCAGAAAAUGAUGAGGAACACUCCUCUUCUUCUGGUGUUUAGUGCAUCUCCUAGUUGAUUUUUAGUUGGCCUUGGUUAAAUUCUUUCCAUCUUUGCCAAAUUUGUGCUAAAAAGGGGGAGUAGUAGUAGAGUAGUAGUGUGUUGUGGUUUGUUUUUUUUUUGAAGACUUGGUAUUCUGGUUAUGUUAUGUAAUAAGUAUGCAGCUUUGUCAAGACAAGACCAGUUCAGGAGAUAUUUUAUGUUCAAGUGUUCAAGUGCUACAAGCUAGCUUCUGUUCAAGUAUUACCAAGUGUGCUUGUUGGAGAUAUUUUAUGUUCAAGUGUUCAAGUGCUACAAGCUAGCUUCUGUUCAAGUAUUACCAAGUGUGCUUGUUUAGUUUGUACUAUGUUGCAUAUGGGUUCUAUAUACUUUAUGCAGUGUUUAUUUGGAUGCAUCUUUUGAGGGGGAGUUCCUCCAUGUUUUGGCUGUUGUUGAUGCAUUGGUUUGAGGGGGAGUAUUUCUGCUGCUGACUCUGAUGAUUUUGAUAUUUUUUCCCUCUCUGGUAGUGAAGUUGUUUUUAGUCAAAAUUUGACAAAGGGGGAGAUUGUUGUUCCUUUGUUGUCAUCAAUUUUGUUAAAAACAACCUGAUGUCCUAGCCGAUGUUGUGACAUUUGCCUUGAUGAAGGCCAGGACAUCCGCCCCUGCUGGCAUGCAAGUGGGUCCCUUGUGGUUAUGCUUUAUGGUAUGAUCUGUGCUUACUUGAAGGUCAAGUAACUGUGUGUUGGGAGCCAGUUGCGGGUUGUUUUUGUUGAAGCAAAUCUGUGAUUAAAAAGAUUUGUUUCUAUUUUUACUUGUUGAUCACUCAUAUCAGAUCUUGAAAGAUUCUCUACUGAUAUGAGUUGGAUCAAAGUGUUCUUCAGCCCAAAUAAACCCUAGCCGCCUCUGCUGAAGUAUAUAUUGACAAAGACCUGAAGCUUGAAGUUGAUGGAGAGAAUCACCUUGAAGUUCAAGUGUUCUUAAGAGUGUAAGUUGUUCUUUGUCUUUGUUAGUUGUGAACUCGUCUUGCUCACUGAUUCUAUAAAGUGAGACUGAGUUCUGUGUUGUGUUUGAGUGUCAAACAAACUCUGUGUUAUUGUUGUUCACUAAUCAAUGUGGCAGUGAUUGAGGAAAAGUGAGAGGGGCUCUCAUACUUAGGCUGUGGUUCUAAGUAGAAUACCACUGGGUAGAUUAGGUUAAGAACAAUGAACUUGAUGUGUUCAUGUGUGUCUGUAAUACCUAGUUCUUGAGAUAGUGGAAUUCCUUUUCAUUGGGCGAAAGCUAACCAGACGUAGGUGUAGUUUCACCGAACUGGGUUAACAACUUCCUGUGUCUUGUUUCCUUUUAGUUGUUUGUUGUUUUGUGUUUAGGUCUUUCAGUAGUAUGAUGUUCUAAUCGAUUGUCCCAGCAUCGUGCAGGACAUUUGUUCUAAGGGAUCUAGAAUUUCAAACCCAUUACAAACUGAUAAAGGAACGAGAUUUUUUUACAUGACUAGUGCAACUUUCAAAUAAAUUUACCAAACUAGUGCAACUUUUGAUUUAAUUACAAAAAUAGUGUUAAUCGCCACUUGAAGUGGCGAUAUCUCUUUUUUUUUUUCUUUUUUUUUAUGAAAUCGUCACUAGCAGUGGCGACACAAUUUUUUUUUUUGACUUUGUUUAAUAGUGACGGAAAAUUGUCCGUCACAAGCUCUGUCGCUAAAAUUUUUGUGACGGAAGUAUCUAUACUUCAAUUUCCGUCGCUAAGUUCUUUUUCAUUGUUCACUAGGAUUUUGAGAUGAAAUAUACUUCAUCGCAAACAGAAUUCCGUCGCUAGAAACUUUGUGACGGACGCUAUCUUUCUUCACAUUCCGUCACUAAUAUCUUUUAUAUUAAAUAUUAGGAUUUUGUGACGGAUACGAUUCCGUCACUAACUUAGAAAGUAAAAAAAAAAAUAUAAAUAUAGUGUCGCCACUGUUAGUGAUGAUUUCAUAAAAAAAAAAAAAAGAGAUAUCGCCACUUCAAGUGGCGAUUUACACUAUUUUUGUAAUUAAAUGAAAAGUCGCACUCGUUUGGUAAAAUUUUGUUAAUACUACACUAGCCUUGUAAAAAAGUGAAGGAACGAAGUACAAAACGAAAAACAGAAAGAGGAGUAAUCUAAGAGGCUAUAGAUCAUAAGUAGAGCCAAUGUAUAUGGCAAGAAUUAAUAUGUAGCAAGCCCUUCAUUAUGAGAACAUAUCCACGGGGAUAGUCUAGAGAUUGAUUCAAUUGGAUCAAUUGUUCUAAUAUAGGUCCAAAUUCCUUCCUCUUUGAGCCAGGUGCCACCUCCACUAGCUAAAUAAGUUUCUACUGAAAUAAGUUCUUAUAUGAGAACCUAAGAAUAAAUAAAUAGUGAUUGUUAGGUCUAAUCAUGAAUGGUCAAGAUUAAAAUAAUUUAGUGGUCACACGAUCAUUUAAAAAUAUCAUGUGACUUUUUCAAAAGUCAAAUGUCUUCAUGUUUUAAUCUUAAUCAUUCGUGAUAAGAUUCGAUCAUGAUUUAUUCUUAUAUUCUCACAUAAUAACAUUUCUCUCAUAAGAUACAUCCUCCUAAUGUCAGUACCUAUGCUUUAAGAUGACAAUGCCAGUUGAUACAGCAGCAUCUUACUACGGUUUAAACUCUUGGUGGCAAUUGCAUUUCAGCAUAACAGCCUGCUUCCCCUCGAUCUUAUGCACAAUCCUUACUUCCAAAUUUCAUUUCCUGCUGCUCUGCUUCCCUUACUGUUCAAGCCCCCACCAAUGCCCUAUUACCAUUCUUUGUUUACAAAGGCACAAUUCCAGCCUUCAUGACCUGCAACCACCACAAACACACGCAGCACAUAUCAUAAAACGGCCUUCACUGCAAACAGAACGAGAAACACAAUCAUGCAGUAAAAGACAGAUUCAAAAGAGAGCCUGAGUCUCUGGCUAUGCUCUCUUUUGAAGAUAAGAACAUAUUCCAAAACAUGAAAUUUGGUUUUAAAAUAGAAAGCACAUUGAUAUUCAAGUUUGGAUAUGUUUCAAGAGAAAAAUAUAAAUUGGUCUAACAAGUAGAUCUUUUGCCCCGUGUCAUAAAAAAAAUAAUAAAAAAUCUUGUGCCCUGUUGUUUUGGCCAGUCAAGUACAGAUGAUAUGUUUUCUGUUUUCAAGAAGAUUGGCAAAGUAAAUAUUUUAAUAGAACAUAGCCAGGAAAUUUGGAAAGGUUAUUAUUUGCUAUUAAGGGAAUAUCAAAUUUAUUUCCCUCUGGUCUUCACUGGCAUAUGCCUAUGCCUGAAUGACCUUGCAAAACAAAUCAGCAAACAUCACCUUCAGAGUUUAGACUCAGCUCACCCAAAAAUAACAACCUUCCAAAUAAAGUUAUAAUCUGUACUUGCCUGAAUUUAAAAACAAAAACAAUCCAGAAUAACAAGAGAAAACAAAAAUUAGACUAGAAAUGAAUUCUUAAUCUAAGCAAAUUAUUUUAUAAAACAUCUCAUUAACUUUUUUUUUUGAAUUCACAUCUUAUUAAGACAUUAACUUAAAAAAAAUAAAAAAAAAUUUCCUUGUUGUUACCAAAAAAAAAAAAUAAAGAAACGACAAAUCUGCAAUCUGUUAAACCGUAACCAUGGUUCUGUUUCCCUUUCAAUUUCGUCAUUCCCAGAAAUUUUCUGCCUAUCACUAUCAUUCAUAUAAAGAUCAUCACUGAUAUCAGAUUCAUCACUUGUUUCUCUGAAAUUUGCAUCAUCGUCAUCACGAUAGUUUCUUGCUGUUCAAUCAAGUCUCUUUUUCUGAGGAUCACUUGCUGAAUUUAACUGACCAAAUAGAUCAUAUACAUAUAGAUACAGAUUACAGCAUGUUCUGAUUCAAUAAUGAGAAAAAGAAUUGUGCACCUGAAAGGAUUGAAGAAUACAUGAGUCUGUUGUUUGACCAGAGAAUGAUAGUGGAAAAACACCAGAGGAUGGAACUGCUCUCUGCACCUGGUAAUACAUUCUCUAGAUAAAUUGUCUAAUGGGGAAACAAUUUAUAUAUUACCAGUUGGGACCAGGGUCCCCUCAUUAGACAAAGUUAACUGAUCUAACCCAUCAUAGGACAGUUAAUAACAAAAGUCUAAUCUACCAUCCAUCAUAAUACAUGUAAUUAAAUUAAAUUAAUAAUUCACAUAAUUGAUAUUAAUAACCAAAACAAAAUAUAUCUUAGUUAAUUGAUAAUGUUAACCCACAUAACAAAAGAGAUAGUUAAUUAUAAAUAAAUCUAACAUUCUCCCACUUGGAUUAACAUUUGUCAAUUAAUAUAAAAUAUAUGUAUCAUUAAACGAAAUAUCAAUUAUGACAAAAUACAUGUAAUCCAAAGAAAUAUAAGUUGUGCACCAAAAGUUACUCAACAAAAGAUUAUAUCCGAUAGGGAUAAUAACCAUAUGUAACAAAGUCUUAUAUUUCAUACAAAACAAAGAUGGAUAUAGAAAGCACAGUGAUAACCAGAAGUGCUAUUCCAUAAAAUGACCCAAGCAUCUAAAAUGCUAUAUGAGAUAUGAUAACAAAAGCAACAACAUAUCUCAUAAACUACAAUUCAGACUCCCACUGAUCCUAAACAUCAAAAGACUUUAACCACAUGAGUUAUGUGACUCCAACAAUAAAGUCUUAGAUCAGUGAAUAUACCAUUAUCAAUAAUGUAUUUCAUUAGAGUCUGAAAUUUUAUCACAAGGGGUCUACAAGUUCAUUAGGCACCAUCAAAGCCACAAACAAAAUUCCACAAGGUCUAAGUGCAUUUUGGCCCAACAAGAAUAAUAAUUACAUAUUGGCUAAACAACAAAAUGCUCUGCAGAAAUUGACAUAUAAUUAAUUCAAGAUUUCCUAAACAAGUGACUAUAAAUCCAUGUGAAGCUCGAGUUUAACAAUAGCAUGGAUGAUACUUGUUUAAACAAAAUGAUAUCUUGAACUAAUAAAUCACAAAAUAUCAAUAAUGAGCAAGCACUUAUGAUUAUUGGUCUAAAACAAGAGUAUAAGUACCUUAAGAAUGUAAGAAAUCAUACUCGAUAGGAGUAGUGAUCCUAUGCAUCUAAGUAACUUUUACAUUUGACCAUACAGAACGUGGAAUGUUGGCUAGGAUCACAAGCACAGUAAAAAUACAUGCCAAUGUGUUGUACCAACAAAAUAAUGUUGGCCUAAAUCGAAAGCACCUCAAAAUUGCAUGUCAAAUGUGCUGUACCAAAACAUAAUGUUGGCCAAAACAAAAGCACCAUAAAAUUGCAUACCAAAUGUGUUGUACCAACCGAAUAAUGUUGGCCAAAAUCAAAAGCACCGUAAAAUUGCAUGUCAAAUGUGCUGUACCAACAAAAUAGCCCCAACCACUUAUUAAAAGUGCUUACUAAGAUUCAACAUAAUUAAUAUAUAUAUAUAUAUAUAUAUAUAUAUACACACACAUAUAUCUCUCGGUACACUAGAAUGAGAAUGAGUACCAAAGUCUCCAAAAGAGUAUGUCAUAUAAUUAUCAAAGUACGCAUAAGAGCAUAUGACAAUAAAAUAGCUCCAAAAAUAUACCAUGAUAACACAAAAGUGCACACAAAAUAUAUGGUAUAUAUAUAUUACUAAGUAGUCUUAAGACAAAGCAAUUGUAUGCACACUCCCACUAAUCUAAUAUACCAUGAUAAUAUUAGAAAUUCAUUAGUGGCAACUAGUACCAAAAUACUCUUAAUGAUACAACUUUUAAUAGUGGUUUAGUGGCUUCAUGGCAAAGUCAAUGUGAGUCUGGAACUCACAAUCUUUUUCUCUUCAAGGAUAAUUAAUUAGAGAGAAGUACAAUAAUGCAGAGUUAUCACGAGAAGUGAUUACUAAAGAAUCACAAGAUGGAGCUCAACAUAUAUACCACAAAUUCUUAUGAAAUUUGUGAUGAAACUAACCACAAACUCAGCAUAUGAGAUUAAAGAGAUUAUAAACGUCCAUUUAACAUUUAUCAACAUAAAAUCUCCUUAUAUUAUCACAUACAUAAAAUCAUUAAAGAUUUUAUCUAAGAGGAAACCCACAAUUUAUAAACAAAUGAGUGAGAUUAACAUCCCUAAUAUUUUAAAUAAAAUAUGAGAUCACUUGUAUGUUUUCAACAAACUCACUCAAAGUUCAAGUGCUACAAUAUAGACAAUCACUAAACACACUUGAUCACAAAGUUGGGUUACCACUAACAACAGCGGAAGCAUAUAGGACCUAUGGUUAAUCAUUGUAGAGGAUAUUGUAACAAGUAGUCUCUAACUCUCACUGUCACUAUAUAUUGUGGGUAAGAAGCAAUAGGUCAAUGCCAAUAUGCUAAUUUGAUAGUUUGACAAAUUAUCUUAACAAUCAUAGGGAGUUAAUUGUAUUCCAAUAUUCCUUUUGAAAGAUUGUAUUCCAAUAUUCUCAAAAGAGACUUAAUAAUAUCCUCAAUAUAGGUCCCACUAUAAAGUGAUAUCUAGUAGUAUAUCACACAUAAGUGUGUCAAUUUUCAAAUUUAACUAAUUGAGCAAUUAAUGGAGUGAGAGACAUUGCAUAACUUCAGUUGGAAAAGAUAAGAGCAAACAAGCCUCUCCCACUUGAUAGAGAAAAAUAGUUGAGUUAAUCAUACUAGAAUAAAACAACAGGAUACUUUAAGUAUUUUUAAAUUAAAAGAAUAGCCAAAACUAUUUUCUCUAUCACACAAUGAUCAUGUCAAGCAAUGUCAUACCGAUAAGGUAUAUCCAUUACUUACACAAUGCAAUAAUAAGGAAAAUUAUAUCAAUAGAUAUUUUAUUCAAUAUAAAUUUGCUUUGCGAUAGGCAAAUGCAAAUCUUUAAGAUAAUGUAUUGUAACAAAUUGCUCAAUUAAUAUAAUGUAUCUAAUCAUAUGUCCCAUAAAAAUUCUAAUAUCGAUAGGAUAGUAGAAUGAAUUGACAUAAGUUAACAACGCAUAAUACAUUACAAACAAAACAACAAAUUACACUAAUAAUAAUAUACCGAUAGAGUACAUUAUCAGUAAUGUAAAUAUACACAAAUUACAAGUAGAUUCUUUAAAGAAUUUAGGUAAUAUAAUUUGUUCAAAUUCUGAAUAACUACGCCCACGAUAGGUGAGAUCGCAGUUACACAAAAUAUAAUAAAGCGCAUGUAAUCACACCAAAGUAUUCUGAAUAACUGCGCUCACGAUAGGUGAGAUCACAGCCACACAAGAUAUAAUAAAACGUGUGUAAUCACACCAAAGUUUGUAUAAACCAUAAGAUGUAUUUUAUAUACAAAGAUUAUAGGCUUUAAUUAUAUAACGACCUAAAAUAUUAGUUCCAUAUACAAAGAAAAUAGCAAACAUAUUAUACUAAAAAUAUUGCUAGCAAACUAAAGAACUGUCUCCAUAAUUUUAAGGUCCAUGAGCCUAUAGCAUAGUAAUAAAAAAUUACUAUUCAAUAUUUGGUUUAUAUAAAUAGGAGCGCACAAAAGAAUUUUAAAUUUUCAACAUGAAACUCAUAUAGCAAAAUUUAGCCAUAAAAUAUGGUAGUCUGAUCACAAUUUAUAUUUAACUGCCACUUUAACAAACUAAGUAAUAACCAAGUAUUACAAUGGUUAAAUAAUAAAUUUAUUAUAGACUUCCAAAAAAAAAAUAUAUGACAUCAUGUCUUAAUUGCCGCACUAAUAUAAUUGCAUAGCUAAAAGAAACAUAAACAACAAUCGGAGAAUUAAUUUUAUUAACGAAAUUCUCCAAACAUGAAAUUAUAUAAUCAAUCAGUAUAUAAAGAUUUUAUAAUCAAAUUUAGAGAGUGUUCCGUUUAUCUUUGUGAGUAGAGCCAAUAAAAUUCAUAAUUUAAUAAGCUCAUGAAACUCAAUAUAUUCUUCUCUUUAAUGGGUGAUACAUUAAACUAUAAAAAUAUAAAAUACUUUUCCAUAUAUAAAAUAUAUAUUAGUGAUAAUUUUGAUUUCAUAAUUGCACUGGUAGAGAAGAAAAGAAAAAACGUGCUUGGAAUGCCAAUUCAUAUUGGUUUUGAUAUUUAAGAGCAACUCCAACCCCAAAAUUCUUAUCUAGUUUCUUAACACACUAUUCAGCACUAUUCCUGUGGGCCCGUACUGCCACAUCAGACUUAAGAAACUCCUAGGAAACUGAAGCAGAUUUUGCUCCAACCCAUGGUUUCUUAAAUUACUAUUUGAAGGGUCCCACCCGUGUCCCACCAUACAACAUAAAUUAAUAAUAUUUAUUUUCACUCAAUUUAGAUUUAACAUUUAAUACUAAAUCAAUACUUCAACUUAAAAAUAAUUUAAUUAAAAUUAAUACGAAUUUAAUUUAAAUUUUAUUUUACUUAAUAUUUAAAACAAUUAAAUUUAAAUAUCGGCAUGUUAACUUGAAACAAAAAUAAAAAAGUACAUUGUGUUUUUUAUAACAAAAACAAUUUUAUUGAAUGAUAGAAAUAAAGACGAAAGAAAAUACAUGACAAUGAAAAAUAAGCAACAAUACAUUUGAAAUGAAAUACAUAAUAACACUUGAAGGUUAAUUUUCAUUAUUCUCGUUUUCGGGAAGCUGCCAAAUAUGCUCCACAAAGUCUACUUGAAGUUGGUGAUGAUUUGACCUAUCAAUUUGAUGUGCUCUUCUUUCCAAGAUAUUUCUAAAAGCCGGAAUAGGACCACUUACUACUUCAGCAUUCAAUAUGUCAUUAUUGACCUGAUCAUAAACAAAAUUACCUCGGUACGUGUUGCGCUCAUCUUCAACAAUCAUGUUGUGCAAUAUGAAGCAAGCAUACAUUAUUGACAUCAUCUCAUUCGGAUGCCAAAAGCGUGAUGGACCACGAACUAUUGCAAACCGAGAUUGGAGAACGCCGAAUGCACGUUCAACGUCCUUUCUUGCUCCUUCUUGUCUUUUCGCAAAUUUUUGCCUUUUUUCUCCUUGCGGCAUUGGGAUGGUCUUCACAAAUGUAGCCCACGGGGGAUAGAUACCGUCUGCUAGAUAGUAUCCCAUGUUAUACAUUGUUCCAUUCACGCUAAAGUUCACCAUGGAAGCAUUUCCACUCAAAACCUCAUUAAAAACCGGAGAUUUAUUUAGCACAUUAAUGUCAUUGUUAGAACCUGUGUAACACCCCGAUUUCGGUGGCGUCACUUUAGUAACCAAAAUAAACUUAAUGCGGAAAAACGUAAAUAUUUUUUUUCGAUAAUAAUAUAAACAAGACUGAAAUAAAUAUAACGCAAAUGCGAAAGACAACAGAACCAAUAUACAAAGUAAAAUACAGCCCCCGCUGUAAGUAACAACCUCGUCACGAGUAACCUCCAGUGAAGGAAAGAAGAAAAGUGUAGCGCCCGUAGGCAAUAUAUACAAACCAACAGGAAAGGUUAAGUGUCCGCAACACCACCUCCAAAAAUGAGAAUAAGUUGGCCCAAUGGCCUGAAAGAAGACCUCCUAAGUCCAACCAACUCCCUGUGAUUCCCGUAAAGAAACCACACAAAAAGCUAUAGGUGGGAAACUAUAAAGUCAAAGCUCAAACAGUAUAAGUAAGAUAGGUGUGCUUGCACACGCUACGCGAGUAAUGGAACAUAUUAUACUGAAAUGAGAAAGAAUGGUUAGAAGGUUACCAUCGUUCUUGCGCUCUCCUGUGACAAACCCCUCAGCUCUCUCACCGUCCAUGGUGUAGACUCUUGCUAUAGCCGCAGAACGCUUUCCACGAGCAGUGUUCACGGUUGGCUCCGUCUUGGGUGCUCUGCACUGAUCGGCAGUGUGCCCCAUUUUGUUACAAUUAAAGCACUUGGGCCUCGUGUCGGAACAAGCGUUAGCAUAGUGCCCCGGCUUCCCACAUCUGAAACAAGUCAUCUCCCUGUUCAAAGUCCGAUCUCCAGAACCACCAGCAGUACCCGUCAUGGGUCGGUAAGAUCCUGAAGUAAACCCUUUUUCAGCAGGGCGCUGAUAUGGCCUCCCGUUCUGAAAUUUCCCUUUGCCUUGAAAAUUUUGAGAACCUGAUCUCAUCGGUCCUCCAGUUCCAGCACGGUUCAACCUUCUAUUCUUCAUUAGCUCCACUUCUGUGGCUUUCUCCACCAACGACUGAAAGCGCAUAAUUCCCAAUGGCCUCACUGAGUCCUCAAUAUCAGGCCUCAGUCCAUUAACAAAGCGCUUGCACAUAUAGCGCUCAUUCACAUGAUCAUGGAAGAAUUGAAAAUGCUUCGCCAAAGAUUUCAGCUUCGAAGCAAAUUCCAGUACAGACAUACCUCCCUGACGGAGUGUUAGAAACUGUGCCUCCCUCUCAUCCCGAGCACUUGUUGGAAAAUACUUUUCCAAGAAUGCGGUCCGGAAAGAGUUCCAGUUGAUCUCUUCAUGGUUGUCUUCCAUAAUCUCCCUGGUGCCCCUCCACCAGUACUCAGCAUCACCCAGCAGCAAGUAAGUUGCCAUGCCAACCUUGGCACCCUCAACAGUUUGCAAAACACCGAAAAUCUUCUCGAUUUCCUGGAUCCAGAGAUCCGCUUUGUCUGGGUCAGUACCACCAGAGAACCUUGGUGGGUUUUGCCUCCUGAAAUCAUUCAGGCCUUUGUUCUGGUCCAGAGUUACUUCCUUCUGGCGCUGAUGCUGUUCACGUGCCUCCUCAGCAGCACGCCUCAUCGCAUUAUCAUUAGCUUAUGAAGUUACAGCUUGGGCCAUAGUGGCCAUCAUCUCAGCUAACUGGUUAGUAUUCACCAUGUUCUGUUAAGUUAAACAAACAGUUAGUACUCAUCAUAAGAUAGCAUCUAGUAUAACUAUACAAUAUGAUUAAGCAAUAACUUCAAUCAAUUCUAUGCGAGAAAUCGCUUGCAGACAAUCAAUUUUCACUCUUUGUAGAGUCACACAACCUAGCACCGAAGACCUAUUCCCCAACAACUCCCGAAAGACUCGACCGUGCUAUGAUACCACAAUGUAUAUAAACGACAGUAAAUCACAGUUAUCAUGCCUCAAGUAGAACUAACAAGUAUCAAACACACUCAACAACUAAGUCAGUAUGCAUGUUGCAUGAGAUGAUAUGCAGGUUAACCCAGUCAACCAAAUGCAUUCCGGAAACGGAUGGACAUCAAACGGAUCAAUCCUAGCACCAGCAACGGUGGGACCAUUUCUGCCCGCGUGCCUCUUACACCACACAAAGGUAGUCAGAUCAGCCGUAACCCGUAGGUCUGCCAUUUCGGUCUGCUACAAGAGUCGUCUACAAACGCUCUUACACGGCAUUCCGGGUCUUAUGACCAUUUUGGAAACCGACGAGGUCCAGAGUACGUCCUGUGUUAAUACCUCAUUAAUGUUGCAUGAAUGCAGGAUGAUUAGUCAAACAACGUCUCCGAAUCUUACUCGACACGUCGCCAUGUGUUCUAGCUAAAUUAAAGUCUCUAAAAGCUUACCCUAAGGUAACAGUCGAUUCUGCGACAAAAGACCCUUCUCAAUAACACAUAGCUCAUGAUGAUCUCCAAAUCAUCCGACUCAUCUCAAUCCGAUGGUCGUAACUGCUCAACGAGCAAAGAGUACCACGUACUCGGAAACUAUCAAUUUCCCGGACUUAUCCCCAGGAUAGCCCAACAACACAGCUGCUCCAAUAGCACAAGAGUAUCCCGCAUUCACAAGGUCUCACGCCUCAGUGAAGCUUCUCGGCUCAUCCCUUGGAUGGCUAAACAAACUGCUCAACGAGCGAAGGAGUAUCAACAUACUCAGAACUUACCAAUCUCCUCAACACUUGGAUCCGACGACACUUCUCGUUUUCCAAAACUAAGAUUCGACUCCUAAGCUUCCUUCGAGAUUAUUAUCAUUACUUAAAGAUUUAGAGGUUGUUUAAGGUCUUAUGAGUUUUCUUCACAAAAUAAUAUCCUUUUAGCCUUAUCGCAAUUCUUAUAAGUUCUCGGGAUCUCCAAAUCCCCAAAUGACACCAGAGAAUGUCUCGAUCCAUGAAACACCAUAACAAGGUCCGAAUCUCAUUCGUCCUAUCAAACUUUCUCAAAACUCUCAAAAUAAAAUCGGCAUGACCUGCCCGCUAUUCUCACUACUCAGAAUCUCAGAUUUCAUAGCAGCAGCAUAAUUAACUCAUCACAGUCAACAACAUAUCAUGUAUCAAUACAUCUCAGAAUAAACACAUAGCACUUAGCAUAUAAAGCAUGCACCACACAUCCUAAAUUACCUAAUUAGCACUUAGCAUGUAAUUCACUCUCAAAAACAUUCAGUAGAUGAAUCAUCUACAUUGUCAGCCGAAGCCUCAGAAAACAUUUUUCCAAUCAAACACAAACAAGUGCAUAAACAGUAAACAAUGUCGAAAGCAUCGACCCUAAGCAUUAUCUAGAGAUUCAGUGAGAAGCCCUCACCUGUAGAUUCUCCAGGGUGAACUUCAAACUCUUCCUCACAAGCAAAGCGUUGCUCCUCAGGAAAUUCCUCAAAAGCUCCUUUAAAGCAAAAACACAGAAAUACUAUCAGAAUCUAUCGAAAACUAAGCUAUCGAUACUUACUAAGGUUACUCGAAGUAGUUCAUACUCCGAGGUACGAUAGUCUAGCGCGAAAGGACAAGUUUUCGGAAAAGGAAAUUUUCCUCCUCCUCCCCCUAUAAGCUCGGCCACUUUAGGUAAUUAGGGGACUCGAUUUUUCUUCGAUCAAACUUGGUUCCUAUGCUAUCAUUAGCCGUAACUAAGGGUAUUCUGAACUCGGAAAAAUUAUCGGAUCAAAACUGUCGCAGGGGUAUUUUGGUCAUGAUUUUUAACUUAUAAUUUCAAAACUGAAAUCCCAAAAACCAAAUUUGACAGGGACGUUACUAACGACGUUUAUGACAACUAAUCCUACUAGCACUAAGCUAAGGCGAUAGUUUUUAGCCUAAAGGUUGAAGCUUUACUCUAAAAACUCCAAAAAUGGGUAUUUAAGGCUAAAAUUGAUUCCGGCGGAAAUCCGGCGACAUUACGGAAAAUCUAAUCCGGCAGAAGUGAUCUUGGGCACAUAAGGAAGAGGUUUAGAAUCAGAAAUGAAAUAUUCAGGAUAGUUUUGCAAAAACCUCAAAACUAUCAGCUCAGAAAAGUCUACAGAAAAGCUAUGGAAAAAGCGAUCAGAGGUAAGGAUUAGCGACUAUACCUCGAAACCUUGGAGCAGCAACUGAUUAAUCAACGAUCAAGCAAGUAAUGAAGAAAAACUCUUCCUCCUUCUCCUUCUCUUGGCCGCGGGUUUGGGUGGGGAAAAUGGGUAGUUUUUUUUGUGUUUUUCUUCCUUUCUUGGCUAUAUAUAGAGGUUGGCAAAACGCGGUAAAAUGAAAGUUUCGCGAAUCUGAUUUUUCCGGCUUCAUUCUCCAUGAAUUCUAAGAUAGGUUUUGGUAACAUAAAUCCAGAACUCAAAAGAGGUUCCCUUGUAUUUUUGGUAACUAAUGCAAAGUCGGUGUAAAACUAUUUUACCCGAUAAGUUGCUUUUUGCAUCGGAUGUCGGAAUAGAAAACAUCCUUCUGAAGAAAGAUUGAAAUCAUCAAGAGAAAUGGGUGUACGCGUGUGGAAUCUUCAUUUGAAGCUCUGAAUAGAAAAAGUCUUCAUUGUCGGUUGAUUCUAGGGUUUUGAAAUACCAGGGAUUCGGUUUCGGCAAACUUCCGAUGAUUGGAAUUGGACGUUCGUAGAUCCUAGAGUUUCGCCUCGAAACGAUUGUGAUAUAUGGAAAAAGAGAAGUUCUAAUAUUACUCUGAAGAUUUUUGGACUAAAUUCCUACAGUGUUCCAAGGGUGGAACAUAGUUUGAUUUCCUAAGGUUCUUGUCCUAGGUUUUAAAACGAAUAUUAGUCGUGCUAUAACUUAAAUCGACUUCGAUACAAUCCUUUGACUUUUCCUGAACUUUCUCCUUCAUACAUUUAUUUCAUUUAAUAAACUCUUGUUCAGGUUUCCCUUCACAACCCAUCAACCCUAAUCGUGAAUAAGAUUUUAUUCACUUGGCAUAAGUUUAAAAACUUGGGCCUUACAUUACUAUCCUCCAAAAAGAAAGUUUCGACCUCGAAACUUAAGGGUCAGUAAAAAGUUCCGGAUAUUAUUCCUUGAUCUUUUCCUCUAAAUCCCAUAUAGCACCGUCCAUGUCUUUGUUCCAAAUAACUUUCACCGAAGCACUCUGCUUUCUGCUAGAUCGUUUCACUAUUCCAGCCCCAAUGCAGACCGACGGCGUCUCAAAAGACAUAUCAUCUUCCAACUCUAUGUUGUCCGGUUCGACCACUUGCAUCGGGUCUCUGUUGGAAAUAAUAUUUGUUGUCAUUCGUGCAAUCGCACGGCCUUUACCACUUAUUCCUUUGCUUUUGUUCGUCCAAAAUGUUGAUUAGAAACUUGGUACAUCUCUAUGCUCCGGAGUGAAUGCUCAACUUCAGUCUUAAUACCUUGUGCAUCACAAGACUCAUUCCCUUUAACAUUAACUUAUCAACAACUUAUAAGCUAAUCUUCAUCUUAAUAUCUAACAAUUCAUUAUUGUAGUCUUCGUCCUCAAAACCUUCCUCACUCAAACCAAUUCAGACUUACUGAAAUCCCUAACACUUCGCAUAAAUCGAGAUUUAUCCUCUAGAAGAUCAAAUCAUAGCUAUACCUCAAGGGACUUAACUAGUCAUUUUAUCAUCCCAUCCUCCAAUCAAUCCAAUACUUCUUAAAUGAAUAUUCCUUUCUUAAUACGAACACUCCUUCCCAAAGGAAAUCAAUUACUCAACACGAACUUUCCUCCCAAAUCCGACUAAUCCUCGACCAAUUCAAAUUCAUCUUACACAUCCUUCUAUCAAAGUCCAUAGCUAGCUGUGAUUCCGAAUAUCACCCCCUCAAUAUUAAGUUGAUCAGGCCUAAUACAUCGAAGGUGGAAAUAUAGAAAAAACCUACUGGAACAGUCAAUGAGUUCCUAUCAUCCAAUAGUCACAAAUAUCUUGAUAUUAAAUCCUCAAUGAUGUCGCUACGAAACUACAUACUCUCGACAUCAUAUGUAUACUAUCCAUACGAAAUCUCUCUAAGAUUCAUUCUUUAACUUCUAGCUUCUGGUUAAACGCAUCGGUACAAGACUACUUUCUAGGCUUAACGUGUUAUGUUAAACCUCGGGUACUUCUAUAGCUAAAAUACGAGCUACGGUCAAAUAAGGUAUUAAUAAGGUAUUAACCUGGCUCUAAUACCACAAUGUAACACCCCGAUUUCGGUGGCGUCACUUUAGUAACCAAAAUAAACUUAAUGCGGAAAAACGUAAAUAUUUUUUUUCGAUAAUAAUAUAAACAAGACUGAAAUAAAUAUAACGCAAAUGCGAAAGACAACAGAACCAAUAUACAAAGUAAAAUACAGCCCCCGCUGUAAGUAACAACCUCGUCACGAGUAACCUCCAGUGAAGGAAAGAAGAAACGUGUAGCGCCCGUAGGCAAUAUAUACAAGCCAACAGGAAAGGUUAAGUGUCCGCAACACCACCUCCAAAAAUGAGAAUAAAUUGGCCCAAUGGCCUGAAAGAAGACCUCCUAAGUCCAACCAACUCCCUGUGAUUCCCGUAAAGAAACCACACAAAAAGCUAUAGGUGGGAAACUAUAAGGUCAAAGCUCAAACAGUAUAAGUAAGAUAGGUGUGCUUGCACACGCUACGCGAGUAAUGGAACAUAUUAUACUGAAAUGAGAAAGAAUGGUUAGAAGGUUACCAUCGUUCUUGCGCUCUCCUGUGACAAACCCCUCAGCUCUCUCACCGUCCAUGGUGUAGACUCUUGCUUUAGCCGCAGAACGCUUUCCACGAGCAGUGUUCACGGUUGGCUCCGUCUUGGGUGCUCUGCACUGAUCGGCAGUGUGCCCCAUUUUGUUACAAAUAAAGCACUUGGGCCUCGUGUCGGAACAAGCGUUAGCAUAGUGCCCCGGCUUCCCACAUCUGAAACAGGUCAUCUCCCUGUUCAAAGUCCGGUCUCCAGAACCACCAGCAGUACCCGUCAUGGGUCGGUAAGAUCCUGAAGUAAACCCUUUUUCAGCAGGGCGCUGAUAUGGCCUCCCGUUCUGAAAUUUCCCUUUGCCUUGAAAAUUUUGAGAACCUGAUCUCAUCGGUCCUCCAGUUCCAGCACGGUUCAACCUUCUAUUCUUCAUUAGCUCCACUUCUGUGGCUUUCUCCACAACGAAUGAAAGCGCAUAAUUCCCAAUGGCCUCACUGAGUCCUCAAUAUCAGGCCUCAGUCCAUUAACAAAGCGCUUGCACAUAUAGCGCUCAUUCACAUGAUCAUGGAAGAAUUGAAAAUGCUUCGCCAAAGAUUCCAGCUUCGAAGCAAAUUCCGGUACAGACAUACCUCCCUGACGGAGUGUUAGAAACUGUGCCUCCCUCUCAUCCCGAGCACUUGUUGGAAAAUACUUUUCCAAGAAUGCGGUCCGGAAAGAGUUCCAGUUGAUCUCUUCAUGGUUGUCUUCCAUAAUCCCCCUGGUGCCCCUCCACCAGUACUCAGCAUCACCCAGCAGCAAGUAAGUUGCCAUGCCAACCUUGGCACCCUCAACAGUUUGCAAAACACCGAAAAUCUUCUCGAUUUCCUGGAUCCAGAGAUCCGCUUUGUCUGGGUCAGUACCACCAGAGAACCUUGGUGGGUUUUGCCUCCUGAAAUCAUUCAGGCCUUUGUUCUGGUCCAGAGUUACUUCCCUCUGGCGCUGAUGCUGUUCACGUGCCUCCUCAGCAGCACGCCUCAUCGCAUUAUCAUUAGCUUGUGAAGUUACAGCUUGGGCCAUAGUGGCCAUCAUCUCAGCUAACUGGUUAGUAUUCACCAUGUUCAGUUAAGUUAAACAAACAGUUAGUACUCAUCAUAAGAUAGCAUCUAGUAUAACUAUACAAUAUGAUUAAGCAAUAACUUCAAUCAAUUCUAAGCGAGAAAUCGCUUGCAGACAAUCAAUUUUCACUCUUUGUAGAGUCACACAACCUAGCACCGAAGACCUAUUCCCCAACAACUCCCGAAAGACUCGACCGUGCUAUGAUACCACAAUGUAUAUAAACGACAGUAAAUCACAGUUAUCAUGCCUCAAGUAGAACUAACAAGUAUCAAACACACUCAACAACUAAGUCAGUAUGCAUGUUGCAUGAGAUGAUAUGCAGGUUAACCCAGUCAACCAAAUGCAUUCCGGAAACGGAUGGACAUCAAACGGAUCAAUCCUAGCACCAGCAACGGUGGGACCAUUUCUGCCCGCGUGUCUCUUACACCACACAAAGGAAGUCAGAUCAGCCGUAACCCGUAGGUCUGCCAUUUCGGUCUGCUACAAGAGUCGUCUACAAACGCUCUUACACGGCAUUCCGGGUCUUAUGACCAUUUUGGAAACCGACGAGGUCCAGAGUACGUCCUGUGUUAAUACCUCAUUAAUGUUGCAUGAAUGCAAGAUGAUUAGUCAAACAACGUCUCCGAAUCUUACUCGACACGUCGCCACAUGUUCUAGCUAAAUUAAAGUCUCUAAAAGCUUACCCUAAGGUAACAGUCGAUUCUGCGACAAAAGACCCUUCUCAAUAACACAUAGCUCAUGAUGAUCUCCAAAUCAUCCGACUCAUCUCAAUCCGAUGGUCGUAACUGCUCAACGAGCAAAGAGUACCACGUUCUCGGAAACUAUCAAUUUCCCGGACUUAUCCCCAGGAUAGCCCAACAACACAGCUGCUCCAACAGCACAAGAGUAUCCCGCAUUCACAAGGUCUCACGCCUCAGUGAAGCUUCUCGGCUCAUCCCCUGGAUGGCUAAACAAACUGCUCAACGAGCGAAGGAGUAUCAACAUACUCAGAACUUACCAAUCUCCUCAACACUUGGAUCCGACGACACUUCUCGUUUUCCAAAACUAAGAUUCGACUCCUAAGCUUCCUUCGAGAUUAUUAUCAUUACUUAAAGAUUUAGAGGUUGUUUAAGGUCUUAUGAGUUUUCUUCACAAAAUAAUAUCCUUUUAGCCUUAUCGCAAUUCUUAUAAGUUCUCGGGAUCUCCAAAUCCCCAAAUGACACCAGAGAAUGUCUCGAUCCAUGAAACACCAUAACAAGGUCCGAAUCUCAUUCGUCCUAUCAAACUUUCUCAAAAAUCUCAAAAUAAAAUCGGCAUGACCUGCCCGCUAUUCUCACUACUCAGAAUCUCAGAUUUCAUAGCAGCAGCAUAAUUAACUCAUCACAGUCAACAACAUAUCAUGUAUCAAUACAUCUCAGAAUAAACACAUAGCACUUAGCAUAUAAAGCAUGCUCCACACAUCCUAAAUUACCCAAUUAGCACUUAGCAUGUAAUUCACUCUCAAAAACAUUCAGUAGAUGAAUCAUCUACAUUGUCAGCCGAAGCCUCAGAAAACAUUUUUCCAAUCAAACACAAACAAGUGCAUAAACAGUAAACAAUGUCGAAAGCAUCGACCCUAAGCAUUAUCUAGAGAUUCAGUGAGAAGCCCUCACCUGUAGAUUCUCCAGGGUGAACUUCAAACUCUUCCUCACAAGCAAAGCGUUGCUCCUCAGGAAAUUCCUCAAAAGCUCCUUUAAAGCAAAAACACAUAAAUACUAUCAGAAUCUAUCGAAAACUAAGCUAUCGAUACUUACUAAGGUUACUCGAAGUAGUUCAUACUCCGAGGUACGAUAAUCUAGCGCGAAAGGACAAGUUUUCGGAAAAGGAAAUUUUCCUCCUCCUCCCCCUAUAGGCUCGGCCACUUUAGGUAAUUAGGGGACUCGAUUUUUCUUCGAUCAAACUUGGUUCCUAUGCUAUCAUUAGCCGUAACUAAGGGUAUUCUGAACUCGGAAAAAUUAUCGGAUCAAAACUGUCGCAGGGGUAUUUUGGUCAUGAUUUUUAACUUAGAAUUUCAAAACUGAAAUCCCAAAAACCAAAUUUGACAGGGACGUUACUAACGACGUUUAUGACAACUAAUCCUUCUAGCACUAAGCUAAGGCGAUAGUUUUUAGCCUAAAGGUUGAAGCUUUACUCUAAAAACUCCAAAAAUGGGUAUUUAAGGCUAAAAUUGAUUCCGGCGGAAAUCCGGCGACAUUACGGAAAAUCUAAUCCGGUAGAAGUGAUCUUGGGCACAUAAGGAAGAGGUUUAGAAUCAGAAAUGAAAUAUUCAGGAUAGUUUUGCAAAAACCUCAAAACUAUCAGCUCAGAAAAGUCUACAGAAAAGCUAUGGAAAAAGCGAUCAGAGGUAAGGAUUAACGACUAUACCUCGAAACCUUGGAGCAGCAACUGAUUAAUCAACGAUCAAGCAAGUAAUGAAGAAAAACUCUUCCUCCUUCUCCUUCUCUUGGCCGCGGGUUUGGGUGGGGAAAAUGGGUAGUUUUUUUGUGUUUUUCUUCCUUUCUUGGCUAUAUAUAGAGGUUGGCAAAACGCGGUAAAAUGAAAGUUUCGCGAAUCUGAUUUUUCCGGCUUCAUUCUCCAUGAAUUCUAAGAUAGGUUUUGGUAACAUAAAUCCAGAACUCAAAAGAGGUUCCCUUGUAUUUUUGGUAACUAAUGCAAAGUCGGUGUAAAACUAUUUUACCCGAUAAGUUGAUUUUUGCAUCGGAUGUCGGAAUAGAAAACUUCCUUCUGAAGAAAGAUUGAAAUCAUCAAGAGAAAUGGGUGUACGCGUGUGGAAUCUUCAUUUGAAGCUCUGAAUAGAAAAAGUCUUCAUUGUCGGUUGAUUCUAGGGUUUUGAAAUACCAGGGAUUCGGUUUCGGCAAACUUCCGAUGAUUGGAAUCGGACGUUCGUAGAUCCUAGAGUUUCGCCUCGAAACGAUUGUGAUAUAUGGAAAAAGAGAAGUUCUAAUAUUACUCUGAAGAUUUUUGGACUAAAUUCCUACAGUGUUCCAAGGGUGGAACAUAGUUUGAUUUCCUAAGGUUCUUGUCCUAGGUUUUAAAACGAAUAUUAGUCGUGCUAUAACUUAAAUCGACUUCGAUACAAUCCUUUGACUUUUCCUGAACUUUCUCCUUCAUACAUUUAUUUCAUUUAAUAAACUCUUGUUCAGGUUUCCCUUCACAACCCAUCAACCCUAAUCGUGAAUAAGAUUUUAUUCACUUGGCAUAAGUUUAAAAACUUGGGCCUUACAACCUGCAAUGCCAAAAAAUGCAUGCCAAAUCCAGAAGUCUUGUGAUGCCACUACUUCAAGCAUGAUUGUGGGCUUUCCAUGAUCACCUCGGGUGAAUUGACCUUUCCACGCAACUGGACAAUUCUUCCAUUCCCAAUGCAAUUGAAUUCAAAUUUUAAUCUCAACUCAAAUUAAAUGUGGAUUGCUAUUUUGUUCGAAAAACUAAUACAAUCCAAUUUGGAGUUGCCCAACAUACCUGGAAAUCCACGAGACUCGCCUCAUUGAAGUAAGCGGGUAAUGUCUUCCUGGUUCGGGCGCCUCAAGUAUGUUUCACCAAAUACUGCACACACACCUUCCACAAAAUUCUUUAAGCACUCAAUUGCAGUACUUUCACCAAUUCGAACGUACUCGUCAACACUGUCAGCAGGUGAUCUGUACGCCAACAUACGAAUAGCGGCGGUGCACUUUUGUAAUGGUGACAGGCCUUGUCUUCCAACUGCAUCGACAGACAUUAAAAAGUACGGGUCAUGAGACCCAAGGGCCCCUACAAUUAUGAGGAACACAUGCUUUCGCAUUCGAAACCUUCGUCGGAAAAGCUCUUCCGUGUACACAGGAUUUUCGGAGAAGUAGUCAUUCCACAACCGCUCGUUCCCAGCUUCACGAUCUCUCUCUAUCACCUUUCUUGUUCGCUUGGGCCUAACGGUGUUGGCACGUCGUUGAUAAAACUCCAUAUCCUCCUGCAUCAUAUCUUCUAUAGUCGUGUCAUUCAUAAUAUCGUCAAUAAUUACGUCGUAAAUGUCCAAGUCGGACAUAUUGUUUGGAUCCAUUCUAUGACACAAUGAGAAACUAUCAGUGUAAUUGGAUAGGAGGAAGACAAUAUGAGAGGACAAAACAACUCUUGAAUGUUGAGAUGAAUGAAAUAUGACAUGUAUAAAUAAGAGAAACAACAACAGCUAUAUUCUCCAACGGCUAUAUUCUCCAACGGCUAUAUUCCACAACGGCUAUAUUCUCCAACGGCUAUAUUCCACAACGGCUAUAUUCCCCAACGGCUAUAUUCUCCAACGGCUAUAUUUCCCAACGACUAUAUAGAACACAUAAGUAGAAACGCAGUACACAUUAAGAAAAAUUCGAAUACUGAAAUUACAACAUUAAUGCAGAAUACAUAAGUAGAAAUGCUAAAAUUACAACACUGAUGCAAUACACAUAAGUAGAAAUGCUAAAAUUACAACACUAAUGCAGAAUCAAUAAGUAGAAAUGCUAAAAUCACAACAUUGGCACACAUUAAGAAAGACAACAACAAGAAUUAAGACAUUCCUAGUUCAUUCAUGGCGAAUUCAACUAGGCGCUGAUGCGUUGCUAACUGCACCUCGUUCAUUUCAGAUGUGUCCUCCAUAAGGAUAUCUUUGUAUUCCUUCAAUAACCGCGCCUUAUGAAGUUUGUUUUUUUCCUUUCUCACCUCCAGUUCUUCGGUCUUGAGCUUCUCAAAACUCGCCAGGAAUCUCAGUUUAGCUUUCCCGAUGGCUAUCAUCUCGGAGUUAGGAACAUAAUCGAGAUCACUUGAAGCUGUGUCUCCUACUUUGGCUUUCCUUUUCUGGUUCUUUUUUCCCAACGGGCGGGUUGCUGGUUGUGUGGCCUCAUAUUCGUCGCCCUCGAUUGAUGCACUCCGGUAAGACGAUGUUGCAUACACCCCAUCUCCUGACUUCUUCUGCCUCGUUGAACUGGUUGUCAUAAAUGUUCCCUUCCACUUUGGUUCAUCCUUCACCAACCGCCAUUCAUUCUCAUGUUUGAAAUCUUUACCCGUAUCUACAUGAUAUAAUUGAUGCGUCGUAGCCAUGAUGUCCUUAUCUGAGUGUCCACUUUUCCAAUGAUUGACGACUUUAGUGUGGCAACCGACAAAUUUUUGAAGAUCAGCAUUCAAUUUAUUAAAACGAGAUUUCAUGGAUAACCAUGUCCUCGAAGGAGAGGCAUCGUCGCGGUACUCCUCAUAUUGGGCUCGGAUCUUAUUCCAAAACAAAUCUGACUUUUGCUCAUUUCCCACGACCCGAUCGGUAGAAACGUUGAGCCAUGAUUGAAGAAGAAGUAUAUUAUCUUUACCACUCCCUUUGGUGCGUUUCUUUCCGGAUUCUUCAAGAUCAAUAUCAUCUAGACCCCGUUGAGUAGAAAAUUCAGGCUCAUCGGGCAUAACCUCACAUUGUGUACUUGAGACUUUUGAACUACUGCUGCUACCAGUAGGAGGUGCUUGGUAUUGUGGUGGAUACAUACAAUAUUGUGGAUUGUUUGGAUAAGGCAUUUGUGGUGGAUAUGGUCCCAUUUGACCCUGAGGUUGGUUUUGAUGGUAGAACGAUUGUGGAAACAUUUGAUACGAAGGAUUUUGAACAUUACCACCGGUGUGAGGAGGUUGGUUUUGAGGGUGACACAUCUGCGGAUGUUGGCUUUGUGGUUGAUACAUUUGCGGAUGUGGGUUUUGUUGUUGGAACAUCGGCAUAGGUUGGCUUUGCGGACGAAUCAUCUGCGAAUGUUGGUUUUGUUGUUGGAACACCAUCAUAGGUUGGCUUUGCGGGUGAAUCAUCUGCGGAGAUUGGUUUUGUGGCGGAAACAUAGGCGAAGGUUGCAAACCUUCACUUGUAGGAGGUGUUUCAUUGUCGAGCAGUGGAUAAUAUUGCUCAUAAGGAUUAGACAUUUUGAGAAAUUUGAGAAUUUGUGGACAAGAGAGAAAUUGUAGGAGUAAAUGUUGGUGUUUCAAAUGGUCUACUGCACUAUAUAUUAAGGUAAAGAAGCUGAGAAUUGAAAAAACGGUCAGAAAACCGGUCAAUUUAAAAAUAUUCAAAAAAAAAUGCCCAAACGGGCAGAAAACCGGCUCCAGCCGGUCUGGACCGGCCCGUAACGGUGGGAUGACCGGCUCAGCCGGUCACCCACUAUAUAAUCUAUUUUUCCUCACUCACUCUCCAUUCCAACUCUCAACCCUAGUCGCUCCUCUCUUCUUCCUCUCUUCUCUCACGCUCAGCUUCUUCUUCAACCUCAAGCUCUUAAUCACCUUCUUCUUUUCCCCUUCCUCUUUCCCUCUUCCUCUUUCUCUGACCUGCAGCGCCUCCUUUUCCCCUUCCUCUCACCCUGACCUGCAGAUCCUUCCUCUCUACCUCACUUCUCCUUUUCUUCUUCCUCUCGACGCCUCCUCUUCUCCUUCCUCUCUCCCUCACUUCUUCUCCCUCGAUCUCUCUGGUCCACGCCUCCAAAGCCCCAGCCGAUCACCAAACAUCAACCGCCGCCACCAAACAACCACAUGCAGUCACCAUCGGCCACCAAACAACCACCACCGCCAACAUACAGCCUCAAUCCAACCCCCACAACCCCUGUUUGCCAGCUUCAAAGCCUUGAAGCUUGCAAAAAUCCUUCCUUUUCACACAUGCAAGGGCCAAUACUCUCAGAUCAGAGCUUCCAGAACUUCACCGGAGAAGUUUUUUUUUUUUAGGGUUUAGGGAAAUAUCAAUUUUUGUGUUUUAAGUUUCAAUUUCUUCAUGUAAAGUUUCAAUUCAUUCAAUAAAAUUGCAAUUUUCGUCCUCUGAUUAUGUCUCUGUUGAACUUGAAUUGUUCAAUUUCAUCCUUUCUGUUAUGUUUGCCUCUGAAAGCUGUUGGGGAAGUGAGAGAAAAUAUAUUAUUUUAAUUAAGAAACUGAAAAAGCAAAGUUGCUUGCAGAAGCAACCAUGCACUAUAGUUAAGAAACUGAAACUGCCAACUGAGCAAGCUCCAAUGGGUUGAAAAGCUAAGAAACGUUUCUUAGCAACUCCAUUUGGGUUAAGAAACCAGCGUUGAAGUUGCUCUAAUAUACCAUCACCACCACAAGGAAUCAGUCAAGGCACGUGCGGUAAAGAAGUGCAUCAUGUGUAACCAACAUAUGUGCCACGUCCAGGAGAGAGAAAAUAAAGGAAAAUAACCAUUUUUGUUUUGUUUUGUUUAAUUUCUACAGCAAAAUAAUAAGAAAUGCUUCUUCUCUGACUCUCUAUUGAAGAACAGAACCCGUAUUGCAAAACAUAGCUAUUCAUGGCAGCCAAUUCAAUUUCAAUGUCUCAUGAAAUAAUUUAGAGCAUGUUAAUCGAAUUUUUAAGCAGAUUAAUAGCCCUCAAACAAAUUUUGAAAACAUGCAUCACAAAGGGAUAAAUUGCAAAUCGAAAAUUUAAGGGUUCAAGAUACUAAAGCAUCAAUUUCUCACAAAGUACUCAACCAAGUCACCCCAAAUUUUAGUAUGUAGGUCGAAUAACAUCAUCAAAACCACCCAAACAAUUUCUAGAAUCAUGCACAAAAUUUGGGAUGAAGAAAUAUAAUUACGCCAGUAACGCCGUUACAGACAAAAUACGCGAACUGAAACGCAUUGGAGUUUUGAUGCUAACAGGCACACAUACGGAAAUUACUUGAUUAAUAAAUCAUUCCAUAAAGCAGCCAUAACCCAUUUCUAUCAAGCUCUGAUACCAAUUGCUGAAUUUAACUGACCAAAUAGAUAAUAUACAUAUAGAUACAUAUUACAAUAUUACAGCAUGUUCUGAUUCAAUAAUGAGAAAAAGAAUUGUGCACCUGAAAGGAUUGAAGAAUACAUGAGUCUGUUGUUUGACCAGAGAAUGAUAGUGGAAAGACACCAGAGGAUGGAACUGCUCUCUGCACCUGGUAAUACAUUCUCUAGAUAAAUUGUCUAAUGGGGAAACAAUUUAUAUAUUACCAGUUGAGACCAGGGUCCCCUCAUUAGACAAAGUUAACUGAUCUAACCCAUCAUAGGACAGUUAAUAACAAAAGUCUAAUCUACCAUCUAUCAUAAUACAUUUAAUUGAAUUAAAUUAAUAAUUCACAUAAUUGAUAUUAAUAACCAAAACAAAAUAUAUCUUAGUUAAUUGAUAAUGUUAACCCACAUAACAAACAAUAGAGAUAGUUAAUUAUAAAUAAAUCUAACAUCACUCCCACCAUCUGAAUCACGGCCUCGCCUGCAACAUCAUCGUCCGGUGGCAAAAGACAUCAAUGGACAGGAACCACAAGUCUGAUGACAGUUACGUUUCUGGGUGAAAUCAUUUUAAUAUUUUUAAAUAAUAUUCAAAACUCUGAUAAUCAUGUGUCAAUUUAUUUGAUUUUGAUUGGUGUGAAUGUGAGCAUACCUAUUAAACUUUUUUAAUUUAGCAAUCAAUUUUAUCUUUUAAGAAAAAUUGAAAAAAUUAUAGUACAUAAACCCACACAAAAUUCUGUAGGUAUAUAUUACUAUUUUUUCUGUAGUUAUUACUUGAUAGGUAGAAAGUGAUAGGAAAAUCGAUAGCAAAUAUAUUGUGUUGGACCAUAGGAAAAUCUAUUGAAAAAUCUGGAUGAAAAUUCACAAAAGAAGUUGUAGAAAAAUUUGGAAAAACAGUAGGAGGAAUCUAUAGAAAAAUUGAUGAAUAAAUUUUCUUAUAAAUUUUUGCUACAAAUUUUUUCUGGGUAAAACUUCAUGAGAAUAUUUGAUAUUUCUCGUGAUUUUUUAAGGAAAUUUGAUUUGUAGAAAAAUUUAUAAGAAAUUUAGACAAGCAAAAAAGAUUAUUUUAAUAGCAAGGGGGGUAGGUUCUUGUAAGUUGGUCGAGCAAAUUAAUAAUAAUAUUUUAAUAGCAAGGGGUAGGUUCUUCGUUCUUGCAAGUUGGUCAGGAAAAUUGAUAAUAUUUUAUUCUUGUUUUCAAAAAAAAAGAUAAUAUUUUAUUCUUGCAAGUUGCUGGAGCAAGUAGCGGCAACCCACCCAGACGGAGGAAUUUAUUAUACACCUCUAAAAACUUGUGCAUAGUUGCACAUUUGCUUUUUAACCUGCAAUAGCAAGUUUAGUAGGUUUUUUUGUUAAAAAAUAAAAAAACAUAUAUAUUAGUAAACUAAUUAAUGAAGGAUUAAGUUAAUUAUUAACUCAGUAAUUAAAACCAAAAAAAAAAAUCUUCUUGCAAAACUCCCCCGAUCAUCCUCACCUUACUCAUCCCAUCUCCAGUCCCUAUCUCCCAGCCCUAACCCUUUCCUCCUCUUCUUUCUCCCAGCCACCGCAACUCCCCAGAUCUGCAACACCACCUUCAUAUCCCAACCUCCUUCUUCCUUUCAGCCAAGAAAAACCCACGCUCACUCUCUUUCAACAUCUUCAACAGUUUUAAGUUUCUUCCCAAAUUUCUUCAUCUUUGACAGAGAGAAGUUAAAUGCACCACCACGCCUUCCACCGCACUGCGCAACGCCUCCACCACCACCACUCGCAGCUUUCCCGCCCUCAGUUCAAGUAACCUCCAUCACACCGUCAUACACAUCCAUACGACCCCAAAGUCCCAAUUUUUCAGCUUCCAAACACCACUUUACGACCCCAUAAACAACCCAGAACCUGGGUGUGUCUCUUCUGGGCUAAAAACAGAAGAAAAAAAACAAGAUCUUGAUGAAGAGUAGAAGGCUUACUCUAUCGCUCCAUCUGAUGGGAACCAGAUCUGUGCGACGAAUCUUCUGCAGUCACUCCAUCGCUCUCCUUCUCGCACCUCUGAUUUUUGCUCCUUCAUCUUCUCUUUGGUUAUGGGUUGGGUUUUUGGGCUUAGUUUCUUGGCGGGGUUGGGGGUGAGGGUGGGAUGGGGUGCGAUGGGCUUCUUCUCUCUGCCACCGCCGUCACGCCUCAUCUCUCCAAAAUCCAUAUCACCCUCAGAUCUUCUUUCUCGACCCACGGCUGUUGAACGAGAUCCAGAUCAAGAGGGAGAUGCAGCUUAACGGCGAAGGCCACCCACAGAGAUGCAGCCCCAACGGCGAAGGCCGGUGCGGUUGGGUGGUUUUUUUUUUUUUUUAGAUCUAGAUUUUUUUGGGUUGUUGGUGAGAAUAACAGAGGAGAUGAAGGAGAAAGGUCUGUGGGGAAGACAAAGAGAGAAGAGGUGAUGAAGGGGGAGAGAGAAGAGGAACAGAUUUUUUUUUUUGAUAAAGAGGAAGAGGAACAGAUUAAGAUUAAGGAUAAAUGUUUUCUUUUUUAAUUAAUUAAAAAUAAAUGCUUAAUUAAGAAAAUAUGUUUUUUGAUUUUUUUUUUAAAAACUUGCUAUAGUGGGUCAAAAGGUCAAUGUGCAACCUUACACAAGUUUGUAGAUGCCCAUAAUAAAUUUUUCCAACCCAGACAAGCAAACUAAUCAAUAUAAUAAUGUAUUCUCCACUAUAAAUACCUAUAUGCAUCAAGCAAUGCAAUCACACCCAAAACCUUGUCUUCAGUUAUUCCCCAUUGAAGCAAGCAAAUUAAUCAUGUUACCUCUAGCAUUGGCUAUACCUGCGUUGCAGCUCCUUCUGAUAAUACUUUUCAUUCUAUCAGUUGCCCAGCUUCUUAAUCCAAAAGAGCAUAAAAAUGGUAGGAAAUAUCCACCAGGUCCCAAACCUCUGCCAAUUAUAGGCAACCUCCACCUGCUGGGUAAACUCCCACACCUCUCCAUUCACGAGCUUGCCAAAAAAUAUGGACCCAUCAUGUCCUUAAAGCUAGGACAGGUCCCAACCAUUGUGGUUUCGUCCCCUGAAACAGCAGAGCUAAUCCUCAAGACCCAUGACUCUGUUUUUGCUAGCAGACCUUUAACUCAAGCAUCCAAAUACAUUUGCUAUGACAGUAAGGGCUUGAUUUUCUCUGAGUACGGUUCCUACUGGCGCAAUGUGACGAAGCUGUGCACCUUUGAGCUCUUAAGCGUGAAUAAAGUUCAAAGUUUUGCUCCUUUAAGGAGUGAGGAAGUACGAGUGUUUGUGAAAUCACUUGAGAAAUCAGCAGCCUCACGCGAGGUUGUGAAUGUCAGUAAGAGAGUUGGGGAACUUGUAGAGAAUGUUGUCCAGAAAAUGAUUUGGGGUCCCAGUAACAUUGAAAAUUUUGAUGUCAAAAGGCUUGUUCAUGACGUUCUGCACCUCAUGGGAGUUUUUGAUGUGGGAGAUUAUAUACCUUGGGUUGGGGCAUUUGAUCUUCAGGUACUUCCAAUACAACCACUACUAGCAUGUUUGAAUCUACUUAUUUCGCUUCAUAAUCAUUUCUUAUAUGCAACAAUUAAACUUUUUUCCUAGAAUCAAUUUUGCCUUUAAAAGGACUAUAGAUCGAUUUUCGUACAUGUACUAUUGCAUCUUGUUCAAGGUUGUCAUCGAUUCUAAGUUUCUAGGUCCCAAAAAGAAUCAACUAGCAAGUAAACUCUAAAAUUUCAAGAAUCGAGCAAACUCUUGUUAACUUGGUAAACUCGCAUAGGCUUGCGAUUCUACACCAAGUUAGUCACGGAAAAAACAAAAACAAAUUUUUCCCUAAAUCCUGAAAUUAAAUGGAGUAAUUUUGGAUUUUCACAAAAAGCUUUCAAUUAAGACCGAGAGAAAAAUAGGAUUUUCUCAUUUUAAUCCAACAUUCUCAUUCACCUUCAAACUCUUGGAGAAGAUGAGACAUCAGCGCUGCAAGUCGUCGUCGCCGCUUUAAAUUUUUAGCUAUCUCCAAGACUUUAUUUUGAAUUAUGCAUUCUUGGUACUUUGAAUCUUUGAUCGUUUAUGUAUUUUAUUGAACUUUACUUUAUUAUAAAGUUGGUUGUUGAAUUUAUUUGAUUAUUGUCUCCUUAGUGGUUGUAUUAUGUAUUCUUUUUACACCAUGACAGGUUUUAUCAAGGUUUUUAUUUUGGUAGACUCUUACGAGUCUACGAGUUAACUUGAGGAAACGAGUUUACCUCCCAAAACGAGUUUGCGUAGACUCUCGAGUCUGACAACAUUGAUCUUGUUACUUUUGAUUCUUAAAAGUCUUAUGUGACAAACCUAGGACACAUCAUCAGUUAGUCCGUAGUGGCAUUCUACAAGGCUUUAUGAGACUGUAUGACACACCAUGCUACAUGCUGAUGUGAUAAUAUUGACAAUAAUAAAAAUCUCAAAUCUUUACACAGUGAUAAUUCGAACAUGAGACCUCAAUAUUUAUAGGACUUUGAACAUAUUUAAUCCUUAUUCUUAUCCUAAAAGAUUUUACAUUGUCCACUAAAUCUGACUUAAUAUUUAAUCCAUAUCUCAGGGACUAGUAAGAAAGUUCAAGAAAGCGCACGAGGAAUUUGAUCAAAUGUUAGAGCAAAUCAUCAAAGAUCAUGAGGCUCCUUCUCGUCUUAGCGACCAGAAAAACGGGCAAUCUAUUGACUUCACUGACACAUUGCUAUCACAUAUGAAGCAAUCAAAGGACAAACAUAUUAUUAACAAAACAAAUCUCAAGGCUAUUUUGUUGGAUAUUAUUAUCGGAUCACUUGACACAACUAUCAUGACGACUGAUUGGGCUAUGUCAGAACUACUGAGGCACCCGAAGGCUAUGACGAAACUUCAAGAUGAGUUAAAGAAUGUAGUGGGUAUGGGGAGGGUGGUAGAAGAAGAUGACAUACCAAAGUUGCCAUACCUCAAUAUGGUGGUGAAAGAGACCUUUAGGAUACACCCACCUGCACCCCUCCUCGUACCUCGCGAGUGUUUGGAAGAUAUAACAAUCAAUGGUUAUUUCAUUGCGAAAAAGUCACGGGUUUUAGUCAAUUCUUGGACAAUAGGACGAGAUCCUAAAAUUUGGUCAGAUAAUGCUGAGGAUUUUUAUCCAGACAGAUUUCAAAACACCGACACAGAUUCUCAUGGACUCCAUUUUCAAUUUCUACCAUUUGGUUCCGGUCGUAGACGCUGUCCCGGGAUGCAAUUGGGUUUAACUACCGUUCCGUUGGUUCUAGCUCAGUUAGUGCAUUGCUUCAAUUGGGAGCUUCCAUUGGGCAUGUCUGCCAAUGACUUAGACAUGACGGAGGAAUUUGGCCUUACAACGCCAAGAGUUCAAAAUUUGCUAGCGAUUCCAACUUAUCGCUUAGUAAAUGAAGGUAAUUGAAUGCAUCAAACCUCGUGACAAAGCAAGAAACUAUUUUAAUGUGUUUUUCAAUUUAUGUCUUUCUUUGUUUGUCUCUUAAUAAGAUCUUCAUGUGCGCACAGAGCUUCUUUGCAGCCCUUGGAUCGAUCAUACCUAAGAGAUUAUGCUGAUUUUUUUUAUUUUGGCACUGUAAUAAUUUGAUAAUCCUAUUACUCAUGAUGGGUUUCAAUACGUUAAGUCGGCGCAUAUCAUCAUGUAUUUGAACAUUGCAUGUUAUUUUCCUUUAGACAAAUCUCUCUAGCCCAACAACCAACAUAAAAAUUGGUUUCAAAACAAACAACCCAACACAAUUGGUAGCUAGAUAGCUGAGUUCGUUAAGCAUUUAUUUGAGAGUUUGAUUCUUGAGCAGUGUAUAUAGAGAAAGAUUUGUUGAAAAAGACUUACCCGCUCAAUCUAGAGCUGGGUACAAGGGUGGCCCACUCCGCACAAGCCUGCUUCGUGUUGCUUCGCCCCGCGUAGGCCCGCAUUUUAGCAGUCCUCUAUUUUCCGGGCUAUAACCCGCAGUAGUCCGCGGUUUUGCGGGCCGAUCCAUGGACUUUGGCAUCUCUUACCCCUUUUUUGCCUUUGUAGGCCUGCCCCGCAUUGACCCCCCCCCCCCCCCGCACUGGCCCGCUUCGCGUAGGCCCAUAUUUUAGCGGUCCUCUAUUUUCCGGGCUACAGCCCGCACUAGUCCACGGUCUCGCCGGCCGGCCCGCGUACUUCGACCCGCUUACCCAGCUCUAGCUUAAUCUAAUCUCAGAUCAUUGAAUAGAUUAGUCUUGGUGCUGCCAACUAUCAAAUACUUAAUAAAAAAUGGCUUAAAAGCACUUUUGGUCCCACAAAUUUCUAUUGUGUAAAUAGAGUCUUUAAUCUUUAAAAAUAUCACUCUUAAUCCCCAAUGUUACCCUCCAUCAACCUUCUUUGCAAUGGCUGAAGCUUGAAUUUUAUUUUUUUGAGGACCAUAGUAAAAUUUUAAUACGCAUAUAUACUUUCUUGGUUAUUUGGUGAGUUUCAGAUCAAAUUUCAGUAAAUAAACCAAAAUAUCUUUAUUAGAAAAACACAUAUGUAUACAACAAAAAUGAAAAAGAUUAACCUAACUUAUGUACAGGAACAAUAGAAAAUUACUAUAAGUUGUACUAAUAAUCUUUGAAAUUUUCUAUUUAGUUUUUUUUUCUUCAAGUUUUGGAUUAUUGGUAUAUAUAUUUUUUCCUUUAGAUAGCAUUUUUAUAUUUAUAAUCAAAAUUCUUUCUCUUAAUAAAAGAAUUUAUUCUUUAAUUUUUGGUUAUUAAUUUUUUGGGACAAGCUUCCAUAUGCCAUUUUUCUGAAGAGGCAGGGGUGCCCCCCUUUCCUAGCCAUUGAUUUAUAAUAUUUUAAUUGAACGAUCCGGAUCAGUUGAGGAAGAUAAUUAUGGCUUGGUCCUAUGCACUAGUCAAAAUAUAUCUCUGGUCCUAUUACAUUUUAUAUUCACGUAAAUGACUGUAAAGUUUAUGCAAUCCAUUAUAGACCCUAUGAGUUUUCAUAUCUAAAAAUUAGUCCUAACUAUAUAUACACAAAACCAUGAAUUAAAUUCAUUUUAUGCAUCCAAAAUCUGAAGGAUCCAUUGCUCUUCUCUCUUCUCCAAACUUACUUUCUCCUUCUCCUACAAGUGACAAUGGAUUAAAACAAAUGAGGAUGGAGAGUGGUGGAUCCAAAAGUGGGGAUUGUGCAUUGAUGAGUUGUGGAUCUAAAACUGGGGUUGUCCAUGUCAAAAAAUAUGUUUAUGGUUUUGUGAUAACAAUCUCAUAGAUAAGUAUAGUGAAAGAAUAGAAAAAUAAUUGCAUAAAACUAUUCUCACUUUCUGGGUUCCAUAAGUGGUAACUAGUUAGGAAAAAUAAUUUUAUGUUGUUGUUUGUUCAAUGUUUGGUGAGAAUUUGUGCAAAAUCUGUGUCUCCUUGAUGUUCCUCGUCAAGUCACAGUCCCAACAAGUCAUACUAGAGCUUUGAUGGUGACUCGAGGUGGUCGGAAUCAUCAUUUUCGAAAAUGACCCAUUUUUAAAAGUUCCUGAAAUGAAAAUCUGAGGUCAUAGAUGGAUUCAGAAGGUUGAGACGAGUCCGGAACAAGUUCCGGAAUCUCAAACGGAGCCUGGACGAAGCUACACUCUCCCGCACUUGCCGGCGAGGUGGCCGGAGAGUGAGCCCACUCUCGGCCACGCGCUCCACUCGCGCUAGAGGAAGAAGGAGAGUGGCGGCCACUCUCGGCUAUGAGACACACGCGCCUGAUGACGUCAGAGACGCUGAUACGGCUUGUUCUCAUGCUGACAUGUGACAGAAUGUGUUUUUUGGAAAUUUUGGGUCAUUUUUAUCCGUUUUGGGUUCAAGAGGAGUCGAUUCUAAGGUUUUCGACCGUUCCGGACGCAAUGGUGUGGUUCUUUUCUUGAAAAUCUUUCCAGAUUUGCAAAUAGGACCAGAUAUUGGCCUUUGAAUAAACUUAAGUAAUGUGUUUUUUUAAUAAAUUUGGUCAUUUUUAUCCGUUUUGGGUACAAGGGGAGCCGAUUCUAAGGUUUUCGACCAUUCCAGAAGCAACGGUGGUAUUCGUUUCAUGAAAAUCUUUCCAAAUUUGCGGAUAUGAUUAGAUCAAUUCUAAUAUUUAAAUGAAUACUAGUGAAUUGAUGGAUAAUGACACUUUUAACCUAAUUUAGUUAUUCUAAAGUCUACGUUAAACUAGGAUUAUCCAUUUUAAUGACCUCUUAACUUAACGUUAGUUAUUCCAUUGACCCUUUUAAACGAAUGUUAGUUAUACUAUUAUCUCGAUUAGACUAGGGUUAGUUAUUCUAAUGACCCUCCUAACUGAAGCUUAGUUAUACUAUAGUCUUAGUUAGACUAGAGUCUGUUAUUCUAUAGUCUCAGUUAAACUAGAGCUUGAAAUUCUAUAGUCUCAGUUAAACUAUAGCUUAAAUCAGGUUUAUCUAUUAUAGUGGUUUUCUUAACUUAAGAUUAGUCAACUUGUGUUAGCGCAAAAAAAAAAAAUCAAAGUAUGAAAAAAAGGGCCAUCAGCCAAACAAAAUUCCAACAGAAUUGGCUAAUGCAAAAAAGCCCAGAUAUGCGUUUUUUGCACCAAAAAAGGAGGGGUCAGCAGCAAAAAAAACUAGCCCAAGAAAAAAAACAAUCAAAUCCUUAUAGAAAAGUGAAGGGCCAUCAGCCAAACAAAAAAAACCAACAAAAUGGGCUAAUGCAAAAAGGCCUAGAUAUGUGUUUUUUACACAAAAAAGGAGGGGCCAGCAGAUGAAAAAAAAAAACCUAGCCCAUUUUUGUUUUUUUUCCGAGUUCUUUUUUCUUCUGAUUUCAUUUAUUCUGAUUUCAUUUAUGAGCUUUUUCUAAGGAUUUUUCAAUAUCAAAAACAUACUUUUGAGACUUUAAUUCACAGUUUUUGAAAUUAAUAAAAUCUCAUUUUGAUUGAUUAAUCUGAGUUAAAAUAAAUGAUUAACUAACUGUUGGUUGUUAUUAUAAAUACUCUUAAUUAUGUUGAUAAUCAUAAUAAGGAGGAGGGAUGAAAAAAUGAACUAAAGAAGAUGGAGAGGAAUCUUAUCCUUCUCGACCACUUUAAGCAUUAACUUCAUGAUGAUUAAACUCUUUGAUUUGGACCCUCGAGAGUUACGACACACCUCAGAGAACCCAAUGAUGAAGAGGAAACUAUAGAACAUUUACACUUGGACCUUGAACUAGGGUUAGUUAUUUCAUAGUCCUGAUUAAACUAUGAUUAUAUGUUCUACUAACUUUAAUAACCUAAGGUUAGUUAUUCAAUAGUCCCUAGCUAGGGUUAGUUAUUCUAGUUACACUCUUAACUUAAGGUUAGUUGUUUUAAUAGUUCCGAUUAAACUAGAGUAUCUAUUCUAAUGACCAUCUUGUUAGGACAGGCCACAAUUAUAGCAUCUAUAAAGAAUAUUCGAUCAAGAUGAACCAUAUGGAUGAUCAAGAUGAAACAUGUGGAUGAUCAGGAUGAACAUGAUGGAUGAUUGUGAUCUUGAUGAUGGAUGUCAUGAUGGGUGGUCAAUAUGAUCAUGAUAGAUGAUUAAGAUGAACCCGAUGGAUAGCCAGGAUGAAACUCAUGGAGGAUCAAAAUUGUCACGAUGGAUGGUCAAAAUGAAAUUGAUGUUAGAUUAUAUUUAUAUAAAAAGGUCAAGAGUGACUUGUCAGAAAGUCGACCAUGUUGAACAACACAUCGUUAGCUAAUCUCGAUCUUAAGUUCCUAAUAUUAGCUAGUUCAAGCAAGAUUAUUGACAUGUCAAAACAACAUAACCAGGCAUAUAAAGCUUUUAAGUUUUUAAGAUUAGAUAUUUCGGUUAAGAUCAACUUGUCGAAACAACCUGAUAAAGCUUUCAAGGUUGAUAAGUUACAAAGAUUAGCCAACUUGACGUGUUCAUACAAUCAAAAGAUUAAUUGGAUGUAUGUGUAAAGUGUAAACAAAGUUUACACUGUCGGUGCAUACACAUUUAAUCAUUCAAGUAAAUAACUGAUUUUAUUCUACUAAUAAUUAAAUAGAGAUUAAUUUUCAUGCACUGACAGUGUAAAUGAGUUUACACAGGUUCAAUCAUAUCUCAAUUUUUUGGCUCAUAUUUAAUUUUAAAUUUAAUAAUAUUUAAAAUAAGAAAUAGAAUGUUGUGAUUGAAUGAUUGGGUAAAACCUUUUAUACUGUGAGUACAUAAAAAUUAACAUGAACGAAAUAACCUGAUUUUAAUUUUUGGCGCUCAAAAUUUAAAUUUUCCCGCUCAUAUUUUGAUUUUUUUGAAAUUAAAACACUGAUUUUAGUCAAUUGAUUUUACGUGUGAGCUCCUCCUUUUUUGGCUUAUUUUAAUCUUUAUGCUCCUUUCAGAGUUCCCGCUCUUCCUUCUUUUAGUUUCCCUCUCUUUUUCAUCUGUCAAAGUAUUCAGGACUCAAUUGGAGAAGAAAAAUUAAAAAAUUCUAGAAAUCUUAUCUCUAUCCUACUUGAGAUUUCCUAUCUCACUAAUCUGUCCUUUUCAUCUUACUCUCUCACAUUUUCACUAUCUCUUUAUCUCCACCUCUUCUGCAUCUCCUUAUCACUUUACAGUCGGAUCCAGUUCCUCUCCUGCCAAUCUCUCUCCGGCGUCUCACCGCACACGGCCGUUGAAGCUCAUGACCGCCGUCUCCGCCAAGGACCCAAACAUCGUCGCGUCUCAUCGUUCUAUCACCGCUCUCGGCGCUGGCCUGAUCACGACCGCCUUAUCCCACCCAUUGUGCCUCUCGCUGACGAAGCAAACCCAACCGCGUCUCGCCGUCUCCGAUUCUCUCAUUCAAUUUGUCGCCGUCAAGCUCAAGCCCCAUAUCCUUCAGAACGACUACCCCUGGUUUCCAAUUUCAAAUUUAGGAACACGAAACCUGUAACAUUGUACAAGAGGAAUGCAUAUUGUCUUGGCAUUUUAGAUUUUUUGUGGUUGUACCAGAGGACAUGACUAGGUGAAGAGUAGUACCUCGGACGGUGAGUUCAAUUUCCUACCUUCCGCUCUUAUGUUCAAUUUUUAAUUUUACUUCCUCUGUUAUUCAUCUCUUUCUCAUUUGGCUUACCAUUUGUCAGGAAAACAAAAUUCUGUGCAUAUGCUAAACUAGCCAUUAAAAAAAUUGACUUUGAUAUGAGGGUGUUUUUUUGGAUGAUUGGUCUAUCUUGGCUUAGAAACUGAUUUUUGGUGAUUUGUUUUCUGCAGCAAAAAGGGUUUUCUGUGAUACUUUCAGACAUGCGUCCAUCGGUUUCUGGAAUCACAAUCGGUUGUUGGCAGUGCUGCUUCUUCUGUUCAAGCUUCAGCUGAUGAUGAUGAUGAUUAUAUUCGGGAGGAGCAAAGUGUUGAUGAUCCAUCCGGUUCAAAUGAUAAGGGAGUCUUGCAAGUUGGAGGGAACCUUAUUAUAAAGAUUUUGGAGAGUGAAGAUUCCAAAGGUGGUUCAUUUUUCUCAAGACUAGUUUUAUUCCAGCUGAUUUGGUUGCGUAAUGUGUUUAUUUAAUCUCUUUUGAAAUCUUCUGCUGCAGAAAUCAGUCAGAUUUGUAAACCAUUAUUUAGAAAGUCAUCGUAGCUGAGGCCUAAAGCCACAAGACCUUCCUCAAGAGAGAUCUAUUUGAUAUGUCAUGGUUUAAAGCCAGACGCAAAGACAUAGGUUGUUUUAUACGAUAUUCUUUGUCUGGGUGAACAUUAGGGAUGAACAACAUACAAAACUCACCUUCUCCUUUAUUUUUUUAUGUUCAUUUUCAUUACUAUAUUUGUGCUUGAUUUUGUUAAAAGGGUGUUCUACUUUUGGGCUCUACUAUGGUCAUGGGAUAUUUUCUAUUCUUAAUUUAAUUAUAAUAAACUACUUUUAAGAUCAGUCGGGGACCAUAUAAGAGACUAUCAAAUUUUUUACCUUGUGCUCAAACUGGAUUUUCUAAUAUUUUUGUUAUGAUCUUAUGUUCCUGAUUUAAUUUAUACCAUUUUAAACUUAAAUUAACAGGAUCUGUUGCAACAAUGGGUAAGAACCAUUUGUGAGUUUAGUGACAUAAUUUGAUUGUCACCUUGGUUUCAAUUGUGCAUGACACUCAUUUGUUUCUUGCCUUGUUUACUUUGUGUUUUCCUGAAUGAUUUUCUUGUUUGCUGUCUGACAAGUUUUUAGUUUCAGGCACACUAGUUGUUCAAUGAAAUAGGAUAAAUGUGCGAAAGCAAGAAUCAUGAAGGUGAAAGAGCAACCCGUUUUAGGCUGAGUAGCACCUUAUUGAAUCGCACCUCCAAUAUUUUGUUCAUUGUGAGAGGUCCAUUUGAAAAAUCUGGGAAUUUUUACAUUAUUCCUUCGAUUUGGGUGCCUCUCUCUAUCUCUCUCUGUCGAGUUCACCAAUUUCUUUGUCUAUCAUCACUAAUUCCUUUGUUUAUGUUCUGCAUAGUGAGAUUAAUUGAUUGCUUUAAAGAAGUCAAUUUAUGAGACUGGGCAUUCAAGGGAGUUCCAGUGAUUUGGUUACCGAGGUAUAUGGACUAUGUAGUGGAUUAUCUUUCACAAAUCGUACCGACUGUCUAGCGCAAGUUGAUCCAGGUUUCUCCUUCCUCGACCUUUCACAUUUUUUUAUGUGAAUUUAAUUUACAUUAUGAAUUCUUUAUUGAUUUGGGUUUGUGGAAAGUUCAGGACUUUCAUGUUUUAACCAUGUGAUGUGUCCAAUUGCAAUGAGUAAUGUUCAAAAUCACUCUUUGUCAUCAAAUGUUGGCACAUCAAAUUUGCGAUUGAAAUUUAAGAAACGUGAACUUUACUACGUAAUGCAUCCAAAUGGUAAAGCUCUUAAUUCAUUGUUGAUUUUUCUUUGGCCAUUCUCAUGAUUUGGUACUGUUAAAUUGUGCUAUUAACUUUUGAUUUUCUAUAGUGAUUGUGCAUGUUUUGUCUUUAUCUACUUUCUUCUUUCAUCUGUUUGUUGGCUACUUAGAUAUAUGACAUACUCCUAUUUUCUCAGAAUCAAUUAAUUUCCACACAUGCGCAUAGUGUGCUACUUGUUUCUAAUUUUGUUUCAUUGACUCCAUGUUCUGUGGUGCUAAAAUUAACUUGUGGCAGUUUGUAGGAGGAAAAAGGGUGGAUGGUUUCGUGUCUGAGAUCAUUUGGUCAUGCUAAUAUUGACUGUUUAAUAGGGAGGAUAAAGGAUAAAUUGUAAUGCUGUUUGGAAUGAAGGAGGAUAAAUUGUAAUGAAGGAGAUUGACAUCUGGUAUUGAUUGUAUUUGUUUAUAUAUGGUAAAGUGGCCAGAAAUUUCCUUUAGAUCAGAAAAGUAGAAAUGAAAGGUAGAGUGGAUCGUCUACAUUCACUGAGUGCAUGUUUGUAAAUUUAAUAGAUUUUCUCAUUUGGGGGUUAAAUGAUUCUGGAAGAAGCUAUCAGAAGUAAUUCUUACAUAGGGAAAAAUGAUCAUGAGAGAGUUAAAGUAGAUCCAAAAAUGGUGAAAAUUAGCUAUAUGUAUUACAGAGGAAAACAUUUUGAGGAUUGAUCGAUAAAAUUAAAUUAUCGCAUGAUAAUCCCAAUACAAGCAACCAGGAAACUCUAUAAAUGUCUAUACCAGCUUUUCCAUUUCUAAGUAUCUAGGAGAAUUAAAUUUAGUAGGUAUACGCAUAAUGUACAAUAUUGUUUUAAUUGCAUUAACAGUACAAAAAAGAAGAAAUUGUUUGUUAUGGAAUACUGGCUUAACUUUUCCUUCAAUGAAUUUCAUAAUAAAGUACAAAAAAAUGUGGAUUCCAUACAUUAAUUCAUUUGUGGGGCACUAUGAUCUAUUUGACUAUAGUAUAAGGAUCCAUCUCACACAUAACAUUACAUGUGCACAUUUCAUAUUAGAUGAUUUAGUUUCUAGCUUACUUUUUAAUAUUAUCAGUGUUACUUUUUAAUGGCUUACUUCAUUUUUGAGUCACUUGGUAUUCCAGUUCUACUGAGCUAGGUGUAUAUAACUUUGCUGUUUUUCACUGUUUCUUGGUGCAGAAAUUAGACCUAACACAACUAAGCCUUUGGAUUCUGAGUGUUUUUCCUCAAAAACUUGUGCUUCCUAGGCAAUUCUAUUUGCUUCAUUUUUUUUAUUCUCAACUAAUUGGAUCAAUUGCAUGAUUUAGUGAAGUUCCAACCCUGAUUAUUUGUUCCAGCCUUGGAACCACCUUGAAAAAUGAAUUUUGUCACUGACAUUCCUCCAGUCAGUGUUGAGAAAAAUAUUUUUUUUCUUCUCUUUUGAUGCCAAUCCUAUAAGAUAGCAAGAACAUGAACAUUUUUGGCAGAGAAUCAAAUAGCUUAUGGAGGAAUGUUGUGGUUGAAAGAUAUUCGCAAGACCCUUUGUCACUGCUCUGGCACUUAGAAUUAUCAAACCCUUCGGUUGGAUCCAUUGUAAUCCGGGACACUUAGAAUUAUCAAACCCUUCGGUUGGAUCCAUUGUAAUCCGGGACAUAUGGAAGGUGCUUAUAAAUGAUGAUUUGAUUUCUGCCGGUUUCAUGGAAAACCUUCUGGUUGUUGUGGGAGAUGGCAAGAAAACGAAGUUCUGGAAGGACCCAUGGGUAACUGAUUCUGCCCUUUGCAAUGUAUUCCCUAGACUGUAUGCUUUGAGUGAAAACAAAGAAGCCAGAAUUGCAGAUGUGGGCUCUUUCUCCAGAGGGUCAUGGGAUUGGUCAUUAAUAUUUCGCAGAUCGUUUUUUACAUGGGAGGAGGAACUUUACUCUUAGCUCCUGGUCUCGAUCAACUCCAUUAUUCCAGCUUCCUUGGGGGGGAGAUUACCUGAUAUGGUGUCUUAAUCAAAAGGGCUUCUUCUCGGUUAAGGAGCUUUGCAAUUAGGCUGAAGAUCAAACCUUCAUUAACCGUACUUGGCAAGUUCCUAAAAAUGUAGCAAAACUUAUUCCUCCCAAAGUUGCUCUCUUUUUCUGGCAGGCACAGAAGAACAAAAUUGCAACUAGAGCCAAUUUAAUUUCUAGAGGUAUUGAUCUAGCUGACUCAUCUUCUUGCCCUCUUUGCAUGACCAUUACAGAAACUUGCUCUCAUCUAUUUCUACACUGUAAUUACACUUGGUCUCUGUGGUGCUCGAUUGUAAAUCGUGAAGGUUUUUAUUGGGUUGUUCCUUCGUCUCUAGAAGGACUCAUCUCUGAAUGGGACCAUUUACCCAAACUUUCUGACAAGCUGCUUUGGAGUUUAAUACCAUAUGCGCUAUCAUGGUCAAUUUGGAUUGAAAGGAAUAAUGUGUGCUUUAAUCAGAAGACUUUCAAUUGUACAGAAGUAUGGGAUCUUCAUCUCUCACGAAUUGGGUGGUGGACGCAUGAUUUGCUCCUUCAAAAUGCUUACAGUAUUGAACAAUUGGCCAGGAAUUUUGAGCUAAUCAGAUUUGGGUCCAAAUUGCCUACUGCAAGACAUGCUGGCUGGACUCCUCCUGAAGUGGGUUUAAUUAAAAUUAACGUAGAUGGUGUUGCCAGAGGAUCACCGGGAAGAUGUGGUAUCGGUGGUAUAUUUCGAAAUAGUGAUAAUGAGAUUCUGGGUUUUUUCUCUAAACAUGUUGGGGAAGGCUUUGCUUUUGAAGCUGAGGUGUGGGCGAUCUUUGAGGCACUUACAAUCUGUGUUAACCGACAAUUGAGAAAUCUAACAAUUGAAAGUGAUUCUUCUCUAGCUGUCGGUUGGGUCAAUAAUCGAAGCAACAGACCAUGGAAAUUGUUGAACAAGCUUAACCAGAUUGACCUGUGGGUUGCGGAGGUAAAUUGUUUAUCGGUGAAACACAUUUUUAGAGAGGCAAACGGCGAAGUUGAUAAAUUGGCUAAGCGAGGAGCUGAUCAUCCGAGGGACUUAUAUUACUUCAAGACUUCCAGCCAUCAUCAAUAGUACUGGAUUUUUUUCUCCGAGGGUCGAGUAGUAGUGUAAACCGUGUGGGAAUUGUAUUCUAUAUUGGCUAGCUUUCCUUAUCUUUCUAGUAGGUUGUUUUAAGCUUGCGGUUUCAUGUACUUCACUUUGCCUAAGUUAUAUCUCCUCUGCUUGUUAUCUCUGUUUUGUGGUUGGUUGCCUUGGUUAGAGUACUCUUUUUCCUCUCCUUGGGUUUUUCCCACUGGGUUUUCCCUUGGAGAGGUUUUGAUGAGGCUUUCUCCUUGGCCGGGUUUCCUAACCACAUCUCUUUAGCAGUUUUGUGAGACUUUUUGUCCACAUGAGAGGAUUGUUCUCAUGGCUUUAUUCUUCAUUUUCUAUAUAUAUAUAUAUAUAUAUAUAUAUAUAUAUAUAUAUAUAUAUAUAUAUAUAUAUAUAUAUAUCAGUUGUUUCUCAAAAAAAAAAAAAACAAUAAAAUUAUUUUGUCCAAUUCCUUGUGACAGGAUUUAUUCUUAACUAGGUAAUAUGGGAUAAUUAUAUCUUCACACCUCAAAAAUGAGGUGUGGAGAAGUGGAGGAAGAGAGAGAUAGGAAGAAAGGAGAGAGAAAGUAAAGAUGUGAUAAAUGAUUUGAUUGAUAGAAAAAAGAGAAAUAAAUAGAAAUAAAGGUGGAAAAUAAGUGGAAAUGUGUGUAUAUAUCAUAAUUCGGUAAUAUGUGAUAUGUAGGGGGCGAUAAGUAACAAGAUCAAAUUUAUAAUAAAUUCUUAAACUAGUUUUCUUUGCACAAGACAUUGUUAGGAAUUGGAUGAUACUUGACCGAACUGCAAAUAGCAUAUUCAGGCUCUCAAUAUAGUAUAGCUUAAAAUCUAGUGUUUCACAAAGUCACCAACAAAUUUUGAAAAAAAAAGAAGAGGUGAUGAUUCAAGUGCUACACAAAGUCAAGAAACUACUAUGUUAACUCAAGAUGCGCUUACAGAAGUAAUGACACUUUAAGCCAAUUUGGCAUCAAUAAUUCCACUAGUUUAUUUGUUGUACAAAUUUUAUGAUCAUAGGGUUCUUUAAUCACAUACAGCUAGUGAAAAACCAAAUCUCAGCAAUCAGAGAUGGCGUAUGAAUAUAGAAGAGUUGAGAUAAGGUCCAACGAAAUAUGUGAGAGGAUGUGUUUAAGUGCAUUGUUAAGUGUGUGGAUAUGAAGUGAUGGAGCACAAUGACAUAAAGUUAAAGUGCAUCAGGAAGCGUGUCGACAUAAAGCUGACAUAAAGAUGAUGACAUCGUGUAACGUGUUGACAUAAAUGGUAAAUGGUGUAACCUAAUUAAUUGAGUUAGGAUUUAUUUACACCUUAAUUUCACUUUUACUUCACUUUUUUAUUUAUUUGUCUCUUAUCUUUCAAUCAUAUUAUCACAUAUCACAUCUCUUUUUUUUUUCUCUCUCUCUCUUUCUUCCUAUAACUCUAUUCUUUCCACCUCUUUCACACUUUUGAUGUUUCUGCAAGGUGGCUUAGACCACAGGCAUAUCAAUGUGACGUAUUGGUAGCCAAGGAAAUCCUAUAAUGCACCCUAAACACACACGUGGUUUCACUUGCACCAUUCAUGAAUGUACUUCAAUGCAAGAAAUUCUAUUUUAUUUAGUCUGUCCAGUUUUUAGACUUGGAGUGUCUAUUGCACAAGGACUGUCAGAUUGAUUUGAGGUGCAUUUCAUUAAAGCGCCACUUUACUUUGUAACUUAUGUCCCUUUAUGCAAUUUGGUAAAAGAAAUAUUUAUUUACUAUUAUGAGUAUUCUCCUCUUUCUCUUUUAUAGCAACGAAUAAUAGCAUUAGGUACAGAUUGUAAUGUACAAUCUUAAUGCGCAUAUGGAGCUCACUUUUACAAAAUUUGGUGCAAUAUUGGGCAUAUUCACAAAACUAUGGUAUACAGGAAAAUUGAAAAAAGAGAUGGCUUCUGAUUUACGUUGUUAGCAUAAUAAUUAAAUCUAGUCUAAGAUCAGGAAGCAUAUGAAUUUCGAGGUAGCCUUGCAAUUAAGAAUGGUGGUCUCUUAAAUUUGCACCCAGGAAUAAUUACAUAGACAGUUCUUGUUGGUCUUUAAUGGUCCUAUUGGCCUAGCUUACUACCUCUGAUAAAGUAGUUUCAACAGAUCUGUAAUACAAACUUCAGCCCCUUUGACUUUAAAUUUAAAUUUACAUCUUCCUAAACCUUUGUUUUUCCCCGUUUCAAAUUUAUCCCUUUUUUUUGGGAAAAAAAAACCUGGCUUUGUUGUUAAAAAUAAAAGGGUUAAUGGUCAAAUUGGUCCCUGUGUUUGUAGUGAAUUUUGAUUUUAGUCCCUCCCCGGAAAAAACUAGCCGAUAUCUCCCUGUAGUUGCAAGCAUUUUGGUUCUAGUCCUCACAGGAGGUCGGAGCUCCGGUGAGAGUACUGAGUGGCAGGCCAGAGAUGACAUGGCAUUAUCCACGUCAUUUUCAAUUUAUUUAUAUUUCCACGUAAAUAAUUAAUAACUAAAUUAAAUAAAAUUAUUAAUUCAUUCAAAAAUAAAAUCUAGAAAAUAUUGGGAAAAAUUAAAAUCAAAAUUUUAUAAACCCUAAUCCCCCUGCAUCUUCUCAAUCAAGCCUCUCUUUCUCUUCCCCACCCGGUUCCCAAUCUGAGCAGCAAAAAUCACCACCAUUCCAUUCCAGGAAUCAAAACCAACUCAAACCUCAAAACGGUGGUUUGACCUUCUCGCCUCACAACUCUCUUUCUCACCUUUGACCUUCCAUAAUCUUUUACGCGCUGGUGGUUUCAAUGGAGGUGCCACCUAGAACGGUGGUCGUGGCUUGGUGCGGUGGGUCGUUCAUCGUUGGAAUGAGAGCUUAGGUCGACGGAAAUAAAGGUUGUGGCAGACUAGCGGUGAAGGAGCAGAACCAGAUCGAGACCCCACUCACCCAGAUCGCGAAUCCGGUUUCUUGCGAACUCAAAAAGCGAAUCGCCCCUGGAUCCGCCUUCACCACCCCAUGUCGCCGCCGUUGUCGUCCUAAACAACCGAAGAGCCUUGAUGGGGAUACGUUCCAGUUGCUCAGUCAUGUCGGUUUUCUGGGUUUUGAUAUGUGUGGGUUAUGAAUCUGGAUUUUGUGGAUUACAUGGAUCUGGGUUAUGUGGGUUUUGAAUUUGGGUUUUGAAAACGAUUCAAUUGAUCUGGGUUAUGUGGAUUCUACGGAUUUGGCCAUUGAGUUUCUAACUAGAAUUUGUGUUGUUUUCUGGGUUUUCAAUGUUUGGCCAUUUUGGACUUUUUUCGUUUUCUGGGUUUGAUGAUGAGUUUGAAGAUGGAGAUGAUUAAAGAAGGAUGAAGGGGAAGAAGAUGAAGAUGAUUAAGACAUUUGAGCUUUUGUAUUUUUCACUUUAGUCAGGUCUGAAGUGUGGGCGUGGAUGGUAUUAUGUCAUGAAAUAUAUGAUGAGGAAAUAACUGAUAUGUUGGGUGCUGCAGAAAUUUUGUUAGGCGCACAUAAGGUGGUCAUGGUUGCUGAAAUCGUGGAUAUGGUUCUAAAUCUACCUUGUUAGGCGUGGAUAUGGUUCUUAGUACUUUGAACAAUUUUUGAAUUAAUUAAUAAUUUUAUUUCAUUUAGUUAUUAAUUAUUUACGUGGAAAUAUAAAUAAAUUAAAAAUGACGUGGAUAAUGCCAUGUCAUCUCUGGCCUGCCACUCAGCACUCUCACUGGAGCUCCGACCUCCGGUGAGGACUAGAACCAAAAUGCUUGCAACUACAGGGAGAUAUCGGCUAGUUUUUUUCGGGGAGGGACUAAAAUCAAAAUUCACUACAAACACAGGGACCAAUUUGACCAUUAUCCCAAAAUAAAAUUAUACAAAAAGAAAGUAGUACUUAGGGAACUAAUUCUUUGGAAAUUAAAUGGACGCAAGACUUGUUUAACUAAGGUGAGAAAAGAAAGUUGAACAGCCACAAUAACCGUUAAAAACUGGCCACUAUAAUGCUAGUCAUUCCACUAAAAAAAAAGACAAUCUAGAGAGCUGAAUCUAAAAGUUAAAGUUACAUUAAAAAUGUAGGAGCUUAAUACAGUGACACACAAUAAUUACCAUUCUGACAAAGUAAUGCUACUAAAUUAAGGGUAAAUAGCUCCCAACUUGCACAAAUUUUCUUCAAUUUGAGGCGAAGAAGAGGAAGAACUAUAGAACUCUCCUACUAAAAAUAAUAGACAAAUUAUAUGAGUCACUUACAAAGAACACAUUUGAAAAGUAAAAGCAACGUAAACAAAAUUUAGAUAAGAGGCUAACUUUGCCGGUUAAUAGUGGAGGCAUAAAAUCAAAGUGUAUGGAGCAUAAAAUUUCAACAGCAAUAAAAAGAUAAACAUAACAUUAUGAUGAAAUGUAACUCAUGGAAACUCAAAAACUUACUCAAUGACUCUUACUCCAUGCCACCAAGAACCAUUUUUUUCAACGAAUAAAAAUAUUCACAUCCCAAAGAUGAAUUUCCGAGGAUGAAUCUCACUUCAAACACAAACACAAAUUCAAUUCAUAAGACAAAGCAAUCACUGAGCCCAUACUUUGUUAGCUUCCAGCACUGGUCUUGCAUCAAGCUUAUCAAGGGUGAAAUCACAACCACCACUUUCCCAAUUAACAAUGAGGAAUCUGAAAGCACAGGGACUUACCUGCAUAGAAAAAACCUUCCUGUAAAUAAAUACACAAUUACUAAGAAGCACACAAGAUUAAUCAGAGAGAAAUAACAAAACCAGAUCCUGUUGCAGCAAGAACAAGACAAUCUUCAUUUGCAACCCAAGCAGCUAGGGCUUCCUUCUGAAAACUUUUCAAUGCUGAAAACCAAAAAUGCUUUUGCAACAACUUGCUAACUCUGUGCUCCCAAUCAGAUGCUACAUCCAAAUCUCCAUUCACAUCAGAGUCGCUGACGACAAAGGGAAACUCCGGGACGGUCUCGAUGCGGUGGCCGCGGGCGGGCGAGGAUGAAUGACGGAACAACGGAGGUUGCGAUGGCGGAGACCAGGGCGUGGCGCUUCUGGUUCACGUUGAUCUUGCGGUGCCAGCGACGCCAGAUCUUUGUGGGAGCGAACAUGUGACCACCACGACACAUGUUUCCGAAAGCUCCCUGGCCAGCAUGGUGGGUACAACCACCGGGGACACGGGGGAUACGGGAGAAAGCACGACCAGUUCCUCAAGACUCGGCGAAGCACUGGUGGCCGGCGCGACGGGAGACGGCGAAAGGCUGGCGGCUAUUUUUGGAGAUGUUGAAAUGGGCGAAAUUUUCGAUGUCAGGACGGAUUGAAGCUCUCAUGACAUUAGGGAUGGAAUGGUGGUGGCAGCAUCGGAGGACGCAUCGUCUCUUUUUCUGGUGGUGUGGCCGUGGCUGUUGUGGCUCGCCUGGAAUAGAGGAGGAUGUUGUGGCUCGCUUGGAACAGAGGAGGAGACGAUGGUGCACAACUCUGUCGAGGAAGGAGGAGCCAUAGAAGAAGAGUGGAACAUGGUGAUGUUUCAGCAGAAAGAAAACGAGAGAGAAGGAGAGUGAUGAGAGAGUGAGAGCAUGAAUCAGUUAGAUGAGGGAGAGAGUAAGCGGAUCUGAUUUGAUGAGAGAGGAGAGAUAUGUGCUUGAGAUGAGAGUAUUGAGAUAAGGAGGAGAGAGAGUACAUAGGUGCCUACAUCUCAUUGGUUGAAGGGGAAAGUUGAGAGGGAAAGUUAAGAGAGAAAAUUGGGAGGGAAAGUUGAAAGGGAAAGUUAAGAGGGAAAGUUGGGGGGAAAGUCAAGAGGGAAAGUUGAGAGGGAAAGUUGAAAAUUUGAGCACCUAAAAUCAGGUUGUUUCAGCUAUUUCGUUUGUUAAAUGAUUAAAGAUAUAUGCAAUGAUGGUGUAAACUUUGUUUACACAAACAUCUAAUUAAAUUUGGUUUGGUCAAAAAAUGUGUUUUUAUUUUAAUUGAACUUAAAAAUGAAUGUAAUUCUCUUUUCUAUGUUGUAUACAUUGAUUAGAUUGUUUCAACAAGUCGAGUUGGCUAAUCUUAGUAACUUAUCAACCUUAAAAGCUUAAUUAGGUUGUUUCGACAGGUCAAUCUUAACCAAAAUAUCUAAUCUUAAGAACUUAAAAGCCUCAUAUGCUUAUGUAAUUUUGGCAUAUCGAUCUUGCAUGAACUAGUUAAUAUUAUGAACUUAAGAUCAAGGUUAGCUAACUAUGUGUUGGUUCAAUAUCGGGUUCGUCCUUAUUAUCUAUCGGGUUCAUUCUAAUCAUCCAUCAGGAUCAUAUUGAGAUGGUGAACGAUCUCCUCAUCAUUAAUCACAUGCCACGGCAAUGUCUAUAGCUUAUGAGAUGGUGAAGAUUAAACUAAUACUAAUUGAUAUAUGAAAAGGAAAAUUCAAAUGCAUUGCACCAACAAUAUCUAUAGCAUAACUAAUUAGAUAGAUAUAGCUUAUCUUCUUAAGUAUCUAAUUUAAAGUUUGAUCUUUGAACGGAAUGUAUGAAUAAUUAUUUGUUGAGAGAUAUAUACUUAAUGCGAUCUCAGAAUCUCGAGAGAUUAAUAAUAUCAUUACCAGUUGUGGAUAUACCUUGUGAAAAAAAUACAUUACGUCAAAUAAUUAAAUGAGUAUCUUCAAGUAAUUAAUUAAUUAAUAUUGGAUUAAACUUAAGUAGUUUGAAAAGACAAUUAGUCUGCACCACUUGGCUAAAAUUAAAUAUGGUAAACAUCACACGUUAGGUGCCCAAUCAAAUAGUUAACAACCACUAAUAUAUGAUGUGAUCUGUGUUAUGGGGUGGUAGAUCAUAGGUCUUAUUCAAGCUCAAAACUGACAUGGGCUUCAACUUCACCUUUUUAAUGUACAUGCUAGAAUCCAAAAUUAAGAGUUAAAACUAGGAUAAGUUCAUUGUGAUCAAUGGUCGAUCCCUUCAUUACAGUACAACUAUAUAGAGCUUACAUUGAUAUAUUUACAUAUCUAUGAAAACAUAUGUAUAUAUGAACAUCAAUUUAAUCAGGGAAAUGCGUGUUGGUUAUAAUUUUUUCUUUGUUUUAAAUCAAUAUAUACUCAUCGGAGUGAAUUUUGAUCAUUUAGAUUUUCGCCAAACAACUUGUUCUAUGUUCCUUUUCUCAUGCCUUGAAUAAUGCUUAUUAGAGCAUUGUUCUUUCAUAUUAUCAAUGAAUAACUUGUGUUUACAUUGUUAGAAGUUCGUUUGACAAAAUACCAUUUUGCACUACUUUGAUCCAAUUGGAACACUAAACGAUGAAAUAUGAUGUUUAUAGGUUUUAAAAAGUAAAAACACAUAUAACUAGAAUUUACAAACCACUUGCCUUGAAGAGUUUAAAAGUAUCUAUCUUUACCUAAAUCUUUAAGUAUAUUUUUAUUUAUUUCACAUGUAAGAAAUAUGCAUUUUAAAAUACAUAUGUAUCUGUUAAUCUAAAUAGCAAAAAGUUGAAUUACAUUUUUGUGGUCAUUUGGCCACCAGUCUCCACCGGGAAAAGGAGAAAGUUCAAUUUCAUUAAACAUAUAGUCUUCAAUUUAAGUUAUAUGAAUAAGAAACACUAAAAAUGGUAGGGAAGAAUUAACUCCAUCUAAACGUUACUUAGAUUAAUUAGGAUUAGGAAGUCGCUUUGGCGCUUUGCCAACGCAAUUCAAAUUAGCAAAAAAAACACAUAUCUGGGCCUUUUUGCAUUAGCCCAUUCUGUUGGUUUUUUUUGUUUGGCUGAUGGACCUUCACUUUUCUAUAAGGAUUUGAUUGUUUUUUUUCUUGGGCUAGUUUUUUUUGCUGCUGACCCCUCCUUUUUUGGUGCCAAAAACGCAUAUCUGGGCUUUUUUGCAUUAGCCAAUUCUGUUGGUAUUUUGUUUGGCUGAUGACCUUUUUUUUUAUACUUUGACUCUUUUUUUUGCGCUAACACAAGUUGAUUAAUCUUAAGUUAAGAAAAUCACUAUAAUAGAUAAACCUGAUUUAAGCUCUAGUUUAACUAAGACUAUAGAAUAACAAGCUCUAGUUUAACUGAGACUAUAGAAUAACAAACUCUAGUCUAACUAAGACUAUAGUAUAACUAAGCUUCAGUUAGGAGGGUCAUUAGAAUAACUAACCAUAGUCUAAUCGAGAUAAUAGUAUAACUAACAUUCGUUUAAAAGGGUCAAUGGAAUAACUAACGUUAAGUUAAGAGGUCAAUAAAAUGGAUAAUCCUAGUUUAACGUAGACUUUAGAAUAACUAAAUUAGGUUAAAAGUGUCAUUAUCCAUCAAUUCACUAGUAUUCAUUUAAAUAUUAGAAUUGAUCUAAUUAUAUCCGCAAAUUUGGAAAGAUUUUCAUGAAACGAAUAUCACCGUUGCUUCUGGAAUGGUCGAAACCCUUAGAAUCGGCUCCUCUUGGACCCAAAACGGAUAAAAAUGACCAAAAUUAUUAAAAAAACACAUUACUUAAGUUUAUUCAAAGGCCAAUAUCUGGUCCUAUUUGCAAAUCUGGAAAGAUUUUUAAGAAAUGAACCACACCAUUGCGUCCGGAACGAUCGAAAACCUUAGAAUCGACUCCUCUUGGACCCAAAACGGAUAAAAAUGACCCAAAAUUUCCAAAAAACACAUUCUGCCACAUGCCAGCACGAGAACAAGCUACGUCAGCGUCUCUGACGUCAUCAGGCGCGUGUGUCUCAUAGCUGAGAGUGGCCGCCACUCUCCUUCUUCCUCUAGCGCGAGUGGGGCGCGUGGCCGAGAGUGGGCUCACUCUCCGGCCACCUCGCCGACAAGUGCGGGAGAGUGUGGCUUCGUCCGGGCUCCGUUUGAGAUUCCGGAACUUGUUGCGGACUCGUCUCAGCCUUCUGAAUCCAUCUAUGACCUCAGAUUUUCAUUUUGGGAACUUUUAAAAAUGGGUCAUUUUCGAAAAUGAUGAUUCCGGCCACCUCGAGUCACCAUCAAAGCUCUAGUAUGACUUGUUGGGACCGUGACUUGACGAGGAACAUCGAGGAGACAGAUUUUGCACAAAUUCUCACCAAACAUUGAACAAACAACAACAUAAAAUUAUUUUUCCUAGCUAGUUACCACUUAUGGAACCCAGAAAGUGAGAAUAAUUUUAUGCAGUUAUUUUUCUAUUCUUUCACUAUGAGGGACUGAAUAUGAAUCAAACAGAAAUAAGGGACUGAAUAUAAAUCAAACAAAAAUAAGGGGCUAAAAGUGGGAAGCAGAAUUUAAUUUUUAAAUAGGCCCCUGACGCAUUUACAUUAAUGGCGCCGAAAAAAUAAUAAUUUGACUUUCAGUCCUUUUUUUUUGGGGCACCUGUGCCUCUCCAGAAAAAUGGCAUAUGUAAGCUUUCCCCUAAUUUUUUAAGAAAAAUUUAUCACUAAUAGUCUAAAAUUGUUAUGUUCCAAACUCUCAUUUAUCUAUAGGAAAAAGAAAUGUCAUUAAAUUAAAGUGCAUUUAAUUUAAGCUUGUGUAGUAUACUUCUUUUUGUGUGGUAGACAAACUAAAAAUUUAUAAUUAUAGUACAAAGGUCACCAUUAAGAUGAAGGAUAAGUUAAAUUAAAAAAAGAAGUCAAUGAUAAAUCCUAUAAAAAUUAUGGAUGAUAAGUCUUAUUAUAAGUGCCAAAUUGCUAAUUAAUGAAAAAUGGAAAAAAGUGGGAGUUACGGUAAAAACCCAAGAUGGAAAUCUCGAACCUAUCCUUGGUGAUAUGCAAACUACUAUCCACCAGUACAACAUAGAAACAUACAAAACGAGCAAUUAAUUUUGUUGAUUUUUGAAAAAGUUGAGAAAAUAUGUGGGGUUGGAGUUCCCCGGCAGUGAGGAAGAGGUCAUUCAUGAAUUGACGGAAUUCCUUAGAGAAAAUGAUCUUGUUUGCUCGUAGUGGUCUUUUGUUGAUCUGUGGCUUUUGAGGCGCUUGGGGCUCUUGUUGUUGGGUUUGGGUUGUCUUGGCUUUGAGCCUUUUAGGGCUUUUGGAGUUCUCAUUGUGGUUUAGUUGUUGGUUGCUUUUCCAUGGCUGGGUUCUGUAAUUCUUUCGCGUCUCCUCUUUGAGAGAUUGUACUUUUCUUUUAAUUUUUAAUAAGCUCGCUCUUUUGCUCUCUGAAAAAAGAAAAAGAAAAAGCUCUUUGAGAGAUUGCACUUUUCUUUAAGUAUUAUUUUCUCUCAUCAUUUAAACUCUCACAUUAUUUAUGUUUUCCUUUAUUUCUCAAAAUUUAUUGCAAGAGGGUAUUAUUGGAAAAAAUAUAUUUAAUACAAUCUUAAAUGUGUAAGUCGUCAGUUAAAUAAAAACAAUUUUUUUCAUCAAUUGACAGCUAAAUAGUAACGGAGACAUGGUAGAUUCUAACAUGUUGCUGCAAUGCAAGCAAGCAAGCAAAUUAAUCAUGUAUUCUCCACUAUAAAUACCUAUAUGCAUCAAGCAAUGCAAUCACACCCAAAACCUUGUCUCCAGUUAUUCCCCAUUCAAGCAAGCAAAUUAAUCAUGUUACCUCCAGCAUUAGCUAUACCUGCGUUGCUCCUUCUGAUAUUACUUUUCAUUCUAUCAGUUGCCCUGCUUCUUAAUCCAAAAGAACAUAAAAAUGGUAGGAAAUAUCCACCAGGUCCCAAACCUCUGCCAAUUAUUGGCAACCUCCACCAGCUGGGUAAACUCCCUCACCGAUCCAUGCACGAACUUUCAAAAAAAUAUGGACCCGUCAUGUCCUUAAAGCUAGGAAAGGUCCCAACCAUUGUGAUUUCAUCCCUUGAAACAGCAGAGCUAGUCCUCAAGACCCAUGACAUUGUUUUUGCUAGCAGGCCUAUAACUCAAGCAUCCAAAUACAUUUGUUAUGACAGUAAAGGCAUAAUUUUCACUGAGUAUAAUUCCACUCACUACACCAGAAAAGGGCUUUUACAGCGCCCCUUUUACAGCGGUUUAGGUGGCAGCCGCUGUAACAACACAAACACGGAGCGGUUGAUGGGCUAUUACAGCGUUUUAUUAAACUAACCGCUGUAAAAGCAUUACCUUUUAACAGCGGUUCUCUUAGAAGGCGCUGUAAACACAAAAACACGGAGCGGUAAUAGGCUUUUAUAGCGGUUUAUAUACUGACCGCUGUAAAAAAUAGGUUCCAAUAUUUACAGCGUUUAUUAAACUAACCGCUGUAAAAGUAACGUAAAUAAUAAAAAUCAAGAAUUCAGGUUCCGUGGAUCGAACCCAGGUUCCCUUAAUAAAACGCAGGCUUAAUUGCAGUUUUGCUCCUUUAUCUUUCACCUAUGUGUGAUUUGACUCCUUCAUGUUUAAAACGAGCACAUUUACUCCCUUGUCUUUCAAUUUGUGAAAAUUAACUCCUUCCAUUAGUGAGUUUUUUUAAAAUUGACGGAAUUGACUGACGUGAUGUUCAUUAAAGGACAUGAUUCUGUUAAAAUUGAGCAUUUGGAUGUCAUUUCACUAAAUAAAUAAAAAAAUAAUUAAAUAAGUAAAAAAAUAAUUAAAUAAAACUGAAAUAUUAAUCCCUAAUUAAAUAUGAGUGAAUUUAGUUUUUUUAAUUUAUUUGUGUCAUUUUUAUUUUGUUUAUUUACUUAUGUGUCAUUUUGGGAGGUAAGUUACGUCAUCCUUGAUCGUGGAACAAGCAAAUUCCGCCUGAAAUUAGACGGCAAAUUGACAAAGGGAGCCAAUUUUCACAAAUUAGAAUUUUAGGGACCAAAAUCGCUCAUUUUAAAUAUGAGGGAGCAAAAUCACACAUAGGUGAAAGAUAAGGGAGCAAAACUGCAAUUAAGCCUAAAACGCAAUAGUCUUUCCACUAGGCUAGAUUCACUUUAUGGUAGAUAUGUACAAUUUAUAGUAUUAAUAUAAGAUUUAGUUGAUUUCUUUAAUAAUUGGUUCAAAAAAUGUUCUGUGUGGGAUUCGAACCCGAGGCACCACAGAAAAUAUAAUGAGUCCUUUCCACUGGGCUGUUACACGUUUUUUAUUAGUUUGUUCGUUUUGUAUAUAUAAGUAUUAUUUUCUUUAUUGAUUUUGUAAAAUUACAUCUGUAACUGCAAACCCUUAUUUUUUACCAGUUACAUCUUUCACCAAUCUGCUACCUCACGACGUAAUCUCGACCUGCUACUUCUCUCAAAGCCCUCGCCACCUCCUGCCUCCGCCGUCCUUGCCGUCGCCGCCUCCAUCCCUUCCGCCGCCGCCGCCGCCUCUGCCUCCGUCCCUGCUGCGCCGCUGCCUCUCUUGUUUUGGGUCGCUUCCUGCACGGUUGUUGCCCUGUUCUCAUUAUCAUCCUUUCGAGACUGUAGCUUUGAAGAGCGUUGCUUCCACCGUGUAAAUCAUGAUGUGGAGACUCCAGGUAGCUUCCAUUGCUCAAUGUUCAUUAUUGUUCUAACUCUUGAUCUUGCUCUUUGUUCAUCAUCGCUCCUAUUCUCGAUCGUGCUCUCUUUGCUGUUUGAUCUUGGAUUUAAUGCUCUAACUCAAUGGAUCUCAUAGGCUCUAACUCAAUGGCUCUAUUCGCUAUCAAAAAUCCCUCUUAUGCAGUAUUUCUCGCUCAAUUUCAUCAAUCUAGGUCUUCUCAAGAUCUGAUGCCUUAGUUCAAUAGAUAGUUUAGUCGAAGCUUGUUGUGUUUUAGAUUAAUGUUAGGGUUGUUUUUUUUUUUUUUUGCUAGAUUGACAUUUCAAUUAACAUUGCUUUGUUACUUUCAUCGAGGUGAACAAUGUAUGGUUAGAGGGAACACCCAUCAGUUCCCCUUUCAGCGCUCUGGAAGAGCGAAUUGGCGAAUGAGAAAACUAAGAACCGGAGAUGGUAGAGGCUAGCGAGAACAAGAAAGGAGAGGAUCUCAUGCUACUAAAAAUCGAAUGCCAAAGGGUGGUGGGAGAUGGAGUGUGUACAUACUCUGUUUUUUUAGUAUGUUUCUUUCUUGCGCCAUCACCUCCUGCUUUUCUUUUACUCAGAUUUGAUAGAUUGUGAUUUUGAUGCAUCAAAAAGUCAAUUUUUGUGUGAUGUCUUAUUUUCUAAUACUAGCAUGGCAAGAUGAUAAAGAAAAGUAAAUGAUUGAGUGAAAAUGUUAUGCUAUGCUGCUUGAUGCUGAGUUGCUUUAUAUUUGUCUCACCUUUGUUAUUCAGUUUGAAUUUUUAAAUAUUCUGAACUGUUGAUGCUACACAUGUAUGCAGAGGAUCAGGAGGUAUUCGCCGACUGAAAUUGAAGGCAUACACAAGUAUUUUUAUAACUUCGUAUAUUAAGAGAACAUAUUGAGUACCCUCUCUGGAAGCUAAAUAUUUGCAUGUGCUUGACAAUUUUUUCAGGAAUAUAUACGAGAUGGCAUUGACUGGGCUAAAGUUGAAUUAUACCUGUACCCUUCCUUGGAUGCUGUCAUUUCGGUUCAAACUGAUUUACGGAAGGCACACUUCCAUUAGCAAUGGAUUCACUCUUCUCCUUAUCUCUCUAUGUGGAUAAUGAUGUCUUAUGCUUGAUUGUGUUGUGUUUAUUAGGGUUUCAUUUCGAUUACAUUUCAAAUUUGUUGUUUUGUAUUUGAUUUAGGUUUGAAAUUGAUAUCGUUAACUUAUAAUUUUUAUUUCAGAUCUUUCUCUCUUUGAAUGCUGCAAUUUAAGAUUUGGAUUUGUGGGAGAUGGUGAUUCCGGUGUUGUGUUGCAGGUUUUGGAUGCAUGUGUCGAUCAUAAGAUGCGUUCAGUCUCUCAUACAAUACUUUCUUGAUUCUUCACUCUACUCCACCCUCACAACAUCGAUUCUCAGAAUUGAAGGGAAUAUGAAGAACACCUCUGUCCAAGCAUAGUUGACUAUGCUACAGUCCCCGGAAAAGAAGCAGGUACCACCAGUAUAAAUAAUAAUGCUAGGAAAUCAUCUUGCUCCUGUUCAGGUUUCUAUUUGUCUAUUUGUGUAUUAUUCCUAAUCUAAAGAAAUUAAAGCUAGGAAAUUCCAGAUAAAUUUUGUUAUAGAUGCAUGUGUCUCUUAGUUGGAUAGUGAGUCUAAAUUUUAGAUGUUAAUGUCCUAUAAUGAUAAUUCCUAUGAUUUCCAUCUCAGCUUACAUCGUCUUGUGACUUAAAUCAUAAACAGGUAUUGAUUUUGCAGCAAUAUAUUUUGCAGCAAUCAUAAAUCUGCAGUUGAUGUCUCAUGUUUAAGGUUUGCAUUGUUAUAAUCCAAACUCCACUGAGAAAAACUUUGAGAAAGUUGUUGUAUAACUGAUUUUGUUCUGAGGGAAAUUCCCUCAUCCGGUGGCAAACUGAGGAGAUGUUUUAGAAUAUCUUUCAUCUUUCCAGAACGUCCCGGGUGCAAUAAAAGAGAGAAUUUUUUCGAGACAAAGUCUCGGAGAGUCUGCAAUGCUUUCUGGGUUUCUUCAAUUUUGUAAAUGCAACCUAUGGGUAGCAACUAAAAAUAGAGAUUCAAAUGUGAGAGCACAGGAGCAUAUAAGCCUAUUAAGUGGUUGUAUUGUUGUUAAAACUCUGGAAUGAAACUUGAAUAAGAGUUAUUGUAUGUUUAAUGAAGCUGUGAAUGGAUUUGCAGAUGAUGGCUGGUCCAUGUUAGAGAGUGAUGGCAUUGAUGAUGUCACCCUUCUUGUGAAUUCAUCACCGAGCAAGAUGAUGGGUGCAAAUCUUGGAUAUAACAAUGGAUUCCCAUCCAUGACCAGUUCUGUGCUAUGUGCCAAAGCAUCCAUGUUGUUACAGGUAUAAUUCUUUAAUACUCCAUAAUGUGGACUAAUGCUAUUGCUUAUUGCUCAGCUCUUAGGAAUUGCUUUUACUUUCUAUUGUUUUCAAGCAAUUGAUUUCCAUGUAUUUAGUUGUCUCAUGCUCUUUUUCUGUCUUUGUAGAAUGUCCCUCCAGCUAUUCUUCUUAGAUUCUUGCGGGAGCACCGAUCAGAAUGGGCAGAUAGCAGUAUUGAUGCUUACUCAGCUGCUGCCAUUAAAGCUGGCCCCUGUAGCUUGCCAGGGGCCAGAGGAAGUUUUGGGGGUCAGGUUAUUCUUCCACUAGCUCACACAAUUGAGAAUGAAGAGGCAAGUUGUUUUCUCCUAAUUUUAUAAUCUAGUACAUAUUUACUAUUUAGAAAUUACCAUUUAAUCUUCCAACAUAAAAUUGAAUACAUGUUAACUUGGCUUGUGGAUUAUAUUAACUUUUUUGUGUUUCUCUUCCGGCAUAUUACAUACUAACUGACACUUUAUCUCUAAAAUAGUUCAUGGAGGUUAUUAAGCUUGAAAACAUGGGCUACUAUCGGGACGACAUGACUAUGCCUGGUGAUGUUUUCCUCUUGCAAGUAAGUACUGCUCCAUGAUGCCAUUCUUUUCAACAUAUCUAUGUCCAUACCUUACAGCAUCAUGGAAAAAUUCAUAAAAUUUUAAUUGAGGGAAUGCCUUCAAUUAAAAUCCAUUAAUAUUCUGUUGGUUAAUUUUUCUCAUUCGCUAACUAAUCGUCCCUGGCUUCUAGAGUUUGCAAAGGAUAAGAUGCAUCAAAUAUCAUGAAUGGAUUUGCAUGUAGUUAUAGGAAUAGUCAGGAAUUAAGGAUCUAUAUGAAGUUUGAUUUUAAUUGAAUAGCUAUAACACUUGCGCCUGCAUAUAGUUCAGAAGGUUUAAUCCAAUAUCAAGUUUAUAGCUAACAGUGUUUGUUGCUGCACCUGUCAUCAGCUUUGCAGUGGAGUGGAUGAGCAUGCAGUUGGCACCAGUGCAGAACUAGUUUUUGCUCCAAUAGAUGCGUCUUUCUCUGAUGAUGCACCCAUUUUACCUUCCGGUUUUCGUAUUGUACCUCUUGAUUCUGGCACGGCAAGUCUUUAGCUUGACACAUGAUUUGAUUGUGUUGUUUUUGAAAUUUGCUUGCUUGCUUUAAUUUUCCCUUUUUCUUUAAGUUAGGAUUCUGAUUUCUGUCUUAUAUAAGAUGCAGGAUGCUGCUAGUCCAAACCGGACACUUGAUCUUGCCUCAUCACUUGAGGUUGGAACCACAGCAAACAAAGCUGCUGGUGCCAAAUACAGACAAAAAAAAAAAAAACAAAUUACAGCGGUUCCGUGGUGGAACCGCUGUAAUAUAUAUUAUCAAAUACAGCGGUUACCGGCUGAAACCGCUGUAAAAGAAGACUCAAUUACAGCGGUUAUUCUAGAGAACAGCUGUUGUAGGUCUGUAUUUACAGCGGUUUUAUUAAAUCAACCGCUGUAAAUAAUGCAUCUUUUACAGCGGUUAGAACCGCUGUUAAGGCUUUUACAGCGGCGAGAUCUACAGCGGUUCUGGACCGCUGAAAACCGCUGUAAAAGGCAAAAAAAAAACCGCUGUAAAAGCCAUUUUUUGGUGUAGUGACUACAAAAAAACCUGUUUUUAGUGGCACUAUAUUUGUGGCAUUUAUAAAAGAAUGCCCCAAAGUGAUAUUAAUCUGGCAUUUAAGUAGAAUGCCACAAAUUUGAGAACGCAACCCUAGCUAAUUAGUAGCUAUUUGGCAGCAAAUUACUUGUGGCAUUUAUUUAGAAUGCCACUAAUUUAGGAUCAGAUUCGCAGCUAAUUAGUAGCUAUUUGGAAGCAAUUUUUUAAAGUGAUGAUAUCAAUCUUUUUUUUGAACGUGAUGAUAUCAAUCUAUUAUUUAUAAAAUUGAUAUUGUUAGAAUAUAUAUAACAAACCUCACUGUUAGAAUAUAUAUAUUUUUGAAAGACCGUUAGAAUAUAUAUAUAUAUAUAUAGAUAAUUUAACAUUCAAGGUUUCUUUUUUUUCAUUUUAAAAAAAUGGUUUCUUUUUUUAAUUUCAAAAAAAAGGUUACUCUUUCUUAAAAAAUAUCUUGCUCGAAAAUCACUCAUUCAACAAAAGUGAACAAUAUAUCUAUAGCUAAGUUGAAAAUCACCCACUGAACAAUCAUCGAACACACGCAUUCAUCUCUCACUCGCACAAACUCUGCAACUCUGCACCGAUCGAAAUUUCAGCGUCGCGCAUCAUCGCCGCGCAUCACCGCCGCGCAUCGGUUGUCUUCACCACCGUGACAGAGCUUCCGGAACACCACAACCCUCGCCUCACUCUCUUACUGGUUAUCUUUCUCACUCAUCUAUAUCUCUAGGGUUUUUCUGUUUGCUUAGAUUCCAAUGUGUGUGCGUCUUCUCCUCUAUAAUUUUCCGAUUCUGAAUUCCGAGUAUUCCAAUUUUGAAUUUUGAGUUUUCCAUUGUGCGAAAAUGCAGAAUCGAAGAACGACAAGGAAGAAGAAGGGAAUGGAAUUGAGUUGAUUGUGUGUGAGAACCGAACAUGACAUCGUUUGUUGCUCACUGAAGUAGGUAAAAUCAAACCAAACCAAACCUUCUUGACCUUAAUUUCAUGCUUUAAUCUCUCACUCGAUGUGUUUGCUUUCAUUUCUAUGCAUCGCUACUUGAUUGUUGAGGAAAUCGUGUAAAACAAGUGAGUCUAUGUGCGUUUGCGUUUGCGUUUGUGCCAGCGCAUGCAUGCCAGGUGUUUGAUGAAAUUAUUGCUUCAUAUGUAUCCCUGUUUUUUAUUGUUGAGAGUGUCAGAGAUCUGUUUCAUGAGUCUAAUUCUUGUAUCAUGAGAUCAUGUUCUGUUUUAAGGUGAUUUUGGUACUAUCUUGUAUAUACUUUUCAUUACAUUGCUGAAUUAUGCUACUGAGGAUUGGCCUGCUGAAACAUGUACUCUUAAUCCUAAUCCUACUCUAACCAUCAGAUUGGUCCAAGUAGGAUUAGGCCAUUAGUUUCCCUGGUGAAAACAUUUACAAGUUUGAGUAAUUUUAUGUUACAACUUCCCCUAUUUGUUUUUUCUUUCUAGAAUUGAGUCACUAAACCCUGCACAUUAGAACGAAUGCUGAUGGUUAGUACUGUCAAUUUAUUAAAAGGCAAUGGCUAUUACAAUUUGCUGAACAGGGCAAUUAAAUUGCUCACUUCAAUUUGUUGAAAAACAGAAAAAAGUUGUUCUAUAUCCAUUUAGACUUAGUUACAAUUUUAAUCCUUUCUUGCCCUGAUUUUCUUGUCUCAUUGUCUAUAUCCAUGUAAUCUGUAGCUAUUGUUAGUUUGGGUCUGUAUCUUGCCUCUGUAUCAUGCAUAAAAUCAAGUGAUCUAAAGCUAAAUUGAACUGCUCUCUCUUCUCGCUCCAGCAUGUUUUUUUUUAAUUACUUUUGCUGGAUAUAGUAAGUAAUUCUCUCUCUUCAUUGCUCUCAUUUCCUAUGCAGAUUCUGGUCUGGAACGAACUGCUUUCUUUCUUUCUCCUUCGUAAGGAUCUCUCUCGGGUUCACAAGGUACCCUCUCUCCCCUACUUGCUUUCGGUUUCAACUUAGUUACACGAUCACCAAAAUGGAUAAAUCAUGGAUUGAUAUGCCGCGAAACACAGUUGAAUAUCUUGAGGGGUUAGAUAAGUUUCUAAACUUUGCGUUUGAGAAGCGGUCAGUUGAUGGUGUAAUAAGAUGUCCAUGUCCUAUAUGUUGCUGUAAUAAAUGGGAAAGUAGAGAUGUAGUGCGUGACCAUUUGAUUUGCAAGCAGUUUCCAAAAAAUUAUAAGGUUUGGAUAUGGCAUGGUGAAACAUAUGAAAGUAUGACAUCAAGGGACACUGAAGUAAUAUCGGAGCCACUGCAAAAUGAAAAUCCAGUACUAGACAUGAUUAAUGAUUAAGUGCGGAGGGCCAGUACAUUAUCGUUGGAUGUAUCCAAUUGAGAGGUUAUUUCUUUUUAAUGCAUUAAACUCAUUUAUUAUUUUAUAUAAUUAUUAAAUAUGUAAUAUAUUAUUUUAAUACCUUUUUGUGAUCAUAGGUUUUUAGGACAUUUGAAGUCCUUUGUACGAAAUAAGGCGCAACCGGAAGGUUCCAUAAGUGAAGUUUACUUAGCUGAAGAGACACUCAAUGUGUAUUCACGAUAUGAAGGUGUUGAAUCGAGGAUGAAUAGGAGUCGCCGUGUUGAUGAUAAUCCAAAUAAUAAUGAAACUUCUCAAAUGUCCUCCAUUUAUCCUCAAUUAGGUAGACCAGUGGGGAGUUCAUCAACUUUCACUUUGGGGCCUUUAGAAAAAAUACAAGCGCAUCGAUUUUUGCUGCUGAAUUGUCCAAGAGUCAAGCCAUAUGUUGAGUAAGUAUUCUGAGGCAGUUCAUGUGAUUAUGAGAGUAAGAAUAUAUUCGUGCAUUAUUAACAUAAAACUUUUUUUUGUAGUGAAUUUAGAGCAUUCAUUAGGAAGAGGAGUAGAAAUCGAAGACCUUCAGCUACAGACAUAGAGAAGAUAGUUGCUAAAGAUUUUGCAAAUUGGUUUCCUCAACGGGUGAUGAAUCCAGACACUACAAACUCAAUUCCAGAUGAAAUCAAGUUUCUAGCCAGAGGUCCAAUGUCGUGUGCAAAAAGAUAUAGUGCAUAUAACAUCAAUGGGUUCAAGUUUAGAACGGUAGAUAGAGAAGAGGGUCUACAAACUCAAAACAGUGGAGUUUUUUUGACUUCAAACACACCAUGUGUUGCAAGUAGUGCUGAUGCAAAUUUAAGGCGAGCGGAUUUGCCAUACUAUGGUAAACUUGAAGAUAUAAUUGAGCUCAACUAUUAUGGUUAUUUCCAAGUUGUCCUUUUCAAGUGUAAAUGGGCAGAUACCACACGCGAUAGAGGGUUUAGAAAGGAUGCUUGGAAAUUCUCUUCAGUGAACUUUUCUCGAUGUAUUCACACUGGUGAUAGGGAAGAGCAUGAUCCAUAUAUCGAAGCUUCACAAGCACAAUUAGUGUAUUAUGUGGAUGAUGAGGUCAAUAAAGGUUGGAGUGUUGUGGUGCAUAUGAUGCCAAGGGAUUUGUAUGACAUGGGAGAAAUUAUGGAUGAUAUUGAAAGUGAGGCAUACCAAGAGCAAGACUUAAGCAAUUUAUUGUCAAAUGAAGAUGACACAAUAACAUUGGCUAGAGAUGAUGUAGAUGGUGAAUUCAUAUAUGGAAAUGCAGAGAUGAAUGAGUAGAAAAAAAUAAAAAGGGAAUAUCUUUGGGUAGUAUGACACAUGUUUUUAAGUUCAUUUAACUUAUGAUUAUUAUUUUAUACAUGUUGCCAUAUGGGCAAGCAGCAGUACUUCUUUCUAAAGCUUGUGGAUGCAUUGCUAGAGACCCUGAUCAUGUUCCUAUCAAUUUUGAAAGUUGGAAAGCAGUACUUGAUGAUUACAAAAAGGAGUGCUUUAAAAUUUUGAAGGUACGCAAAUUAUAUUGUCAAAUGUGUACUUUUAUGUUCUAUUUUUCUGGUUUCUGUUCUGUUUCUGUUUCCUGUCUAUGUACUGCUGGGAUGUUGCAUUUUACACUUGGUAUCAGAGCCUGAUGGGGAAGUAGGAACAUGCUAAAUAUGUUAGAUAUAAGUUAUUUCUCUGUUCUGUUCUUAUAUAAUUAAGCACUAUGGUCGGGAACUGGACUGGUAGUACACUUUGAACUAAACUAAAAUGAAAGCUCUUCUGAAAACCUUCUAGGAUUAUUACUAUUCAGACUUAUGAUCAUCUCUGCAGCGGAGGCGUUGAAGGCAGUAAGUCCCUGUGUGGCAGUAAGUCUAUAUUGGCCAUACUACAGACAUGUUAUUAAGUUCUGAAUAUUUUUAAUGUCCUUGUUUAGUUUCUUUUUGUGGUGGCUUAAGUCUGAUCCAGAUCUAUACUGCUCAACUAUUAAGAACAACGCAGAACCUAACUUAUAUUUCUAAUUUAUUUAUCUGUUUCUAUAGAACCAGGUGAUGGCGAUGAUACUUACGGGUAAGGAAGGUCUGUCUUCUAUGAUGCUUCGCUCUUUCUCUUCUAAGCUUUCUUUCAGAUCUUCCCAACCCUCUUCUUCUUCUAUCGAUCAUCCUCAUCAAUCCAAUCAAUUAUCCAAAUCUGUCUUCAAAGAAGAAAUUCAUUUUGAAGAUAUCAAUCAAGAUCUCGACAACUGGGAAAUCCCUAAAAUCUCUCAUGCUGAGAUCUACAAACCAAACGGAUCCUUUUUCAAACGAUCAGACUUCAUCAUCAAAACCGUUGAGCAAACCUACAAGCUCAGAUCUGAUAAUGAAGAAAUCCAUCUGCUUUCUGAGAAAAGCGUCAAAGAUCAUAUCAGCAAGAACUUCAACUAUCUUCACAUAGAUCUAACUGUCAGUCUGGAAGACAAAAACAUCCUUGACGUUCUCUUCCUAAAUAUCAAGCUUCACGGCCUUGAUAUGAAAGAAGAUUCCAUACCAAUCUCUUUGAUCUACAGGGUUCAAUACAAGGUAAUGAACUCUAUCAAAUCUUAUUUCUUGCGAACCAAUUGUGAGAAAUCCGGAGAAACAACUCUUUUCCUUACAGAUUAUGAUAAGGCAAACGUUAUUGUUCCCAAAACCAUCCAAUGGAGUGAUAUCACCCUUCCAGAGAAAUGGUCUUUGGAAAAGAAACCCUUUCUAACCUGCCACCUAAAACUCCUUUCCUUCUUAAAGGAGCUCAAUCUACACCUGUCCUAGCUUCUCCCUUCAAGACUAGAAAAGAAGAAGGGGAUGUCACUGGAAAAGACAUCAAAGACCUCAUGGAACAAUCCAAUUACACCAAUAAAUAUCUUCAAAUUCUUGGAGAAUCCCAAGUACAGGAUUCCUCUUCCAAGAAAGGAAAAGAAAAGGUCAAGAUUGAACCUUCCUCUUCUAAUCUUGAUAUCCCUAAAGGAUGUCAACUUGAGAAACCCCUUUUCAAACCUUUUCAAAUCAGUAGCCGUUCCAAACACUCGGCUCAAACUCUUCGAGCAAAAAAGGAAUCUGACAAUGAGCUCCUCCAAAAAGUGGUAGAGCAACUUCAGCUUCUCAAACAAGUUAUUCCUGAGACUCCGGAACCUCCUGAGACUCCGGAACCUACUCCGGAAGAAGUUUCUAAUCCCACUAUUACUGCUCUUCCUCCUCCAAAAACUCGUACUUCUACUCGUAAUACCUCUACUUCUUUAAAUAAUAUUGAAGAUGGUAAGGUUGAGUCUGAUUCUGAUAUUCAAUCUGACGUUCAAUCUAUCAAAAGUAUUCCUGUCAAUACUGUCAUUCACAAUUCUAAGAAUCAGUGGAGGAAAGAAACCAAGCUCUACUAUCCUAGAGCUACUGCUCCUGAUCUUCUUUUAGAAGAAUCUUCAAACUUCAAAAGCUUCAGUGCCAACAAUGUCUAUGAAUGGAACAUUGAUGGUGAAAAUGAGUAUGGUAUCACCAAAAUCCUCCAAAAUAUGACUAUGGUAGCCACUGCCUAUGUUACCGCCAACAAUUGUCCUGAAUCUCUUAUCGUUGAAGUCUUGGUUGCUGGUUUCUGUGGCCAGCUCAAAGGUUGGUGGGAUAAUUAUCUCACUCAAGACGAGAAGGAUCAGAUCUUGACUGCUGUCAAGACUGAUGAAGAAGGUAAUCCUAUCAUGGAAGAUGGAAAAUUCAUCUCUGAUGCCGUCAACUCCUUAAUCUUCACCAUAGCCCAACAUUUUGUUGGAGAUCCUUCCCUCAUCAAGGACAGAUCUGGUGAUCUUUUGUCCAAUCUUAAGUGCAAAUCUUUGGGUGAUUUCAGGUGGUAUAAAGAUACCUUCCUAACCAGAGUUUACACCCGUGAAGACAGCCAACAAGCCUUCUGGAAAGAGAAAUUCCUGGCUGGUCUUCCUAAAUCUUUUGGCGACAAAGUUCGUGAGAAACUUAGAAGCCAAAAUCCGGGGGGAGAAAUCCCAUAUCACACCCUUAGUUAUGGACAGCUCAUAGCUAUCAUUCAAAGAGUUGCUCUCAAAAUCUGUCAGGAUGACAAAAUCCAACAGCAACUCACUAAGGAGAAGUCUCAAAAUCGCAGGGAUUUGGGUACUUUCUGCGAACAAUUUGGAAUUCAAGGUUGUCCCAAGAAACCUAAACCCAGAAAGCAAGAUCCUCCUCCCAAACAACAAUGGAGAAAGAGAUCUAGCAGGAAUGAUCAUAGGAAACCCAAGCCUAGAUCAAAACCCCAAUCUUCGCAAAUUCCAAAGAAUCCUCCUGAGACUAGACCUUCUCAAGGAAAAGAUGUUACCUGCUACAACUGCGGCAAGCCGGGCCAUAUUAGCAGGUAUUGCAGACUCAAAAAGAGAAUCUCUGAGCUUCAUCUUGAACCUGAAAUUGAAGACAAGAUCAACAAUCUUCUCAUUCAAACUUCUGAUGAAGAAGAAUCUAAUCCUUCGGAUUCUGAGGUCUCUGAAGACCUAAAUCAAAUUCAGAAUGAUGAUUCUCAAUCAUCAUCUUCCGUCAAUACCUUGUCUAUCAAUACUUUGACCAAUGAACAAGAUCUUCUCUUCAGAGCUAUUAAUUCUAUCCCUGAUCCUGAGGAAAAGAAAAUCUAUUUGGAACGCCUCAGAUCUACUCUUGAAGAUAGGCCUCCCAAAAGUCCUAUAACCACCAAUAAAUUCAAUCUUAAAGAUACUUUCAAGCGUCUUGAGAAAUCUACGGUCAAGCACGUUACUAUUCAAGACCUUCAAUUUGAAGUCAAUUCCCUCAAGACUGAGGUCAAAAGUCUCAAGCAAAUCCAAAAAAGUCAGCAACUUAUUUUGGAGAAAUUGACUAAAAAUUAUGAAGAAGAUGAUUCUUCUAUACCUGAUUCCAAUCCUGCUCCUAACAACAAUUGCGAAGACUUUCUGGAGAAUAUUAACCAGGUCACCAUUCAGAAAUUCUUUAUCCAUGUUAAAAUCCUCAUUGGAGAUUUUGUUCUCGAAAUCCCUGCCCUCUUUGACACAGGGGCAGAUUCCAGUUGUAUCUCGGAGGGACUCAUUCCCACCAGAUAUUUUGAGAAAACAACUGAGAAGCUCAGCGCUGCUGAAGGAUCUAGACUAAAGAUCAAGUAUAAAAUCCCCUCAGCUAUCAUCAAAAAUGGUAGUCUUGAAAUCGAAACUCCAUUUCUGUUAGUCAGAAAUUUGAGUCAAAAAAUCAUUAUAGGGACCCCUUUCAUUAAGAAACUCUUCCCCUAUAAUACUGACGAAAACGGCAUCACUGUUCAGCAUCUUGGACAACCUAUCUUGUUCAAAUUCUCUGAACCUCCCAUAGAUAAGACUUUGAACGUCAUAUCCUACAAGGAGAAGCAGAUCAACUUCCUCAAGGAAGAAAUCUCUUACAGAACCAUUGAGGAACAAUUGCAACAACCUUCUGUUAAAUCAAGGAUUGAGGAUAUUUUGGAAAAUAUUCAAUCCAGCAUCUGUUCUGAUCUACCCAACGCUUUUUGGGAAAGGAAGAGCCAUAUGGUGGAACUUCCUUAUGAAAAAGAAUUUUCAGACAAACAGAUCCCAACCAAGGCUAGACCUAUUCAAAUGAAUGAAGAACUUCUUCAUUUCUGCCAAAAGGAAAUCAAUGAUCUCCUUGAAAAGAAACUUAUUCGCAGGAGUAAGAGCCCUUGGUCCUGUGCAGCCUUCUAUGUCAACAAACAAGCUGAGAUAGAACGAGGAACCCCUAGGCUGGUUAUUAACUACAAACCUCUCAAUCAAGCCCUUUGUUGGAUCAGAUAUCCUAUCCCCAACAAGAAAGAUCUCUUAGCCAGACUGCAUGAUGCUAAGGUCUUUUCAAAAUUCGACAUGAAAUCUGGCUUUUGGCAAAUCCAAUUGCAAGAGAAGGAUAGGUAUAAAACUGCUUUUACUGUUCCUUUUGGGCAGUAUGAGUGGAACGUUAUGCCUUUUGGGCUAAAGAACGCCCCUUCUGAAUUCCAAAGGAUUAUGAACGAAAUCUUCAAUCCUUAUUCCAAAUUCACUAUUGUCUACAUUGACGAUGUUCUAAUCUUUUCCCAAACUCUUGAUCAACAUUUCAAACAUCUCAAUACGUUCAUCUCUGUAAUCAAAAGGAAUGGCUUGGCUGUUUCCAAGACAAAAGUCAGUUUGUUCCAAACCAAAAUCCGAUUCCUUGGUCACAAUAUCCACCAAGGAACCAUCAUUCCGAUCAAUAGAGCCAUCGAGUUCACUGAUAAAUUCCCUGAUCAAAUCAUUGACAAAACCCAAUUACAGAGAUUCUUGGGUUGUCUCAAUUAUGUUGCGGAUUUCUGUCCUCAACUCAGUACCAUAAUCAAACCCCUUCAUGAAAGACUCAAGAAGGAUCCUCCACCUUGGUCCGAUAUUCAUACCAAUGUGGUCAAACAAAUCAAACUUCGUGUCAAGAAUCUCCCUUGUCUUUAUCUCCCUAAUCCUCAAGCUUUCAAAAUUAUUGAAAAUGAUGCCUCUGAUAUUGGUUUUGGUGGCAUUUUGAAACAAAAGGUUUCUGACAAAGAACAAAUUAUUGCUUUUACUUCAAAGCAUUGGAACCCUGCUCAGCAGAAUUAUUCUACUGUCAAAAAAGAAGUUUUAGCAAUCGUUUUGUCUAUUUCAAAAUUUCAAUCUGAUUUGAUCAAUCAAAAAUUCUUGGUUCGAGUGGACUGCAAAUCUGCCAAAGAGAUUUUACAAAAAGAUGUCAAAAACUUAGCUUCAAAACAUAUCUUCGCCAGAUGGCAAGCUAUUUUAAGUGUUUUUGACUUUGAAAUUGAAUAUAUAAAAGGAUCUUCAAAUUCUCUCCCUGAUUUCCUCACUCGUGAAUAUUUGCAGGGCAGAUCAUAAGAUGGCCUCCAAAGGCUCUUCCUCAUCCAGAGGAAGAGGCAGAGGUUCUCACAAGAACAAAGGUAUUACAAUUUAUGACUUAAUCCUCUCUGGGCCCACUGCCCAUCAAUCUGGACCCACUGUCCAAAAUCAAAAAUCUGAGCCCACUGCUCAAAAUCAAUCUCCCCAACCAAAACAAACCAAAGCAGAUUAUGCUUUAUCAAUUCCAACUCUCCUUGCCCUCAAACAAGCAGGCCUGGAUAAUGUUCCUCAGGGACUCAUCAAUUUACCCAAAAAAUCCUGGGCUAGCAUGACAGAAGAAGAUGAUGACCUUCAAUCUCUCCAAGCCAUCAUUGAUAAAACCAAAACCUUAGCAACUCAUUGCGGGAAAAAACCCGUUGUUGCUCAACCCAGUCAACCCAACCAAAAUACCGGUUAUCUAGCCAAAAUAAACUCCAAAUUCCAAACUUUUAUUGAACCAGAAUGGUGGGAUAGCUCUGGAGGAGUCGACCUUGCCAACAAAAUUGGCAUUAAACUCUUCCCAAAUCACCUUGAUCCCAUUCACCCAAACAAAUCCCAAAUUUUCUAUGAGUUUAUCCUUAUAGAUACAAACAGUGUAGAAAUCAAACACUUUAGGGAUAAAUCUGAUAACUCCCUUAUCACUCAUUCUACACUCCAAAUUCUCCGUGUCCUUCGUCCCACUGACUUUGGACCUAAUCCAAAUGGUUACAAAAAAUUCUCUCAGAACUUUGACCCUGUAGGUUUCAACUAUUGGGACUAUAUGAAAGCUUGGGAGAAUACAAUCCUUGGUCUACAAAAUCAGAAUUUCAAACACUCUUGGCUCAUUUAUUUUAAAUGGUCCAACAAAUAUUCUUUUCCAAAUUGGUUUCACUCUUGGUGGGAUUUCUUUGGACCUACUACGGAAAUCUUUCCCUCUGAAGUUCUUGAGGGUUACAAUCAUUUUUUAAAGCAUUGGAAUAAAGAUUUAAACAAUUAUCCUGAUUGUUUGAAUUUUUACACAAUCUUUUCCCUUUCUUGGGUAUUUGCCUGGCGUUAUGGUCUCAAGACAAAAGCCCAACCAAUUCUCCACAAACAACCCUUAAUCAAAUGGUGGAAGGUCUUUGAUGCUUCCAAAGCUCAUAAGGAGAAUGUCAAUCAGUGGUUUAAGUCUAACCAAAGGUGCCUUAAGCAUGCCAAUCCGCAAUCUAGUCUCUUGCUCAAUCAAAAGGCCCACAUCACAGCGGCCCUUGCAGGAGCUUCAACAGAAGAAGACUUGCUGAAGAAUCUCCAAACAGCUCUGCAAUUAUUGAAAGAAAAGGAGCCAAAGGAGCAGGCCUCAUCCUCAAAGGCCCCUCAGCAGAAAACUUCCUCACAAUCUUCUUUCGGGUCAGAUCUUGUCCCGGAAACACUGGAAUCAAGUGAAGAUGACCUCUGCUAAAGCUUUGUCGUCUUUUUUCAUUAUGUUUUGUAAUAAUUCAAUCUCAAUUAUUGUAUUCCACUGUAGCAACAGUAGAACUUUUUACUGUAGCAAAUAGUGCCCGUCAAAUAGUACCGUCUACCGGAACUAUUCAACCGGAACUAUUCAAACAGUGACCAAAUUUUUCUUUAAAUAGGCAUCUUCUGAGCUUUGUUAGGCAGAGUUUGGCAUAGCCUAGAUAGAGAGUUAUAGAGAGAGAAAACACUGAGAGUCCUUCUGUAAGUUCUCUUUCAGUUUUCCUUUCUUCAAUCUUUUCAGUUGUUCAGUUUUUAUAUUUCAGUUUUUGUAACCUAUGUUUAUGUAAUAUAUUUCCUCCAGUUUUAUUUUUUUGUUUAUGGAAGGCUGAGCCUCCUGUUUUAAUUCCUGUCUUUUAAUUUCUGCAAUUUAAAUUUCUGCUACUAGAAGCCCCUCCGUGGUGGCGUCCUACUUCUCUUCUUAAUCCUCAUCUCAUCCCCCUCCUUCUGUAUAUAUAUAUAUAUAUAUAUAUAUAUAUAUAUAUAUAUAUAUAUAUAUAUAUAUUUGGUAUUUCUAAAAACAAAUUAUUGAGUAUUGAAUUGUCUUUUAACCUUAACACUAACAAUUAUCUUUUUUGUUGAAGAAUCUUUUUCAUUUUCAGGCACCGGAGUUAAUUGCUAAGCGUUAUUGCUUUCUUACCAUGGGGAAAAAGUAUAGUGUAAAUUCAGGUUCCCUCUGACACGAUUGUCCUGCACGAUGCUGGGACAAGAGGUUCGACAACUGCUUAACAGUGAAACAAAACUUAACAACAGAAACAAUAACACACAGUAAUUGUUAACCCAGUUCAGUGAAAACUUUCACCUACGUCUGGAGGGUUUGCACCCAAAGAAAGGAAAUCCACUAUCUCAAGAUUCAGGAAUUACAGACACUCAUGAACACCUCAGUUCAUAGUUCACUUCCUAAUCUACCCAGUGUAUUUCUACUUAGAAUCUCAACCUAAGUAUGAGAGCCCCUCUCACUUCCUCUCAAUCACUGCCACAGUGAUUGGUAAACACAAUGAACAAUCAGAGUUUGAAUGUAAUCAAACAACACAGAACCCUUCUUUGCUUUAUAGAAUCAGUGAGCAAAGAGGAUUCACAAAUAACAAGAACGAAGCACAAUAACAAAUCCUAAAACACUCGAUCUCUCUCUAUCAGCUUCGGUCAUCUUCACGUUUUAGGUCUUCAUCCUUUUAUAGACUUCAGCAGCGGUAGCAUGGGCUUUAGGGUUGGCACGGGCUGAAGAAACAGAUAUCAGUAACAGCAAUUCAAAAACACAAUCUUGAUAGAUUCGGUUUCUUAUUGCACAAGUAACGAUAGAAACCAAUCUUUUAGCAAAGAUUGUUUCAACAAAUAACAACCCCACAAUUAAAACCCUUCUGGAUAGCUACUUGCUCCUCAAGUAACUCAAAAACAUAUCUUCAGUAAAUCUUCAGAGGGCCCACAAUAUAAACACAAGCUGAGGACUGAUGUCCUAGCCUCACGAGGUCAGAUGCCACGGCAUCUGCUUCGACAAUUAGUUGUUUUGACAAAAUGCAAGGCAACAUGUUCCAACAAUCUCCCCCUUUGUCAAAUUUUGUCUAAAACAACUCACAAUCAGAGAGGAUAAAAACAAGAGAAAUAACUCUCCCCCUUAGUCAGAGCUCCCCCUCAAACAGAUGCAUCUACACAACCAACUACCAUACUUCAGAAGGCAUAGUCGGAACAAACACAUUUUAACAUCGCAAACACACAACCAGAGGUACAAUCAACCUUAGCACAUGAUGUCUUCAAAAUGGGUCAGCUUGGACAUCAUCAUAUCAAAAAUACUACCAUCAGAAGCUGGCAGCACAUACCCAGAAGUACAGCUAACAGAAAUACUGCUCAUCAGAAGCACCGUCAGAAAUACAACUCAUCAGAAGUAACAUUUCAGAAAACAAACAUAGCCAUCGUCUUGAACUUGUCUUCAGACCAGAGCUAACACUAUCAGAACACACGUAGCACAGUAGAAACAGAAGCAACUUCACCUAACUUCUGAGAACAUGAACAUCUGAACCACAACAAACUUCUGAUCUGCGAACAUCUGAACAAAAACAACUUCUGAACCACUAACUUCUGAACAGAAACAUCUGAAAAAAAACUCUUCACUAACUUCUGAAACCUCAAAACAGCUGAAACAUAGAUCUUCACUUAAACAUCUGAUCAUAAAACACAUGCAUACUACUCCCCCUUUUUAGCACAAAUUUGCAAAGGGUGCACGAAUACAGCAGAAACAAAACACACUAGUCUUCAGAACUGGAGUCCUUUCCAGAUCCUUCUGCAUUUUCCUCUGCACACUCUUCAGAUCCUUCCUCCUCUUCAUUACUCACAUUCGGAGCAGCAGCACGUUGCUCACCAUCUUGACGUUCUUCUUCUUGUAGCUUGAGUAGCAACGCAUCAACUUUGAGCUUCCUGGCAGUGCUCACCCUGAUUGUCUCCUGCAAAGCCUUGGAAACUUCCAGUAAUUCAGCUAUGAUGGCCUUAGCGUCAGAUUCAGUCACAGGAGGAGCAGAUGUUCUGCUGGUUGGUAAGGCAAUGUCUAGAACAUGUGGCUCCAUAAACAAACGGUGAUCCAAAGUGAUUGGAACUCCACGAGACAUAGCCACAUCAUCUGCCCUCAGAAUCUGAGGAUGUUGCUUUAAGAUUAUCUCAGUAAGAAGUGAAGGAAAUGAAACAGGCAGCUUCACAGCACAAGUAUCAGCAUGCUUCAAUGUCUGCUCAAACACAAAAGUUCCAAAGUCAAAAGCCAUAGACUUGCCAAUCCUAUAGAUCAAUUUGGCAAGCGUUGCAGAAACACCAGAAGUAUGUUGAGUAGGAACCCAAUUCACAGCACCAAUCCGGUUAAGAAUAGCAUACUUCACACUCAGAUUUCCAGGAGACAACAACUUCUUGCUGGGCCACUUCUUCACAUGACCGGCAGUAAGCUCCUUGGCAACAUCAUCCAUGGACACUUCUUCAUCAACAAAUUCAAUAGCACUUCUUCCAUGUGCUUGAUUGAUCACAGCAGGUGAAAACAAUACACAUUCAGCCCGUACAUAGACUUUUCUGAACUCUGCACUAUCAGGAAGUCCCACAUCAACAGAGAGAUUCACCAGGAACUCUCUCACAAGCUUCUCAUAGCACCUUCCAACAUUCUGAAUAGUCUUCAUCAGACCUGCUUUCUCAAUAAGUGCAAUAACAUCUCUGCAUUCAAGAACAUCAGAACCAACAUCCCUUUCCUUGGCCAUUCUCCUCUUGCAAACAAACUUCCACUUCUGAACAUUCUCUUCUAAGUGGAAAGACACUCUAUCAAUAGGGACAGCAGGAACAUUCUGAGGAACACGCUUACCAGAAAACUUCUUUGUAUCAGAAGAUCGAAUGUCCUGAACACCGACUUCAACAUCUGACUCAGAGUCUUCAACUUCAACUGGAAUCUUCCUCUGCUUGUUCUCAGUGGGAGCCUUUGCGUCCUUUUGCUUCCCCUUACUCUUCACACUGACAUGUCUAGAUUUCUUUGAUGGAGUAGGUGUGAUUUCAGGAGAAGAAAUCCUUCUUUUCUUCUUCAUUCUCGCAGCAACACUAUCAGCAAAAGUCUCAGUCAGAGGAACAUCAUCAGAAGCAUCAUCAGAGAUGUUCUGAACAGAGGCUGGAUCAGCAUCCUUCGAAGAGGAUGAAACAGAGAUAUUAGGCGUGGUAGCAUCGCCUGAAUUUUCAUGAGAAGUGGAAUCCUUUCCAGGAGUUUCUUGAGCAGAACUUUCCUUAGACCCAGUUGCCUCAACAUCAGCCACAACAUCAGGCACAACUUCAGGAGGCGAUUUCACUGGAGAAUCUUCAUCAUUGAUUUCUUCUUCGUCAGGAACAUCCUCAAGGAUAGAAACAUUUGGGGCUUUGCUGUUCUUGACCUGUGAUUUGUAGACCUUACAUGUUGGGUUUCUUGAUCGCAUCUUCUUGGAGGCUUUCUUGGACACAAAAGACGGUUGAGAAGGAUCACUCUUCAAACCCAUACACUUGACUCCUUUAGCAGUUCCUUCAAUCUUGGCCUUGACAGAUUCCUUCUUUCCUGAACUUUGAGACAUGACGAAUCGAGAGGAAAUACAAACAAAGUUCAGAACAAUGAAACAAAUUUGCAAAUGAGAGAUGAUGAGUCUUGAAGAAGAUAGAUGCACAAGCGGUUGAGAGAACACAAUAUGCCCGUUGGAGGUAGUUAUAGGAUAUGUGAACCAUGAAGUAACUUUCUCUCUGCUGAUGUCACAACGGCUGUUAAUGAUGACCAAGAAUAAACUAGCCGUUGACACACUAGGGCACGCUAAUUGCUAUGCAUCAGAAAGACAAAUCCCUAUACUUCCUCUUAAUUUUUCAAAAGUGAUAGCAUCAAGGGGUUUUGUGAAAAUAUCAGCCAACUGCUUGUCAGUUGUCACAUGAUCCAAAUUAACAAUUUUCUCCUCCACCAAGUCUCUAAUAAAAUGAUGUCUAAUGUCAAUAUGCUUGGUCCUGCUAUGCUGUAUAGGAUUCCUUGAAAUAUUAAUUGCACUGAGAUUGUCACAGUACAAUGUCAUGACAUCCUGUUCAACAUCAUAUUCCUUCAGCAUUUGCUUCAUCCACAUGAGUUGAGUACAACUACUUCCUGCUGCAAUAUAUUCCGCUUCAGCUGUAGACAAUGAGACACAAUUCUGCUUCUUGCUAAACCAUGAAAUCAAAUUAUUCCCUAGGAAGAAACAACCACCAGAUGUGCUUUUUCGAUCAUCUGCACUACCUGCCCAAUCUGCAUCACAGAAACCAACUAACGAAGAAUUUGUAUCAUGAGUAUAGAGAAUACCAUAGUCACUCGUGCCAUUGAUGUACUUGAUAAUUCUCUUGACUUGUAGCAGAUGACUAGCCUUAGGAGCUGCUUGAUAUCUUGCACAUACACCAACUGCAAAGGUGAUAUCUGGUCUGCUAGCAGUGAGAUACAACAAGCUUCCAAUCAUGCUUCUAUAGAGACUUUGAUCUACAUCUUCCCCCUGUUCAUCCUUGGAGAGUUUGAUGUGUGUAGCAGCAGGAGUUCUCUUGUGACCAGCCUUUUCAAGCCCAAACUUCUUGACUAACCCUUUAGCAUACUUGCUCUGUGAUAUGAACAUAGAAUCCUCCAUUUGUGUGACUUGUAGUCCUAGAAAAUAAUUCAAUUCACCAACUAGGCUCAUCUCAAAUUCAGAUUUCAUUUGUCGGACAAAAUGCUCCACCAUUGAGUUCGACAUUCCUCCAAAGACAAUGUCAUCCACAUAAAUCUGUGCUAUCAUGAGCUUACCUUUGUCAUUCUUCACAAACAGAGUUUUAUCAAUUCCACCCUUGCUGUAACCAUUGCUUACAAGAAAGUCAGUUAACCUUUCAUACCAAGCCCUAGGUGCUUGCUUCAAACCAUACAAGGCCUUCCUCAACUUGUACACAUGAUCUGGAUGAUGCGGAUCUGUAAAUCCUUUAGGUUGUUCAACAUAGACUUCUUCAUUCAAAUAGCCAUUCAGAAAAGCACUCUUCACAUCCAUCUGAUAAAGUCUGAACUUCAAGAGACAAGCAACACCUAACAAGAGUCUUAUAGAUUCCAGUCUAGCUACUAGAGCAAAGGUCUCAUCAAAAUCAACUCCUUCAAUCUGAGUAUAUCCUUGAGCAACAAGCCUUGCUUUAUUCCUUGUGACUGUUCCAGUUUCAUCUGACUUGUUCUUGAAGAUCCACUUAGUGCCAAUGAUGUUUACUCCUUCAGGUCUAGGCACUAACUCCCACACUUCAUUUCUCCUGAACUGUUCUAGCUCCUCUUGCAUAACAUUUAUCCAGUAUUCAUCAGUGAGAGCUUCAUUGACAUUCUUGGGUUCUGUCUUAGAGAUGAAACAACUGUGAGCAAUCAUACUCCUGGAUCUGGUAGUCACCCCUUCUUGAAGAUUACCAAUAAUGUUUUCUUGAGGAUGAUUCUUCUGAACCCUAAUUGAUGGAGCUUUGGUUGAUGUGAUAUCUUUGUCUUCCUUUUCAUCAGCACUUGUUUCUGACUCGUUGUCGAGGGCGGUUGCUGGAGCAUCGGCUGGAACAUCUGCAUCAUCAUCAUCUUCAUUCAAAACUGCUUCUUCCUUCUUGCUUGGUUCAUCAUCCACAGUCACAUUCACAGAUUCCAUCAUGGUCCUUGUGCGAGAGUUAAAAACUCUAUAGGCUUUGCUGUUCAUAGAAUACCCCAUGAAAAUUCCUUCAUCACUUCUAGGAUCAAGCUUCCUCUUAGGAUCACGAUCUGCAAGGAUAUAACAUUUACUUCCAAAUAUGUGAAAGUAUUUUACAGACGGUUUUCUACCUUUCCAUAGCUCAUACUGUGUGGAGGAUGUCCCUGCCCUGAUGGUGACUCUAUUAUGUAUGUAACAGGCAGUACUCAUAGCUUCAGCCCAGAACUGGUGUGGAAUCUUCUUAGCAUGUAACAUUACUCUAGCUGAUUCCUGGAGAGUUCUAUUUUUCCUCUCAACUAUUCCAUUCUGCUGUGGAGUGAUAGGGGCAGAAAAUUCAUGGCUAAUACCUUCUGUUCCACAGAACUCCAAGAAUUUUGAAUUUUCAAACUCCCUUCCAUGAUCACUUCUGAUUCUCACAAUCACACAGUCCUUCUCAUUCUGAAGUCUCAUACAUAGAUUCUUGAAUAUUUCAAAAGUCUCUGAUUUUUCUCUCAUAAACUCAACCCAUGUAUACCUUGAAAAGUCAUCUACACAGACAAACACAUACCUUUUUCCUCCCAAGCUUUCAACCUGCAUGGGACCCAUGAGAUCCAUGUGAAGCAAUUCCAGAACCUUUGUCGUGGUCUGAUGCUGGAGCAUCUUGUGUGGCACCUUGGUUUGCUUACCAAUCUGACAUUCUCCACAUAGCUUUCCUUCUCCCAAGCUCAAAUUGGGCAAUCCCCUUAUUGCUUCAUCUGCAAGAAUCUUUUGCAUGCUCCUGUAGUUGAGAUGUCCUAGUCUUUGAUGCCAUACAUUCACCUCAUCUUCUUUAGUUAACAAACAUCUGGAAACAUGAGCUUUAUCUUCUGAUGUCCACAUAUAACAGUUGUCUUUUGAUCUGACUCCUCUCAUCACAACUCUCUCAUCAUCAGUGGUCACAACACAUUCUAUCUUAUUGAACUUCACAUCAUAUCCUUGAUCACACAGUUGACUUAUGCUGAUUAAGUUGGCUGUUAAACCAUUUACAAGUAACACAUUGUUCAAGUUAGGAGAUUCUGUGCUAACAAGAUUUCCUACUCCCUUGAUCUUUCCUUUAGCUCCAUCUCCAAAAGUAACAUAGUUGGUGGAGUGACUUCUGAUGUCUUGCAAGAAGCUCUUGUUUCCUGUCAUGUGCUUUGAACAACCACUAUCAAAAUACCAAUCUUCCUUUGAUGAUGCUCUGAAAGACGUGUAGGCUACCUGACAUCUGACUUCACCCUUGGGCUUCCAUUGCUUCCUCAUCUGAACAGGCUUUUUAUCGUGCAUCUGAGGAUAACCAUAUAACCUGUAACAGUAGGGCUUUAUAUGACCAUUCUUACCACAGUAGUGACACUUCCAAGGUACAGUUUUAUCAAGCUUAAGCCGGGGUUUCACAUGCAGAGGUACAUGUCUGGGCAAUGAAUCUGACAACUGAUAAUUUCUAGGCUUCUUGAAUUCAGUUUGUUUCGCAGCAGACACAAAUUUCUUUGAACCUUUCUGAUUUUCUUUGUUUGCAGUUCUAUAGUCAAAGCCAAUUCCCUUCAAACUCCCUCCUUGCUUGCUAGUUUCCUUCAGAAUUUCAUCAAGCAUAUCAGAACCACUGUUCAACAUUCUAACAGAUUUGUGAGUAGCUUCAAGCUUUCUUGUCAGAGUUGCCACUUCCUCUUGAAGUCCUGCAUUAAUCAACACUAGAUUAGCCUUUUCCAUAACAUCAGCAUUAUUAAACUUACUUUGCCAUUCCUCCAGAUCUUCCUUCAGCUUUGUGCUGAGCUCUUUCAGCCUUUCAUUCUGAGAGACAAGUUGUUCUAUCUCACUUUGCUUUUCUCUCACAAGUUUACAUGCUUCUUCCCACUUGAUGUGUAGCAGCUUGUAAGUCUCAGCCAGUUCCUCAUCUGUAAUGUCCUCAUCACUUGUAUCAGACUCAUAGACGGUUCCAGAGAAAGCAUUGACUUUGUUUGCAGAUAUCUCCUCCUCAUCUUCAGUGUCUUCAUCUGACCAAGUUACCAUCAUACCUUUCUUCUGCUUCUUUAGAUAAGUGGCGCAUUCAGAUCUGAUGUGACCAUAUCCUUCACAUUCAUGACACUGCACUCCUUUAUUCUGACCAGAUUUUUCUUCUUCUUUGGUCUUCCUCUGUGAAUUAGUAAAUUUGGGUUUGUUAUCGAACUUCAUGUCCUGGACAUUAGGCCUGGUUCUUUUAUCAAUCUUUCUCAAUGCUCUGUUGAAUUUUCUUGCUAGCAUGGCUAGAGCCUCAGUCAGAUUUUCACCCUCACAAUCUUCAUCAUCACCUUCAUCAGUGUUUGACACAAAAGCAAUACUCUUAUUCUUCUUCUCAGAUUUUCCACUCAGUUUCAACUCAAAUGUCUGCAAAGAGCCAAUAAGUUCAUCAACCUUCAUGUUCUCAAUGUCUUGAGCCUCCUCAAUUGUAGUGACUUUCAUAGCAAACUUAUGAGGAAGAGAUCUCAAGAUCUUCCUUACAAGCUUCUCAUCUGACAUAGGCUCUCCCAAAGCAAAUGAAGCAUUAGACAAGUCACGGACACGCAUGUGGAAUUCUGAAAUAGUCUCUUCUUCAGUCAUCAUAAAAUUUUCAAACUGAGUAGUAAGCAUCUGAAGCCUUGACAUCCUUACUCGAGUAGUUCCUUCAUGUGCAGUUUUCAGAAUUUCCCAAGCAUCCUUUGCCACAGUACACGUAUUGAUCAGCCUAAACAUAUUUUUGUCAACUCCAUUAAAGAUAGCAUUUAGAGCCUUUGAAUUUCCAAGAGCAGCUUCAUCUUCAACACUGGUCCAUUCUUCUUCAGGUUUUUCCACAACAGUAGUAGAGGUGCCUUCAACCUCAGCCUUAGUGGGGUGCUUCCAACCCUUGACAAUAGCUUUCCAAGUCUUAUUGUCAAUUGACUUGAGAAAGGCUGUCAUGCGAACCUUCCAAUAGUCAUAGUUAGUACCAUCCAGAAUGGGUGGCCUAUUAACUGAUCCUCCCUCCUUGUUAUCCAUGAGAACUUGAAUAAAAACUCCCUGGAGCUCACCCAACCAGAACAGGGUGCCUGCUCUGAUACCAAUUGUAAAUUCAGGUUCCCUCUGACACGAUUGUCCUGCACGAUGCUGGGACAAGAGGUUCGACAACUGCUUAACAGUGAAACAAAACUUAACAACAGAAACAAUAACACACAGUAAUUGUUAACCCAGUUCAGUGAAAACUUUCACCUACGUCUGGAGGGUUUGCACCCAAAGAAAGGAAAUCCACUAUCUCAAGAUUCAGGAAUUACAGACACUCAUGAACACCUCAGUUCAUAGUUCACUUCCUAAUCUACCCAGUGUAUUUCUACUUAGAAUCUCAACCUAAGUAUGAGAGCCCCUCUCACUUCCUCUCAAUCACUGCCACAGUGAUUGGUAAACACAAUGAACAAUCAGAGUUUGAAUGUAAUCAAACAACACAGAACCCUUCUUUGCUUUAUAGAAUCAGUGAGCAAAGAGGAUUCACAAAUAACAAGAACGAAGCACAAUAACAAAUCCUAAAACACUCGAUCUCUCUCUAUCAGCUUCGGUCAUCUUCACGUUUUAGGUCUUCAUCCUUUUAUAGACUUCAGCAGCGGUAGCAUGGGCUUUAGGGUUGGCACGGGCUGAAGAAACAGAUAUCAGUAACAGCAAUUCAAAAACACAAUCUUGAUAGAUUCGGUUUCUUAUUGCACAAGUAACGAUAGAAACCAAUCUUUUAGCAAAGAUUGUUUCAACAAAUAACAACCCCACAAUUAAAACCCUUCUGGAUAGCUACUUGCUCCUCAAGUAACUCAAAAACAUAUCUUCAGUAAAUCUUCAGAGGGCCCACAAUAUAAACACAAGCUGAGGACUGAUGUCCUAGCCUCACGAGGUCAGAUGCCACGGCAUCUGCUUCGACAAUUAGUUGUUUUGACAAAAUGCAAGGCAACAUGUUCCAACAUAUAGGAAUGGAAAGUUGAAAUUAUGGAAUUCUAAAGAUAACCCUUGUUAUUCUAGAGAACAACUUAUUGGUAAUGUCCCUAAAGGAGUUCCUAAAGAUCAAUGGUCAUCAUUUGUUGAUUAUCACUUGAAGCCAAAAUAUAAGGUAUAAUUUCCUAGUUGUUUGUUAUCUAUAAUUAUCUUUUUCAGAUUAUAUUUUAGUUAACGUGUUGUUCAUAUAAUAGGAGUUAUGUCAAAAGAAUGUGGAGGCGCGUAAAAAGCAAACAAUUCCACAUACCGGCGGAUCUAAACUUUUAUCAAGGAGACAACAUGAAAUGGUAUAUAACUCAUGUUAUGCCUUGUUAGGUCUUAAUAGAUUGAUCUAAUUAUUUUUAUUUGAUAUUUGGACUUAUAUGAGUCACACACAUAUGUAUAGGAAAUAGAGGUUGGACAUGCUAUAAGUCGAGGAGAAUUAUAUAUUGCAACUCACAAGAGAAAAGAUGGGUCUUAUGUCAAUGAGGAGGCAAGGUUUGUAGGGGUAAGUUACAAAAUUAAAUGUUUAUUCCCCUGCUACUGAAAUUGGAAUUUAAAACCAGAAUCUUGCUGUGCUUUUUUUUCAAGAAAUAGAAUCUUUGCGCUGCUGAUUUAGAAUAAGUUAAAGUUAAUGACAUGCUAUCAUUUUACCCAAAUGACAUGUAGGAGCAGGUUGAGCAAGAACUAAGUCAAACCAACAAUUUUGUAGAAGUUUCAAAAAAUGAUGCUCUUUCCAAAAUUUUGGGUCCAGAUAGAGCUGGAUGUGUGCGUGGAUUAGGCUUAGGUGCUCUUCAUAGUGUUGCAUUUGGAUCGACUAGUGGUAUAGCCUAUAAUAGCUCAGCUGAAGUAUCUCAAUUGAAAGAAGAACUUAAUUUUGUAAAGAGCAAGUUAGCAACUUCUGAAGAGAAUAUUUCAACAUUGCAAACUAUAAUGUUUGCAUUUAUGCAAAUGAAAGAAUUAAAUAUCUCAGCAAACUUGGGUGCUUUGUUCGCGACUUUUACUCAAAUGGUAAUGUUGCUUAUUGAUUUAACUAAGGUAAUAUGUUGCAGUUUUUAAUGAGUACAAAUGUUGAUUUGGUGUGGUUUUAAUUUUUAAGGACAAUGCCAAUGCUAAUGAUGAACCAGUUCAAACUGCUGAUCAUGCAAAGGGUUUUCACUAAUGUUAGUGAGGUUAGUCAUGUUUGCUACUCUACUUUGGAAAUUUAGUUUUGAAUGCUGAAUGUUUUCAUUUCUGUUUCUCCAUUGAAGUGAUUACUUGAUUGGGUAAUAAAUAAUAUGGUAAAGUCAUCCUUGAUUUGCCUUAAUAUUUUAUGUACAAGAUUACAGCCAUAUUGAUUAAGCUACAUAUCUAUGUCUAUCCCCCUGCUUGACUAAUCAGAAUUAGAUCCCAUUAUCUAGAAAUGUUUCUAGUCAUAUCUUAAACGAUGCUGUGACAUCCAAAGCUGCAUCUAAAUCAUAUUUUAUCAGUUUUCCUGAUUUUAGUUUCAGCUACUGAUUAGAAAUUUGACAAAUGUCUACCCUUUUCAUUGCAGGGUCAAUUGAUGACAAUAUAGAUAUAAUGAAGAAAUGUCUAAAAAUAAUCGAGUCUUUAAAUCCUUAUGUACUCAAAUUCAAAUGUUGGAACCAUAUAUUUCCUUUCAUGUUCAUGCCCAUUUGUGAGUUAGAUUGAACCUUGUGACAUCUUGAGGCAUACUCUGAAUUUAGUAAAGAUGUUGCAUAUUUGAGAUAUGUAAGUGAAUUGUAAUUUUUUUUUUGAGUGACUGAACCACCUUUGUAGAGUGGUCUUGCAAUUACUUGUAGCAUUAUCAUGCUCAUGCUCAUGCUUUUUAAAAUUCAUUAUGUUCUUUUUUAUCCUAUUCUCUCUUUGCUUAAUUUGGUGUUAGUUUAAUCCCUAAUCACCAACAUAUUAGAGAUUUUAAUAAUUCAUUUAAAUUGAUUCACAAAUAAAAAAAUAAAAAAUAAAAAAUUCACUUGGAUGGGUCAAAACCUGAAUUAUGCAUUUUGUGGCACUUAAAGGAUGCCAGUACUGUUUGAGCCUAAUUCAAUGGUUGGUGUAUUUCGUGGCAUUUAAAAGAUGCCAAUACCAGUUGUGGCAUACAAAACCGGCAUUUAAGCAAAAAAUGCCACAAAACAGUUGUGGCACCUGUAAUAGAGGCACUUAAAGGUGAAUGCCACUAAUAACACUUGUGGCAUUUAAUAAAUGCCACAACUUAACAAUAUCAAUGCCACUAAAAAUGCAUUUUUUUGUAGUGUUCCUACUGGCGCAACAUGAUGAAACUGUGCAUGUUUGAGCUCUUAAACAUGCCGAAAGUUCAAAGCUUUGCUCCUUUAAGGAGAGAUGAAGUAGGACUGUUUGUGGAAUCACUUAAGAAAUCAGCAGCCUCACGUGAGGUUGUGAAUGUCAGUGAGAAAAUUGGGGAUGUUGUAGAGAAUACUGUCCAUAGAAUGAUUUGGGGUAAAUUUGAUGAUAAAUUUAAUUUGGUGUAAAACAGCUUGCUCGUGACGUUUUUCUCCUCAUGGGAGUUCUUGAUCUGGGAGAUUAUAUACCUUGGGUUGGGGCCUUUGAUCUUCAGGUACUUCAACUACAACUACUACUAGAUGUUUGAAUCUACUUAUUUCCCUUCAUAAUCAUUUCUGAUACGCAAUAAACUUUUUUUCCUAGAAUCAAUUUUGCCUUUAAAUGUGAUUGAAGAACGAUUUGCAUACAUGUACUAUUGUUACUUUUGAUUGUUAAAAACCUUAAUUUAUGUGGCUAACCAAGGAGGACGAAUCAUCAGUUAGUCCCUAGUGGCAUCAUCAGUUAUGAGACUAUAUGACACACCAUGUUAUCUGCUGACGUGACAAUAUUGACAAUGAUAAAAAUCUCAAAUGUUAAUUACAAAAUGAUGAUUCGAACAUGAGAUCUUAUAGUGGUAGAUUUCUCGUGUUUGAAUCCUCACUUUGAAAGUUUUGGAAUUUUAAGUAGAAUGUUACUAUUAAAGACUAACUAAUUAUUUGUCAACCGGCUACAUGUCAUCGGUUAGCCACGUUUAUUUGCAAACACCAAUAAUACUUUGUUCACAUACCUUUUUCCAAUUUCACUUUAAUGAUAUAAGAAAAAAAGAUUGAGAAAUGAGUGAUAUAAUAAGUUUUUGUUUAUUAGUGAUAUAAUAAGUGAUGUGAAAAUAUAGAGGGAGAUAGAAAUAAGAAAAUGCUAUUGUACACGAUUAUAUUUUUUACGACAAGGCACGACUUAAUUCCCACCGUGUGAUCUUAAUCAGAUUGGGGUUUUUAUCAUCAGCCCACAAUCCUUGUUUUCCAUCAAAACGUGCAAACUACAAUCAUCUCCCGUCGUGCAUUGAAUUUGUCAUGUGAUAUAGAAAUUCUCUAGAAAUAAAUGAGUGAAAACGAGAUGAAGAAAAAAUGGAGUGUGAGUGAAUCAUUAAUCUCUAUUGCCUUUUUUUUUACAUUUAAAGACUUAUAUUAAAGAAAUUGAAAUGUCGGGAGUAAAACCAAAUAAGCAUUCCUAUUUUUAAAAACUCCUAUUUUUAAGACUUUGACCAUAUUUAAUCCUUAUUCUUAUCCUAAAAGAUUUUACAUUGUCCACUAAAUUUUACUCAAAUUUAAUCCAUAUCUCAGGGACUUGUACGAAGGUUCAAGAAAGCGCACAAGAAAUUUGACGAAGUGUUAGAGAUAAUCAUCAAAGAUCACGAGGCUUCUGCUCGCCUUACCGACCAGAAAAGCGUGCAAUCUAUUGACUUCAUUGACAUAUUGCUAUCACAUAUGCACCAAUCAAAGGAUAAACAUGCUAUUACCAAAACAAACAUCAAGGCUAUUUUGUUGGAUAUAAUUAUCGGAGCAGUUGACACAACUAUCAUGUCGGUUGAUUGGAAUAUGGCAGAACUAAUAAGGCACCCAAGGGUUAUGAAGAAACUUCAAGAUGAGUUAAAGAAUAUUGUAGUGGGUAUGGGGAGGAUGGUAGAAGAAGCUGACUUACCAAAGUUGCCAUACCUCGAUAUGGUGAUGAAAGAGACCUUUAGGUUACAUCCACCUACUCCACUCCUCCCACCUCGUGAGUGUACGGAAGAUUUUACAAUCAAUGGUUAUUUCAUUGCGAAAAAGUCACGAGUUUUAGUCAACUCUUGGACAUUAGGACGAGAUCCUAAGAUGUGGUCAGAUAAUUUUAAGGAUUUUUAUCCAGAAAGAUUUCAUAACACCGACAUAGAUUCUCAUGGGCACAAUUAUCAAUUUUCACCAUUUGGUUCCGGUCGUAGACGCUGUCCCGGGAUGCUAUUGGAUUUAACUACGGUUCCGUUUCUUCUAGCUCAGCUAGUGCAUUGCUUCAACUGGGAGCUUCCACCGGGCGUGUCUACUGAUGACAUGGACAUGACUGAGGAAUUUGGCCUUACAACGCCAAGAACUCAGAAUUUGCUAGCGAUUCCAACUUAUCGCUUAAUAAAUGAAGGUUAAUUGAAUGCAUUCAACCUCAUGAGAAAGCAGGAAGUUACUUUAAUGUGUUUUUUAAUUUAUUCCUUUCUUUGUUUUUCCUUGAAUAAGAUCUUCAUGUGCUCACAGAGCUUCUUAAUUUGCUGCACUUGGAUCGAUCAUACCUAAGAGAUUAGGAUGAUUUUAAAUUUCAGCAGUGUAAUGAUUGUAAUAUUUAAUAAUCCUGUUACUCAUGAUGGGUUUUAAUAACGUUAAGUUGGCCGCAUUCAUGUAUUUAAAAAUUGCAUUUUAUUUUCCUUUGGACAAAUCUUUCUAGCCCAAAAACCAACACAAAAACUAGUAUCAACCAACAAUUCAACACAGUUCGUAGAUAUCGGAGAUCAUUAAGCAUUCAUUCAAGGGUUCAAUUUUUGAGAAGUGUAUAUAAAGAAAGAUUUGUUAAAAAAGACUUACUCACUUAAUCUAAUCUCAAAGCUUCAAAUAUAUUAGUCUUGGUGGUGCCAACUAUCAAAUACUUAAUAAAAAAUAUAAACAACUUUUAAAUACAACAAACGAAAUGAUAACUUGAUGGUGUAUGAUGGGCAAAUAAAUAUUGAUUUUUUUAGUUAAAAGGUGUAUGAUGGGCAAAUAAAUAUUGAUUCCACAUGUCAAUUUGUUAUAUAGCAUUUUUUUUUUGAAAGCAAAAUCUUUAUUGAUAAGGAGAGGUAACCAAGAGCAAAAAGGUAGCUCAAAGAAACAGUAUAAGAUGCAUCAACAAAGUUCCACACAAAGGACUAAUAGGCAGCAAAAAGAAAAAGAGCGCAGAUGCAGAACAGGAAGCAUUACAAGGGGCAGAGAAUGAGAAAAGUAAAGGGGGCAAAGCAUUCAAGAGAGAGCAGCCUUCAAAAAAACCCCUCCAUUAUAGAAAGCCACGAGCCAAGCUUCAGUAGACCAAUCAGCUAGGAUAACAACAAGUAGGAACUAGCAAAUAACACAGCUUCAUGAUCACAGAGCAAAAUGUGCAGAUACCAGUGCAGGGAAACACUACCAAUGGCAGAGGAGCUGUAAAGAAAACAUGCAGUAAAAUAUAUAUAGUCAAAGAGUAAGGAAGAUUCAGUUCAGCUUCUCCCAGAUUGGUUCAAUUCUAUCGCACCCUGACUUUGCUAAUUCAUCGGCCUCACCAUUUGCUUCUCUAAGUGUAUGAGCCACACCCACGCAAGCUACUUCCUUCAUAAUCCAAUCUAUAGCAUUCAGAUCAUUUAUAAGCGCUAGAGGUCUAUUGGAUUUGCAACGGACCCAACCCACCGCAAGUGUAGAAUCACUUUCAACCAGAACUUGAGAGAACCCAAAUUCUUUGGAAAAAAUCAGCGCCAGAAGAAUGGCUUUUACUUCAGCUUGGUAAGCCCAAGAAACCCCCAAAGGUUUAGAAAACCUGCCCAAGACAGCGCCCUCCGCGUUUCUCAGAAUUCCACCAGCAUCGCUAAUGCCGGGGGAUCCUCUAGCAGAACCAUCAACAUUAAAUUUGAGAAUAUUAGCCUCCGGAGGGCACCAAACACAGUUUCUUAUCUUCCUCACUUUCCCCAAAGUCUUAAUGUUUUCAAAAUUUUGAGAGAAAUCAACAAUAGAGUAGGGACAACCUUUCCACCAUGCUUUUGUCCACGACAUAACCCUUAACAAGUGCAGGUCCCACACAUGCUCAUAAACAAAUUCCUUUUGGUUAAAAACCAAAUCAUUACGGGCUAACCAAAUUGACCAGACCACAGCACAUGGCACUAGUUCCCACAACACACGAUCAGAUUUAGCACGAAGGGAAGGCCAUUCCUUGAACAAGUCACCAACAGAACCCGGAACACACCAUUGAACCCCAUCUCUAGUCAAGAUGGAAGACCAGAAUCUCCAAGGUUUAGCACACCACUACAUUAGGUGAUGGACAGAUUCGAGAGCCAUCCCACAUAGAUCGCAAUAGCCACCAUUUUCAAUAACAAUACCUCUCUUUAUCAAAUUUUCCUUGACAGCCACCCGGUUUUCCAGCAUUUGCCACACAAAUAAUCCAACUUUGGGGGGGAUUAUUUUCCUGCAUUGCUUGGAAAUUAACCACGAAACCGGUCAAAAAAAUCUCAGUUCCGCAGCAGAAUACCCCUCUUUUACAGUGAAGAUGCCAUUGGGAGAGCCCGACCAAACGAUUGUGUCUUCAUCAUCACAUGGGAAGAUCAGAUUCAGGUUUGACACUAGUUCCUGGAUUCUCGGUUGUUCCCAAUCGAAAAGCCGGCGGCGGAGCCCCAAAUCCCACAACCAACGACCAUCUUGGAAGAUUCCCAAAUCCGCAACCAUAGCAUUUUUAUUUAUGGCGAGGGCAAACAAGCGGGGGUAUCUAUAUUGCAGUGGGUUAAAGUCUAGCCACGGAUCAUGCCAGAAGCGAAUAUUAUUUCCCCUUCCGACACUACAGCAGCACCCUUCUCUAAAUACUCUUGCAAAAACUGAAUCUUCAAGCAGGACCUUAAAAAUGUCCAAGAGCAUGACAGAGCAGCGAUUAAAAUUAGUUGCAGCAAGAUGUAAAAGAAGAAGUCUAUCAUCCCACCCAUAUUUCUUGCAAAUCAUCUUCCUCCAUAGAGCGUUCUUCUCUCCCCCAAAGGAAAGACCGCAUCAAUUUCUCGAGAUCGCCCACCACACCAACCGGAGCCAGAAAUAGAGACAUGUGGUAAAUUGGAAUGGCGCUUAAAACUGCUUUCAACAAGACAAGCCUUCCACUAAGGGAAAGGUACUUAGAUCCCCAAGAGCCGAGCCUUAGUCUCAUGUUUUCUAUUAGGGGUUGCCAAAAUCUUUUCCUACGGGGGUUGUCACCAAGAGGAGCUCCAAGAUAUUUGAUUGGGAGGGUACCAAUCUGCACACUAAAGACAUCCGCUGCUCGAGCCAAAUCCUCAUGAGAAAUAUUGCACCCAAAAAUCUGAGAUUUGGACAGAUUUAUCUUGAGCCCUGAGAUUGCCAAGAACACUUCUAUGGCAGCUGCAAUAGAUUCUAGAUGUGCUAUAUUAUUGUCACAUACAAUUAACGUAUCAUCCGCAAACUGAAGAUGAUUGAUCUAUAGCUCCUCCGCAACAUGAAAACCACAUGGCUCCUCAAACUCUAGGAGUUUAUUCAGCAUGCAAGAUAAACCAUUUACACAUAUAUUGAAGAGUAAUGGUGAUAGUGGGUCUCCUUGACAAAACCCUUUUUCUAUAUUAAAGAAGUCGGUGGGUGAACCGUUGACCAAAACCGCAAGAGACGUCGUUGAGACGCACUCCUCAAUCCAUUGAAUCCAUCGAUUGCCAAAGCCCAAUUCCUUCAUCAUCUCCAACAAAAACAGCCAGUCAAUAUUGUCAUAAGCCUUGGCGAAGUCCAAUUUCACAAUCAGCCCCCCCUCAGUUCGAUUUUCCAUAGAGUGAAUGAUUUCAUUAGCUAUAAAAAUGCAAUCAGCUAUUUGGCGCCCCGAUGUGAAAGCGAAUUGGUUUUCUGAAAUGAUAAGUGGCAGAACCUUUUGUAGACGGGCAGCAAGAACUUUUGAGAUGAGCUUGUAAACGCUUCCGAUUAAGCUAAUCGGGCGAAAGUCAGAGAUGAAGCUUGGAUUGACACUCUUUGGGAUGAGUGCAAUGAAAGCAGAAUUCAUGCCCCUGACAAGUUUUCCAUGAGAAUGGAAGUCUUGGAAAACUCUUAGAAUAUCACUUUUCAGAGUGUCCCAGAAUGCUUUGAAAAAAUUCAGAUUAAAGCCAUCUGGCCCCGGAGCUCUAUUUCCAUCACAAGACUGUAAAACUGCCCAUAUCUUUUCUUCCGUGAACGGUUGUUCCAACAUGGAAUUAUCAUCCACACACACCUUUGGCAAGUUAUCACUCUUGAGGCUUGCCCCCCCACCUAGGGCCCCUCUUGAAGAAAGAGUGAAAAUGGUUAAGAAUGGCCAGCUUGAUGGCAGCCGGAUCGGACAGGCAAACACCAUUAAAAAUCAGGUUAGCCAAGCUGUUUUUGGAUUCUCUAACUUUUACAGAGUUGUGAAAGUAAUGAGAGUUUUUAUCACCCAACUUUAACCAUCUCAAUCUCGAUUUCUGGAUCCAUUUGCUUUCCUCUUUUCGGUAUUCAGACCAUAACUGAUUAAGAGUUACAAAUCUACCUCUUCUUAACUCCUCUGACACACCUUCUCGCUCCAUCCGAGCCAUUGUAUUGUGAAGGUUCUCUUCAAGAGCCUUAAUUUUUUCAGAUCCCCAAACACCCCUACGGGAAUGCCAUGCUUUAAUUUCUCCUUUGAGGCCUUUUAAUUUCUCUUGGAGCAUAAAACUAGACCAGCCUUCAACUAUAGCCGAAAUCCACCACUCCUCGACUAAGUGCUUGAAGCCAUCCUCAACAAGCCAGCAAUUAUAGAAGGUAAAGGGUUUUGGGCCAAAAUUUUGAGAGCCAAGCUUUAGUAAGACAACCCUAUGAUCUGAAAUCCACCAAUCUUCUACAACCUGGGACGCCCCGUCAAAGCGCUGAAUUGCCUCUCCAUUCAACAACCACCUAUCUAGCUUGCUCCAAAGGCCACCAUUCCUUGUGCUCCCCCAAGUGGACUCCCCAUUCCACAGAGGCAGGUCUGUAAGUUCAUUUUCCUCAACAAAUUUUUUGAAUGUAGCAUCUCCCAUAGUAUUAUCAUCGCCUCCUCUUCUUUCACCAUCAUUCAAUAUGACAUUAAAAUCACCACCCAAGAUAAUUCUCCCAGUAGCCAAGCGUAAAUCAGCACUCAAGGAAUUGAAGAAAGCUGCUCUGUCGGCCGGGUUGUUCGGCCCAUACACAUUACCAAUCACGUCAAGCAAGGAGGAGUUAUCAAAAUUAACGAGCAGAAGAAGGUACCUCUGGUUCUUUAUAACUUGAACUACCUUGAAGGUGGAUUUUCUCCAAAGAGACACUAAUCCCCCAGCCACACCAAGAGCAGGAACAAAGUCAAAUUCCAUACUCAUAGAUUUGGCCCAACUCACAAUCGUCUUCUUUCUAUUUUCAUCCAUCUUUGAUUCCUGAAGCAAACACACCUCUGGUUUAAUCUUCAAAAAAUCUAUGGGUAUGGAAUUUGACUUUGUUCCUGCUCUUGGUGUGGCUGGGGGAUUAGUGUCUCUUUGGAGAAAAUCCACCUUCAAGGUAGUUCAAAUUAUAAAGAACCAGAGGUACCUUCUUCUGUUCGUUAAUUUUGAUAACUCCUCCUUGCUUGACGUGAUUGGUAAUGUGUAUGGGCCGAACAACCCGGCCGACAGAGCAGCUUUAGCUAUAUAAUAUUUUUACAAUCUAUUUAAUAUUUGAUUGGUUUUAAAAGGUGUAUGAUGGGCAAAUAAAUAUUGAUUUUUUUAGUUAACAACAUCAUUAUUAGUUUUAUUUUAAAUUUUAAAUUUUUUUAUGUUCUAAAUCAAAUAAAUAUGAUUUUUAAAAAAAUUACAGCAUCAAUAUUUUUUUAUUUUUCUGAAAAAAUAUUUUUUAUAUUGCUCUUGGCCAUGGCUUAAAGCGAAGGAGAGAGGUGGUUCGAUGAACCCAUUGGCGUGCUUAUCUCCGGUGCGUGGUGGAGUGGUGGGAUAGAAUAAGCUUGGUUGUUUGAGAAUGAAUGGAGCACGUUGCCUACUUAUCUAUGGCUUAUUAAUUUUGUUAUUUUGUUUCUUUUGUUUCUUAUCUUUUCUACAAGAUGGUUAUGCUCAAUUAUAAUUGAUAAUUGGUUGCAACUACAUUGUAACAAACUUUAUUCAUGGGUUGAAGUAACUUUCCAUGAAUUUGCUUUUCAGUUUAAAUUUCUCUUUUGAUUGGGAUUUAUCUUUGUUUUGUUACAUGAUGCACGCAAGUAGUUUUUUACUUGGAAAAGAGAAGGAGGUGAAUUGUUAGAGAUUAAUUGUUAAAUAUUUCAGGAAUGAUCGUGAUAAUAACUUGAUGAUCUAAUAGAAAAACCCUUAUCUGCACUUUCGAACGAUAAACGGGGUAUUUUCAAGCAGUCGUUGUGCCAUUAAAUCUGUCACAUGGACACUUGACACAAGCAAUCCAAGUAAGCCUAACCACCUGCAAAAUUAAACUAACUAAAUAAAUUCCAAGUUAGCUUUUUUAGUAAUACAAGAAUGUAACAAGUUGUUAAUUUUAUUUGUGCAGAUUCUAUAUGAGAAAAGAGCUAGAAAUUUUGGUUUUCUAAGUUUGUCUCCUUUGGGAUGCUUGCCAGCUCUUAGAGCACUGAACCAGGAAGCUGGGGUGGUUGUUUUGAAGCAGCUUCUGGACUUUCUCUAGCACACAAUAAUGCUUUGAGCAGUAUUCUCACAAGCCUUGAUCACAUACUUAAAGGGUUUGAGUACUGUCAUUCUAAUUUCUAUGAUUGGCUACAAGAUAGAAUAAACAACCCUGCAAAUUAUGGUAUGUAUUGCAAUUUGCAGACCACUCAUUUCCCAACCAUACCUAAACAACCAAAUAAUUUAGACACUCAACUGACAUCUCAUUUUUCACUCAGGGUGUCUGCUAAGUGUCUUCAGUGUGCUGAUGUCCAUGAAUCAUUACUCUUAAUUUCCAUACUGCCACUGUAUAUCAAUCACAAUGUAUGUUACCAAUUCAAUUUUGAUUUUCGUUGAAGGUUUUAAGGAAGGAAUUAAUGCUUGCUGUGGAAUUGGCCCAUAUGAGGGCAAUUUACUUGUGGGGGCACCAAGAAAGUUAAAGAGUAUGAUUUAUGUGACAAUAGUGGCGAGUAUGUAUGGUGAGAUUCUUUCCACCCAACGGAGAAGAUCCAUGAGCAAAGGAGAAAAAUUACACGUGUCAAUUUGUUAGAUAACAAAUUCCACGUGUCAAUUUGUUAGAUAGUUAUAUAAAUUUUUUACAAUCUAUUUAAUAUUUGAUUGUUGAUUUUAAAAGGUGUAUGAUGAGCAAUUAAAUAUUGAUUUUUUUAGUUAACACCAUCAUUAUUAGUUUUAUUUUAAAUUUUAAAUUCUUUUAUUUUCUAAAUCAAAUAGAUAUUGUUUUUUUUUUUAAAUUUGCAGCAUCAAUUUUUUUUUCCCGAAAAAAAUAUUUUUUAUUUUGUAUAUAUUUGAAGUAAUUCACAUUUUAAUUCGAAAAUAAUAAAAUUUUAAAAUUAAUAUUCCAUAUAAUUUUUAUAACAAUAUAAAAAGCACAAAAAUAUAUAAGUUUCGAAAUAUAUACAAAAUAAAAACACAUUAACUAUUUUUUUAAGGAAAAAAAACAUUUAUUAUUUUUCUAGCCAAUUAAGGAUAAAUAGAAUCAAUAAUAUGUCCAGUUCAAAAAAGAAUCAAUAAUAUGUCAAGCUAUAGAAGGGGGAAAGUAAAUAUUAAUUUUACGUUUGAAAUUCAAAUUUCAUUGAAUCUAGAAAUUUCAAAAACAUGUUAUCAUUUUCUAAAUCAAAUUGAUAUUGAAUUUUUUUAAAUUUACAACAUCAAUAUUUUUUUAUUUUGAUUUUCUCAAAAAUAAUAUUUUUUAUUUUGUAUAUACUGGAUUAAUUAUUUCCAAUGUACCAAAUAUAUUGACGUAAAAAAUAUUCAAUUUCCUGUCAAAAAAUAAUAAUUAAAAUUUCAAAUAUCAAAAGUAAAUUUUAAAAAUAAAUAAAAAUUUAUGAAAUAAUAUUACCACAAUUAAAAAUCAUUAUGAAUUAAAAAAUUCUCAAAAAUUUCGAAAAUACAAUAUAUUUCUCGAAAAUAUUAAAAUUUAAAAAAUGAUGAUGACAAUUAAAUAUAUCAAAUAAAUAUUUAUUUGAGAAAAAAAAAGAUAAAAGAUACGUUUCAAUUUUUUUUCAUCUGUUGUUUAAUAUAUUCAUAAUAAUUAAGGUAUUAAUUAACGUAUCUGUAAGACCCAAGAUUUUAAGCUUAGGAUCAGUGGAAGAGAUUUCCAUUUACGAUUAGGGUUGAUGUAUUGUGAAGGGAAACCUGAACUAGAGUUUACCAAAUGAAAUAAAUUUAUGAAGGAGAAAGUUCAGGAAAAUUCUGAGGUUCGUAUUGAAGUCGAUAAAAGUUAUAGCACGAUCGUUUUACGCUUAAACCUAGGUCAGAAACCCUAGUAUAUAGCUAAUUUUCACUUUUAGGCACGACGGAAGUUAAUUCCAAAAAUCUUCAGAGAAAUGUUAGAACUUCUCUUUUUCCAUAUAACACAAUCGUUUCGAGGCGAAACUCUAGAAUCUAAGAACGUCUGAUUCCAAUCAUCGGAAGUUUGCCGAAACCGAAUCCCUGGUAUUUCAAAACCCUAGAAUUUCUCGACAAUGAAGACUUUUUCUAUUCAGAGCUUCAAAUGAAGAUUCUACACGCGUACACCCAUUUCUCUUGAUGAUUUCAAUCUUUCUUCCGAAGGAAGUUUUCCAUUCCGACAUCCGAUGCAAAAAGCAACUUAUCGGGUAAAAUAGUUUUAUACCGACUAUGCUUUAGUUGCCAAAAAUACAAAAAGACCUCAUUUUAGUUUUGGAAUUCUUUCGCCAAAACCUAUCUUAGAAUUCCCGGAGAAUGACGCCGGAAAAAUCAGAUUCGCGAAACUUUCAUUUUCCCGCGAAUUUCCAACCUUUAUAUAUAGCAAAGAAAGGAAGAAAAACUCAAAUUUUCCUCCAUUUUCUCUCCUCAAGGCCGCGAGUUCAUCCAAGGGAGAAGGAAGAAGAAUUUUCUUCAUUACUUGCUUGAUCGUUGAUCCGUUAGUUGCUACUUCAAGGCUUCGAGGUAUAGUCGCUAAUCCUUACCUCCGAUCGCUUUUUCCAUAGCUUUUCUGUAGAGUUUUCUGAGCGGAUAGUUUAUGGGUUUUUGCAAAACUAUCAUGAAUCUUUCAUUUCUGAUUCUAAACCUCUUCUAUAUGUGCCCAAGAUCACUUCUGCCGGAUUAGAUUUUCCGUUAUGUCGCCGGAAUUCCGCCGGAAUCAAUUUUAGCCUUAAAUACCCAUUUUUGGAGUUUUUGAGGUAAAGCUUCAACCUUUAGGCUAAAAACUAUCGCCUUAGCUUAGUGUUAGUAGGAUUAGUUGUCAUAAACGUCGUUAGUAACGUCCCUGCAAAAUUUGGUUUUUGGGAUUUCAGUUUUGAAAUUUCUAAGUUAAAAAUCAUGACCAAAAUACCCCUGCGACAGUUUUUGAUCCGAUAAUUUUUCCGAGCUCAGAAUACCCUUAGUUACGGCUAAUGAAAGCAUAGGAACCAAGUUUGAUCGAAGAAAAAUCGAGCCCCACAAUUGUGAAAAGUGGCCGAGCCCUAUAGGGGAGGAAGGGGAAAAUUUCCUUUUCCGAAAACUUGUCUUUUCGCGCUAGAUUAUCGUACCUUAGAGUAUAGAUUACUUCGAGUAACCUUAGUAAGUAUCGAUAGCUUAGUUUUCGAUAGAUUCUGAUAGUAUUUCUGUGGUUUUGCUCUAAAGGUGAUUUUGAGGAAUUCCCAGAGGAGCAAGCCUUUGAUUGUGAACAAGUGUUAGGAGAUCGUCCUGGAGAAUCUACAGGUGAGGGCUUCUCACUGAAUCUCUAGUUAAUGCUUAGGGUCGAUGUUUCGACAUUGUUUACUGUUUAUGCACUGGAAUUGUGUGUGAUUGGAAAAUGUUUUCUGAGGCUUCGGCUGACAAUGUAGAUGAUUCAUCUACUGAAUGUUUUUGAGAUUGACUUACAUGCUAUGUGUUAUGUGGGUAAUCUAGGAUGUGUGGUGCAUGCUUUAUAUGCUAAGUGCUAAGUGUUUAUGAUGCGAUUUAUCGAUAUAUGACAUGUUGUUGAUUGUGAUGAAUUGAAUAUGCUCUGUACUGGAAUCUGAGUUUCUGAACGGUGAGAAAAGCGGGCAGGUCAUGCCGAUUUUAUUUUGAGAGUUUUGAGGAAGCUUGAAAGGACGAAUGAGAUUCGGGCCUUGUUAUGAUGUUUAUGGAUCGAGACAUUCUCUGGAGUCUUUGGGGAUUAGGAGAUCCCGAGAACUUAUAGGAUUUGCGAUAAGACUAAAAGGAUAAUUAUUUUGUAAAGAAAACUCAUAAGACAUUAAACAACCUCUAAAUCUUUAAGUAAUGGUAAUAAUCUCGGAAGGAAGCUUUGGAUGCAAAUCAUAGUUUUGGAAAACAAGAAGUGUCGUCGGAUCCCAGUAUUGAGAAAGUUGAGGGGCUUCGAGAAUGUAGAUGUUGUGGUGCUGUUGGAGCAGCGUUUGUUGUUGUGCUGUUGGAGCAGCUAUUGGGGUUGUGCUGUUGGAGUAGCUAUGUUGUUGGGUGUAUCUUCGACUUUGCGGCGCGAAUCCGUAUGUCCAAACCCGACGGGUUGGGCCGAUUCGGCAAUAAUUGUUGACACGCGCGAAUCCGUAUAUUCAAUCCGAUGGAUUGGAUCGAUUCGGCGGUAGUCAUUCAGGCACGCGUGAGUCCGUAUGUUCAAUCCGAUGGAUUGGAUCGAUUCAGCGAUUGCCAUUUUACCUCGCGUGAAUCCGUAUGUUCAAUCCGAGGGAUUGGAUCGAUUCAGCGACAACUUUUCGACACGCGCGGAUCCGUAUGUUCAAUCCGAUGGAUUGGAUCGAUUCGGCGAUAGUCAUUGGACACGCGCAACGUCCGUAUGUUCGACUCCUUUGAGUGAACCGACUUGGCGUUGUCAUUUGUUGCGUGUGCGAGUCCGUAUGUCCAUCCCGAUGGGUUGGAUCGACUCGACAUGCCUAAUUGUGGGAGUUGCGUGUGCGAGUCCGUAUGUUCAACCCAAGGGGUUGGAUCGACUUGACAUGCCUAAUUGUUGGGCUAUCCUGGGGAUAAGUCCGGGAAACCGGUAGUUUCCGAGUAUGUGAUACUCUUUGCUUGUUGAGCAGUUGUGACCAUCGGAUUGAGAUGAGUCGGAUGAUCCGGAGAUCAUCAUGAGUUACUAUGUUGAUGUGAAGAAGUGUCUUUUGUCGCAGAAUCGACUUUACCUUAGGGUAAGCUUUUAGAGAAUUUAAUUUACCUAGAACACGUGGCGACGUGUCGAGUGAGAGUCAGAGACGUUGUUUGACUAAUCAUCCUGCAUUCAUGCAUACUGAUUUAGUUGUCGAGUGUGAUUGUUAUUUGUUAAUCCUAUUUGGAACAUGUUAAUUGUUAUUAUUGUUGUUAAGUUCAUUAUGGAAUAUGCAACCCUAGGAUGUUAUCCCUAGCUAUAAGCCUAAGUGGCUAUUCUCUUAUCUAUAUCUAUUGGUGCUAUUAUUUAUGUAAUUCUUUGGAGUUGACCCUCGCGUCUUCUGUGUGUGCUUUGGCGGACAAACGCCCUUUGUCAGAUGUCUUUGGCGGACUGGUUCACGACGGUUCACCCUUCGGGGGAAACUAGAGUUGGGAUGCUGGAACAGGAGCGCAUCGCGAUAGCGAGCGGAGGACGGAUGGUGUACAUAGACUAGGUCGUUCUGGAUUUCGAAUUCGGACGACAAUCAUGCUAGCAUGUAGGUUUUAGUGCUGGUGUGAGCUCCUCGAGAUGGGAUUAGUGUAGGAGUAGAGUCUUAGCUCUGAACAUCAUUUGUUUUCUUUGGGGACAUGGUAGUUUCCCACCUAUAGCUUUUUGUGUGGUUCCUUUACGGGAAUCACAGAGAGUUGGUUGGACUUAAGAGGUCUUAUUUUAGGCCAUCUGGGCUGACUUAUUCUUAUUUUGAGGGACAGUGUUGCAGACACCUAGCCUUUCUUUUGGAUUAUACCUUUUGCCUACGGGCGUUCUUUUCUACUACUUUCCGUCACUGGAGGUUACUCGUGACGAGGUUGGGUACUUACAGCGGGGGUUGUAAAUAUAUAUUGUAUAAUAGUUUUAUUGCUUUUCGCAUUUGGGUUUUAUUUAAUUCAGUCUUGUCUUAGUUAUUAUAUCGAAAAAAAAUAUUCACGUUUUUCCGCAUUAGGUUUAUUUUGGUUACUAAAGUGACGCCACCGAAAUCGGGGUGUUACAGUAUCAAAUAGAAUAAACAUAUUCUCCGUACAACGCGCGGGUAAAAAAACACUAGUAAUUUUAAAAUAAUAAAUGAAGUGGCAUAUGUCAAAAUUAUCAUUUGCCAUACUAUUGCUAUUGACAGAAUGACAUGGCAUAGUCAAGGGUCCCAUAGUCAGUCCGUCCCAUGUAGCAGCAUUGCCUGCUGUUUUUAAUGUUCAAACUGUAAUUAAUUUAUAAUCAAUGUUAAUUAUUUGGUCAAAUGAUAUUCAAUUGAGAGUUAUUUAAAAAAAUUGUCAUAGCUAAGACUUGAACAUAGGACCUAAAGGGAGGAAAGCUAAUCCAAAUUGGCACUACACCACUUUGUUCUUGUUAAGAAGAAUGCAUAUUAUUUUAUAUAUAUGAUAUACUAAGGUUAUAUUUUAAAUUAUUAUAACUUUUUAAUAUAAAUCGAGUCAAACAAUUAACCCAAUGGUUGAACCAUUGACUCAUUGAUCCAGUGUCUCAACCGAAUCGAUCACCGAUCUAAGUCUGAUAACACUGGUUGGUUUAUUGGGAGCUAGGACCGCACACACAACACAAUCAUGAAUCGGAAAAGAAAAUCCAAAGAUAUUCGCACUGUUUUAUGUUGGUAUAAUGUGUGGGUGAUGCUUGAAGUCUAUUUAAAUAUUAAUGAAAGAACUUGCACAUGUUAAAAUUAUUAUGUCAGGGGUCCCCUAUUCAGUCCGCGAUAUGGGACCCCUUAUCGUUGCAUAUUGGAGUUUGGACCGCCAUAUAUAUGUGGUUUUCAGGGCAUGUUUGGAUUGGCGUUGGAGAGGCCAAACGUGCGUUGCGUUGCCGUAAACGCCGUUUUGUCGUUUCGCCAAGCCGUUUGGAUCUGCGUUUUUCUUAACGCGUUAACGCUAUUUUGCAUCAAAAUCACGUUUUUUUGGAAUCUAAAAAUUUGAGCGUUGGCGUUGGGCGUUCAGCGUUGAUGGGUGAAAAUACUCACGUUUGUUAAAAUCAUCCAAACGGUAUUCAUUAUUUUAAAAUCACGUUUGUUACAAAUCAUCCAAACAUAAAUCACGUUUACUCAAACACAAUUUUACUCAAAAUCAUUUUAACAAAAUCACGUUAAUUCAAACACCAGUUUCUAACGGGAUGCCAAACAGGCACUUUGUGUAUGUAUGUCUCUUUGUCUCUGCGUUGGGUGCUGUGAGGUAACUAGGACCACACAAUUCACAAUGAGGCUAGCUUCAAGACAAGCACUUACCAUUCCUUCCUCAAUUAUUUCAAGAGACUGUGUGCGAUGAUGAUCAAUUAAUCAACAUGGCAUGGCAUUGUCAGGAUUGGUUUCAAGCUGCUGCUUCACAUCAUGUGUCUCUGCAUUGGGGCUUAAAUGUAGUUCCAGAUUGGAGUUUCAAUCCUAUAUUAUAUAUUUUAAUUAUAAUAUAAUAUAAUACAGGAUUGUCUUUUUUUUUUUGGUCAAAAAAAUACAGGAUUGUUCGGCUAGGAAGUUUUCCUUUUAGGUCAUUUUGUUUUUGAAAGAAGAGGCCCCAAUAGGGUAGCUCAUACUUUAGCAGCUCCAAGUUUUCUGUAUCGUGAUUGUUCAUGGACUCAUGGAGUCAUGGUGGGGAGAGCCACUUGUGGAUAUUCUUGUCAGCCUUGUAGCUGAUGGUCCAGAUUUUAAUUGAAUAUAUAUAAAUGAAGGUAUAAAUGAAACUACUACGAAGUCUUGAACUUUUUAAUGUAUAUAUCAAUCAAUAUAAACCGUCGCGUUGAGUAAUUAAAAAGGUAAAGAAUUGAACCUGUAAAUUACAUUCCUGCCGCCACACGCAUGACGCAUCAGUACCUUCUACAUAUUUUUCUAAGAAUUGUAUUGACAGUUACAUUCAAUUGAUUUCCGGAAAAUCCAAAAUUAAAAUAUAUUUUUAUUUUAAGUAAAAUUAAAAUGAAUGUUACUAUUCAUCCUACAUGAAUAUUGUGAUUGCACAUCCACUAAGCUUUGUUUCUAUUAUAUUUUUCGCAUAUCUUUAAUUUUAAAAAUAGUUAUUAUUAUUUUUUUUGAAAAUGGUUAUUUUUAUUUUUAUUUUAAAAAAAUUAAUUACUUUUUAAUUUAAAAAUUAUAGUCUAUGUUUAGCACGCCUAGAUAAUAAGCUAGCUGAAAGCUAAAAUGUUAGUUAAAAGUUUAUAAGCUACUCCCUCCAUUCCUAUAUCUGUCACUAUUCUGAUUUUUUUUCUUAUUCCUAUUUAUUUGUCACUUGUAGAAUUUCAAAAGAGCAUUAAUCAUAUUUUACUAAUUCUACCAUUCAUUUAAUGGUGGAAUGAAUAUUGAAAGGUCACGAGUAAUAAGAGAUAUAUAUGGUAUAGUAGGAAGCUAUAUAUCAAUUUUAAUAAAACAAGACAAGGUUGGGAGAGAACAAAUGGUGGCAUCAUGCCAUGUUUAUAUUUUUCCCAAAAUAAAUCCAAGUUAUUUACAAAUUUAUUUUAAUUUUUGUUCCAACUCAAGAGUUAAUGCUCCUUAUUUUUCCAAAAGAAAAAGUAGAACUUUAAAUAUUAUUUCUUAAUACAUAUGUCACAACCUUAAAAUGGCAAAUAUUAAGGAAUUGAGUGAGUAGCUAAUAGCUGAACUUAUUUUUUUGUUAAUAAAAGUUGUAUGGUUCAAAAGUCCAAAUUUAAGAGAAAAUCUCGAGAUAAAACAAAAGACAAUCCAAAAACACUGAAUAUAACAACUUUGCUAGGAAUGUUUCUUCUUAUCCAGACUCUGUUUGGAUUGAGGAGGGACCUCUGGGGUUGUCUAGUCUUUUGAGGGAUGAUGUAUUGGCAUCUAUGCCGAACUCAUUUUUGAUUUAAUUUUAUUUGAUUGUUGAUUUCAAAAAAAAAAAACUACCAAGCAAUCAAGUCUAUUGAAAACCCAUUAAAGAAAGAUUCAAGUAGCAGUUGCAACAUGAGGUCUGAUAAGUCUUAUAAGACUUUUCAACUUUAAAUUAAAUAGAAUAAAAUAAAUUAAUAAAUAUUUUAAUUUAAUAAAAUAAGCUUAUAUUUUUCUAAAUGAAGAAAAUAAUUUUUAGAAUUUAUAUUAAAAAUUGAAUAGUAAUUAUUUCAAAAUAAAAUUUGUUGAGUAUCUUGUUUGAUAAAGAUUUUCUAAGUGUUGGCUGCAUUUUGUCUAAGUUGUUUGAUAUGUUAAAUGGUGUGACAAACAUUGUCUUUGUCUGUUGUGCAACCCCAUGUCCUAAGCAUCUGGUAGGACAUUGUGAUUCGGGUUGCUGGGAGAUUUUUACGUGUUUCACGUUGAGUUUUAAUUGUGAAGAUUCGUCGGUGACAUCACACGUUUUAUAAGCUGAACGUAUCUUCUGCGAUUAGAAGAAUUAACCUAUUUGGAGGAAUAGGAUUAAUUCGUGUAGACCAAGUUAAUAUGUGAAAUUGGUCUUGGUGUGCUAUUUUUGGAGGAGAUCUUUUUGAAGAUUUACUUCCAUUUUGCUACAUGGACUCUUUGAUGCUCAAGCCCAUUGAAGACACCGACGGUGGAGCAUCUACUUAAUGUGUUCAAGGAACCCUAGCUGCUGUACGAGAGAGAUUUACACAUGUGUUAGUUGUACUCAGGAUUUUCCUUGUGAGUUUUGUAAUCAACUCCACAAAACACAACCAAUUUUACCGUUUUCCUAAAACCACUUUCAAAGACCUUUCUUUUCCCAUUUCACUCGUCUUGCAUAAAAAAAAACCGUCUUCAUGAGACCGCGGUAAAGUGGAGCAGCCACGACACAAAGUUCCUUACCUUAGCUGGAUCUCGCUGGUGGACUUAGAAUAAAGUUUGCAAAAUCUCAACCCGAAGAACAUCACAUGGCUGAAACUUCAAACAUCGAAGAUAGGAUUUUUCUCACUCAAAACUUAUAAAAACCAAACCUUUACUAUCAAGCAUUUCAAACUAGCUUUUAAAAAUGUUUCGUGCUAAGGUCCUACCAGAUCUAAAGGAAUAUUCUAGCAAACUCUAGCAGAGCACAAAUAAGGAAAGAUGAUGAAAUAAAAGUGUACAAUAUCAUUAAUGAGUAAAAUUCUAGUGAGAACAAUAGAGAACCCCCCAUUUUAUAGAGGGUGGAUUUGUAACCGUACCCUAUGGAAUUUGGGGAAUUAGACCUUAAAUCCAAGGCCCAACUCCCAAUACAAGUAAAUAAAACAAGCCCAAAUCCAACACCUGGGCAGGCGACUCUCCCUGCCUAGCUGAGACCGUCUUCCUUUGGCGGUCAUGUCCUUGUCUGAGAGCCCGCACACGAUUUGACCUAGAGUCCUUAUCUUAUGUCUUGCUUAUGUCUCUGGCGGGUCUCAUACUCGCGAGGGACUCACCCAGUCAAUGUUCCGUGUUAAGGUCUUACUAGCUAGAUCUAAAGGAAUAAAAGUGUACUAUGUCAUUAAUGAGUAAAAAACUAGUGAGUACAACAGAGGACCCCCUUUUAUAGAGGGUGAAUCUGUAACUCUAUGGAAUUUGGGGAAUUGGGCCUUACAUCCAAGGCUCAAUUCCCAAUACAAGUAAGUAAAACAAGCCCAAAUCCAAGACUUGAAUUUAUAUAUGGUAUUCAUCUGAUGGUCUACUAUCAUUAAGUGGUUUACCCAAUAUUUUUCUUUAAAAAACGUCAACAACAUUCUUUUAAAUAUAUUUUGUGACAGUUACGUUCGAGAAUGACUGCCAGGUUCUAGACAGUACAUGGGUCUCAAAACAUAAUGAUCCUUCAUAUUUAUCUUCCAUUAUUAGAAAUUGCUUGUUUUCGUCUUCUGGUUUUAACCCUUGUAGUUUUUGUUUAUGUUAAGAGUCAAUGUAACGUUGUAGCUGAUUAUCUUGUUAAAAAAGUUUUAUCUUCAAAAAAUUUGUGCGGCUUGAAGACUAUCCGACAGAUUUGUUACCCUUACUUAUCAUGAAUGUACCGUUUUCUUUUGUAACAAAGUUUUUAUUAUUUUCUAAAAUUUAUAUAGGUGAUAAAAAAAAUAUGAAUUAGUGGGUCUAGAUUUUUUAACACACAUACGAAAUUAUCUAUUAAGUAUAAUAUAUUCCUCCGCUAAGGAGAAAUUAAACUAGCGUGAAAUACUGGAAUGUGUCAUUUGAUUCAUUUCACACUCUUUUUAAAAUUGUUACUCAUUCACACUUCAUUUUUUUUUAUUAAUUUUAUUCAAUUACUUUUUCUUUAUAUUGAUGUUUUUAUCACAUAAUCUAUUAUCUCUCUCGUACUCUUAUAUCUAUCCAUAUUUGUGAAUGACUUAUUUAUUACCUCUUAUAGCAAACUUGUAUAAUAUGAGAGGCCUAUUUAAUUAAAGAACAAUAUUCACCAUUUAACUCGUACAUUCAAAGUAAAAGAACUCGCACAUGUCAAAAUUAUCAUGUCAGGGGUUCCUAUAGUCCGGGAUUUGGGUUUGGCGCCCCACCCUUUAGGCCCCACGCCCCAGCCUUUUUUUUUAUCUCAAAAGUACCCAUUGAUAAAUGAUUAACCGAUAUAAAUAUAGACAUCGGUUAAUUAUUAACCGUUAUUUUUCCUCUGUAUGAACACCUUCAUCCCAUUACCAGAACACGAAGAACAAUAUCGGUUAAUCAUUAACCGAUGUCUAUAUUUAUAUCGGUUAAUCAUUUACCGUUAUGAUUUCUGGCAGUUUGAUCACAUUAUCACCAUUACUCCUCCCUCCACCAACCCCUCCACCAUUACUCCUCCCUCCACCUGCCCCCCAUAACUCGCCCACACAACCUUAUUCCACCAUUACUCCACUCCUCCCUCACAUUUCACAUUCCCACCACCACUACCAUCUCCACAUUUUCCACCACCACCACCACCAACACCACCUCCACCAAGGGGAAGCUCUAAACUCCCGGUAAGUGUUGUUAGCUUUUCGGUUUUAUCUCAGUAGUUAGUUGUUAGUUUAAGUAGUUAGUUGUUAGUUUAAGUAGUUAGUUUAGUUAGUUAAGUUGGUAAUUUAGGCUGCUGUAUCGUGAACUGCAUCGGUAAAUGAAUUUCCGUUAAUGGAUCGGAUUAUGAUAUUCCAUUAUAGUACCGGAUUUUGAUUUGCCGUUAAUGUGUCGGAUAUUGAUUUACCGUUUUGGCUCCAGGGAUGACAGAGUCCUUUUUUUUUGGUGAAUCACAAUUGAUACAUGCUGCUAGAUUGGAAAAUGAUAAUCCAGAGGAGCAACCAUCACUAGUUGAACCUCCGAUUAUAUCUAUAGAUGUCUCUCAUUUGUAUCAUACAGAUCAGGUACUCAUUGCACAAAUUUUUGCAUGUUUUGUUUAUGCUUUGUUUAUGCCUUAUUUUAUGCCUUAUGCCUUGUUUAUCCUGAAAUAGUGUUUCCCUUUGAAAGAUGAUCUUAUGAAAUGGGUUCGCGACAUUUCUAUGGCAAAUAAUUUUGUUUUGGUGACAACAAAGUCUGAUAGUGGUGCGAAGGGAAGAAAAGAAUAUGUCAUUCUGGGGUGUGAGAAGCAUAGUGUGUAUAUUCCCUACAGAGAUCCUGAUCUUGUUGAAGGAACGUCAACACAAAAGGCAGGUUGUCCUUUUAGGCUAAAAGGACGACGUACGAAAGAUGGUAAAGGAUGGUGGUUGAAGGUGAUGGAGGGUAGACACAUCCAUCUCGCAACUGAGUCACUACUUGGCCACAAUUACGCUGGUCGACUGAAUAGUGAGGAGAAGGAGGACGUGAUAAAUCAGGCUAAGACUUGGGUUCCACCUAGAAAGAUGUUGGCGUCCUUGAAAGAAAAAGAUCCUUCAAACUUGACUACCAUCCAACAAAUUUAUGGUGUUUGCAAGCAGUUCAGACAAUCCGUUCGUGGGUCACUGACAAAGAUGCAAUACUUGCUGAAGAAGUUGGACGGUGAGAAGUAUGUUCACUUCGAAAGAAAUGAACCAGGAUCGGAAGUGAUUAGAGAUAUAUUUUGGGCUCAUCCGAAUGCCGUCAAAAUUUUCAACACAUUCCCAUAUGUAGUGAUCAUGGAUUGCACAUACAAGACCAGCAAAUACAAACUACCCUUGCUCGAGAUUGUUGGCCUGACCUCCACAGAUAAAACAUACUCAAUAGCAUUCUGUUACAUUGGCAGUGAGACCACAGAUGACUACAUUUGGGCACUGGAGUGUAUGAAGUCUCUGAUUUCCGACCAAUCCAGGUUGCCUAGAGUGAUUGUGACGGACAGAGAUCUUGCCUUAUUGAGUGCUGCUUCACAAAGCCUUCCCACCACUACCCAUUUACUAUGCUUGUGGCACAUCAACAAGUGUGUUUUGGCAAAGUGCAAAGAGUAUGUUGGCACAGAUGAUUUUGCUCAAGAGGUUAUGGACAAGUGGGCCGAAUUGGUAGAUGCUCCAACAGUUCCAGAAUUUGAAGCUCAUUGGAUUGAAUUGUUUAACAUGUGCAAGCUUAAACACAAGUUGAAAAUUGCCACUUAUUGUUCUACUACAUGGUUGGUCCACAAGCAGAAAUUUGCCAAGGCAUGGACAAAUCAUGUGAUGCAUUUUGGAACAACAACAAGUAACAGGUACAAAAAUUAUGUUAUGACUUGUUAUAUGUAUUUCAUUUCAUAGAUUAUUACAGUAUUAAUUCUUACAUGCGCGUUGUUGGUUUGCAGGGCUGAAGGUGCACAUGCCAGCUUGAAGUUGAUGUUGCGGAACAGUAAGGGUGACCUAGCCACAUCAUGGGAUGCGUCGCAUAGUUUGACCAUCAAUCGUCACACUGAGAUAGUAGCAUCGUUUGAGCGCAGUAUGAAUAAAAUUGAUCACCUUUUCAAGACCCCUUUCUACACAAAUAUUAGGGGAUUUGUGUCAAUCAAAUGCCUGAAACUCAUUGAUGCUGAACUGACAAGAAUGUAGUCCUACGGCGGCAGAUGCGAUUGCUUAUAGAGAGAGACUCAUGGACUACCUUGCGGUUGUCAACUUGCAAGUUACAAGUCAACCACUCUCAUGUCAACUACUUCCAAUUAUUUAUAUUUGUGAUUCAAUGUGACAUGUUUGUGAACUUGCAGAUUAUGAGAGGAUUCCGUACGAGGCCAUUCAUCCAUUCUGGAAGAGCCUAAGUUGGGAGCAUGUACCUGUUGCAGAUACUGGCAGCUCAGAUAUUUGCGGACUAAACCAUGGAGAGAUGCACCCAGAAGUUGAGGCACUGACACGUUAUUUCCAUUCUUUGGAUACUGGAGGGCAGAGUAUGGUAAGGAGGAAGCUUCAGGCGAUAUAUCGUCAUGAAAGUAGUACACUAUGUACUCCUGAGCUUCGGAUAAAGUCCAAUCGCACUCCUAAGUUGAACGAGAGCAAUCCACCCAAGGGUCGAGCAAUAGGAUCCUUGACUCAUGAUCCUUCAGCGUUUGAACUUACUGACAAGACGAUUAAAGAGGAAAAGAAGUCUUCACAACCAGCAACGAGGAAGAAGCGUGUGAAGAAGUCUGAUACAAGCCAUUUCAUGUGUAACUUUCCAGCAUUUCUCCAUCCAUAUAUUGACAGAAUUACAGAUGUUGAGGAUGAUGGUAACUGUGGCUAUAGAUCCAUUGCUGCAUUAAUGGGGCAUUCCGCCGGUCAGGACGGUUGGCCUUGGGUUAGGGCUUCAUUGAUACAAAAACUUGAUACCAAUGUGUUAAUGUAUAAUAGGAUGUGGGGCACAAAUGUUGUUUAUGGCUUACAUGAUCGACUCACUCUUCCUCUUGGUGACCCGGCCACCCCUGACAAAUGGUUUCAACUGCCAGAGAUGGGAUACCUUGUUGCCACAAAGUACCAAUUGGUUCUCGUAUCCUUAUCCUCUAUGGGUUGUAACACAUACUUUCCACUGAUAGGAGCCGGUCCACGAGAUGAGCAUACUGUUAUAGCUAUUGGACAUGUGAUAAAUCACUGGGUACAGGUAUAUUUUGACCAAAUACACUAAUAUUUUAGUUUCCUACUAGCUUGUCGAUUAAUUUUUGUAUGUGGAAGUUAUCUAAUUUUAUGGUUAUUCUCUAAAAUGUAGCUCCAAUUAACUCCUGGACAUCCUAUGCCGACUAUUGCUCCCCAGUGGGAUUGGCACGCUGAUCUUGCCUCCAAAUACUGGCGCAACCCAUAUGGUCCACGUUUAGACAUGUACGCUGCACAAUUCCAAGCUUGGCUUGGUGCUUUUAGUGGUCAUGCGGACUAUGUGGACAUCACCACAGAUUGAAUGUUCUUGUAUUGUGUAAUAUUAAUUUGUAAACUCUCUGUAAUUUUAAUCUUGUGGCCCUUAUCCACAGGUUGUUGUUAAUGACAACUAUUUAGACAUUAUCGUAGAUUGGCAGGUUCAUGCGUGUACUUUUGGUAAUGUUAAUUUGAUGUACUUUUGGUAAUGUUAAUUUGAUGUACUCUUGUCAUUUUCAUUUUCAUUACCCUCCACCACCAACCCUGACAUUACUCUCAACCACCAGCCCCAACCACACUUCUACCAUCCACCAAUACACCUUAAAUGAUUUGACCGCACUCCUGAGCUAUAAAUCUCUGUUGUGUCUUGCCUCUUCUUCUUACUCUUCAUUCCUCAUCUUCCUGUCUAUUGUGUCUUGCCUCUUCUUCUUACUCUUCAUUCUACACAAUGGAACAAGAUCCAAAUCCAUUCGUCCGCCAUUGCAAAGGUCAAAGCAACAAAUCUAGCAGCUCUCGUCCUCUCAUUCCUGGCCCGGCUGGCGCCAUCCAGGCUGCCAUGUAUGCCCGUAGAUCUACCCCAAACACACCAUUCAUUCCGACCCAGGAAAUCGUGAGGCGUGUGCUAGAUCAUGGAUCAAGAGUGGGGAAUUGCCACUCCACUGGACUCUCUGACAGCGAACGUUGAGAGGGUGGAGAAUUUUGUUUGUUGUUAUCAAAUCUUGCACUCCCAAUGGGUUCGGAGAUGCGAAAGUUACCCUCAAGGUAUGUCUUGUCCUUGCUUUUGUAAGGCCUUGUUUUUGGUCCCCCUUGACUAACCGUUCUUAUUUACUUCUCAAACGAUUUCAAAAAUUUAGGACCCCACGGGUGCUGUUGAUGCUAGCAUCCAUCGCAAGGCCUUUACUCACAGUGAAUUUGCGAAUGACAUAACUGUUGGAUCUGUUCUCGUUCUCCAAAAGGUCUGAAACCUAAACAUGAAACUUGCUUCAUUUUUUGGACAAAUAAGCAUGGUUUGAUUAAAGUAUGCAUUUUACUUACAGGUUGUUGUGUUUGCACCUAGAGGAACUGUUUGUUAUCUUAAUAUAACAUUGCCCAACCUAGUGAAGGUAUUCCCAAAAGAUUGCGGACCCCAUGACUUCAUCGAUAUCACAGAGGAAUAAUUUUGUUUUCGGUGUUGCUUAUGUUUAAUUUGGUUGUGUAACCGUUUAACUUAUUGUCAUGGAUUACUACAUGCUUUGAAUUAUUUAUGUUGUCGUUGUUACUGUUUUUUUCAUUAUAAGAGUCAUAAUAUUAAGACUAAAAAUAGAACACAUGUAAAUAAAAAGAGGCAAUAGUCAUAACAUAACAUAAAAAGUCCUAACAUAUACAUAAUAAUGGAUCCCACAUAACAAGUGUAAUAAAAUCACUCUCCCCGACCCCGCCCCCUGCGACCUCUGGGUCCACGAGCUCUACCUCCACGAACACCCUCUCCAGGAUCACCCUCUCCACGAGCUCUGCCUCCACGGGCUCCGCCUCCACGGGGUCUGCCUCCACGAGCUCUGCCUCCCGCAGCUGUGGCUCCUCGAAUAGCAGAAAAGGCAACUCCCUGGGUACCAACGAAGGAACUCCGUCGAAAGAGAUCGAGCGCCCUCUCAGUGAGGAUUCAGGGCUGUGUCCCUGGAGCAAGAGCACCUGGCACCUCCAGUGACUGCUCCAACAACUCCACACCCCUACGUAUAGCAGACUGCAUAAAAAUAAUAUACAAAAAAAAUGUCAUUAACAAAAAUCACAAUUGAAUGGAUAAAAAUAAUAUACAAGUAUAGAAUCCAAACUUACCACGACACUAAGCUCCUGCCUCUUAUCCUCAGGGAUGAUGAACACAUGGGACACUCUGCUAUACCACCUCAUGUAACCCUCCACCGCCUCUCGCGGAUAUGUAGCAGGGAUCCCCUGAGGGCGGAGGUGCGGCUCAAACUCAGCAUAGGCAGCAUCUAUGGUCUCAGCAAGGGACCCCGUCGUCUGGAUCUCAGAGGGGUGUCGAGGGAUGUCCUGUAUGUAGCCAAACUGGUGCAUAACCCUCUCUGGUAGAUGUCGGCUCACAGACCGGCCGUAAGGUGUCUUGAUGUAGCCGGAAUAGAAGGCCCUGGGAUCCCGCGGUCGAACAGCCCGAUGGUCCUCAAAUGGGGUCCAUGUGAUAUCAUCUAAUGUAAGCUCAUCCAGCAUGACUCGUCUCUCAUCGAGUCCGGAAUGCGCGAUCCGGGACGUGGACCACCGCUGCGCCCUAGGCUGGUCCUGUGUUUAGUCGGGUACCUCCGUCCUGAUAAUGACGCUGCUGGAUAUGUACUCAUAUGCCCAUGACAGCAAGAGGGAGGUGAACCCUCCGAUCUGGGCUGUCUUCCUGCGGGACGCACGACUAAGCUGUUCGUACAACGAUGCCAGCGCAAUCGCACCCCACGCGUACUCCGACACGCGAGCGAGGUCCUCCAGCAUCUCGAUCCAGUAGACAGUAGUGUGGUAACCCCCACUCUUGCUGGCAAAGAAUGUGGCACCAAGCUGGUUCACCAGCUAGAUCCUAGCAGCAUCCUCAUGGCAGUGCUCUACAAUGAAAUGAAUUAAGUUAACAGUUAUUAAUAAGACGCUAAAAAUAAAUACAACUUAAUAAAGUAAUGAUUAAGACAUACCAUCCAAAGCAAACAUAUACAUGGCCUUCAGAAUAAGGAACCGGAUAUUCUGGCCACCCGCCGCCUCAAACUCAAGCAGAUAAUCAGCAGCAGAUCCUCCCAGGAGCUGGGCGCAGAGCGCUACACACUCAUCUCGCUCCCCCCUGUCCGGCGUGUAGAACCUCGACCCCGCGGGAAGAUGGAGAAGAGCCGACACGUCGUCCAGGGUGAUAGUCAUCUCCCCGAACGGCAUGUGGAAGCUACUCGUCUCCUCAUGCCAUCUCUCAACAAGGGCCAGUAUGAGAGGUGGGUCUGUCUCCGGUAACCCGCACCAAGGCAGGUGAUACAAACCCGUCUGCUGCAGCAGCUAUCGCACAUGUGUAUGGGCCUCUGAAUCGCCAUCAUAGGGGAGGUUCCAUACCUUCCCCCCAACAGUGGCCACCCUCAGUGUCCGAAGGUCAUCGUACCGCGGGUCUGUGCGUAGAAGUGCCUGCCACAUCCAAGGAGCCUUGUGGUCGGGAAAAUGCGCAAGAAGCGACAGAUCCUCAGGCCCCCCGGGAAACGGUGCCACCCUCUGGAUGAGGUCAUCCACACCGCCCUGUGCCCCCUCCUCUGGCACGACAUCAGCAGCAUCAAUCUCCUCCUGGAGAAUAAGAGGCUCCUCCUCCUCACCACUAAGCUCAGAAGAAGACUCCUCGCCACUAGGCUCAGAAGAAGACUCCUCCCCAGAUGUCUCCUGACGAGGUAACUCAACCAUCGGAGACAACGGAGUAGGAUCCAGCUCAGUCGCAUCCCUAGUAGCAGACGGAGCCGGAGUAGCUGACGGAGCCCCGACCGGAGUAGCAGAUGGAGAUGGAGACGGAGCCGAAGCCUCUACUGCUUGAGUGGCUGCAAUAUGGUCGCCGCGCCUGGUAGAAGCAUGCAAGCGCUCGUGUCGAUCCACUGGAUCCUCACUAGUACAAGCAUGUCGCGACCUCUUCCUCCCGCCCUUCAUUCUCGCUAUCUGUGCAAAACAAACAAAUUUAACAAUACUUGUCAUAAUAAGUAAAGCAUUUUCACAUAUGAGCAUAUCAUUUGAGUCAUUUUUUUACUUAAUCAGGAAAUUUCCAACCAAUCAUUUAGCAACUAACCAUAUGAAAAGGAAAAUAUAGAGAAUUAGUUGUUAGUUUGCAUGUGAAUGUGAUUAAAUUAAAUUUCUAGCUGUGUUAAGGUCAAGCAACCAUCAUCACAAGCAAACAAAAACAAUAAACAACUUUCCUAAUUACAACACAUGAAGAAUAUGAAACUCAAAUCUAUCUUGAUCUUUUCCAAUUCUCAACAAAUCAGCAAAGUAAUCCUGGAAGUUAAAUACAUGCCAUGGUUAAAUAUUGGAAAUAAAUUUUGGAAGUCUGCACUGUAAUAUCGGAAAUUCAUUUUCCAUUAUCAUAUCGGAAAAUCAUUUUCCAUUAUCAUAUCGGAAAUUAAUUUUCCGAUAUUACAGUGAACCCAGAAGCAGACCCAAAUGCACCCCACUCGUGCCCAUACUCAUUUCAUGGAAUUUCAGGCAACAAAACACGACAAAACCUACCUCUAAUCAUCAAUCAACUACCCUAGUGUUCAACCAUUGACCUAAUUCAAACUUGAAAUGUGAGAAUUAUUGAAGUCAAAACUUACCUUUUGAAUGUAAUGGAAUGGGUCUUUGAGGGAGCUUUGAUGAUGAUUAGAACCGACCUUUGAGAUGAUUGAAGUGGUGGAACCGAGCUUUGAGAGAGAUUGAAGAGGGUGUGAUUUGGGGAGGGAAAUUUGGGUUUUGAAAUAAUGGGUUUCAAAACCCAAACUGUCGAGUUUAUAUGUCACGAUCGGUAAAUGAUUACCCGUUAUAGUGUCGGGUAAUCAUUUACCGUUAUUAAUCAACUGGUUUUUUGGUAAUUUCGCUCCUUCAGGUGGGGCGUGGGGCCUAAUGGGUGGGGUGUUAAACCCAAAUCCCCUAUAGUCCGUGACAUGUAGCAACAUAAGAGUGGCUCCACCCUUGAGUCGUGAUAAGGAAUGAAAGGUUUGAGUUUCAAGCUGCAGCUUCACAUUAUGCGUUUUACAGAAUGGGACCCCUUUUUCGCUAAAGCUCUUUGUCGGCUUUUGUACCCUAGUAGUAUAAUUUUUUUUAGAAAUUACAGUUUUGGGGUACUUUUUUAUUUAUUUACCAAUCUAGUAUAAAUCGUCACUGUCAGUGGCAAUUCUAUUUAUUUAUUUUAUUUUUUUAAAGAAUCGCCAAUAGUAUUGGCGUUUUCAUUUUUUUUCGUUUUUUAUAUAAAUCGCCAACCAUGUUGGCGUUUUCUUAUUUUUUAUUUUUGUUUUUUCUGACAAUCGCCAACAUAGUUGGCGUUUAUUACCUUUUUUAUUUUUUUAAAAUCGCCCACAUGUUUUUUUUUAAAUUAGUAAUUAAAAUGAUAUUUAAUCAAUUGAUUCUCACACACAAUUUUAUGUUAUUACUCACUUUUGCAGCACUUUGAUAAUAAAUUAUUUGGUCUACCGGCAAGUUCUCGCGCUAAGCUGAGGAUUUGGCAUGCAAUUGGGACCUGAGUAAGAUGGUCAAUACUCUUCAUCCCCAACUAAACUAUGUAAUGCAUAUGUUUAUCUUUAAAUAUCGGUUCAAAUAUUUAUGAUUAAAGUGCUGCAAAAGUGAGUAAUGACACAAAAUUCUGUGUGAAUAUCAAUUGAUUAAAUACCAUUUUAAUUACUAAUUUAAAAAAAUUAAAAAAACGUGUGGGUGAUUAAAUAAAAACAAAAAGGUAAAAAAGCCAACAUAAUUGGUGAUUGUCAGAAAAAACAAAAAUAAAAAAUAAGAAAACGCCAACAUGGUUGGCGAUUUAUAUAAAAAACGAAAAAAAAAACGCAAAUACUAUUGGCAGUUCUUUAAAAAAAUUAAAAAAAAUAAAUAGAAUCGCCAUUGUCAAUGACGAUUUAUACUAGAUUGAUAAAUAAAAGAAAAAGUACAUCAAAGCCAUAAUUUCCAAAAAAAACUAUACUACUAAGGUACAAAAGCCUCUCGUACACUCCAUAAGCCUGCUGCUUAUAAAAUAGUCGUGUGAUAAGAAAUGAACAGGGUAGGUUUGAAGCUGCUGCUUCACAUUAUGUCUCUCUGCGUUGGGGAGUAAAUGUACGUAUAUAGUUUCUGAUUGGAGUUUGUUCUCCAGAGACUGUCGGCAGCAGCAGCUUUUAUCAUUUUCAUUUUGUUUUAAAAGAAGAGCCAAUGGUGAUGGUUCAUGGUGGGGAGAGCCAAUGGUGGAUAUUUUUAAUAUAUAUACCAAUCAAUAUAAAUCUUGGCGUUGGAGUAAUUGAAAACGUAAAGAAAAGUAGGUAAAGAAUUAAAUUUCUAAAUUAUUGAAUCUGUAAAAUUACAUUCUCCUACCACAUGCAUGAGCACCUUACUCUUUUAGACAUUUUUCUAAGAAUUGCAUUGAUUGUUAGUGUAAAUUUUAUUUACACAAAAUCUAAUUAAUUUUCAACAAAUCCAAAAAUAUAUUUUUAUUUUAAGUAAAUUAAGACCAAUAUAGCUAUUCAUGUGUUGUGACGGAAUAUCCAUUAAACUUUAUUUAUUAUAUUUUUAGGGGAAAUCUUCCAUACGGCAUCUCUCUGAGGAGGUACCGGUCCACCAAAAAAAAAAAGGACUACAACUGCAAAUAUUUUAUUUUUGGCGCCAUAUUUGUAAAUCCACUAGGGGUCUAUUUCAAACUUCAAGAUUCAUUUCCACUUACAGUCCCUUUUUCUCUUUAAUUUCAUAUCCAACGCCUAUAAUAUGGUAUAUUUUAGGUACUAGUCCUCUAAAAUAGAUCUGGGCUUCAUCACCGUGUUCUUCAUCAUCAUCAUCAUCAUCAAGAUAGACACCGCGAACAUCAUUUUUCCGGCGACAUUCAUAAUCUGACACGAGAAUUCUUGUCCGCAGAUCCACCACCUUCGUUCCUCUAGAAGAAUCCCACAUCAUCGUGGGUGGUCCAUUCAUCUCCGGCCGGAACUCCGCCGUAGCGCCACCGUGUUCUUCAUCAUCAUCAUCAGCAUCACCGUGUUCUUCAUCAUCAUCAAGAUAGACACCGCGAACAUCAUUUUUCCGGCGACAUUCAUAAUCUGAAACGUGUACUUGUCCGCGGAUCCACCACCUUCGUUCCUCUAGAAGAAUCCCACAUCAUCGUGGGUGGUCCAUUCAUCUCCGGCCGGAACUCCGCCUUAGCGCCACCACACAUUCGUCUUCUCCGGCUAAUAAAUCUGGAUAUUUUCCAGAUCUGGAUAUUUCCCAGAUUUUGACAUUUUUCCCAAAAUUGUUGUCUUAGUUUUACCUGCUGAAUUCGUUAAAGAUGGAUAAAGAUUAAUACCACCUUUCUUUUGAGACUUUUACCAUGCCCUCAGUGAUAAUUGAAGUCUUCCAUUUGAUUCCAUGACGGCAACGGUACACUUAAAGUAACGUAAUUAUGAAUAGUUUAGUUUUACCUAUAAUCUUGAAUAAACUGAGGUUAGUUAAUAUAUGGUUUGAUUAAACGAGUGUUGGUUGUCGACAACACUCGGAAGUACUACCCUUGGUGGAGGGACUAUUGAACAUCUAGGUUAAACCACAACUACCUAAUUCAAUGACGUGUUAACCCAUUAUUAGUUGUUACAACGAAGAAGAUGACAUUAAAGUAGUUGAAAUUUAGUCUUUAUUGGAUGAGAGUUAGUUAUUCUAAUGACCCUGCUAACUAAAUGUUGCUUAGUCACGCUCUAGCAAUUCAUAUAAUAGGGUUAGUUGUUCCAAUGAUCCACUUAACCUAACAUUAGUUAUUUGAUAGACAAUUAAAGGUAGAUGAAAUCUAGUCUACAAUGGAGGAGAGUUAGUUAUUCUAAUGACCCUUCUAACUAAAUGUUACUUAGCCAUGCUCUAGCCAUUCAUAUAAUAGGGUUAGUUGUUCCAAUGAUCCACUUGACCUAACAUUAGUUAUUUGUUGACAAAGUAACUUGAUGACAACAUAUAAAAUACUCUCAAUUGAAUAACCAAGUUUGUUGUUACAAUUAUCAACUUAACUAACAUUAGUUGACUUAAUGACAAUGUAACGUGAAUACUGUCUUAGUUAAACUCUCAGUUGUCUAUGCUCGAGGUUGAACAAAAUAUAGUACUGUACAAAAUAAGGUAACCAAUUAUAAUUGUAUAUGAUCUUAAGCUAGGGUUAACUCACCUAUAUGCUAUAGAAGAUUAUGUUUUUAAGCUCAAAUUAGCAGGUAAAAAAACAUUAGGUAACUACUGGGCCGUCGAUGACGUUAACAAAAAAUGGCCUAUAUGUUAUUCUGUCAAUAAAGGCUUACAGGAAAAAAAAACUUAACAUUUUAAAGGUAAGGCCCACCAGAAACGCAAUGAAGAAUUAGUCCAGAAAAAAAUGGGAGGGGUUCUUUAGUGGUUUAAGCAAAGCUACAAGAUUGGACAAAAAAAAAAACAAAGCUACAGGCAAUUGACCAAAAAAAAAAAGCAAAACUACAAGCACAAAUCUGUCUUUAGACAAAAUACUUGAGCCAAUUCAACUUUCUUCACAUGAAUGCAUAUUCUGCUAGUCAUUUCAUCUUUAUCUGUGCUCUAUGUAAAUUCGUUAAAGAUGGAUAAAGAUUAAUACCACCUUUCUUUUGAGACUUUUACCAUGACCUCAGUGAUAACUGAGGUCUUCCAUUUGAUUAUAUGACAAUUACGGUACACUUAAAGCAACGUAAUGAUGAAUAAUUUAGUUUUUCAUCUGACCCUAUGUCCCUAUUUACUAACUGUUAGGAGUACAAUAGUCCCGACAGUCAUCUUUUAUUAUCUCCUUUUGAACCAAUUAUUAGUAGGGACCUUAUCCCUUAGUUAUUAUAUAGUGAGUUAAAUUAUGUUGAUGAACAUCUUAACCAAACGUUGGUGAUUCUAAUAUCUCGUAUAAACUGAUGUUAUCUAUUAUAAUGGCCUACCUAACAUAAUGUUAGUACUUCUAUAAUCUUGAAUAAACCUGGGGUUAGUUAUUAUAUGGUUCGAUUAAACGAGUGUUGGUUAUCGACAAAUGUCGGAAGUACUACCCUUGGUGGAGGGACUAUUGAACAUCUAGGUUAAACUACAACUAUCUAAUUCAAUGACUUGUUAACCCAUUAUUAGUUGUUACAACGAAGAAGAUGACAUUAAAGUAGUUGAAAUUUAGUCUUUAUUGGAUGAGAGUUAGUUAUUCUAAUGACCCUGCUAACUAAAUGUUGCUUAGUCACGCUCUAGCAAUUCAUAUAAUAGGGUUAGUUGUUCCAAUGAUCCACUUAACCUAACAUUAGUUAUUUGAUAGACAAUUAAAGGUAGAUGAAAUUUAGUCUACAAUGGAGGAGAGUUAGUUAUCCCAAUGACCCUUCUAACUAAAUGUUACUUAGUCAUGCUCUAGUCAUUCAUAUAAUAGGGUUAGUUGUUCCAAUGAUCCACUUGACCUAACAUUAGUUAUUUGUUGACAAAGUAACUUGAUGACUACAUAUAAAAUACUCUCAAUUGAAUAACCAAGUUUGUUGUUAAAAUUAUCAACUUAACUAACAUUAGUUGACUUAAUGACAAUGUAACGUGAAUACUGUCUUAGUUAAACUCUCAGUUGUCUAUGCUCGAGGUUGAACAAAAUAUAGUACUGUACCAAAUAAGGUAACCAAUUAUAAUUGUCUAUGAUCAUAAGCUAGGGUUAACUCAGCUAUAUUAUCGGCUAUAAAAGAUUAUGUUUUUAAGCUCAAAUCAGCCAAAAAAAAAAUCAUUAGGUAACUACUGGGCCGUCGACCACGUUAACAAAAAACGGCCUAUAUGUUUUUCUGUCAAUAAAAGCCUACAUACGUAAAUAAAAAAAAAUUAACAUUUUGUUUCGGUAAAGCCCACCGGAAAAACAAUGAAGAAUUAGUCCAGGAAAAAAAGGGAGGGGUACUUUUGUGGUUUAAGCAAAGCUACAGGCACAAAUCCGUCUUUAGACAAACUACUUCAGCCAAUUCAUCUUUAUCUGUGCUCUACCUCAUCUCCACACGCCAUUGAUAAGCAACAAGAAGAGUUAUAACACUCUAGUAGACCAGUUCAAUGUUUAUUUUUUAGCGUUUCCCUUGCAUAGCUAGAGCACGAAAACUAGGUGUAUUCCUUGUAGAGCAGAUCCAAACCCUAUCUUGUCUUCCACAAUCGAAUAAGAUCCUCCCUGUUGCAUUGUGAGGCCUUCAAAUCUGUUACGGCUUACUAUUGUUGGCGUGGUUAUAUUGAUUUAUCGGGCUACCCGUGUGCUGUUCACGGAUUUGUGAAGAAAUUUGUUUGUGAGUAUACUCCUUGAGAUCGACUUCAUCUCCUUUGAGUUGUGUGCGUUAUUGUUGUCUUUGGUUUCAUGCAUUUAAUUUUAUUUUAUGGAAGUUAAAAACUAUAGUGAUGCCGCCGGAGUUUCUACUCCGUCAAAGGUCCUCUAAGUAGGUAAUAAAUUUGAUAUAUAUAUAUAUAUAUAUACAUAUAUAUCUCUUGUGUAGGUCUGAGUUGAUCCAAUGAGCGACAACAUGGAGGUUGACUCGAAUUUUGGCCUGGAUGAGGACUCGCAGAGUUCACCAUCUAAUGACUCGUGGUCAGCAAAUGAGGAGGUAUGUAUUGACCGGUGUAUUAUGUCCUUGUAACAUACGUUAACCAUGGCUGCGCACUCUAAGAGUCUCCUUCUUGAUUGUUUGUAGAACGAAUAUGAAUAUGAUUUUGAGGCCCUUGAAAAUUAUUUUCACGGUGAUGACGGUCAAUCUAUGAAUGAAGACGACAAUGACUACGAUGAUGGACAAAACAACAAUUCAUCUUAUCAAUUUGAGGGUGAGGGCCUUGGUGACCACGGCGAUUAUGAUCUUCAUGAGGAUGAGCUUGACUCUGGUGAAAGGUCGACAAGCGAUCUGGAUGGCGAAGAAAACAGCUCUUUUUGUGAUGAGGACGAAGGUUCGCCUGACACAGCUAACCCAGCUGACAAUACAGAUGAUGUAGCGGGGGUAAAUUAUAACGAAAUGCAUGGCAAAAUACCGGUCAAUCCUGUCAGAAUUGAUUCAAAGGAUGACUUUCUCCUUCUGGAUCUAAUGACCAUGAGACUGGAGGAAAUCAUGAGGUUUUCAUUUGUGAGCUUGGAGCUGGCGUUCGAGUUCUACUGUUGGUUUGGAAGAUUGUCCGGAUUCUCUAUUCGUAAAGACACCAAACGCUGGACCAAGAAAGGAGAGGUACGCCAACAAACUUUUGUGUGUCAUAGGGAAGGCUUUCACAAGAACAGUGAUGUGAAGCGGACAGCUGAGGCUAGGAGUAAUUAUAGGUGUGGAUGCAAAGCUAAAUUACGGGUCCAUAUUCAGGGUUACUCAAAACGGUGGUACAUCAGCUUGUUUGUACACGCUCAUAACCACGAGGUGCUCCAAAGAAGUCAUGCAGCAAUGUUGGCUGCACGAAGCGGAUAUCUUGAGUUUGACAACUCAUUUGAGUUCGGGUCUAACAACAGCCGACGUCUACAAUUCACAUGUUGCACAGGUUGGGGGCUAUAACAACACGCAAUACAGCUUGAAAGAUCUGCAGAACCAAGUUGGGAAGCAACGACGAGCACAUGUUUCAGAUGGACGCAAAGCAUUAGAUUAUCUAGCCUCGUUAGGUACCAAAGACCCAUCUAUGUUUGUGCGGCACACGGAGGACGCUGAUAAAAAUCUGGAACAUUUGUUUUGGUGUGACGGGAUAGGUCGGAUGAACUACAGCGUGUUUGGGGAUGUUUUAGCAUUCGAUGCCACAUAUAAAAAAAACAAAUAUCGGCGUCCCCUCGUCAUAUUUUCAUGUGUCAAUCACCAUAAUCAAACAACCGUUGUUGGUGGUGCUGUAAUUGGCAACGAGGAAGAAGAAACAUAUGUGUGGUUGCUAGAGCAGUUGUUGGAGGCAAUGGACAAGAAGAGUCCAACAACAGUUAUCACAGAUGGAGAUAAGGCAAUGAGGAAUGCCAUUCGGAGGGUCUUUCCCAAUGCCAGUCACCGACUCUGUGCGUGGCACUUGAUGUGUAAUGCAACCGAUAAUAUCAAAAUUCCUGACUUCCUCCCUAAGUUCAAGACUUGUAUGUUCGGUGAUUUUCAAAUAGGUGAUUUUAAAAGAAAGUGGGAAUCAUUGGUUGAAGAAUUUAAUUUACAUGAACAUCCGUGGAUUAUUGACAUGUAUGCCAGAAGACAUACGUGGGCUGCGGCCUACUUUCGUGGUAAGUUUUUUGCCGGAUUUAGGACUACAUCUCGGUGUGAAGGGUUCAACGCCCAACUUGGGAGGUUUUUCAAGAGAAGAUACAACUUGAAAGAGUUUCUACAGCACUUUCAUCGUUGUCUCGAAUACAUGCGACAUAGAGAAGUUGAAGCUGAUUUUCGUUCAGGCUAUGGAGACCCGGGUUUGAAAGCUCCACCCCUUUUUCAAAGUAUUGAGCUUUCAGCCUCACGUAUUUUGACCCGACAAUUAUUCUUCCGAUUCCGUCCCACCAUUGUAUCUGCCGCUGACAUGAUAAUUACUAAUUGCGAAGAUACCCUUGGCAUGUCCAUGUACACGGUCAAGCGGUCCCAGGAAUCUAGUAGGGAGUGGCUUGUUUCAUACUAUACGGCUACAUAUGAAUUCCGAUGCUCAUGCAUGAGAAUGGAAAGCAUUGGUUUAGCUUGUGGCCACAUCAUUGCUGUCUUGGUUGAUCUCAAUAUACAUAACAUUCCCAAGUCACUUGUGCUUGAAAGGUGGAGUCAAGGUGCAAAGGAUCAUUUAUGUGAAACGUCGGGGUCAUCCCCGUCGCUUUUCCGAGAUUCCGCGGUCCUUGCCAGGUAUGUUUGUAUGCUCGAAGCCUGUAGGAAAAUGUGUACACUUGCUUGUCCGCUUAUUGAUGACUUUCGCAAGACAUGGGAGAUUGUUGGAGGUCACACUCAACACUUAGAGAAUAAAAACAAUCCCUCAGUUCCAGAAGGUGUCACUGGAACUCCAUCUGCUAACGCAGGUCUAACGACUCACCGGCGCAGGGGUCGUCCCCGUGGAUCGUCAACUUCUCGAUUGAGGGCCAAGCGACCCUUGAAGUGUAGCGCAUGCAAAGUGAUUGGCCACAAUCGCUUAACUUGCCCAUUGGUUAAAGGAACGUCCACCGAUGGAUCCUCCAUGGGAGGGGAUCAUGAAUUUGAUGACUUUGAAGGUGUUAUUUUUUUAAUACCUAUGAUUUUUAGUGAUCAUUUCCAUGAUUAACAAAAAAACAAAAAAACUGUAUAAAUCUAACUUAAUUUGUUUCAUGUUGCAGCCUACUAGGACGCCACAGACGGGUAAGGCCAUAUGCUGCAUGUCUUUCGCAUUCGGUAUCGUUGGAUAAGUGCUAUGGAAACUGUUUAACGUGAUGUAAUGUUUUAAUCCAUUAUUUGUUGCCUUUGUAUUAUUGUAAUGCAUUAUUAAGGAGUUUCAGUUGCAUUAGCACAAAGUCGUUACCGAAUAUCCCAACAUAACUUAUGGAUAUUACUCCCCUCCGUCCUCAUAUAUACGCCACUUUUUGAGAUUUUUUUAAUCCCAAAAUAUAAGUUAAUUUAUAUUACCAAUGUAGUAUUUAAUGCCUUUUUCCAAACUUACCCUUAUAUUUAAUAUGAAAGACAUAAUGUAAUUUUGAAAAAGAAAUUAAUUUGAAGAGAGAAGUUGAUGUGUAAUCUAGGAAACUCAAUAAAACUUUUUACAAAUUUAAUAUUAGUAACUUCUUUUCUUAAUUCUUGAGAAUUAGGUAAAAGUGACUUAUAAACGAGGACGGAGGGAGUAUUCGACUAUGACUUCGCUGUCGUCUCAAAUAUGCUGUAUCACACCAUAGUGACUCUGGCUCGCUACAAUAGUGACUCUGGCUCGCUCCCGUGUAGUUCUUGGAACUCGGCGUGCCAGCUAAAAGGAGUUGUCUCGCAAAAAUCGAGGUGCCAACUUUAUGUCACGCAAUUAUUGAGAGGUAUCAGCUUUAUGUCACACACUUGCGAGAUGUUUCAGCUUUAUGUCACGCUUCAUUGUGUCCUUCGGCGCGAUAGCACACACUCUGAGAUGUUCUCAACUGUUGGUCCUUCAUUAGCUUUAUGUCUCACAAUUAUCUAGUUCACCUUAUGAUGUCAGGCACGUUCUUCCAUAAGGAAGCUUCAUGGAAUCCGUCUUUAUCCUAAUAAGAACAACACGGGUUUCAUGCCCAAAUACUGUCAAUAAUCGUGGCUUACUUACUACCAUUCCUUACAACAAAGAUCGCAUAUUUAGAAAACAAUAACUAUGAUUAGUUGUUUUUGGAUAUGCAAAAAAUAUGAUUAAUGUAUUACUUUACGAAAAUAGCAUACUUUCCAUUAUAUUUAAGUUUUCACAUUUUCUCUUUAUAAUUAAUGAUAUGAUAUUUUUUUAUACAUCGGAAGUAUAAUUAAUGAUAGAGUGAACAAAUUUAUAGAAUUGAGACAACUAAUUUGAGGGGUAUUUUGUAUAUUGUUUUAAUAGUUUAAUGUAAAAUGUCUUAUAUUUCCUUAAGAUAUUAAAAACUAGGUACCGUUUAUGGUAACAACUAACCAGACAUCCAUAUACGAUGGUAUUAACUAGCCAAUAUCACAUUAAAUUUACUACUAACCGUUUAUGGUUAAAAAUAUGUGAUGAUGGCCAAAAAAAGAAUAAUGGCUUGUUCAUACUCUUUGUUUUUUUAACUGUACCCUUAGAUGUGCAUGUUUUGAUCCUUUUUUAUCUAUUAUACCCUUACUAGUAAAUGAAAAUUAAAUUCUCAUUACAUCAAAUCAAAGUCUUGGCUAGUAACUGUAAUUUAAAUUCCAUGAAAGUACCGAAAAGAUAUUCCAAAGUUAUAUAGAAAAAGGUGUUAAUAUUAAAUUAUGUCAAAGAAGAAAUAGAUGUAAUUGGAGGGAGUUUAUAUUUUUUUAAUUCUAAUAUGGAGGGAAGAAUGAUAAAUGGUUUUAUCAUAUGAGAGAAUAGAAAAAAAUUAAUUAUCCACUAUCUUAUUUAGAAAGCUUUAUAACUUCAUGAUUAUGACGUGAGACGAUAGAAUUGGAAAAAAGACUCCAAUAACCCACUAUCUAGGAUGACACUUAAAAAAUAAAGGAAGAGUAACAGACAAAGCUAAACCAGUUGAGAUAAAUUUUUUUUUGUCACAUUACAGUUCAGAGGAUCAUACAUGCCACACUAAACAUUAAAUCCAUGACAAAGCCCCUUUUUUUUAAGAAAGGUGAAUUCUAGUCCACCUGAAAAAGAAGAUACAAGCAAGCAAAGGGACUAACAUGAUAAAAUCCAAUGCAGAAAGGAUAAAAAUAUAAAAGACAUAAGGGAAAGAAGAACAGAAACAACAACUACAGAUAUACAUCACGCCAGAGCAUAGAAAAAUAAAAAAGUAACACAACAGCUUUAAGAGCGCAUCCAUAGGGAAAACAACGCCAGCAUCUUGAUUCCACUACUAAUACACCAGAACCGUAUUUGCAGGAGCAUAAUAAGAUGAGACCCUUCAAGGAAGGGGGAGGGAGAACUUCUGACAUAGGCUGAGGCAGAGUGCGUUCAUAGCCCUGUUUUCCAAUACUAUCGGCGAUAGUAUAAGGGGGUUGAAAUAUUUAAAGGCACCAAUAAGGUUUACUUCAGCCAUAAAAUGUCCAGGUAUCUUUAUGCGACAUACUCUCUAUCCCACAAAAUGAAAAUGACCACUUAAGUAUGACAUCCAUGUCUAAGUAAUCUAAAUAUUGUAUACAAAAUGAAAAUGACCACAUUUGCCAAGAGAUGCACGCAGCAACCCAAUAUUGUGGUUGAAGGAAAUUUAGUUAAGGGGCAGAUUGUUUCGCCUAGAAUAUAUUAGCUUUGUGUAUCAUGUUUGGAGUCCAACGCAGAUUGUUUCGCCCAGAAUAUAUUAGCUUUUUCUAUCAUCUUUGUAGUCCAAAGCUCGUUGUGAUUACCCCUAAACAUUUCAAUUGCGAUUUCCAUCCGGAUAGCACUUUCAUUAAUCUACUAAUGCAAAACAAAGCAGUCAGGAAAAGUUGAAGCAAAAUAGCUAUUUUGAUUGGCAAGCAACCAAUCAUGUAUGAUGUUGCUAACCUCGGCAGGGAUAUUGGAUCUAAAGUUAUGUUCCAUACCCAUCCAAUCCAACACGCGAAGCGCGGAGUCAUAACUGGAAAUAUGAGCAUAAAUUCAAACGAUAAUUAGAUGAACACUGAGAAUGUCAGGUAAACAAAACAAGUCAAAAAAAAAAAACCUUUCUCCGGAUGGGGGAAUCGGACUACCACAAAUAACUUUCCAAUCGUCCUUUUUAAAUGCGUUUUCUGAACAAUUGACUGCAGAAUCCUGCGCGGGAAGAAGUUGGCCAACGACCAAACACUGCAAAGUGCAAACAAGAUGUAAAUACAGACGUUAUUGUGUACAUUUUCACGGAAAUAGUCGUAAAGGAUACCAAGUUCCUCAUCAUCUCAUUUCUGGGCUCUAUCUUGUGCUUUUGAAGAUUUGAAUCGAAAUGGUGAAUGACUCCAUCAGUAACAGAUACAAUCAUUAAGUACCAGUGAUCCGUCGACCGUUCCUCUAUUGGAAUGUAUAUCUACAGCAGGAAGCAAAACUAAGCAUCAACUUUUAACACAUUAUAAAGGACUUUUUUAAAGAUGUUAAUUAAGUAUUUGCAUCUAACAUAUUUGAUAGAGGGGGUAGUAGGCAUCCAAGUUUUGUAUUUGUCCUUCAGGUUUGAGAUUGUCAUGCUUUCGUUUACGUCUAUCUGUUUGAACAACAAAUGAAAUUUUAAAAUAAUAAUUUGCCGACCAUAGUACUAUAUAUGUGAUAUCAAAUAGUCGACACCGAGACUAAACUGCAAACGACGGUGGCAAUGACCAAAUGGUUUGUUCCGAGGCUAGUUGUUGAUUAAGUGUUGCCUUUGUAGAACUCCAUUCAAUUACCUGUAACAGAGAAAACAAUAAAUACACCUAUAAUUUUAACAACAAUACGAACAAUGUAAUGAGACACGUAACAACAAGACAUACAUUGGAAGAAAUUCUGUUGAACGGGAUAAAACAUUCAAAAUCUUUUCGGGUGGCAACAAGAUUUCUCAUCCUCAGGAGCUCCUCGCUGCAGAAGUCGGUGAAAAAUGUCAGAUGAUUCGGUGGUACAACAUUUACGUCACCAACAAUAUAAAAACUACAUCUAUUGUGUAUUACAAACUUACCUAUGAGUUAGAUUGGUGUGAAAAAGGUAAGCAACAAAGGGUGCAUCUGCGAUCGGGACACCCAGAUCACUUGGAGGUCUAAAUUUAUAUUUGAUUGACUGAAAACGAACAAUGAACGUCAAACAUUUGCACAAUAUUGUGGAUAAUAUCAGGAAAAAUGGGAUAGCGAUGCUGCACUCACAUUUGGCAUAACAACCAUAGAUAGUGGUCCACAUCGGAGCGCCUCUUCAUUUUCCCUUAGUUGUAAUGUUUUUUUCCCAGCACGCGUUUGGACACCACCAUAAUUUGAUGGAAAUUUUGGUGGACCGGUUGUUGGCCUAGCCGUUGAUAUAAAUUCUGUGUUGGACAGGGUUGAAGUUGUCACACUGUGCGGGAAGCUAUUCAUUUUAUUCGUCAAAGCUAUGGGGUGGUCUGUGCGAAUUGUUUUCAUCUUUAUUCCCGGACCAAUAGGUACAUUGACCGUCUUGGUGGGAGUACCAAUUUCAAUGCAACUCUUUUUGGGUGUGUGGCUAGUUCGGGGAGUACUGUCCACGGCGGCGCCAUCGUCUGAAGGUUGAGUUGUCCUAAAAGAGUCAUAGCGGCCAAACAUUUGAGUGGCACCUAUAGGUGCAAGGGGAGAACUACCGUAGUAACCUCUAAGUCGCUUAUUAUGCAUAAUAGCUGCAUGAGAAACUUUCGAAUGUGGUCUGGGUGGUCUCGCAGACGGAGUAGCCGUAGACCCUGGAGAGGUAGAUGACGAAGGGUUGCCAGAUAUGGAACCACUUCGCUGUCUGGACACUGAAGUUAUCAUACCAUCAAAAUUCUUGCACGUGACUUCAAUCUUAGCCUCUAACCUAGCAAACCGUGUUGAGAGAUUUUCUAUUCCAUCAGCAGUUUCCUGAUUGAAAAGGAAUCCAUUUGGAAAUUAGUAAAUGGAAAGACCUAAGUAAUAAAUAAAUAUAUUAAAUAAUACGGUUAUAUUACUUUUACGCGCCCAGACAUGUGGACCACAUCAUUAAAUAGAGACGAAACUUUUAACCUUAGGAAUUCCAACCGAUUCCAUUGGUCCCUUUUGAAGUCCGAAAAUGCAGACAUUAGUGCGGAGUAAAUCAGAGCUACAUCCCCGCAAGAAGAUUCGGGCUCAGAUUGAGGUGUUGACCUGCAUCAAAGCAUUUGUCUUAAAAGCUCAAGAACAUUUGUCUUACCCGUCCCCCACCACAGACAACAUACUAACAUUUCAUAUACACAAACCCAUUUUUUUCAUGUGAAAGUAAUAAAUGGUAGUGAAUGUGCUUACAUUGUGAUAUCCUCGUUGUCUAUGUUGGAGGAGGAGCUUCUUUUGCCUUCCAUAAAGGACACUUUGCUCUUGUUCUAUCGUUCUUGGUGACUUCCACUUCUCUGCCUAAUGUCAUAAUACCAAAAUACUCAGUUUCAUACUAUAAGUAGAUAAUACUAUAAUUUGUACUAUAUUUCAAAAACAUAACUUGGUUUGUAAAAACAAUGAUUAUUUUCUCUGUUUCAUGAUUAUAUAUCAUUAUUUAAUAUCAUAUUUCAUCGGUCCUUAAUAAUAAAUUAAAGUUGUAAAUAUCACUCUUAUUAACAAAGUCUAUCCAACUCUCACUAUCUACUUAACCAAUAAUAAGAUUUCUUUUCUUCUUUGUAUAAACUUCUUAUACAAAGAAGAUAGUGAGAGUUGGUAUUUCAAUCAAAUAUUUGUUAAUUAAUCAACUCUUUAAACAGAGUGAGUAAUAAUUUACACACUGCAUGAACAGAAGGAGACUUUCCUAAAUGAAGCCAAUGACAUGAACGUGAUUGACUUGCAGCUACCAACUUGUCACCUCAUAAGAUUUGAUUUAUCCAAUAGCUAUAAAACCGGCUCAGAAAAGGGACUCCCAAUGGGUUAAAAUUACUUUCCUGUGCCAUAUCUAUGCGACUACUUGAAACAAGGACAUGUUUUGACGGAUUUGGUUCCUCUCCAUCCAACUUCUCUCCAUCCCCUCUCCAUCCAAAAUCUGAGCCAUCGAUUUUAAAUUUUAAAGGUGAGGAUUAAUUCAUGUUUUCUCUCUCUUCUUAAAUUGAUUCAAGCCUUUAAAUACAAUUCAUUUUUUCUCUCUCUUCUUAAAUAGAUCCAAGCCUUUAAAUUUCAAAAUCAAUGGCCCAGAUUUGGAUGGAGAGAGGAUGGAGGGAACAUGGAUGGAGAGGAUCCAAACCCUGUUUUGACAAGGUAAACACCUGAUACAUCCGUUUCAAAGCACAUCUAGUUUUAACUUUUUUUUGGUUCCCUAUUUAUUGUUUUUAAUACAUUCUAAGCAUUUUUUUCUCAUUAUUUCACAUAUAUGCCUCAUUUCAUAUUGUAUUCAAAUAGCUGACCAAUGACUUAUAUUUUUUUUCUUCAUAUAACUCAUUUAUAAUAAUUGUGUUUAAGUUAAAUUAUGACAUUAAUUGAUAAACUCAUGCACUUUCUGUAUAACGUAGAGAAACAUAUCCUCCAUACAAAACUUUUCUUUCUAAUAUUCACCAUUUUUAGAUAGUGUAAUUUUAUACCUCCUACUUUAACCGGGUAUAGUAGGUCAACACAUUCUUUUAAAAUACAAAUAUGUUUAAAAAUUUGUCAUAUAUUAAAUUUCUUAAGAAAAAUGUAUUUACGGAUUUACCAAUUAUAGCAGGUUAAAAAAAGUGCUCUAAAAUUAGACCACUUUAAAAGUCGUCCACAUUAGGUCAGUCAUGUUAUGGUGAGGUGUAGUGCUGUGAGGGAGACAGGUUAUAAUAGGUGCGCGACAACUAAAAAUAAUUAUAUUUUAACAUCUGAUUUUUUUUUAUAUAUCUUGAAUAGAAUGAAACCCGAGGCUAGUUGAUGAUCAAGUGACAUAGGUAGCCGUAACUUAUCAUGAUCUUUUGCUUUAUGUCAGACGAAGCUUUCAACCUAUCUCCUUUAUGUCAACAAAACAGCUUUACUUCACGGCACCCAUCUCCUUCAUGGGUCAAAAUCAACUUUAACUUUUCAAGCUAAUCCAAUUCAGAUUUACUUCAGCCGACGGGGGCGAGCUAAUCGUAUCACACGUAGUCACGUAUUGUUCUUCACGGUAAUUAAUUUCUUGCGGUACGUCAGACGCAGUUAUCGAGGUCAACUUGCGUCAGGCACUGUGAGCGACGUACAUCUAUAUGGUCACGCUAUAUGGUCACGCGCUUACUAUGACAUACAUAACCUUUCCCGGCACCCUUCGAAAUACACAACAGCAAGCGCGGCACGUGUUUUCAUGAUGCACGUUUGCAUUAUUGUAGUUUCAUCUGCAGUGUUUCACUUUUGAACUGACUUUUUUGGUGGUGCAGUUAAUAAAUAUAAUAAUUUAAAAUUUAACGCUUGAGCUCGUAGCCAUGGUAAUGGUAUUUCAACGGCACGGCUACUAUUCCUUUGCGGCAAGGCUACAGUGUUCCCGUAAUAAUAAAAGGAUGAAAAGAUAAAAUAACUAGGUUGAGUUUACGACUUGGGAUAAAAUCAUAGGAAGGAUAAACUAAUGUGUAAUAAAUUUUAGGGUCAAGAUUAUUUUUUGUCUAAUCACAUGCAUAAUUAAUCUUAACCCCUUUGGCUAAGUUUGAAAACAAAUCACUGUAAAGUUAGCCUAUUAUUGUAAGUGAAAAAUCUCAUAACCUAGUUAUUCUUUAAUAUACCACACUAAACUAUCGAAUGUAUUGGUAUCCGGUUUUGGGAAUGAACAAUGUUUGUAUUUGAAUGACAUAAAAACUUAUAAUUCAACAACAUGAGAUGUGUCAUAUAAGUAAUAUAUCCCUAAACCCUAAACAUUAGAGUAAAUAAUUACCAUUAGUAUCAUGAAUAGUCAACAUUUCAUCUUGUCAACAUUUCAACAAAGAUGAAAUGUUGACUAUCCAAUUUAAUAAAGGUAAUUGUGGCUACUGAAAUCUAUUAGAAAUACACGUUUCCUAAGCUCAUAGUAAUGUUCAAAGUCUUCACAUAUGAUCACACUAUCGUACAUUCAUGCUCAAGUAACCUUAAUUGAAUCUAAUAUGAGAGUAAAUAACACUAGUAUGAGUGAACAAAAACAUGUUGCUAGUUUGGUUGCUUAAAAACGAUUUCGGUGGGUACAGACUGACACAUAGGAUUUAAGCAACCCAAGCAGAAUUCGCUCCAACCACGGUUGCUUAGUUUACUUUUAGUUGGGUCCCAUUAUACCUCUUAUAUUUAUAUUAUUUCAAGGUAAUGACACUAUACAAGCACAUGAAUGAAAGAGAAAAUAUGAAUUUUUAGUCAAAAAGUAAGGAGAGAGAAAAUAAGCAACCGUUGCUUAAAUUUAAGCAACCCAACUGCCACGUCAUGUUGCUUCAGUGGUGCUAAAAAAUAAGCAACGUAGCUUAUGUUGCCAACUGGAUUUAAGCAAUCUCAUUGGAGAUGCUCUUAGUCGGCCAAACUUUAUUCUUGUAAUAAAAAAAAGUACAAAGUAUUUUAUGAUAAUAGUAAUAUUUCCUUAUGAUAAAUGUUGCAUGUUGCGGAUCAUAUCACACUAGCACAUCUAUCCCAUGCGUUUAUAUCUAGUUCGUUUGCUAUUCGUUUCUGGUUCAUACCACCUAUUUAAACAUUCCUGUGACAAUCAAAAUUUUGCUACUCUGCUCUCGUUUCUAUAGUUCUUCAUCCCUCUUAUUUUCCUCUCCUGUUGAAAUCAUCUUCCUUUUGUGUUCCGCUCAGUCCAGGCAUGACCUCCUGGGUUGAUGAACUGGCCAACGUGUUCAAGCUUUUACCGGCCUUCAUUGUAUGUAGGUUUAAGUGUGUAGGGAAACUAUUCGACUACACCACAAACCCCAAAUUUUGUGCAGAACAAGCAAGUCAUAUGCUGUCACUUGGGGAUCAGCAUAUCUUCACGUCUCCGGUCUCUCACAUAAUAUAUGAUUCAGGGAUUCACCUACUUCAUUUAUUACAGAACGGGCCUUCUGAUGGCGUUCCAAAGGAGUUUUUGGAUUUCAUUGAACAGUCUGGCCAGAUCAUUUCAUCGUGGAAUGGAUUAGUUGUGGUUCGUUGUAGGCGGAAAAACCCAUUCAGUUAUUUCAUCUGUGAUCCUGUAACCAGUUCAUGGACUCCCCUCACCUCACCGUGCCCUAAUUACUAUGUUGAAGGUACUCUCAAUAUAAUUAUCAUCCCAUCUUCGAAUCCGACUGCCAAUGACUACCGCUUGCUUUCAAUGAUCCGAGGCCCUUCGAUUUUCAAACACUAUUAUGUCUUAAAGGAGUACAACCCUGUAGGGGACUACUGGCAAGUAAUUAACCCAAACAUGGGUUUGGGCGACCGUAAUGUCAAUCUUGGUCAACCAGCAAUUGUUAAUAAUUGGCUAUAUUUUAUGUCUGAUAAUUAUGAAUACAGCUUCUUCGGAUCUGAUCGCUUCUAUUUGCCAUACGUAGUGGCCUACUCACUCCAUGAUCAUACAUCUGUCCUGUUGGACCUUCCAAUUGAUGUUCUCCAGGAACCCUUCGACGGGAAGUUUGGGGUUUACACAUGGGGAUCUAGAUGGACUUCGAGAGAGUGUCUAUGUCUCGUAAGGUUUAUCAACUCUUCGUUCUCUGUGUGGACUUGUGCAGACUCGACUUCUGUAAUUGCUACUUGGGUUCAAAUUCUUCAUAUUACCAAGGAUGAACUAGGGCUGUCCGGUGAAAGUUUUUCUCUCUUCUCUAUGUACGUGGAACCGAUAAGAAAUCACUACACUGUUGUCAAUGGAGAUUGCUUAAUCUUUGCCACCAGAGAUAAAAUUUAUGCUUACAACAUAAACGGCCCUUAUCCGUGGAAACUUUGUCAAGUUGGGAUAAAUGAAACCAGGACAAAUGUGAUCUUGGUUCCGUACUCCAGUACAUUUCGGAUUGUCCAUCGUGGUCAUUCAUCUUCCUUUAAUGAGUUUCUUGCAAACAACUUGAUUAGAAGAUAACCUUAUCACAUAUGAAUAUAUUUUGACAUUGUUGCAUUAUUAUUGCUUGUUUUUGUUUUUAUUCCUCUCUUUAAUGCGUUAAAUCCUAUCCAUGAAAACAUCUCAGCCCUUUUUUAUCUUUUACGUUUGUUUGAGGAAGAGGAUUGAUGUACCAAAUGUUUGCUUCAAUUUUGAACUCAUGUUUAUCUUCUUGUUAGUAUUGCCGAACAGAAUUAUUGUACCAUUUGAUGCCAAGGUACCACGACAAAUACGAUUCAUGAGUACAAAUAUGACUAUCAGUAAACCUAACAAAACCAUCACUUUUAUUUUAGCUUUUAGUUGUUGAUCCUAAAUGUGAUUUCCAUUGGGAUUUUUUAAAUCUUUUGGAAAGUAAAAUAAUAUAUAAAUAAUGAAAGGUUAAAUAUGUUUUUUUAUAAGCAAAAUUGUACUAUAGUUGUAUUACGAGUAUCUCAAACCACGGUAAUUACAGAGAGCAAGAACAAGAAAAUAAAAUAGGGAUUCGAAUCCUGCCGAGGUACUCUCGAGCACCCCUCCAGCGGGAAUUCAGCCAAUGAAUUAAUCCAAUAGCACCAAAUAAUAAAGCACGGACUUGGUCAGUGGUCACAGUGAAAGAGUGAAAGUGCCCAGGAAUGCUUACAUGAUAAUAUAUGUAAAUCUUACUUUCUUAUAUAAUCGUGUUUUAUUUGUUUCAAAUUACCUGUUUAUUUUAUUAAAUAUCUGAAAGCAAAAUUUAAAAAUACAACAAAUUAAGAAAUAUAUGAAAAUGAACAAGUUUAAUAUUUACUUUUUGAAAUAAAUAACUUGAACCCUACGGGUGUCGAUUUAAGAUGAAAAAAGUUGUUUUUUGAAUUCGUAAGUUGAAAGUUUGAUUCCUAAAGGAUUCAAACAAAAUAGAUAAGUUAUGUAAGUGUUGAGUCUUUUCCUUACGUUAUGUAGGCUAAGUCUAUUAUGAAGUCUUUUGAUGUAAUGUAAUGAUGAAAUGCAGAACAUCAUUAGAUAAGUUGCUUGUUUAAGGGUUAGAGAGGGUGUUUGGCAUCUCUCUCAUGUAUCUUUCCCCUAAUUCCCAAUUUGGGAUUAGGGUUCUUCAUCAAUAAUACUUUUACAUUUUCUGGGUUCAAUCACCAACAUGUGCUGAAAUAAAUAAACAAGUUUAAUAUUUACUUGUUGAAAUAAAUAACUUGAUCCCUACGGGUGUCGAUUUAAGAUGAAAAAAGUUGUUUUUUGAAUUCCUAAGUUGAAAGUUUGAUUCCAAAAGGAUUCAAACAAAAUAGAUAAGUUAUGUAAGUGUUGAGUCUUUUCCUUAAGUUAUGUAGGCUAAGUCUAUUAUGAAGUCUUUUGAUGUAAUGUAAUGACGAAAUGCAGAACAUCAUUAGAUAAGUUGCUUAUUUAAGGGUUAGAGAGGGUGUUUGGCAUCUGUCUCAUGUAUCUUUCCCCUAAUUCCCAAUUUGAGAUUAGGGUUCUUCAUCAAUAAUACUUCUACAUUUUCUGGGUUCAAUCACCAACAUGUGCUGAGAUCAAUCUUGGGAAAUCGUUGGUGUUCAUCACACGUGGGUUAAAAUUGGGAAAUCGUUGGUUUUCAAUGACUUAAGCAAUUGUAAUUUUAUCCAAUGUUUACCUAGAGUGGUUUAGACAAAACCAUACAAAAAUAUCAUAUGCAAGUAUGCAACAUACGUACCCUAUUUUAAAAAGAUAGAAAAUUUCUAUUUCAAGGUGACAUAAAGGUGAAUAAGGACGUGAUCCAUAAGUGUGAUGGGUGCCGUAAAGGUCUUGUCGACCCAUGUGCAACACCGCUUUCCGAAGUGCGUAAAGGCUUUAGAUAAGCAAUAUGUGUACAUACAAUAUUCGCAUAAUCUUAUUAGAUAUUGAAGAUCUCGACGUUUGAAAGACAUAAAGUAGGUGUGAUAGAGUUGAUGUGACAACACAUUGCUUACCUAUUGUCACAUCUCAUUCUAGAAAACUCAAAAUGUGAUCAGAAAAGAAAGGUAAUGGGCAAAUAGAUAAGGACACAUCGGGCCCCGUGCGUGAUCAAUGAACGGGGUGUGGGUUAUAAUGGGCACCGCAAGUGUGAUUAUUAGUUUUUAUUUUUUGUAACGUUCUUAUCAAAAAUGACUUCUAAUCGACAGUUUGUAACCUCUGUUGUUUUUUUAGAAACCAUUUAUCAAUUUUUCUUGGUCAUUUUUUUAAGAAAGAAACAAAAUUUUAAAAUUAAGUCAAAUAAUAAUCUCUAAUGCAAAGAUAUAUAUUUCCAAUGCAGAAAUAUAUUGGAAAAUUACAAGCAACAAUUGCGUGAUCACAUUCCAUAGGAAUUAAGAUGAUUCAUGAUUGUUCUAAUAAAAAGAAAAAAAUCAUUUAAAUUUAACAUAUUUUAUUUUAUCGUGUACCAAAAAAAAGUUUAUUUAAUGGGACCUUAUUUUAUACUAAGAAAUAUUAGUUUUAUUCGUUUAUAUAAUUUGUAUAAUUUAUUUUGUGGGAACUUAUUUUUUUCUAAGAAAUAUAAGUUUUAUUCGAUUGUGUAAUUUGUCCCGGUUUUUCUAACAAAAAAGGUUCAAUUAUCAAGAAGUAGACAUCUCAGCUGCCAUAGUUGAUUCUAAAAUCCAAGUCAAAUUUAUUUCCGAUAUGCACAUAAGAUUUUUUAUAUAUUUUUAUAGGAAAAAAAAUUGGAUAUAAAUUGGGUCCCCAUAAUUUGAAGCACAACAGAGAUUUAGAUAUAAAAUAAGGUAAGGAAUCCGUAUAGGACUUCUAUUAAAACCAGAGCGCACAAACGAUCCCCAUUCAUUACAUUAAGCAUGUCAAAGUAAUUUAAGUAUACGAAAAAUCAAAAUGACCACAUUUACCACAGAUCCACGUAACAUAAGGAUCAUCGUAUACGAAGACAACUUUGUUAGACCUUGGGUAGUUGAGCAAAGAAUAUUUUUGUAUCAUUCAUCAAUUGUGCAGUCCAAAGCUCGUUGUGCUUACCUAUGAAUAUUUCAGUUGCGAGUCGCAUCCUAACUGCCCGUUCAUUUAUCUAGGUAUACAAUAUUGCAAAUUAGUCACCACCAUAAGUGAACUAACAUAAUAACAAAUUUAAUAACGGUAAGCUUCAUCUAUAGUUUUACUAACCUUUGGAGGGAUAUUGACAGUAAACUUAUGUUCCAUACCCAUCCAAUCCAACACGCGAAGGGCAGAGUCGUUCCUGGAAAAUAAAAAAAUGAAUUCGGUCGAAAUUUAUAUAAUGGAACAGGUAAACAAAACAUUUCAAGACCCGCGAAAAAAAAAUGAAACCUGUUUCGAGUAACGGGAAUCUCUGCAGCAUCAGUAAUUUCCCACUUCUCCUGGUCAAAUACAUUGUCUAGAAAAUCCGAAGGAUAAUCGGGCGGGGUAAGAAGUUGGCGAAUUACAUUACACUACAAUAAUUUAAAAACAGACGUUAAUCACUGCCCAUUCAAUAUUUUGAUAAUUUUACCAAUUGUUUUAAUGUUGCUUCUACCAAGAUUGUCAUCGUUUCCCUCUGCGCCUCUACUUGGUGUUCUUGAAUAUUGGAAUCCAAAUGAUGAAUGACUCGGUCAGUAAUUGAUACAACCAUUAAGUACCAGUGAUCCGUUGACACAUCCAGUAUCGGAACGUAUAUCUACAUAACGAAUCAAUUCUAAGAAUCAUCGUUUCACAAAUAUUAUAUUCAGGUUAUAUUUGUGUUAAAUCUUACAUAUUUGAUGGCGGGGGAAGCAGGCAUCCAAGAUUUGUAUUUGGCCUUCAGAUUCAAAAUAGACAUCUUUUCAUUUAUAUCAAUCUGUUUGAAAAACAUUAGUCGAAUAUUAAUUAAUUAAAAUGCCGAUGAAAUACUAAAUGAAAGCUAAUAUGAGAUACUGAACCGUAAAAGAAGGUGGCAGGGACCAAAUGGUUAUUUCAGACGCUAGUUGUUGCAUUCAUGUUUCCUUCAUGGCGCUUGUUGUGAGACCCAAGUUUUUAAGUUUGGAAUAAACCGAAUAAAAUUCCUUUUCACGAUUAAUUUAAUGUGACGUGAAGGAAAACCUGAACAAGUGUUUAUGGAAUGGAAUUAAUUUGUGAAGGAGAAAGUUCAGGAAAAGGCUAAGGAUCGUAUCAGAGUCGAUAAAAGUUAUAACAUGACUAGCAUUCGCUUAAACUUAGGUCAAGAACGCUAGAAAUGGCUAGUUUAAGUUUUAAUACACGAUGGAAACUAAUUCCAAAAAUCUUCUAGAGGAAUAUAAGACUUUAUCUUAUUCCUUUUCAAAACGAGCGUUUCGAUACGAAACCCUGGAAUGUACGAACGUCAAUUUCCAAUACUCGGAAGUUUGCCGAAACCGAAACCCUAAUAGUUCAGAAACCCUAAAAUCGACGGACGAUGAAGACUUUUUCCAUUCGGAGCUUCAAAUAAAGAUUUCAUUCGCGCAUGCCCACUCUAAUCGACGUUCAGAAUCUUUCUUCAUAAGGAAGUUUCUGCAUCCGAGGUCAAAACCAUAAAGUGCAUAAAGUGCAUUUUUAAGCCGGUACACAUUAAAAACAAGCCUCGAAAACCAAAAAAUCAUACUGAUAUUUCUUUGAAGAAUUAGAAGAUUCAGCGGGAAGAAUAUCGUGUCUAAAAUAAGUUGGAAUCAGUAGGAAAAAUCAGAAUCGCGAAAUUCUCAUUUUUCCGCAUUUUCCAUUUCCUAUAUAUAGUAUGAAAAAUGAAAAAAAACAAAAAAAUCCCAAAACACACACACACGGCCGAGAGCUCUUGGAGGAAAGGAGGAAAAGUGAUUUUUUUUUCCAAAUCUUGACCGAUCGUCGUUCCGUUCGUUGCUACGCGUAGACAUCGAGGUACUGAUACUAUUCCUUACUUCUGAUCGUCAAUUCUGUCGCUUUUCUCUAUGUCUUUCUGUGCUCAAAGUUUUGAGCUUUUUGUAAAACUGUCCAAAUAAGCUGAUUUCAGUGUCUAAACUUAUUGCCUACGUGCUCUAGAGCGUGAAUAUCCGGUUGUUUUCUGCUGAAUGUCGCCGAAAUGCCGCCGGGAUCAAUUUCUGUUGGAAAAACCCAUUUCUGGGUAAAGUUCCGUUCUUUAAGCUGAAAAUUCACGACUGAGCUUAGCUUUAGUAGGAUUAGUUGUUAUAAAUGUCGUUAGGAUCGAGCUCAUCUAAUUUGUUUUUCGAAAUUCUGAUUUUGAGUUUCCGAGCUAAAAAUAAUGACCAAAAUACCCCUGCGACAAUUUUCGACCCGAUAAUUUUUCUGAGAGUUUCCCUGGCCUAGAUAUCGCCUAAGAAUACCUAGGAAUUGAUUUAGAUCGAAGAAAAAGUUCGAAAACCCUAUUUUCCAUAGUGACCGAAACCUAUUUGCUUGGGUACCGUGUCCAAAACUAAUUUUUGGGUCUCUAUGACCUGAGCCAUUGCGUAGCUCUUUCAAUUGUCGAAAUUUUGGCGCCGGUUUCGUGUCAUUCCGAGUUCUGUAGCUCGAGUUAUGCACGUUUUAGCGAAUAAAGUGUUUUUGUACAAAACUUGAAUCGAGUCAAAACCCAUCCAUUCGGGGAAAGCCCUUCCAUUCGUGCCUAAAUGUGGUACUCUGAAGCUUCUUGAGCUUAGUCGAACAUUAGUUAGGAUUGUUUCGACGGUAUCAACUUGUUUUGAUUCAUUAUUGCUUUGUUUGCUCAAAGGUUCGAUUGUGGAAACUUUGGGAUUGACUGAACAAGCUUGUGUGCGAGACCUGCACCGCGAGACUAGAACAACUCGAGGUUAGGGCAACUUACUUACUAGCUAUUUGUAUUGUAGGCGUCGAUAACUUCGACUUGAAUAUUGCUUGAUAUUGAAUAUUGCUUGGAUAUUGUUUAUCGCUUUGAAUUGGAAAGUGUUUUCUGGAGGCUUCGGCCGAAUGAACUUAUAUGAGACGUGUGUCUCCGUUUUUUGAGAGGCUUCGGCCGUUUACUGGUUUCAGUAUUACUGCUUCCUAGUGGAUAGGACAGGGUUAUGUUUUACCGCAAUUACUUAAUUCACAUGCCAUACUUGCUAAGUGAUUAAAUGGUUAAUCUUAGGCUAUGUGAAUACUUGUGCACAUUAUUCUGGAACAUGCAAUUAUUAUUGGAAUAUGCUGACCAUAUUGUGCAACUUAUAUCGGUUAUUCGUGGACUAACCAAAUGUGAGGAAUAACAGUUAGUUAUGCCCCGUUGGUGGCGAACUCUUAAAGGUUUAUUUCGAUAGGACGAACUGAGGUUCAUGCUCUUGUCUUCUUUUGUGGUUUCAAGACCUUCUCAUGGGAUUUUGGGGAUAUCGGGAUCUUUUGAACUUAUAAUUUUGGAAAGAAAAUAUUUUCAUAAGAAAUUCCAUAAUGCUUUAAACAACAUUCAAACUCUUUUAACUAAAUGUUAAGGAUCUCAAAUGAACUUCUAGGAUUUGGAUAUUAAUUUUGAAAAAUGAGAAGUGUCGCCGAAUCGAAGUUUUGAGGAAGCUCAAAAGUUUUUGAGUAUGCUUAUACUCUUUCGCUCGAUGAGCAUUUUAUUUAUUUGACUAUCUGAAGGAUAAGUCAGGGAACUAUAAGUUUCCAAGUACAUUGUUACUUUUCGCUCGCUGAGCAGUUUUUGACCAUCGAAAUUUGAUGAGUCAGAUGACUCAAGAAGUCAUCAAGGGUGAUUGCACUCCUUUCAUAAUUAAUUGUCUUUUGUCGCCGAAUCGACAUUUACCUUAGGGUACAGUAGAGCUAAUAAACUCUAACACUUUUGCUGAUUAAGCAAGUUUUUGGUCAAUGACGACCUUAUAUGCCUUCGGGUACAGUAUAUACCUUCGGGUACAGUAUAUCUAUAUACCUUCGGGUACAGUAUAUCUAUAUGCCUUCGGGGUACAGUAUAUACCUUCGGGUACAAUAUAUCUAUAUGCCUUCGGGUACAGUAUAUCCAUAUGCCUUCGGGUACAGUAUAUACCUUCGGGUACAGUAUAUCUAUAUGCCUUCGGGUACAGUAUAUACCUUCGGGUACAGUAUAUCUAUAUGCCUUCGGGUACAGUAUAUGCUUUCGGGUACAAUAUAUACCUUCGGGUACAGCAUGCCUUCGGGUAACUCGGGCAUUCGAUGGGGGAUAUGAUCGACCGUAUGGUUAGGAUCGACCUGUUGAUGUCAGGCAUAGCGGAGGGAAAAGUCGACCCACAGGGUUAGGACUGAUCCGACUAUGUCAAGGUUGUAAGUGACACUCGAGGGUUAUGGUCGACACAAUGCCAGUGCUAGGACCGACUCGAUCGUGCCCAGCCUAUUUCUUCCGGAACCUUUUGAAUUGACGUUGCAUUGACAUAACAUGCACUCUAACUAUAUUUGUUGAGAUCUUGAUAAUUUGAUGUUGAUAAACAUCGUUAUGAGUUUUUGAUGAUUUGAUAUUGGUGAACAUCGUUAUGUUAUUUGUUGAAUUGUUGAGAUAUUGAAUAUUGUGUUGUUACUAGAGAUUAGAUAACAUGCCAUGUAUAUACCUUAGGGUAGGCAAUGCAGAACUUAUAUGUAUAUAUACAACAUAUAUAUAUACCCCUUUUAUCGCAUGUUGAUUGUAUAUCUAUUGUAUUCUGUAAGUUGACCCUAGCGCCUUGGCUUUGUUUGUAUGUUUGUGUUUGGGCGGUCGGCCUGCUGCCAGGCGUCCGUCAGCCGGUUCGUGAUGAUUCGUUGUGCGGGAAAGACCCGGAGCGAAAUGACUAUUACUGAAGCUUUCGACGAGGACCCGGACUUCAUGCCUGAUCGAGGGAGAGUCGAUGAUAGUAGUGUGGGAUAUGGGUGGUUAGAGUCUUUUGAGUUGGUUGUUACUGUCAUAGCUCUGAUUCGUCAUUUGUACUUUUGGGACAGGGUAGUUUCCGACAGGUUGCUUUCGGUGUGGUUCUCCGUAGACGGGAAUCGCAUGGAGUAGUUGGACGUAAGAAGUCUUUUUGGAAGCCUUUUUGGGCUGACUUACUUUUCGGAGGACUGUAUUUAUAAGACUUAUGACUCCAUUUAUGAGUCGCACUUGUUUGCCGCUGGGCAACACCUUAGUUACUUGAUGUUACUUUCCGUCACUUGAGGACACUCGUGACGAUGUUUUUAGUUGCAGCGAGGGCUGUGCUUGUAUUGUAUAUUAAUCGCUGUUAAUCGCGAUUGGGGUUGAGUCUUUAUUUCGGCAAGUCUUUUUAUUUUAAAAAAAAAAAGGAAAAAAAAUACCUGCUUUUCCGCUUUAUUUUAUUUUUGGUUACUAAAGUGACGCCACCGAAAUCGGGGUGUUACACUUGUUCUAGGAAUGAACAUUGAGGAUAGGUAUAGUACCUAGAGUGUGGAGA
rnacentral:lncRNA from 1 species